rnacentral:lncRNA from 1 species
ACAUGGCAUCAACAAAGCUCUUGGUUACCAGCGACACGGUUGACUCGUUCACUCCAAGAAAGGACCCAACAGUUGCAGGUAGGUCGCCAGACUUGAGCAUUAUCAGAGCAAUGGCUACUCGCUCCUCUAAAGAAAAGAAGCUCAUGUAAAAAAAGAAGUAGUUGCUCAUAAUUUCCAAAGACGAUUCCUUCAGCAAGCUGCAGACGUAAUCGAAGGUUCUUCUUGGCAUUUUCAACACAGACUCAAGUCUUUGCGCAUCCUCAAAAAUAGCCAGGGUUCCUGCACAAGAAGAAGGUGCAAAAGUGAUCACACAAUCCCUAGCCUGAUGCAAAAGUGCUCAGCUGCUACAAGGCUAAAAUUGCAUCCCAAAUUCAGAAAAUCAUUGCUAAAACUGAAGUAAAGAAUCAUUCUGUUUUAACCAAUUAGUAAUUGUUAGAUGGGACAUGCAAAACAGACAUCCGUCCAGUUAGACAUGAUAGAUCCGUUUGAAUUAGACUCUAUCUAGACAAUAUAUACUCAUCGUUUGUGUAUUGCUCGAAUCAGCCGGACUCUGUAUAUCAGAACAUCAUAUAAAAUCCCGUACGACACAUACACAUUUGUGCACAUUGAAUACAGAAAUUACGAUCAACGUGCAUGCAUGAUCAAGACUCUCCUUUCUCCACACAUGAAGGGCUGAAGGGUAAUUUUUGUUACAUAAAUGUACAUCUAAAACUGUGUUCCUACACGCACAAUGCUUGCCUAUCUGUGUUAAAUUUUAGAACAACAAGCAAAAUGGACCGUGCAUUUGCGUGGUUAUAUUUAAUUUGGGACACAACAUCAGUUAUUAUUCAAUUAAUUUUCUGCUACAGUCACACUGAUAUAUCAAUCAAAAUAUCGAAAAAAUAUAUAUAACCACACAUUUUGAAAAAAAAGAAAAAGAGUAAAUUUUACAAAACCACUACUUCUGAGGUUAGGGUUUCACUUAGGUACCACUCUAGGGGUUUGUAACACAAAAAUACUACUAUAGGGUUAAUCUUUAUCACUUUACCCAAACCCACGAGAUUAGGGGUUUUGGCAGGAAACCCGACAAGUUGGGCCCACUUUUCAGAUGCCAGAUGUGCACUUACCGGGUUCCACCCGACCCGACCCAUUUAGUCUACUUUUGCAGGCCAUGCCUGUCAAAGAACACACUUGCCACUUCGUUUCGAUUCGGGAUAGAAGGAGACGAGAAGGGGCGAACUGGAGGCGACCCAGGCCACCAACCGCGCCCGCCCAAACCCUCCUUGGGCGGCACCGCAGCAGCAAGGGAGGCGGCGGAGGAGGGUUUGGGCGGGCGCAGUUGGUGGCGUUUUUUUCUGCGAAAAGGGGUAAGUCCCUUGCCUUGAUCUACAUUAUCUAUAUAUCCAUGCAUGACAAAUGAAGGUGUAAGGGCAUCUCCAAGGGCACCCCUCAAACUCUCCCCAUUUGUCCAUUUGAGGGUUUAUGGACAAAUACAUAACCCAAUGAGAAGAGAACCCCCAUUUGUCCAAAAGUGAUCCACAUCUCUCAUUUUUUCCCCAAAUUUGAGGAGAGAAUAGGGAGUCUCCAUUUGUGCAAAUCUUGUUCAAAAUUUGUCCACUUGUCUUUUUGGCCCACAUGUCGAAGAUUCAUUACAAAGACAAAUGGGGGUUUCCAUUGGACAACAUGAUAUUUUGUCCACCCCCAUUUGUCCAAACACCUCUCAAAUGGACAAAUGAGAAAGACAAAUGUGGGCUCACCCUUGGAGAUGUCCUAAGGCUAGCGUCUAGACUCGCUAUUGUUCCGUGAGUAAAACAAAGACACACAACUUACACAUACCACACUUCACCACUAUAUAUACGCUGUGCGUGUCCUAAUUAAGCAUGCUUUAGGAAAAUUUUAAGAGUCACUACCGUCCUGACUUAAUUAACAUGUACUCCCUCAGUCCCGAAUUAACUGACGUGCAUAUGUAUAAGAGUCUAUACAAAUCCAGGUCAGUUAAUUCGGGACGGAGGAGUAGUUCCAACUGAAGUGCACAUGCAUCCAUUCUCAAGCAUGCAAUUUUCCCGAACGCGAAAUGACAGCAAAUGAACAGCGAUAAUGCAUGGCUAAUGACGAUUGCUAAGAAACUGCAUAUUCUACCUAAAAAGUAGAAUAUAUUCUAUGUUCUACAUACUACAUACUACCCAUAUACUACAUUCUACAUUCUCCCGAUUGCGCUAUAUUCUACCAAAUUUGUGUGAAACGUACGUGGGAGUAACUACACCCGGUAGUACAAAAAAGUCGUCUUAUAUAUAUAUAUAUAUGGAAAUUAUAAAGUACUCCCGGGUGUAGUUACUCCCAUGUUGAAUAUUCUACCAUAUGAUAAAAUAUAUUCUACUUUAUCGUUUUUAAUAAAUUCAGAUACUCCCUCCGUCCAACAAAAAAUGUCUCAAGUUUGUCAAAUUUAGAUGUAUCUAGACAUGACUUAGUGUAUAGAUGCAUUCAAAUUCGAUCAAAGUUGAGACAUCCUUUGUUGGACGGAGGGAGUACUAUUUAUAAGAUACUUCAAAGCGAACUACAUGAAAAAAUUGCAAGUUGGCACGUAGUUUUUACUAUGUUUUAGAAAUGUCUUCAUAUUUGUAUAUACAAUAGAGUAUGUUAAAAAAUUGCAUAUUCUACCUGAAUUCAUUAAAAGCGAUAAAAGUAGAAUAUAUUCUCUCAUAUGGUAGAAUAUUCAACAUGGGAGUAACUACACCCGGGAGUACUUUGUAAUUUCCAUAUAUAUAUAUAUAUAAAAGAUAGAUAGAUCGAUAUAUAGAUAGAUCAAAUUAAACUGAAGCACAACUAUGCAACUUAUAUUUUUUUUCCAAAAAGACUAUCCAAGUUAUAUAGAACGGCAGAGAAAAUAAAUGAGAGCACAUAUGAAGCGGUAAUGCAUGGCUAUCUGUGAAAGUUCGAAUUAGUACGAGAAGAUUACAUUGAUUGGGAUGACAGAGAAAAGAUAUAGAGAGAUUGAGUGAAUUAAGAUGUAGCAGCAGUUGUGUAAAUUUACCUCCAGAUUCCAAUGGUUUGCUGGUCAAGUGUUGUGACAAUAUAUCCCUUGCCAUGACCGCAUCCUCAUCUUCUACCUGCCGCACUUCUUGGCCACCGUAUAUCGCGUCAUUGCUCGUUGUGCCUGCCUUGCACUCCAUUUCUAUCACGAUGUUGUGCAACUUGCAGCAUGCUUGGAUUGCCCGUUUCAGCACAUAUUGAUCUUCUGGGCACCACCCCCCUCCAUGAAGGAACUUCCAUGUGUCUUUCAAUCUUUCCAGUGCACUCCUUGGCACAACGGCCAUGGCUUCUGAAUGUCUCCUAUUGAACUCCACUUGACAAUCUGAGAGGUCAUUCUCCGGGUGGUCACGUGUGAGCAGCCAGGGAGAAAGAGAAUAUCCGGCAUCACCAAUUACGUAUUCUCCAACUUGCCGUCCAUCUGAAAAAUUCAGCUUGCUGCCAUUCAGCCUAUUACCUUGCUCGCACUCCCUGAAGAGCCAAGAGUUCUGCAAACGGCUCAAUGUGUCCUCGUUGUCUGACGUCCGCAACACAAGGUCUGUGAACCUCAAAUCCGAAUCAACGAUCACUUGCAUUAGCACGUCUUCCUUCUUCUUGUCACGGUCACUAUUUUGAUACCCAAAUGGGAUGUGAGCUGCAUGCAUAUGUACAACACCGCAGCAGUUUGGUAGGCCAUGGAUCUUGUCAAACUUGUACUUGAUCUUCUUCAUUUCAGUGGUGCUUGGCCAUCUUGGCCUGUCCAUAGAAUGGACAAAGCUCUCAGUUACUUGCGAGACCGUUGACUCACUCACACCAAUGGAGCAUCCUACGGUUGCAGGUGUCUCACCAGAGUUGAGCACUAUGAGAGCGACGGCAACUCGGUCUUCUCAACACAAAAACCUCCCAUCAAGAAAGGUGUAUUUGUUCAUAUCUUGCCAAGAUUUUGCUGUCGCUAAGCUGCAGACGUAGUUGAACGCAGACUCGAGCCUUUGUGCAUCCUCAAAAACAGAUAGAGUUCCUGCAUGGGAACAAAAUGCAAAAAGAAAAAAACAGUUACCUAAGUAAUCCAUAAAGGCGAAGAUCGUGUCAGCAGUGGCAGUGUUAAGAUAGUAUCCAGAAAUUGAGAAAGUAUUAUUUCUGUGCCUUUCCCACAAUCCCACCCGCCCUGACGCCCUCACUCGCGCAUCCGCCUCCGUGUCGCUCCUCCGCAUCGGUGCUCUCCCGUGGCGCCGCACUCCACCGCCGCCCACCAGGGGCUCCGGCGACUCAUCCGCGCCCAAGAAGCUGCCCCGGAAGAUGCCCAAGACGCCUCACAAGGUCGUGCCAAUUCUUCACCUAGGCAAUUCCCCAAACACUUCGAUCUCUCUUGGGACGGUGAACCUGAAUCCUCAGACAGACCUGAUGACUGACUGACUGACUUCUACCUCGACUGGUCGUCUCAGAACAUGGCUUUUAACUUGGUGAUUUUGUUUAAAAAGUUCAAAUCAAAUCUGUUGGUGGUGCCGAUGAUGGGCAUUUCAUGAAAACAAAACUACAAGCUCACGCACAUGCAUAUUGGCUUUCCCUCAGCUGUCGCUUAUGUGCGUGGGUGGUAUGUUGCUCACGCUUACAUGGUACAUCAUGACACCAAUUUAAGUGGAUAAAAGAGGAAAACGAUAAUAAAAAAACACCUUGCUUGAACAGAAAUAAGAUCGACAUGCUUUAACUAUUAAGGACGUGCGUGCGCGUGCACACUUACUAGUUACUCAGAUGCACGUACGUGAGCCACAAGUUUUGUCUUAACAAGUAGUGUAUGAAAGUGCAUACAAGAGUUUGCCUGUAUAUAUGAAACUAGCACGACACAGCAGAGCUGCAUGCUCAUUGCUCAACUGUUACACGAAACCAUUAAAACCGCAAGUUUGGUCGGUAUAUACGAAACUAGCACAUCACAACAGAGCUGUAUAUAUUACUGUGCACAACAUACGCAUGGAUGGAUGGUUGCCCAACUGAUGGAGGGUUGUGUCCUUAUCUAAACAUACAAGGUACACUACAAAAAACAGUCAUGUAUAUCUCUAUGCUUAAUUAUUACUGCCAUGUUUUUGUUCCUGUCACGAAAUGAUGCAUCCAAGAACAAAAUGAAACAAAAUAUGAAAUAAAUUUAACUCGCACAAAUGAAAAACAGGUCUUGCCUCCUGACAGGAAUGAGCUGUUGGCAUUUGUGUCCAAGCUGUACGGCUCUCUUGUAUACGACACGUACCAAUCACUACUACCGCCCCAGACUGAAAUUCCCUUGCACUUGACACGCUCGAUGUGGCUGAACUUGGCAAACUCCGGUCCAGAUUUCCCUGCUGCUAUGGUAGUGAGCAGCGUUAGGCCGCAUCUUAGCUCCAAAUGCCUCGGGUUCACAUCUCUCAAGUAUCCAGGGACUGUUUCCGUCUCGUCAUUCUCAAGCGACAGCCUUUGCAGUGCAGGCACGUCCUUCAUGGACUUCAGAUUCGGGCAUCUCGUGAUGGUGAGCUUCUGCAGACUGGGGAGAUUAGUGAUACUCUCCAAGUCGGGGCAAUCAACCACUGUAAGCUCAACAACAGAAGGAAAGAUCUCAAGGCAGCUGAUCUGCUCGACAUCCUCCAUCACCAGCCUCUGCAGUGCAGGCACGUCUUUCAGUACCUUCAGCUUUGAACAAUAGUUGAUGGUGAGCUUCUGCACUUUAGGGAGAUCAGUGAUCCUCUCCAUGUCAGGGCACCGAUACACUGUAAGCUCAACAACAAAAGGGAAGUUCUCAAGGCAGCUGAGCUGCUUCACAUCUUCUAUGGAUAACUUUCUCAAAGCUCUUGCAUUGGAGGCAAGGCCAGGAGGAACACGCCCCGGUUUGCAAUUCUCGAGCAAAAGCUCCUCCAAACGGGGCAUGGCUUGCACUUUCUCCUCCCACUCCCACUCGUCCCAUUCCACCAUUCCUUUUAAGACCAUCUUGUUUAACAUCGGAAAUGAAGCUGCGGCUGGCUGGGAGGGACGCAAGAAUUCAGUUCCAACACGUUUGAUGCAUGGAGCGCGGUUGACCUUAAGCACCUGCAGACAGGGGAGAUGGCACAACCCAUCGGGAAGUUGGGUGCAACAAACUAGGUCGAACAGCAAUAGAGACUUCAAGUUGUUCAGGGGCACCGUUGCUGUGGACAUCAUCCAACUCGGGAGUUUCUGGCCAAAAUACCAGUAAAUAUCAAUAUUUUCAACACUGGACGGAGGGCAGAGCUCAUUGAACACCUUCUCUAUCCGUUGCUGCCCAUCUUCAUUCUGCUCCGGCCUCGGGGUGCAGUACAAGAGUAGGUUGAUAAGAUGUUUCUUCUCACUGAUUUUAGCAUUAGCAGCAGAAGAUGCAUUCUCCAGUUGAACUAAUCUCAGAAAUCUAAGUAGGGAAAGAGGCCCCAACUCAUCCAAACUGCACCAAUCACCAUCCAUGAGAGCUGGAAACCCACCUAGAAUCCUCAUAUUUCGCAGACCGUGGAAUCCUCUAGGUAUCAUAGUUAAUUUGUUAGGAAGGUUGAGAUAUCUCAGCUGGCCAAGCUUCACAAUGCUAUCAGGAAGAUGGACCAAAUUUUUACAAGCAUUAGUGUCAAGGUACUGCAAAAACUUCAUCUUGCCAAUGUUCUCUGGAAAUGCAGAUAUACCAACAUUUCGGAGAUUCAAAUACCUCAGAUGCUGGAGUUGAUGCAAGGAUUCGACCAAAGCCACACCUGCACCUUUUAUAAACAGAGUUCGCAGACUAGAAGAAGUAACCAAUGAAUCACCGGGCUCCAUCUUGAUCUCGACAUUUGAGAUUAAUGUUCUCAUUGAUUGCUGCUCUUGCAAAGACUUCCAAUCAAAAUCACCUGAUUGCACUUCGUCGGUUUCUAUAGACAACCGAUGAAACUUCUUGGAAUUAAGUUUAUUAAGAAUAUCAAUUUCUCCAGUGUGAGCUAUGAGUGCUUCGUUUUUAACCAUAUGGUGACCAAACGAGCGAACAAUAUCAUGCAUGCUGCAGUAAUUUUGACCAUAAUUCAAAUUACCUAGCUCUAUAAGGUUCCUGGAUAUCAACUCCUUGUAGUACUUUUGUCCCGAUUCUUCUAAAUCACCAGAGUUCCCGUGAAUAAAUCCUUCGCUAAUCCACAUGCCAAUCACAUGAAGAUCAUUAAAAAGAGUGAUACUUUUAGGAAGAAGAGAGUAGUAUAGAAAGCAUUGCUUCAGAUCAGGAGGCAUAUCUUCAUAGCUCAAGUAUACUGCUUCCUUUGCGAGUUGCCGCGACCACGUUAGUUUUGCUCGCGGCGCUCCGGGCGAAAGCCUUGCCUGACCUCUGUUGGUGCCGACGACGGCGAUGCUCUCGGGCGUCAUUCCCUCCUUGGUGGCAUCGUCGAGGAGACUCGAUCGAUCAACCUCCAUUCCCUCCUUGGUGGCAUCGGCGAGUUGCACAAGGAGGGGAGGGUGGACUAGGGAAUGUUUCUAUCGGCAAGGGCAUUCGAAUGUCCAAAGAAAACAGGCUACAGGAGAUAGCCCGUUUGAGUGGUGGACAGCAAGGAACAGAGAGCUUUCUUGUGUUGGAACUGAAGAGCAUCGCUGAUGUUGGCCUUGUUGGUCUGCCUAAUGCCGGGAAGAGUACAUUGCUGAGUGCUCUCUCUAGGGCUCAGCCGGAGAUAGCUGACUAUGCAUUCACCACAUUGAGGCCCAAUAUUGGUAGCUUAACCUACGAGGACUACUUCUCAGUGAAAGUGGCUGAUAUACCGGGUCUUAUCAAAGGUGCUCGUGAGAACCGUGGGCUUGGCCAUGCCUUCUUGAGGCACAUAGAGCGCACCAAAGUUCUGACCUAUGUGCUCGACUUGGCAGCCACUCUCAACGGUAGGAAGGGUACCCCGCCAUGGGAGCAGCUGCACGAUCUCGUCGUGGAACUGGAGCAUUACCAGGAAGGAUUGACAAAGCGCCCGUCGUUGAUGGUAGCAAACAACAUAGAUGAAGAGGGAGCUGAUGCGAUGUACGAAGAACUGAAGAGGAGAGUGCAGGUUGUUCCAAUAUUUCCGGUGUGUGCUAUCCUGAGAGACCUUAUGGACGCGUCGGAUCCACAAGGUGUUGAUAUGAGCAAAGUGAUGGUAGACUAAAAUUCACUGAAAUACUGGCACUUUGGAGAACUGAUCACUGAAAUUCCUCCCCGGAAAUGAGAACUUACCCGGAAACCAUGCAUGCUACUGAAUGUGAAUACAGUAAAUUUUAGAAAACCACACUUUUUGGGGGCAGCUCUGUCGUCGAGGCACACUUUCACUUAGCAAUUUAACUAAGCUGUCCCAAAAAGUGUGGUUUUGUGGACGGUUUUGCGUUAAGUGUGGCUCGGCGACAGAGCUGGCCUAAAAAAUGUAGUUUUGUGAAAUUUACUCAUGUGAAUAUAUAGACCAACAACCAAUUGGCAAUACAAAACAGACUUCUUUGACUCUCUUUUUUGUGAGAAAACCUUCUACGACUUAUAUUUAUAUAUAUUAGCUAGUGACAAAAAACAACUUAACAACUAAGUCAUCUUUUGUUGAAUAUCUUUUAUAAAUGAAAUACCAAAUAGGCUUAGCCCUGUAACUUAUUCUGCAUAGGGCUGGAAGAUGUCAUAAACAUACACGAGUCUCUGCAAUUAUGUUUGCGGAUUCUUCAGGUAACGGAUAAAAUAUCAAAUAGGCUCACCCUGUAACUUUUUCUGCAUGCCUUUUGGCGUGCGAACCAGCAGUUCAAAGAUUCCCUGUAGCACGGAGCUGGAAGAUGUCAUAAACAUACAAAACUCAGCUUGCAUCAACUCGAGGAUGGAAAUACUUCAUGAAUAGUCUACAUACAUGCAGCCACAUUAUCAAUUUCCUCAACGCGUAAAAGCUUAAUUAAAUCCAACAUACAAAUAUAAUAAAGAACUAUUCUGUUGCCAAAGAAAUAUGGGCUCAGUGUAAAUGAAGAGCGUUGAACUCAAUUCUUCUUGCCAAAGAAACAUGACAGCAUCAACUUUGUCUACCAAGCUGGAUGCAGGGGGCAUGGAGUACCAAAUUAAGCAUCGUUUCUCUUCCUCUGCUGUUCAUCUUUGUGCUUCUUGCUUCCCUUUUUCACCCUGAACCGGAUGGAGCUGCUUUCUGUGUUGCACCUCUUGAUCCACCUCGUCGACUAAAUGAAUGAAAAAUGGAAUUAACAGGGCAGAAUUAAUAGAAAACCUGACGAACAAAUUAAAAUGCUUGCGCACUAGUGUUAAUUUACCUCUAGAUUCGGAUGACCUGCUGGUCAUGUACUCGGACAGUACAUCCCUUGCUCUCACAGCAUCUUCGUCUUCUAACUGGCGCUUUUGCUUGCUGUCAUCUUCCUCCUGAUCGCUCGGCAUGCCAGCAUCUUCCUCUAUGUCUAUCACUAUGUUAUGUAAGAUGCAGCAUGCGUGGAUUGCCCGGGACAUCUCGCGUGGAGUGUCUGGGCGCCACUCACCGUGCAUGGACUUCCAUGUGCCUUCCAACCUUGCCAGCACCUUCAGCGCGAUGUUUUUAACUGCAGAGUGUCUGCUGUUGAACUCAACUUGAUAAGGAAUAUCUGAGAGGUCAUUCUGUAGCUGGUAAUAAGGUGUGAGCAGCCAGGGCAGAAGAGGAUAUCCUACAUCACCAAUUACGUAUUCACCAACUUCUUCUGAUGCUACCUUGAGCUUGCUGCCAUUCAGCCAUGCACCCUUCUCGCAAUACUCGAAGAGAUUAGAGUCGUGCAAAAAGCUUGACUGGCUCGUGUUAGCUGGCCGUGGCGCCACCCAAAUGCUUGUGAACCUCAUAUCUGGAGCAAUGACACCUUGCAGUACAAAGCUGUCCUUAUCGAAAUGGUCCCAGCUUCUUGACGCAGAUGUGACAUGCGUUGUAUGCAAAACACCACAGCAGUUUGGCAAGCCAUGGAUCUCAUCAAACAUGGAUUUCAUCUUCUCCAUUUCAUCAGAUUGUGGCCAGCGCAAAUGGUGCUGUGCUCUCUCCAACAUGGCAUCAACAAAGCUCUUGGUGACCAGCGGCACGGUUGACUCGUUCACUCCAAUAAAGGAUCCAACAGUUGCAGGAGGGUCACCAGAGUUGAGCAUUAUCAGAGCGAUGGCUACUCGCUCCUCUAAAGAAAAUAACCUCAUAUCGAAAAAGAAGUAGUCGUUCAUAAUUUCCAGAGACGAUUCCUUCAGCAAGCCACAGACAUAGUUGAAGGUUCUUCUUGGCAUUUUUAACACAGAUUCGAGUGUUUGUGCAUCCUCAAAAAUAGAUAGGGUUCCUAAGCAAGAGCACAAUGCAAAAGUGGUCCAUAAAUUCCAAGGCAAGAGCUCAGCCGCGACAGUGUUAAAAUUGCAUCCACAAAUUCAAUAACUAGUAUUGGUCGACAACCUAUACAACUAAUAAUUGCUAAAACUGAAUCAAAGAAUCGUUCUGUUUUAAUAACCUUUAGGUGCCAGAUCAGACAUGUAAAAGAGGAGGCAUCUGGCUGCUUACACAGCAUAGAUCAGUUCGAAUUAGACUCAAUGAAGAAAAUAUAUAUUCUCUAUAAAAAUGAAGAAAAUAUAUACAUCCACUACCUCAUCUAUGCAUAUACUCAUUGUGUGUCAGUUGCUCCAAAUUAAUCUGCCUCUACACUCACACCAUAUCGCUCCAAGUAUUGUUCCGUAACCACAUUUACAAAAAAUGGUUGCCUGGUCCAGAUCUGGGUUGAACCGCCGGUUCGGCCUGGGUCCAACCACGGUCGAAGCCAACCAUGUGCCUAUAAAGAAGAAGAGUGCGCGAAUCUUCUCAUUUCCCUCCCACGCUGUUAUUCCCACUCUUUCUUCCAUUGGUGGCGCCAGAAGAGAAGCAAUGGAUUCAACCGACAGAUUGGAGCUCUGCAGUGGAUUAUCAUGUGAUUCUACCCUCUCCAUUGCUCUGGUGAGUUCGAUUUUGGUUGCACUGGUUUGUGGUGUCCAAUCUGGGGAUUAGUGUUUGGCCAAAAUUGGGGAUUUUGACCGAAAUUUAGUUCAUCAAAGAUGCAUAUAGCCCACAAGUUCAUGGUGUCUGAAAUGUGCAGUUUUUUGAGAGUGAAACAAAGACAAGCGCAGCCUACACAUACCACACUUGCACCACUAUAUGUAGCAUGCGUCUCCUACACACGCUAGGAAAAUUUAAAGAGUCCCCUGCCGUCCUAACUUAACUAGCAAGCACAUAGUUCCAAUUAUGUCCACGCACAUGUUCUUUUAAUAAAUAUGGCAAACUGUGCCAUUCCUAGAGAAUGAAACCAGUGGUGAGAAUGAGACAACCGCAUUCUCAUUGCUAGGUCACAGGCCAAUCCGUUCUGGAGCAUGGAUUUUCCUAGACCCAAUGUCUACAUAUAACAUGUAUAGAUAUCAUCUGAAAAGUGAUGAUGCACAGCCAAUGACAAUUAAUCAGAGCACAUAUAGAUCAAAGCUAAAGCAUAACUAUACAACUUUACUCACCAAGGAAGUUUGAAUUAGCACAACACAAUACAUUAGAAAACCAGAGAAAAUAUAGAGUAACUGAAUGAAUUCAUGAGCAGUUGUGUUAAUUUACCUCCUGGUUCCAAUGGUUUGCUGGUCAAGUGUUGCGACAACACAUCUCUCACCAUGACUGGGUCCUCAUCGACUAACUGGUGCACUUGCUGGCUGUAGUUCACCUUUUGAUAGCUCCCCAUACCUGUGCCGCACUCCUUGUCUAUCACUAUGUUAUGCAGCAUGCAACAUGCAUAGAUUACCCACAUCGGCUCAAAUUGAUUUUCUGGGCGCCACACCCCUCCAUGCAGGAACUUCCAUGUAUCUUUUAACUUCGCUAGUGCCUUGGUCAGUGUGAUGGUCAUGGCUUGAGAGUGUCUCCUAUUAAACUCGACUUGAUAAUCUGAGAGGUCAUUCUCCUGGAAAGAUGUGAGAAGCCAAGGAAGAAGAGGAAAUCCUGCAUCACCAAUUAUGUAUUCUCCAACUUGCCUUCCGUCUGAUAAAUUCAGCUUGCUACCAUUCAGCCAAGUAUCCUUCUCGCAGUGCUUGAAGAGCACAGAGUCAUGCAAAAUGCUCGACUGGUUCAUGUUACUUGAUGAUCCCAACCAAAUGUUUGUGAACCUCAUAUCUGUAUCAACAACAGCUUGCAUUAGCAUGCCAGCAUUCACCUCAUGGUCACUGUUCUGUGAUUCAAAUGUGAUGUGAUCUGUAUGCACAACACCGCAGCAGUUUGGCAGCCCAUGGAUCUUGUCAAACUUGUACUUGAUGUUCUCUAUUCUGUUGGAACCUGGCCAGUCCAAGUGGUGCAUUGCUUUCUCCCACAUAGCAUCAACAAAACUCUUAGUUAUCAGCAAGACGAUUGACUUGUUCAUGCCAAGAGAGGAUCCUACUGUCUCCGGAGGCUCACCAGAGUUCAGCAUUCUCAGAGCAACUGCUACUCGGUCUUGUAAACAUAGCACUCUCCCAUCAGCAAACCUGUGAUCCCUUGCCAUCAUGUCUUCCAAAAAUGGUACCCUAACCAAGCUGCAGACAUAAUCGAAGGUAGUUAUUUUCAUUUUGUAGAGAUGCUCAAAUCUUUGUGUCUCGAUCAUAGAAGACGAUAAUGUUUCUGCAUGGAAAGAAAAAAAUACAAAACUGGUUACAUGAUGCAUCUGGACUUGCGAGGCAAGGGCUGUAGUCCAACAGUGUUCACUUACUGCAAUGUACAUUCAUGAUUUGGAAUUUAUUACUAGAAUAACAUAUUACUCUAGAUUUAUUCAAUUCAACGCAAACUAGGAGAACAAGUAAAAUCAAAUAAUUAGCAAUUUGAGGGAGUGCAGCCAAAUCAGAAAGUAGCCCAUAAACAACCUACACAUGCUGGGAAUAAUCCAACUUGCAUAUAUAUAGCUGUGUUUGUGUCCGGAACAUGUGGCUUCCAUAUCAUAUAUAGUUGGCUUCAAAAGAUGGUUUUGUUUAGGAAAAUAAUAAAUUGGUUGGGUUCAUUUCCAAGUUGUUUACGAGCUAGACACUGUAAGCUUAUGCAUCUACAAAUAAAGGAGAAAAGGCCCUGGGUGAUUGUGUACAUGUGGGUUGUGUUUCCAUCUAAGGUUUCCGGCGAGUUCAAUAGGAGCUCGACGAGUUGUGUCGAGUUGGUGCAUGUGUGCGCGGGUGAUCCUAGGGCAUGAAACCAACAAGACAUACAACUAGAGCUAGCUAAAACUGAAGUGGCAUGUCUAGUACAACCAUGUUUAUAUUUUGUAGGAAAUGACGCACUCAAGAGAAACAAAAGGUACAUAUGGAAUACAUUCAGUCGUUAGGAUAUACUGAUGAAUGGUAAGAGCCAAAUGAAAAGAACUAAACUGAUAGAGCGCCCAAAUAAAUGAAGACAAAGCUUGUAUUUUCAAUUUUACCUUGAAAUACAGUAGAGCGGCUAAUAUUUGACUCCAGCUUGCAGUUACCUCUUGUGUACAACACAUACCAUUUCCUUCGGUUGUCUCCAUCACGCGCAUAUGACUUUACAUACUCGACAUGGCUGAACUUGUCCCACUCAAUACCGGAUUGUCCUGUGGCUACAGAAGCAAGCAACCAUAGCCUGCAGAAUACCUGCAAAUGCCUUGGCUUUAUUUCUCGCACGUAUUCUGGGAGUUCUUCCAUGGUGUAAUCCUCCAGGACCACCCUGUCCAGUUGAGGAACACCAUUCAGUACCUUCAGCUUUGGGCAAUCGAUGAUGGUGAGCUUCUGCAGUUUUGGUAGAUCAGUGAUCCUCUCCAGGUCAGGGCAUCGAUCCACUGUAAGAUCCACAACAAACAUACAGUUCUCAAGGUAGGUAAGCUGCUUGACAUGUUUUAUGGAUAACUUUCUCAAAGCCCUUGCCUGGGAGGCAAGGCCAGGAGGAACAAGCCUGAGUUUGCACCUUUUGAGCAAAAGCUCCUCCAAACAGGGCAUGGCUUGCACUUGCUCCUCCCACUCCCACUCCUCCCACUCCACCAUUCGUUUUAAGACCAUCUUGUUUAACCUCGGAAAUGCAGCUGCCACCGGCUGUGAGGAAUGCAAGAAUUCAGUUCCAACACGCUUGAUGCAUGGAGCGCGCCGCACUUGAAGUUCCUGUAGACAGGGGAGCUGACACAAGCCACUGGGAAGUUGGUUGCAACAAGCUACAUCACACAGCAAUAGGAACUUCAAGUUAUUGAGGGGCACCGUUGGCAUUGACAUCAUCCAACUCGGGUGUUGCUGGCCAAAAUACCCAGAAAUAUUAAUAUAUUCUACACUGGAUGGAGGGCAGAGCUGAUUGAACACCAUCUCUAUUCGUUGCUGCUCCUCGGCAGAGACAUCUUCUCUUCUGACCAACCCAUCAUAUCCCAGUUUGCUAGUGCACCCCAGUAAUAGCUUAGUAAGACGGAUCUUCUCACCAAGCCUAACAUUAGCAGCAGACGAUGCAGUAGAUACAUUCUCUAAUUGCUCUAAUCUUAGAAAUCUGAGAUGGGAAAGAGGCCCCAACUCAUCCAAACUGCACCAAUCACCAUCCACUAGAGCUGGAAACCCACCUAGAAUCCUCAUAUUAGUCAGACCACAGAACCCUCUAGAUAUGAUACUCCCGUUGCUAGGAAGGUUAAGAUACCUCAGCUGGCUAAGCUUCACAAUGCUAUUUGGAAGAUCCACCAAAUUGUUACAUUCACUCAGGUCAAUGAAUUGCAAUAAUUUCAUCUUGCCAAUGUUUUCUGGAAGUGCAGAUAUACUAGUAUUUACUAGUGUCAGAUAUCUCAUGUGCUUGAGUUUAUGCAAAGAUUCAAGCAAAGCCACAUCAGCAGAUUCAAUAUAGAGAGUCCUCAGACUAGAAAAAGUAACCAGUGAAUCACCGGGCUUCAUCUCGAUCGGGAUAGUUGAGAUUAAUGUUCUCACUGAUUCCUGUUCUUGUAAAGAUUUCCAGUGAAGUUCACCAGAUUGCAAUUGGCUGGUUUCUAUAGACAACCGAAGAAACUUCUGCGAGUUAAGUUUAGUAAGAGUAUCAAUUUCUCCAUUGUGAGCUAUGAGUGCUUCCUUUCUAGCAAUAUAUUGACCAAAUGAGCGAACAACAUCAUGCAUGCUGCAAAACCAUUGUUCAAAAUAACUCUUAUUAUCUGGCUCUAUAAGGUUCCUAGAUAUCAACUCCUUGUAGUAAUUUCUUCCUGUUUCUUCUAAAUCACUAUGGUUUCCGUGAAUAAAUCCUUCGCUAAUCCACAUGCCAACGACAUGGAGCACAUCAAAUCUUGUACUUUUAGGAAGAAGAGCGUAGAAUAGAAAGCACUGCUUCAGAUAAGGAGGCAUAUCUUGAUAGCUCAAGUAUACUGCAUUAUUGAGAUCUUCGGGCAUUUUAGUCGUUGACCAAUCAGAAUUAUCCAAAACCUGCUCCCAGUCACGACGAUGCAUCUCCCUUUGACGCAAGAGUCCUCCCAUUACUUUGAUAGCAAGCGGCAAACCACCACAAAUUUUUAUGAUUUUCAAUCCGACAUCCUUCAAUGUAUUGACGUGGUAUUCAUCUGUUCCACUUGAGAGUACCUGCAAAAUGCGGAUGUACCGACAGAGUUAAUUAACUGUGUACAAAACGCUUUAAGAUGCUCAAAUUUACCUCUUAAGAGAUAAGAGGAGCAUUUGAUUAUCGAAUCGCCGACUAAGCAAUGGUAUGUUUGACCAUGCAAAUAUUCAAAGUAUGAAAAUGUUGAAGUGUAAGUUGUGUGUGAGGUAAGAGUAGCAUUAGUACCCUAAUGGAGUUAAGAAUUGCUUUACGGAGGCUCAUGUGGGAGUUGACUUGUAAGCCCAGUUUGUGUUUUAUAUAUAUGAAGAGUAUGGCGGUCCAAAGGACUAAUCAAUCCAGAAAUUUCCUCUAAUUCAAUCUACAUGGUAUCAGAGCUAAGGCUCCUCCUAACCCAAACCGCAACUCCUCACCACUCUGGCUCUUGUCAGCAACAACAGUUGUGCGCAUUUUAGCCACAUGGCGGUUGGCCACACCUCAUUGCUCCGUGCAUGGUCAUCGGCUAAUCGUAAAUACAGGAUUGGUGGAGCGUGGCCGGGCGUGGCAGCCGCCGAGGCAUCAGGCAGCUGCAGCACAAAGCAGGAGUGGGAGCCGGCCAUGUCGCUUCGGUCUGCAGGAGUAAGACGGACGUGCAAGUAUGCUUGCCAUGCAGGGGCUUGUUCACUUUAGCAUGGGCAUUGAAUAACAGGAGCAAUGAAUUAGCUGGGAUGCUGCUUGUUUGCUGUUCAGAUGCACUUGUGAUUGGAAUGUAAGGGGAGAAGCAGAGAAUAGUAUGCUCUGCAUUUCUUGGCUAACCAGAGCAGCAGCAGCAACAGUAGUAGUCGUCUAGUACAUGGGGAGAGACCUAGUGGUUAACCCAUGCCCAUCUUGAGGGGGAGUGUUGGAUGUGUCAGGUAAGAGUAGCAUCAGUAUCCAAAUAGACUUUAGAAUUGUCUACUGUAGGCCCAUGUGUGAGCUGAGUUCUAAGCUCAGUUUGUAUUAUGAGGGCAUAGUUGUCCAAAGGACUAACCCAUCAAGAAUUUUCCCUUAAAUUUUAUACGUAAGUUAGUCAAAAAGGAAAUGUUAUUCUUUAUCUUUCUCCCAUAUACCGAAGAUUCAUGCAAUGAAUUCUAUAUAUCACGAACAUACUUUAUGCCUAAGGUGGGGCGGUGCAGGAGGUGAGUGGAGCUGGUACAUGUUGCGCUGUCGGCAGUAUUCCUUAAUGCUGCAAUGGUGGAGGUUGGUUGGCAGGCCUCAUGUUGCAGCGGUAUUGGUGACCGUUGGAGUGUGGGAUGACGCUACGACGGAUACAGUAUUUGCGAGCCAUUUUUUGAACAAAACUAUAUCAAAACGUUUAGUCUAAUUACUAGUUUUUCUUUGUUUUCUACUAUUUUUCUUAUUUUGGUAGGGGUUCAGCCAAAUUGUUAUUUUUCAGUACUGGGCUAACUUUUCAUUUUUAUUUUGUCCUAUGAUAGCGCGAGUUGAGUCAGAUCAUCGUCCAAGGGUUGGCAAAGUGACUGAAAUUUAGCACAUUUUACUCAGUACAUGAAUUGCACCCAUAUUUCUUCAGUGUAAAAAAAAUGACACAUCUAUUGGUUAACUGAAUUUCGUAUUAUUAAUCAAACUCGAGAAAACCAAAUCUAAAAUCAUGAAUCUUUGUUACAUAGGCAUGAAUAAAAUAUGGAAUUUUGAAUUGGCGCUAUGAUAUAGUCCCUUGUUUUAGGACUAUGCUCUAACGGCAUUAUUAUUUACUUCUAUAUUGGUAAAAGAGACAAGUUUAUAUCAGCAUGCAAGAUUAUUGAUAGCCUCUUACCAUCUCAAUGGUAAUAGUAGAUAUGAACCAUUGAAAUGCACAAAAAUUAACAGCCCAUAUUAAUUUGAAAGCAUCCUGAAAUCAAUUUCUCUCAGCUACCUAGUCUGAUAAUAAAUAGAUGGAGACAAAGUAUUCACUUGAUUAAGACACUAGUGUUUAAUUACUCAUGUACCUGCUUCUUGAGCAAUGACCAAGCGUCAUCAGACGAUAACGUGUCGAUGUGGUGGUGGGGCCACGUGGCUGUCAUCCCUCGGGCGACACCUUCAUGUCUAGUAGUGAUGAGGACCCGGCUUCCUGAAACAGCAGUAUUGACUAAGGGUAUUUUGAGCACACCCUCCCACGCUCCAUGACUCCACAAAUCAUCCAACACCAGCAAGAACUUCUUCCCUGUUAGUGCCGUGGUAAGGAUUGGUUGGAGCACGGCCAAUACUUUUUCACCAUGGUGGUCUCCCCCGGCAAGGGUGAUGGCCGUCUUGAGCAACUCAGUCUUGUCAAAGUUCUGGUUGACACUCAACCAUAUCCUCUUGUCAAACUCACCUUGGAUGGAAUCAUCAUUGAAUACCUUCUGGGCGAGGGUGGUCUUGCCAAUCCCGCCGACACCUACGAUGGCGAUCACCAUGAUGUUGUUGCCUAUCUCAUUUCUUUUCUGCAAGAUCCUGACCACUAGUUCUCUGGUGUCUUCUUCGAUCUUCUCCCCAACUACACCCGACACGUCGAGCUGCCCCGUGGACUCCCGGGUGUGGUUGGCCUUCUCAGCUUGCACCCUGCUGCCAGGAUCCUCAUAUGAACUGAGGAUGAAGCUGAACUCAGUGCUCUGCUUCUUGAUUUUGUCGAGCUUCUGGUUAAGCGUUUUGAUACGGCUACCGAUGUUAUGGGCAUGGAGGGGAUUCCGCAGGCAGAAAAGCAAUGGAUUGAAGCAACCCGCAUUCACAGUGGAUGGCCCAUGCUCCAUGGCCUUUAGGUGGCAGAGGUCGAGGAUGUUAGUAGCCUCGUACAUGGCGUGCUUGAGCUCUGCCACCCAUUCUUGCACGCUCUCAUCAGUGAUGUUCCUCCUGUCAGCAUCUGUGAGCAAUUUCUUGAGCUCCCCGAGCUUGAUGCCCAUGUUCUCGAUAUCGCCGGUGACACCGAGCAGCAUCCCCACCUCGUCCUCCACCACCUGCUUGAGCAGGUCACCAACAUAGGAUGCAAACGCAUCCAACACCAUGGCCAUUGCUCCUGUGGUGUCUACGUGUCAAUGUCCAGUACAAACAAAUGCAAUUGUUUACUUGUGUUGCCAUUAAUCGGUAGUCUUAUAUAAUGUAGUGUACACGUCCACCCAACUUUGAAUGUGUUGCUAUUUAGGAUAGUUGACUUCACUGUGCAUCAUGUGGUCCUUAAUUUUCCCUCUCAGCAGCAAAAUCCAACGGACGGAUAAGAAGUAUGUGUGUGGACAUUGGAGUCUUGAUGAAAAGCUCACCGAUUAUAUAUAGGAUAAAUCAGAUAUUUGUCUCAAUAAUAGAACAAUAAGCUAAAGUUAUGUCGGCAAGGAAGGUGACCUGGUCAUCGUCCAUUGACUUGAUGAAUUCAAAGUCAUCAUCAGCGGCUUCUCGGUUUCAAAGAUUCGGAAUAAGUGGGGAAGCAGCCAUCAUGGAAAUAAAUAUCUUUCCGUUUGAAAGCCGGAUAUAAGACAUAAGAAAGGCACGCCAUUCAUUUCUCUGGGUGCCCUUGCUCAGCAGAUUGCGACAGCGAGGCUUCCCACCCAGACAAGUGGUGUAUCUGGACCCAAAAUAUCCCCAAGUGGAUAUAUAAAUCCAUGCGGAUUGAUGGGAAAAAAGGAGAACUGUGAGUGGACAUUGGAGGAUUGGAUGGCUAGUCCACACAGAUUGUAUGUAGAAUUAUUUGGCAAGGAACGAAGGUGACUGUAUGUGUGUGACUCUUCACUUCUUCAGUCGCAGAGCUGAACUCUGAAAUGAUCCUCACAAUGCUGCUAAUUAAAUCAAAUGACUAGUAUGUGGAUUCAUCCAAGCCUACGGUUGAUUAAUCGUUUGGUUGCGGCUACGGUUUAUUUGCGAUGCCCCAUUGUAAGCAGUUCUUGUUUCUCAAAUAAAAAAUCUAAAUAAUUCUUGGGUUUGAAAGGUCAGGGUCUGGGCUUAUGGGAGCGAGCAGCACAGCGGGGGGAAGCAGAAAGUUACCUUUUGAUACCGAGAUGACGCCGGCGACGGAGACGAUGACGGCGUGGCGACAAAGUAGUCAGCGACGGCCAUCCUCUCUAAGCCCGGUGACGAGCUCCCGCGGGGCGUCUGAUUGCGGCGGCGAAGAAGGGGGCAGCGAGCAGGUGAAGGAGACGGCGGCCAGCGAGGAGUAGGAGAGGCAGAUAGAGACCGGCGCUGGCUCUUCGGGCUGGGCUGGAGAAGAAGAAGAGGCGACGGCGAUGCGGCGAAGAGGCCGCCGUCGGCAACGAGGAAAUUGGGGGCAGAAGAACGACACCAAGAAAGGACGACAGUCUGCUUACUGGGCCAUAAAACCACCGCUUAUAGGAAUGGAGGCCCAAGUUUAGCCCAGUGGAGUCCAGUGGGCUGCAAAGAAUAAGAUCACAAAACACUCUGCUCUCCUACGCAGCAGACAAAUUGCAUCUUCAACAUUCCCCUCAAAAAAAAAAUUGCAUCUUAAACACGAUCACUGCAGUGAUAGGUGUUUUACACUACACAAAUUCAUGUCUGUGUUCCCAAAUCCAAAUACAGUAGUUCUGUUUAUUGCAGUAUUCUUGGUCUACAAAUAUAUAUACGGAUUUUAUAACGCGCACACGUUCUCUCGAUGGACUCUUUGCGCGACGCGCGCUCGUGCGUCCGAUCGAGAGAGAAGCGGGUGGAUGCGUUUUUGCUCGGGGGACACCUGUUCCGGCAUCCACGUCAGCGCCAGCGUGGCUAGGGGGCAGUUCAAACAUUGGGAGCCGCGCCUGUUGUUAUUCACGGUUGCGUUUAACCCCCAUUACUGCCCACUGUCCGAACUGAAUCCCGUAACCCCCCUCUUCUAUUCCACCCGCGCGCGUCCCUCUCCGCCCUAUUCGUCUUCAUCUCCGACGACCGCUGCGUGGCCGCCAGCGGCGGAAUCGGUCGUCUGCUCCGAUCAAGUCGCGCCCAAUACCAGGUACUCAUCAGGGGGAGGCUUUUAUCCGUCAGAUUUUUGGUGGGGAUUUCGAAUUUUGGGAUUUCGGCAGUGAUUUGUAUCUCAAGGAAUCAGCCCGUGGCAACCUCGAUUCGAUUAGGUUUUGUCCAGAUGGGGGCAGGGGGGCAGAUAUGAACCGGGUGAUCCGUUUCGUGGUCGUCUGUGUGAUUUGUAUGAGGCGAUUUCGAACGGAUUGGUGCCGCGUGGUAGCGAGUCCUGCAAGACGAUGCCCUCCCUUUCCUUUCCCGUUCGAGUUUUGAUUCGGGUUUUCGACGAGGACGGAUCAUGUGUUUGGCGUGGCGCGAUGUAGUGGUUGAUUUUCGCGUUUUUUUGGACCGUGAUUGUUGGGGAUUUGCUAUACGCGCGCGUUCGUAUCUGGUUUGUACAGGGUCGGCUUGCACGGCAUGCAUGCUGGAUCCAGGCGAUGAUGGAGUUCAGAGAGUUCAAACGGAGUUCAAAACCUGCCCCCAAUCGACAACAUGGGUUGUAUCCUUGUGGGUUCAUAUUUCUGUCCUGUUUCUAUUUCCUGGAGGUGAUGCCAAAUUUUUGUUUGAGUUCGUGCACUGCAUGUAUAUGGUGGAUGCACCCAUACACGCAUUAGUUGUUAAUUCUGGUAUAAUGGUGUGGUUGUGUACAAUCUGAUAAGUUGUACUUGUUAAUCACUGUUUACUGAACAUCCAUGUCCAGAGGCAACUUAAACAAUUUUAGGGAGGCAACGUAAACAAUUUUAGGGUGGCAACUGCAGGAUUAUGUUUGACCUUGGGUAUAUUAGUGGCUAGUGGCAAGAUAGACAGUAAGAAAUGCUUGAGUUGAGUUUAUUUGUUUUCAUUUUCAGGUGUUGGGAGCCAUGGUCAGGAAACGGGAUGAUGUUGAUUUGGGCGAAGAACACAUAAAGGUUAACUGUAUAUUAAUUGUCAUUUUUUUACAUUUGAGAUGGUUAUUGUUUUCCCUAUCUGGCGGCAAUUCAUCAACAUAUAUGAUGGCAACUUUGUCAUCCACAUUUCAAAUUUAUGUUUACUGUUUUUCAUAUCUGGUGGCAAUUCAUCAACAUAUAUGAUGGCAACUUUGUCAUCCACAUUUCAAUUUUCAAUUUUAUGGUUACUGUUUUUCCUAUCUGGUGGCAAUUCAUCAACAUAUAUGAUGGCAACUUUGUCAUCCACAUUUCAAAUUUACUGUAUACAUGAUAACUGCAGUUUCAUGCAGUAGCCAUAUCUUUUCCUCUGUUUUUGUUCACUCACCUGAACAUAUGAUUUCCUGAACAUAUCAUUUCCUCUGGUUAGCUUUUUUUUGCUCGCUCAUCUGAACAUAUCAUUUUCCUCUGUUUUUGUUUUGUUGUGUAUCAGCAUGUCGCUAUAAGGAACAGGGCUUCUCCAUUUGGGCUGACCAAACUAUACAAGCAUUUCAAUGCUGCACAAAAGCUGGAUAUCAGGAACAUGGAGUUUACGCCUUUCCUCCAUAUCAACACCACCAAGCUACACAAUAAAGUGACGGAUUGGCUUGCGAGUUGUUAUGACUCUUCGGCCAGGUAUCUUCUUAUCCCUGCCAAGGGCAGGAUCCCAAUGACCGAAGGAUCUGUCUACAAUGCUUUGGGGUGCCCCCGCGGUGAGUUGCCUGUCCCAUACAGAGUGGACAAGGACAUUGAGGCCCGGCUUGCACCACAGAUGUUCCCUGGUGUCGAUCUAUCCAAAGCCCCAUUGCACAGCCAGGUGAAUACAAUGUUGAAGGAUAUGACGGAGUCCGGCAACAGAUUCAAGAGGCUUGCCCUGAUGUACAUCAUGAGUACUAUAUUGGCACCAACCACUAGCACGAGGAUAAGCAACAGGUGCUAUCCUGUUUUGGUACAUCUCUUGUUAUAUAAUGCCUCUGUAUUUUUUUUUCAUUAUCACGCAGUAUGCACUUUAACACUGCCGGAAUGGCAGCUGACUUUUUACAUGUUAUGGCAACUCAUAUAUACCCACCAUGGCAAGUCAUACAUAAUUUGCAUGGCAACUCAUAUAUUUUCAUCAUGGCAACUCAUGUAUGUUUCAUCGACGGCAAGCCGUACAUCAGUUACAUGGCAGCUUAUAACAGUUCUGUAUGACAACUCAUCAAAGUUUUUUUUGGCAAUUUUUCAUGGCCUAUGUUUUACUUUCUUUUUCUUUCAGUUUGCUCAUGUAGCUCAAUGAGAGCUGUUUAAUGUCCAUAUAUUCUUCAUAUUUAUAACAACAAUCCUUUUUUUGGGGGGGUUUCAAGGAUGAUAUCGCCAACGUGCACAAUUACAACUUUUGCAAGUUUGUCCUCGACCAACUUCAUGAGAAUUUGUCCAAGAAGAAAUUAAACAAGGGUUGCCGUCUUUACCUUAUGGUAUGCCAUUCAACCUUUUUCAUGUGUGUUGUGUCUACAACUUUCUUUUUUUUUUGUUUGUUCUGUUUUUUAAUUAGAUAACUCACCCUUGUGUUGACAUCUAUUUUUGUGUUUUGCAGCUGUUGUAUGUUGAUAGUUUGGAUAUCAGCGAGCUUGGGUUAGAUUUGCCCGCUGCUCCGUUUGGAGUCACUGCAUGGACAAACAGCUUGAUUGAUGAAGUUUUGAAAGCAGGCACAAAAGAAGAUGGAUCUUUUGGGAAACUCCAGGUUACCCCCCUGCAAUAUCUGCAUGUUUUGUCACAUGGCAUGGGCAAGCGGUUCUCCUUUUUGCUUUAUGCGUGCUAAUUAUGUCUUUUUUCUACAAUUUUUUGUUUUGUCACAGCUAAUAUCUGACCAUGCUGUGAACUAUUCGUAUUUUGGGGGUCCUGAUCAGUUUUCCAAGUGGAUUAACAUGAAUAGCCACCCUGAUAUCGAACCGAAGGUUACUUUUUAUUUUUUUAUUUUUGCUUUGUCGCAUCCAAUGUGGCCUCACAUCAUUUUUUCACCUUCCAUUUUUUGUUGCUGCUUACCACGAUCUUUUCUCACCUUUUUUUUUACUGUUCUGAUUUUGUUGUAGGAGCGGAAGAAAGUUGAAACUCUCAUGGGUCAGUUUGCGUCAGGCAUGACCUGUCUAUUGGCCAAUCUUGUCCAAGGGUGGACUGGUCUGACGCCUCCCUAAAGUGAAGAAAUGGCGCGCCGUUUUGGUACGGUCACCGGCGGUGCGCCCACGCGCUCUCGUACUGCUAGGGGUAGGUUCGAGGGUUACAAUUACGCGAGCGACAUCGACGAUGAAGAUGAACAAGUUCAUGACAGUGGCGAGAGUAGCGACAAUGAUGACGACCCACCCUUCAACCCUGGAGGAGGAGAAGGAGAAGGGAAUAAGGAUGGCGACAAUGAAGAGGGGGGAUGGGCAGGGGCAAUGCUCAUGAGGGUCAAGGUAGUGGGAAUGACGGCGGCGGGAAUAACAAUGACGGCUCUGGCUGCAACGACAACGAUGAGGCAGCACCGAACGACGAACCUGGUGAUGAAUCCGGUGGCAGAGGGGGCAGGGGUGAAGCCGAUGACCGAGACAAAGGCACCACGGACGACGUGCACCGUGAAAUCACCAAAAUUGUGGCUGCGGAACUGAAUUUAAAGAGAAAGAGGUACAUUUUUUCUUUUGUUAGCACUGCAUGGCAAUUUUAUGAUUUUUUUGCAUGGCAACAUGUAGGCGUCAUUCCACGGCAUUCUUUAUGGCAUUGAUGUGGCAACUAUACUUAUCAUUCCUUGGCAAUCUUUAUGGCAGUAACGUGGCAACUCCACUUAUAAUUCCAUGGCAAUUUAAACUUAACAUGGCAAUUAUUCCUAUGUCCCUUACAAAAUCUUCACUUUUGUUUUUUAAUUCCCAAGCAGGAGUGAUAUGCCACCUCAUGCUGAUCUCGAUAAGUGUAAGAAACCGAGGUAUGUUUUUCCGCACGGUAUCGAUACGAGUGUUAAUAGAUUGUUGCCCCCCUUUAAAUUAAAAAUGGCAUGGCAAUUUUACUUUUAACACAGAUCUACUAAAAUGGUUCCGACAAAGAGUACUAGACCUGCAAGGAGGUCUCCUCGGUUUUCUCCAACCAAGGGUGGGGCAAGAGAGGAGGAUUCACCCGCUGGCGCCCCUGCUAUUGAAAAGUAUGGUGUUUUUUUUAAUGGAAAUUACAUAACGAACUGACAUAGCAACUUUACAUCCAUUUUUUGUUGCAUUUUAUGUUUAACACCAUGCGGUAUAUUGAUUUGAAUGUUACAUUUAUAUUUACGUUUGCCAGGGUCUUAAAGAAGGCAGUUACAAAGCAUAUUGCACCUUCAAGGAGUUCUCCUCGUCUUUAUCGAAACCUAGACGGGGCACAAAACAAUGAUCUGACCAACGCAGCCCGUAUUGCUGUAAAGUAUGGAUCAAUUCCAUUUUUGUACUUAUUCAUUUGCUCCCUUUUAUGUUUUCUCUGAGUUUAGUAGCUGCAUAUGGCAAUUUCAAACAUGAACAUGUGGCAACUUUGGUUAAUUACCAGUCACCCUUGUUGGCAUUUCUUUUGUACAUGAUGUGGUAACUCUUGCACAUGAGCCCCCUUGCUGUUUUAUGCAUGGUGUGGCAAUUUCAAACAUGAACAUGUGGCAACUCUGGUUAAUUAACAGUCACCCUUGUUGGCAUUUCUUUUGUACAUGAUGUGGUAACUCUUGCACAUGAGCCCCCUUGCUGUUUUAUGCAUGGCGUGGCAAUUCAAACUAUGCACUGAUGGCAAUUCUAGUGAAUUAGUAGUCACUUUUGCUGGCAUCUUGUUUAUAUAUGAUGUGGCAACUUUGUUUUUUUUGUUAGUAUUUUGAUUGGUCUUGUUGUUUCAUUCAUUAGAGUCACUGAAAAGGCACCUGCAAGGAGGUCUCUCGUGUUUCUCGGAACGGUCCUUCGCGGAAAACGGAUGAGGCAUCUAUUGAUGGUGCAAGCAGCACCGCAUCUCGUAUUCCUGAAUUGUACGAUCAAUACCCUUUACUCAUUGAUGUUUCACUGUUCUCACAUCUCAUACAUGAAACAACUUUGUUGUUACCUUUGUCUGUCUUUUUAUAUUCAUGUAUAGGGCACCACGAGCUCAUAUUAAGAAGCAAUCAACAGAUCAAGCACGAGCACAUGCUUCAGUAUGCAGAACCAGCAAUAUUUUUGAUAGACUGCGCUCGCAGCUUAGAGAACAGAAGGAGGCAGAUCCAAAUGUUGCUGAUGGGCACACCGUUGAUGAUCCGAAGGUGGCAGAUCUGAAGGCGGCAGAUCCGAAGGCGGCAGAUCACAAGGCGCAUAUCACAAUACGGCAGAUCCGAAGGCGGCAGAUCACAAGGCGCAGAUCACAAGACGGCAUAUCCGAAGGCGGCAGAUCCAAAGGCGGCAGAUCACAAGGCGGCAGAUGGGCAUACUGUCGUUGCGGCGAGCGCACUUGUUGGGUCGGCUGUCAGGCCUGUACUGAUUGCGUCGCCAGACCCUGGAGUGGUUACCGCCUUUGGAAGCAGGCCCGUCGACGCGGCGUCGCCUGCUGUUUGGUCAGCAUCAAGGCCGGUUGUGAUUGUGUCGCCUGUUGUUGGGUCAGAAGUAAGGCCGGUCGAUAUCGUGUCGCCUGCUGCCCCAUCGGCAAGGCCUGAACCUGUGCCGCUGAAACCAGGUGGUGUAUCCGUCUCGGGUCAAGCUUUGAUUGACGAGCUUUCGCCAACUGGACAAGAAGCCGUGGAGGGGUUGGUUGGACUACGCACGGGGAUGUUUCCCGCGUCUCUAUUGUUUGAGAACCGUGGUCACCAAGCAGUUGUGCCGAAGACCUCCGGAAGAACAAAAGCGGCUGUUAAAUUGGGGCUUGGUCGGAAAAGUGUUGUUGCAAACCGGCAGUCGCCACGCAUUGCUCAGCAGCAAAGAUGUGAAGCAUCAGGAGGCAUGACCGACAGACGGGCAACCCCACUUGUUCAUGUGCAGGCCAGCCACCGCCAUCCCUUGGCAUUUACCCCACCCUCAUGUGAUCUUGGCUUUAGUCCGGUACGUCGCCAACCUAGUCCACCAAUCGCAGGAAGCGCCCAAGGUGAAGUACCUGAUUCGAAGCAAGCCAAGCGCGUGUCAUUUGCUGUCCCGGUAGAUCAGACGGGUGCGCACUCUUUAUCUUUUAUUUUUUUCACCAUGGGGCAUUUCAUAUAUUUUCUGGUAGGCAACUUUAUUGUUUGACCCCACCCCAUCUGUUACAGAAUCAGAGAAGAUCAAGUGCGGAGAUGUCGUCCUAUCAUCUGUGGAUUUGUCACCGGAAGAAGUUGAAGCAUUUGAUAUAAUGGACAAACAAGCACGGGAAAGGGAUGCGGCUGCCUCGGGUUAUGCAGAAGGUAUUUUGCAUCUCAUAACAGUAACGAGUAACAGCACCCUCAAAAUGUGUUUUUCUUUUUUUCCAUGCAUCCAUGCUUAAGAGCAAUUAUUCUUUUACUUGCCUGGUAACUUUGGAUAUUUUUGGUGGCAAUUUCGUCACCUUUUUCCCCCAUUGACAAGGUUAUUUUUGUGCUAUCUUACAUGUGUCAGCCCCUGAUAAAAUGGAGACUCCUAUGAAAAAUUCAUCCAUUCAAAAAGCUGUGGACUGCAGUGCCACUCCAGCGACAACAAUUAUACCCAAGAGGAUUGUGCAGCCCUCAAAGUAUAUGCGCGGGCCGUAUGUCAAAAUCAAAGCAUCCGCUGCUGUGAAUGAGUUAUACCAGAAAGUCAAACGGUUUGGCGGAGGUAGGAAGACAUCAAAGACGAAUAAGUAAGUAGCCAUGUCCCCCCCCCCCCCCCCCCCAAUUUUAUCACUGAAAUUAUUUUGCAAACAUAGUACCAUUAUUUUUUUAAUUUGUUCACAUAGCUCCAUUUUUUCUGGUUAGUCUUGAUAUAUGCAGGACAAUUGUAAUCCUGUGCAAGUCAACUUUUGCUGAGCUUGGUGAGCUUGCGAUGGCUGUUAAGCCUAGGGGAGGUUGGGGACCAAUCUUGCCGAAGCCGCCAUUGAGUACAUCCAGCGGUUUGAGUGUCCGGAAGACAAAGUAGUGGUCUCGUAUGUUGUUGCUAGGAAGCUAUCUGAGGGGCACACCCGUCACAAUCUGAUAAAUAAAUUGUUCAGUCAGGACCCUGCUUCAAAGCUCACUCGCAAAAAAACUUGUAAGUAUUUAUUUCUGCUCUUUUUUAGUCUGCAGUUACAUUUAUGUGGUAAGUUAUACAGAAGCACUGGUGGCAACUUACAAUUUUUAUAUCAAGGAUAUAAUGCUUAGAACUUGGGAAUUCAAACUUUCCUUUUUUUAUUUUCUUUAUUCAGGUUAUGUUCCCAUUCCUCCAGCUAUGGGGUGGUGAAUCAGCGAAGGAUAGAGAGGGUCAUUGGUACACUGUUUCAGUAAACACUAACCAACGGAAGUUCGAGAUUCUCGAUUCCCUCCGCGGCCCUAAUGAUGAGGAGCUGCGACUUCAUUCUGGCGAGAUGUUGCUGAACAUUAAACGAGCAUGGAGAGAGCAUUAUGCCGACACCAAGAUGCAGAUCCAGGAUUUUACGACUGAGCACAUAUCUGUGCCAAUGCAAGAUAAUAUGUAAGCGCCUUCGAAAAUAGUUGCUUUCGUUCUGUCCAUUUUUUCUGUGCUCGCGCGUUAACGUAAUAUUUAUGCCAGUGAUGAUUGUGGCUUCUACAUGCUCGAGUUCUUGAAGAAAUGGGAUGGUAGAGUUGUGCCAGCGUUUGGCCCGGAUGAGAUUGUCGAAACCAGGAAGAUUAUCACUCACCAACUGGUUACGAACCAGCAUUUCAAUGAGAAGAAGAAUGCAAAGGAAUUUAUUGAGCAACACUCAAAAUAAGGUAAGCGACGCUAAGAGAUUACUUGUUUGUGAAAUUACUGUUUCAUAGUUUCUAUUUUUUUUGUGGGCCGCAGUCUGUAUGAUUACUCAUGCAUGCUCAUGUAAGGCAAUUCAUACCCGCUUUCUGGUGGCAUAUCUUUAAAAGAAAUGCCUGGCAACUUAAUGUAAAAACAGAGAAUGCAAAUGGCAACUGUUACUGAAUCAUGCCUGGCAACUUAGUGUAACCAUUUGGCAACUGUUACUGAAUCAUGCCUGGCAACUUAGUGUAACCAUUUUUGCUGUGGACGCAUGAAUCAUCCCCACAUGUUCCACACAUCCCCUGGUGCAACUUAGUGUUCAAACAGAAUCAUUAUUUGAUGAAAAAUGGCCAACACAAAGCUGAUAUGAAAAUGAGGGAACAGCAAAAUUAACAAUGCGUUAUUUAAAAACGGUUUCAACUGUCAUAUCACUGUACGUGCUAGUUUUUAGGCAUGUCGUUCAACAACUUGCGUCUAAUUUUCCUUUUUAUAUCCUGGUUAUUAUGCUCCAGAUCAUAACACUAGCCGCCAUACAGAUAUGUAAGUAGAGGAACAUGUCUACCCACGCUCCCUCUAAUUGCAUGUCGCGUGAUUUGCCAUCUUUUGCGGGCAUGUCCUUGCGUCGUGCUCAGCAGACCUGCAGAUUUUGCAGCGGCCUCGUUUCUUCGGUGCUUUUGGUUCAAUAUCCAGGGGUGAUUUGUAGCGCUUCUCCCUGGGCCUCCCCUUUGUGGCAGUCAUUGGCGGAUCCCUAAUUCCAAACCCGUUGGAUGCAGCGGAUGCUUCUUGUGCCACAUUUUCACUUGGCGUAGCGUCCUCCAUUGUAUUCCCCCUGCCUUCUUCCCUAGCCCCUGCGGCAGAUCCUUCAGUCGCAGUCCCUGUGGCAGAUCCUACUGGCACCGCCUCCGACGUAGACCCCUGUUGCGCAGCCGCUGACACAGAUCCUUCUGGUCCAGCACCUGACGUAGGUCCUUCUGACGGAAGUCCAUGUCUCCUAGACAUUCCCAUUGCUUCUCUUGCUCUAGCAUCUUUUUCUUCUCUUUUCUUUAGCGCAGCCAGCUUGCUCCUCAUUGCUUCAUGUGCCUUUCCACUAUUUUUGUCGCAUCCUGACCAUAACAAGCGUCUUUAGCAAUAUCACUCAAACCCUUGUUCAUCGUUGCAUAACGCAUCAAUUUCCUGUAAUCUUCCGGCAUCUCCUGCUGUGCGGUGUUUAGUUGCUGUGUACCAUGCGGCCCAAGUGCGGCAUCUGCAUUCCAGGUCCACCUCUUGAGAAUGUAGUGUUGCGGCAGGACUCUGACCCCUUCAUGUUGCAUAACUCUGAGAAUGUGGCAGCACACAAUGCCGUCCCUGUCAAAUUUGCAGCAUUCACAAGAGUACAUGCCUGUUUCUAUAUCUGCCGCCAACCGGUAUGUCCUGCUGCCAUACUGCCCCGAAUGCCCCGUCAUUGACACGGCCUCAUACAUGGUCGCCCCUGUCCACUGGCAAUGGUAUGAGGUCAGCUGGAGUUCCUCUUGGAAACUACAAGCUAAAGCACAAACAAUGCCAGGAGGCUAGUGUUAGACUGGCAAGUUGGACCAUACAAGGUGGCAACUCAAAGUAUAGAACAGUGGCAACUUGGACCAUAGAACAGAUGUAACUAAUAUUAUAAAAAAAAAUGGCAACUCAAAGCCCAUAAAAGUGGUGAUUAAAAGCCUUUAACAAUGGUAGUGUGGUAACUAUAGUCAUGAACAGUGGCAACUUUGAGUAAAAAAAAUCGGCACUUCUUUCUUUUUAGAUAUGGAAUAGUGAUAAUUGGCAACUUUACUCACAUGACAGUGGCAACUUUAAUCAGAUGACAGUGGCAACUUUAAUCACAAGACAGUGGCAACUUUAAUCAGAUGACAGUGGCAACUAUAAAUAGAGUUUUGAACCUUUUUUACCUGUUGAACAUCCUCCUUGUGUAUACCAGCUUCACUUGCUCUUCAACUGUGCUGAACCCCCAUUUCUUUGGGACGGUAAGCGUUGUUUCAGCUUCAGCUUGUCUCUCCACGCCCGGUAUCUUUUGCUGCAGAACUGUGUACUGCCGUGCAAAGUCAAAUAUAGAAUUGCUGGGGCUGACAUAUCUCUUCAACACUGGGUUGAACCCCUCGCUUCGUUGUGUUGACUGUAAGAAGGGGUAGAAAUUCAUCAUGAAGUAUGCAGGGACCCAACUAGUCAUGUUUUCCCAUAGAGCUGCCAGGUCUUCAUUGUUUUGUACUUGGUACUUUUCGAUCAUCGCGUUCCAUUUCCACUCAAACUCCUCCGAUGUAAAGCUGUUGUCAAUGCAGUCUUCAAAAUCAGCAUGCAGCUCCAGGUUUCUCCCCAUGAAUCCCCCCAGCUUUUCCUGCGCUUUCUUCAUAAUGUGCCAGCGGCAAUUCCUGUGUGUCGCAUCCGGGAAAACUUCACUUAUUCCGUUCCGCAUAGCAAAGUCUUGGUCAGUUAUGAUAUUCACUGGAGCUAUCCCAUCCAUUGCUUCCAAGAAUGUUUUGAAUAGCCACACAAAGCUCAAGGUGUCUUCGUUCCUCAGGAAACCACAGCCAAACUGAACGGACUGCCCAUGGUUGUUUAUACCAAUAAAGGUGCGCAGGGCAUAUUGUAUUUGUUUGUCAAAUAAGUUGUGUCAAAGGAGAUGCAGUUGCUGUAAUAUUUGUACGACCUUCUUGCUUCUCCAUCGACCCAAUACAAGUUGAUAACUCUGUCCUCAUCAUCCAGCUUGAUGCUAUAAAAAAAGUCACCGUCCUCCUUCUUGAGCUGUUCGAAAUACGGAAGCAUGUGCUGCAUGUCCAUCACAGUUUGUUCCCUCUGCAGCGCUGCCCUGAAGUUAGCCAUGUCUGUCCUCGUGUAAGUAAGAUCGUUCAGUGUGCCAUGGAGGUGGGAUAGGAGCUGCAUCAUUUGGCUCGUCCGGAGGUUGCAUUCAUGUAGUAGUUUGACAAACUAUCUUUCCUCUCUUGGCAAGUGUCGGUGUGACCUCAAGUAUUUGCACAUAUCAAACUUUUUGAUCACGGGGUGAUUAUGUUCUUCCUCAAAUUUUUCCACGAUAUAUGCCGCACCAUCAAGCUUAAUCUUCAUUCUUGCACGGAAUCCUGUUCUUUCUGUUAUGCCUCUCUUCCUUUUUGGAACAACUGACUCGGGCUUCUGUGUGUGAAGCGACCGCCCCCGUACACGGGUUCGAUCUCUGUGCUUUAGUGCUAGUCCCUGGAUCGACUCACUACCACACACAGUUUCAAAAUGUAAUAUCAUAGAACAAAGGUCUCAAUAUUACAACGUAUCAUCCAGAAUUUAAAAGUACUUACAACUCGCAUAACUCCAUGGGUUAGCUGGAAUAAAACAACUGUUUUGCAAUGGAAAACGAAAGAUACAAGGGCUACAUCAACACCACGGUGAAAGCGUGUUGGAAUAUAGGCCCGUAACCCAAACAAGCAGUACGCACAUCUUACUCGUCGUCGGUGCUUCCUGCAUCAUUAAACGAUGCAGGCACUAGGGUCACUACAUUGAAUAUAUUGGCAAGAUUCAUCAGGAGAUAUAUCAGAACCUACCAAGUAUAUACAUAAUGUGGAAAAGUGGGGUUCAAGGUUAUUUGCAUAAAAGCUUUGUUAUUUAAUCCUAUCUUUUAAACAAAUAGAUUUUAUCACUAUUGGACAUGGGGUAAACACACCCAUGCUCCUAUUAUACUAAGGACAUUGAGUAGACACAUCAAUGCUCCUAAAACCCAAGUUCAAACCAUUCAUUUUAUUAAGAAAUUAGAAAGAGUGAGACUUUCCUUACAGCUCCACAUCUAGUUGCUCAAAUUGUCCAGUGCCGGGGACACGGCUAAGUACUUAGUUUUGACGCUCUCGAGAGUUUGUACACAUGCCCCACAAGAAACCGACGUGUUAAUCCCUUGCUCUCCUCAGGGUAGAGUAGCAACGGCAUCGAUUAUGAGAUUUUCAGAGGUAAUUCCCUAAACCACGAGAGAAUCACGCUCCCCCUACACAGCUACCUCAGUACAAUUCCUCGGGUCUAGGUUCAUACAACUUACUCUUGUCUCGCCAGAGCCCAUAUAGCAUUGUGGUUGUACUGGAAGCUGCUACAUAGGAAACUAGUCCAGCCUCUGUUACCCCAGGUGGAAUUCCACAUUUGCAACGUAGGCGCUGUAACAACCCAAGUGCAACUUUUACAUUUAAACCCUUGUUUGGACCUGGUUGUAAUUUAAUUUGUGUUGCAUAACAUGUUACAUUUGCAUCCAUGCCAUGCCAGGUCUAUUAUUUGGGUCAGAUGAGUUUUAAAUUUGCAUCUCAACUUGUGGUUUGAAUCCUUGUUGUUUGAAUUUGCUAGAAGAUUCAAAUAUGAAUCACCCUUCUUUGAGUUUGAAUUCUUUUCCCUCUAUUUUGCAAAUGAGAUUCAAAUGGGUUUUGUUUUAAACCUUUAACCCCAUUUGAAUAUUUCCAAAUAGUAGUGCCAUAUUUGAAUUCUUCUACUUCUCAGCUUUUCAAAAUGGUAUUUGAAAUUUGAAUCCAAGAACUAUUUGCAAAAAAUAAAAACAGAAAAAGGAAAAAAAGAAAAAUAAAAAGAAAUCUUACCCCGCUUACCUUUGGCCCGAGCCGGCCCAGCGCCGCAGCCCACUUCUCCCGUGCGUGCUCCCCGCAGCGCGGCCGCGCCACCGGCUCGGCCCAGCAGCGCAGGCCUCAGCCCCACAGCCUCGCGCAGCGCCCGCUUGUCGCUUCCCCGCAGCGAAAGCGCAUUCUUUGGAAUACGCUUUGUCUCACAGGCUUUCUUCCACCUCUACUUUCUUCCUCCCGGCCGGUGAGCCCCCCCGAGCGCCACGUCGACGUGACAAUGACAACCACCCGCGCCCGCACCCCUACUUAAGCUGCGCCGCACCUCCUCCCUUCCCUAGCGCCAGGCAAACCCUAGCUAGGGUUUCCUCUCCCCCAUCUCUUGCGCCACCGCCGCCGCUCCGUUCGGGCCGUGGACGCCGCCGUGCGGCGCCGUCGUCUCCGACCUCGUCGAGCCGAGCCGAGCCGAGCGCGUCACGAGCUUCGCUUCUUCUUCCUCUUCGUCCGCGUGCAAGGUAUUUGACGAAGGGCGCCUGCAGCGACGCCUAGGACAACUUCUCCUCUUCGGCCGCCGGCGAGUUCUUCCCAAAUUCCGGCGCCGACGAGCAUCUCCGGGGACCAUCUUCUGCACGGUGAGCUCCGCCUUGUCGAUGCGCAUCCGUCGCGACCUCCCUCUCUCUCUAGUUCUCUCUGUAGAGCGUGCCCAACGCGACCGCGCCCUGGAACGCCACCGGCGAGCGUCGCCUCCAUGUCGCGCGCGCGUGCUAGGAGGGCUUGCGCGCUAGCCUUCGUGCUAGCUUGCCUACGUGAUGUGUCGGGACGAAAAGGCCCAGCCUUGGGAACCUCCGCCGCUCGUUUGGUCGCCGGUGUUCAUGCCAUGCCGUGGCCACCGCGCGUGUACGCUACCUGUCAGUUUGCGCCAGGUUAAAAUGGCGUGCGCCCUAUCUUUGUUGAGAUCCGUCCGCCGUCCCACCUGGCUAGCUCACUCGUCUGUUCGCUCCGCGCCGACCCAACCCGGGUUCGAUCUCCCGUGGCCGCAGGGGCAAAAUCCCCAAAUUUUUGUGCUUAAACCGGCCAGUGACAGGUGGGCCCCAUGGACCCACCUGUCAGUCGCCUGGUGCACCGAUGCGCCCGGUGGACCGAGCCCAUGCGGUUCCGAGUGGUUUCUUUUUGGUUUUGUUUAAAUGCAUAAAUGGAGUUGAUCUUGUUUAAAUCCUAGAAAAUGCAUGCUAUGUCCAAUUUGAGAAAACCAUAUAUGUUUUGGAAUCAGAAAAAUGCAAGGAAUUUAACCGUGCAGUUAGAAUUACAUUUUUGAGGUUUCAAAUUUCAAAUCUAUCCCAGAUUUGAAAUUCAAAAGUAUGAACUUGUUUAGUCUCUAGUUUAAAAUGGGUAACCCUUCUGUAAUUAGUGUAAACAUCUAAGUUGAUCAUUGUAACUUGUAGAACACCGUAGCAUACUUGGUUAGGCCACACUGUUUACCAUGUUCUAAUCAUCUAAUGGUUAACUUUGUUGUUAAAUGGAAUCAUUUCACUUGCAUAUGGUCGCAUCAUGUAGUCACAUGACGUCUCAUGUUGUAAUGUGCAUUGCACCUAUGAAUGGUUACUUAUUUGCGUACUGUGUGAUUUGGUUCUUACGAUAGCGACUCCGACUUACUCCGUCGACGAUCCAGGUUCCCACACUUCUUUGGAUCCCCUCUCUCGGUGCCCAGCGACCGAGAAUCCAGGCAAGCAGCCAUUCCUUGAACGUGUUGAUUAUACCAAUGCCUCUCUCUCAUUCUUGCAUUAAGUUGCGUUCUUGGUUCUUGUCACGAUGCUUCUAGGACUGCAUAGCUUUAGUCAGCUCUACUCAAAUGCCUGUUGUCUUGUUCUUUGUCCUAUUACCAUGUCACAUGUUUGUUAUUGCCCUAGUUGGUCAUUAGAAGUCUGCUUAGAUUGCUGGUCUGGUGUCCUUACUUGGGGUUAUACUUCUGCUACAUCCACAUGCUACUUUUCUGUAUUUAAUUGCAAUUGUUAAACUGUGAUAUGAUGUUAAAAUGCAACAAGGCAACGAUGGGAGGCCGUGCUCUAACGCAUUGGUGUUUUGUUCCAUUGGCGCCGACCUAAGGACCGAGUUUUCGUUUUCGUCGACCCAAUAAACUUCGCGCGAACCGCUCGUGGGAGAAUAUAUGGGUUCCCCCUCGGCUUAGUACUCGUUUCAUAGCUCUUCCAGGGGCCACAUAGUUCGGGCGUUCCAUUUGGCAUAUCGCAUUACACUGGUGUUGUGUUUUGGAGACUUGUUGGUGACUUUGCAUACAUAUAGGAUUGCGGCACUAGUCUGGAGUGGUUAUUCUGCGGACACUAAACCACUACCAGCUGUCCUCACAACUCUUGAGUCCGCAUGACGCUUCGGCCGGGCUCUCGUUUCGGAUUAGACUUAGUUGGGUGGUCCCCUGGAUUAGUUGUGGGGCUUGGAAACGUCGUGUCGCCCAAUCCUGUCGACACACGUCUUUGUGUGUUCCUACUCGAGUGGCAACAAGGGUUGGACGGACGUGUACGGGUAAAUUGGCAUGCCCUGCAGGGAUAAAUCUUUCGGAAAGCCGUGUUCGCGGUCAUGGACGACUUGGUUGGUCAUUACUUGAUCAUAGAGAACUCAAUCAAUUUAAUUAACUUCAUCUCUUAAACUUGAGUAGUAAUUAGCCUUAAUCAUGGAUAUGCUUAAACUUGUUUAAGUGUGAGUGCCAUUGGAUCAUUUCCUCACAAGGGGUUGAGGGGGUGAUAAGAGGUUGUGUUUGCUUGGUGUUAGUUGAUAGAUCAUCACCUCACUUGGUAGACGCUUCUUAUCUUCUAACUAGACGAUGUCAUUAGUGUGUCUCUCCAGAUAUAUCGCUGUUGCAUAACCCACCAUAUUAUCCAUCCUUUGAGACUUGUUGCAUAUCUAGUUUAGAUCUUCCGUAAGUCUUGCGAGUACGUUGUACUCAGUUGCUUUGCAACGUUGUUUUCUCCAGAGUUUCCGGAGGAACAGGUGAGUGGUUACUUUGUGGAGUUUGACGACGACAACUUCGACGUUUAGCCAGAAGAUUCCAGAGCAGGGUUCUGUGAACUUGUGGCGGCUCUCCAUUUUCAGUUUCAGCCUCUUAGGCAAUAAUUGUAAGUUGUCCGUACUCGGGCAUAAUUUGCUUCCGCUGGUGUAAUGAUGAUUGUGGACAUGUGUCCGUGAGUUGUAAUAACUUGGUAUUUUGCUCUAUGUAUGAGCUUGACUUAAUUCUUGAGUCUUAGAGCGAUGUAAUGGUAUCUUGGUUGUUCCAAACUGCGGUGAACACAUUGCGUGUAUGUUGUGAAGUGUUCAUCGUAGGGAGGCACUGGGACUUGAUUUAUGCGCGAGUUAGCAUUUGGGGCUAAAUUGCAUAAAUUCAGUCUCGGGGUCUCACAGGCGCUCCCCCGAAUCCUCGGGAGAGACAUCCAUGGACGAUCCAUUCCUGAAUCCACGGGAACUCGACUCAGAGGGACCCAUAGAAAUGGACCUGACGUCGCUAAUCCUCAAAGCAGCCCACCCAGGAUGGUUCAUUGGAUUAAUUGUUUUGCCUUACAUCUAACAAAACAUUUCAUAUCACCAAAGGCAUAGCAAUAUCAUAAUGUAGUUAUUUACCCCGUGAUACUACCAUAGCCUAGCAUUCAAUUACAAUCGAUGGCAAAUUGGUGGCAAGGUAAUGGCGAGGGUAAACUAUACUACCUGGGAUUUAUAUCUAGCAUAGAGGUACAAGUAAUAAACUUAAUGCAUCUAAUAAAACAACUAGUGCAUAGUAAAAUAAUUGAGAAAUGAUCAAAGUGAAUUUUCCUUGUCCAGAGUUGUCGUGGUUAUCACAUUCUUCGCAACAACAGGGAUUACACUCCACAUAAUCUAAAAUAAAAGAAAGCAUACACACAAUAAACACAACACAAAACAAAAAUAUGCUAUGAUGCAUAUGCCAUGAUGAUGCACAAUUGGUUACUUCUAACUGUAACAAAUUUUGUUUCUGUUUUGGAAAGCUUCUCAAAAGAUUUGAACAAAUUAUACAAUAAUGAAGAGGUAAUUAAUAUGCAUGAAACAAGGAUAGGUUUUAAUUAAAAGAUUAUAUGUUUUUUUUGCAAUAGAGCAAGAUUUAAACUUGUAUGCCAUUAUCAUUACAAAAUAAUUUCUCUUCUGGUCCUAAUGGACAGAGAACAUGCUCAAUUUAUUUUCCCGCAAGCUAACAUGCUCAAUUUUUUUUUGAAAUAAUUCAUUCGAAAUUUAAAUCAUAUUCAACCAUUCUGUAUUUUGCUUCUGGCAAAGUUGUUCAAAAUUGAAAUUGGAUUAUGCCAAAAUAUUCUACAAGUUGUGACGAUUCCAGAAAGGUGCGGAUCAUAAUUUUUGGACAAGCGGUUUAAAAGUUAUGAUGCUUUGAAGUUACAGGGGUUUUUCUUCAAAGUGCAAUUUUAAUUUCGGCCGAAAAAGAAAAUAAAAAGCUUCGCCACGUGGCGUCCCGGGAUUGGACCGGUUCGGUGAGAACUAGGGUUUACCCUGGCGGCGUGGUGGCCGGACUUGGGGAAGACGGGCGGCUGUUGGCGGCUCGGGCUCAGCUCGGGGCGGCUCGGCAGACGGGCGCGGGCGGCGCGGUCGGGGACGGCGCGGGGCGACGCGGCGGGCGGACGGCGGCGGCCGACGGCGGUUCGGGCGGUGCUGCAAAAGCAAAUGCACACGCGUCACGCGAUGCGGGAGAGAGAGAUUGGAUUGCGGGGAGAGGGUUGGCGGCUCGGCUUCCUCACCGGAACGGCGUCGGCGGCGACGAUGACGGUGGCGGCAGAAGAGAACUUCGGCGAGAAAUCAGAGAAUAACCGGCACAUAAUCGAUGGGGAAACUGGGGGAAUAGAAGGAGAAAAGGAAGGGGCUCGAGAUGACGCGCGGGGUUUCGGGGGUAGAGGCUCGUGCACGGAGAAAUCGGGGCGAAACCGUGGCGUGCUUGGGCGGACGUGGCUGUGAAGAUAGGCUUGGCAGUUGGAGGAAGAAGGAGGCGUGGGGCCUGUUGGUCAGUGGCCGAGCGGCUCGGAGCGCGCGGCUGGGUCGGGAGGGCUCGGGCCGGGCCGUUCCGGUUCGGUCCGUUUUUUCCUUUUUUUUUCUAUUUUCUGAUUUUGAACACAACUUUUGAUUUAGAGCUCCAAAUCACUCCAAAUAAAAUGCGACAAAAUUUGUAAAAUCAUAUCUUCAUAUGAUCUAACUUUUGGGACAAGAAUUUCCUCAAAGUAAAAUAUUUAAAAAUACAUUUGCCUAUAAAAUGGCUUCUAGGUCCUUUUAGGCUAUCAAAAUAAUUUCAAAAGCAAAUUUAUGGGGUAGCUUUAUAUAAGCAUUAAAUCCCUUUUAUGCCAAUACCGUCAUGGGUUGGAACACAAAUGCUCAAAAGCAAGAUCAAAGCCCAAGUUCAAGUAAAAGCAAGAGUGGCAUGAUGCUUAUGAUACGCAAUGCAUAUGAAGGUUUUGAAAAUUGGGAUGUUACAGACAUAACCCCUUAAGAUGAAUCUCGUCCUCGAGAUUUCUGUUGGUUAGCAAAAAGGUGUGGGUGGUCUUCUCGAAGAUCAUCCUCGCGUUCCCACGUAGCUUCUUCUUCGGUCUGGUGAUUCCACUGAACCUUGCAGAAUUUGAUGGUCUUGAAACGGGUAUGUCUUUCAGCUGUUUCUAAGACCUGGUUGGUUCUCUUUGAAUCUCCACUUCAUCAAGUGGAACUGUAUGCCUUAGUGGCGUAUCAGCCAUUUUUGGGUGACACUUCUUUAAGUGCGACACGUGGAACACGUCGUGGACACUUGUCAACACUUCAGGUAACUCCAACUUGUAAGCUACCUCUACUUGGCGUGCUAAAACCUUGUAGGGUCCAAUAAAGCGUGGCGCUAAUUUUCCUUUAAUCCCAAAUCUUUUAACUCUGCGUAUCGGGGAAACUCUGAGAUAUGCUCUGUCACCAACCUCAUAGGUGACCUCCCUUCGCUUGGUAUCUGCAUAACUCUUUUGCCUGGACUGAGCUAUCUUAAGUCUGUCUCAAAUCAGCCUGACUUUCUCUUCGGCAUCCUUUAUCAUGUCGGGUCCAAAUAGGCUACGGUCUCCUACUCCAUCCCAUAGCAAAGGUGUCCUGCAUUUCUUGCCAUACAGGGCUUCAAACGGUGCCAUUCCAAUACUCGCUUGAAAACUGUUGUUGUCAGAGAAUUUUGCAUAUGGUAAAUUCUCAUCCCAGCUAGAUCCAUAGUCCAGAGCGCAAGCUCUUAACAUAUCCUCGAGGAUUUGGUUCACUCUCUCUGUUUGUCCAUCCGUCUGUGGAUGAAAUGCUGUGCUAAACUCUAGUCUCGUGCCUAGAGACUCGUGCAACUGUCCCCAGAAUCUUGAGGUAAAUUGGGUACCUCUGUCUGAGACGAUUUCCUUGGGAACUCCGUGUAGGCAUACAAUCCUAGACAUAUAGCGUUUGGCCAACUGUGCACUUGUAUAGGUGGUCUUCACAGGUAUGAAAUGGGCAACCUUGGUGAAACGGUCAACUACCACCCAUAUUGAAUCAUAACCCGAUCUUGUCCUUGGCAAGCCAGUGAUGAAAUCCAUGGCUACCUUAUCCCAUUUUUGUCGUCGCAUGGGGCUCCGACUUUGGGGGCAUGCUGGCACACCCUCUUUUAGGUUCGGCAGGGGCGUCGGGGAUCGCUCCGGCGAUCGCCGGCGUGGCCGAUGGCGUAUGCGAACUGCAAAGUAAGGUACCCAGGAUGCAUGCAAGCUAAGGACACAUGCACACACUUUUUUACCCAGGUUCGGGCCACCCGGAGGUGUAAAACCCUACGUCCUGCCUGUCUGAGCUGGUAUUAUCACAAAACCAAGUGUUUACAGGUUGCCGGGGAGGGUUCCCGGGUACUCUCUCUCUUCUGGCUAAACGUGCUAACCAGCCAAAGACUGAAUGACCGAAAAACCAACCCUUUGACCACUAGCGGGGGUCCUCCUUUUAUAGCCAAGGGGAUGCCACAGGUGCCAUGAUGCAUGGAUUACAAGUGGCGAGCAGGGAGACAGGGCAACUCCCCUUCGAUGCGCUGGGGGCAUGCAUGAGUGCCAAGUCCUCAGCUAGGAACCUAAGGCCUAAGAACUAGCUCUGGACAGCCACUGUUCACUCGACUGGACGGGUAACUUCCCUCCUAUCGGUCCAUUAAAUGCGCCGUGCACUUCACUCCUUGCCUUGACAGAACUGCGCGCGGGGUGCCUGACGCGCGCCCACGUGGGCGCCGCUACUCUGCCUGUUGGGGCCCGCCCUCACGAUGGGGACCUUCGCCCGGGAACCCCCCUCCCGGCAAGUGACUUCUCGAGAGGUGACCAGGCGGGAAUAUUCCCCGAAGCCCCGCUAGCCCUUUCGGGCUGGUGGCUUGCCGGGUAGCACGCUAACUGCUUCCCGGGGUGAUGCCUUCCCAGGAAUUCGGCGAUGCGACCCACGUGUCGCGCGACGGUGGUACCCCUGGAGCCACUGGUGCGACAGUAGCCCCAGGGCGUGGGCCGGCAACACCUGUUCCUGGGUGAGAUCUUCCCUUGGCCAGUUGCCGGGCGACGCCCCAACCGACGCGUGGGUCCCGACUCGGCCCGGGCCCGCGUCUCUUCAUUGCCCUUCGUACCUUGCCGUUGCUGAUGGAGUAGUGGGUGCAUGAUUUCCGCCAUAACCUUCCCCUCUGAUUAGGAAGUUAAGGCCACUCCCCGCAUUAUUCCCUUUGAUUAGGAGUUAUCCCCGCGCACCCGUAGGAUGCGGAACCGGCCGUUACCAAACGGCCAGGUGCUAUAAAGAUUUUAUUGCUAUCCCAAGGGGGAAAACACCUUGCCCACACAGCCUUCGCCUCCAUAGCCUUCGCCUAAGUGUUCUUGCAAACUUCUGCUCGUACUCCCCAUGGCGCCUCCCACCACCAGGAAGGGAAAAGAGGGGAAGGCCCCCGGGAAGGCGGCGGCGGGCAGGAGCGAAGCGGCCGCCUUGGCGGCCGUCAAAAGAGACCGGAAGAAGCGGGAGAUGAGGGCAUCGUUGGCCUUCUACCGGCCGGGCUACAACGGCGAGGCGCUGGCCAAGGUCCAGCACGCCGUCGCUUCCCCGUUCAACGAGCACGGGGGGACCCGCAUCUUCCCGGCGGGCGCCGAGCACCAGGACAACGACUUCCGGGUGUUCGGGCGCUUCAUCCUCACCGGGCUGGUGCCGCCGUUCUCGCUGUUCCUUCACGCGUUGAUGGAGUCGUACCAGCUGCGGGUGGCGCACUUCACCCCACGUCGCUCUUCCUCCUCGCCACCUUCCAAUUCCUCUGCGAAGCAUUCGUGGGGGUGGUGCCGUCGGUGGCGCUCUUCCGUCACUAUUUCUACCCUCGGACCGACAACCGGAAAGCGAUGUCGUCGGGGGUGGUGUUCCGUGCUCGCGACCAGAUGAAGUUUGAAUUCAUCAUCCGGUCGGGGAAGAAGAUUGAGAAGGAGUGGCGGGGCGACUGGUGCUGGGUCCGAGUGGAAGAUCCCCAAGAGUUCAUCCUCUCGCCCACGGAGCUGCCGCAACCUUACGGCGGCUGGCAGGACAGGUACCACCGCGACGCCGAGCUCCGCCCCAUUGUGGAAAAGAUCAAGGCACUGCGGUUGGCGGGGCUGACCAACGUGGACGUGGCGCGCACCUUCAUCAACCGGCGCAUCGCGCCACUCCAACUGCGCUCCCGGCCCACGUGGAUGUACACGGGUCCCGGGGACAGCGCACGCCUCCAGCAGGAUGGCAUGGAUUUGGAAACCCUCAGGACGUGGGUGAGGGGAAUCUCCGGCGAAACCUUCCAAUCGAUGAAGUUCCCGCCGGGGGUCUUCUCCCUCCAUGCCGGUGUUGCGGCGCUCAACGACAUCAUCGCCGCCUUCCCGCCCUUCAACGAGUGGGGGUUGAUGGACGAUACCCCCACCCGGACCACUUGCGCCCCCUGCCAGCGCCUCGCGGGAAGCAGGUGCUCGAGGGGAGCGGGGGCGAGUCGGAGGUUAGCUGGCCCCCCCUCCAGUCCCUGGACGACGAGGCGGGCUAGUCUGCAGCGUCCUCGGAAGUCGUCCCCGUGGACGACGACGAUGACGAGGACAGCGACGAUGUGCCCCUGGUUGUUCGGCGAUCAAGGGCGUUCGCAGCGGCCGCAACCACCUUCUCGGCAGCUGCGGCGGCAUCUUCUCCAUCAGCGACAUCUGUAGCGUUUCGCUAACUGUGCGCUAGUGUAAGUGGUCUUUACCAGUAUGAAGUGGGCAACCUUGGUCAAACGGUCAACCACUACCCAAAUGGAAUCAUAUCCUAAUCUGGUCCUUGGUAAACCGGUGAUAAAGUCCAUGCCAACUUUAUCCCAUUUCUAGUUCGGUAUAGGCAAUGGUCUUAGCAAUCCUGCUGGUUUCUGGUGCUCUGCCUUAACUUUACUGCACACAUCGUACAAGGCAAUGAACUCAGCGAUGUCUCGCUUCAAUCCGAACCACCAAAAUGUUUCCUUGAGGUCCAUGUACAUCUUCGUGUUUCCAGGGUGGAUUGAGUAUGGGGAGUCGUGGGCUUCUUGCAAAAUCAGCUUUCUGAUUUCUGGAUCCUGCGGUACACAAAUGCGUUUACCGAACCAUAUGAUUCCUUGGUCAUCCUCACUAAAAUCCUUGGCUUUUCCGAUAACCAUAUUCUCUUUCAUUACCUUUAUUUUCGAAUCACCUGUCUGUGCUUCUCUAAUCUUAUCUAGCAGUGCGGGCUGCACUUCCAUGGUCGCUAGAUAUCCUUCCGGUACUAUCUCCAGUCUGAGGUCUUUGAACUGUUCGCACAACUCUGGUGGUAAUUCUCUUACUGUCAGUCCAUUCAAAUAGCCCUUACGGCUCAAAGCGUCGGUUACCACGUUAGCCUUGCCUGGAUGGUAUUGCAAAUUCAGAUUAUAAUCUUUUAUCAGCUCUAACCCUCUUCUCUGCCUCGGAUUCAGCUCCUUUUGGGUGAAAAUGUACUUCAGGCUCUUGUGUUUCGUCAUGGGUUUGGCAAUCUUGGAGAAGUUCUCAAUGAAUCUCCGAUAAUAUCCGGCGAGUCCUAGGAUACUGCGGAUAUCUUCAACACUAUUAGGUGACUCCCAUUCUGUAACAGCGGUCACCUUAGCUGGGUCGACAGCUACUCCUGCUCCUGACACGAUGUGUCCGAGGAAACUGACUUCUGACAACCAAAAGUCACACUUGCUGAAGUUGGCAUACAACUUGUGCGCUCUCAGCUUCUCUAAAAUCAUGCGCAGAUGCUGCUCAUGCUCUUCCUUGCUCUUGGAAUAGAUCAAAAUGUCAUCGAUGAACACUACGACAAACUUGUCCAAGAAUUCCAUAAACACCUUGUUCAUCAUGUUCGUGAAGUAUGCUGGUGCGUUGGUCAAACCAAAGGGCAUCACGGUAUACUCAUAAAGUCCAUACCUAGUGGUGAAUGCCGCCUUGGGUAUAUCCAUCUCUCGGAUUUUCAGCUGAAAAUACCCUGAUCGCAGAUCGAUCUUUGAGAACACACAGGCUCCUUCCAACUGGUCGAAAAGAUCGUUGAUGAUAGGCAAGGGGUAUUUAUUCUUUAUCGUCACCUCAUUUUUGACCGAUAAUCGAUACACAUCCGCUGGCUCUUGUCCUUCUUCUCCACAAACAGGACAGGUGCUCCCCAGGGUGAUGAACUGGGGCGGAUGAAACCUUUCGCUAACUGUUCAGCUAGCUGCUUCGUUAAUUCUUUCAACUCAUCCACAGCCAUCUUAUAUGGUCUCUUGGCUAUGGGUCCACUUCCAGGCAUCAAUUCGAUGAGAAACUCUACAUCAUUGUCUGGUGGCGUGCCUGGUAACUCUUCGGGGAAUACAUCCGGGUACUCAUUCACUACUGGAACCUUGUCCAGGCUAACCCCCUUAAGAGAAUUGACCUUAGGUCUCUUAAGUUCGAAAACAGACUUGAAACAGAUUCUCUUAUUCUCUGGGGUGGUGAGGGUGAUGGUCCUUCUGACACAGUCUAUGAGUCCCUCAUGCUUGGCCAGCCAAUCCAUUUCUAAGAUGACAUCCAAACCCUUGGACCAUCUUCAGGCAAUCAUCUGUGUAGUGGCCCGUCUUGUGGCACUUGAAAAAUUCCACUUGACUCAGGUCAAACUGGGUGAAGUCUUCAUUCUGAUUCUGUCCGUUGUUGUUUCUACUGCCCCGACCAAUGGUGUUCCCUUUUCCAUGGUUAAUGCCCUCGUGCUGGUGUCGGUGUCCAUUCCCCAUGAUAGUGCUCAUGGUGGCCAUUCCCUCCAUGGAUGUGGUGGUGGUGGUGGCUGUUGUUGUUGGGGGCACGUCUUGGAGGCAUUUGUUUAGGGUAGAAUAGGUGAGGAAUAAUAGACAGAGUAGAGCUAAGGAUGUCUAAACCCCCAAAACAAGAUAUAACUCAAGCAUAAAUCAAUCAUACACUCAAUCAAUCACAAAAAAAAUAAUUUUUUUUGGAAAUUAUAGCAAAAACACACUUGUUCAUGAUGGGGUGCUGCCCAUAAGAAAAUAGUACGGGAAAAAUGCAAUCGAUCUACAUUGCCAUACACAUAGAUUGUAUGAUCAAUGACUAACUCGCAAAGCUGAUAACGAAAGGAAAAGCUAAAGUCUGGCAGGCAUCGAGGCUAGGGAGGUGGGGCUGAUGUCGCGGCUCCAUUCACCCUCUUCCUCUUGGAGCGGGUGUUGGUGGCAGGGGUGUCCAUCUCGUGGACCUCCUGGGACUCCUCCUCCUCAGUCGGUUCCUCCUCCUGUGGUACCACCUCCUGAUCCUGUGGUGGAGGUGGGGCCUGGUCUGGUGUCGGUAAGGCGGUUGGUGCUGGCUCGGUGGCGUCUGGGGCUGCUGCGGCUUCGGCUGGGGUGAUGGCCUCGAGGAACGUCUUGAACUUCUCACGGUAGAAACGAGCUUGGUCCCUCUCAUACAGCAACUGAUUGAUGACUCCUUCCAUAUUGAUGGCAGUGUUCUGCAACAAUGCCUUGUCCUCUUGCCACUGAGUCUUCUCCUCCAGCAGAUGACCGACUAGCUUCUCAGCAUCGUCAGUCCUGGUCAUCUCCUCACCAAGGCAGGUCUCCAGAUCCUCGGUGUUCUUCUCCAUGCUCUCAAACUGGGCAGCCACCUCGGACACCUCCUGGUCGUCGGCUGCUGGCAGGGCCUGGCACGUGUGGUCCCGCCUUCCAAAGAGACGGAAGGGAGAGGUCUCGGGAAACUCGUGCCGAUAGUUCCGGCACACCUGCGCGAAGGCGCACUGCAUGGCGAACUGAAGGCCUUGCUCGAAGGUGGGGUAGCGGGCGAUGAAGGUGAUAUCCUGUGUGGCAGGCGCGAUCUCACGCCCACGAAUCUUUGCCUCAAUCUGCCAUCGGGGCUGCCGUCCCUCGGGUGCGGCGGUCUCGACGCGGCCUCUGAACCUGGGUGGUGGCAGGUCAAGAGACGCACACAGUGCCGCGAAAGGGGCACUGAACAACUGGUCGUCGUCCGUGGAGGGGUAGUAGACUCUGGUGAACGGCGGUACAUUGCCGAACGGUGUUGGGCUUCCCAUUUAUAGAAAACAAGAAAGGAAGGUAAGGGAGUAUCAGUGACAUGAUCGAAAUGGUCGAAUGUAUGUAAAAAUAAAUUAAGGGUAGUAGAGUGGGAGUAAAGUGGAAAUCUUUAAUAUAAUUGGUGGAAUUGCAAAAUAAAACUGGAUGCAUAAUAUGUGAAAAAACAUAGUAACAUGAUUAUGGUGGUGGAUGGUGCAAUAAAAUAACUAUGUAUUUGUGGAAUAGUAAAAGAAUCAUGUAUUUGUGGUAUAAUGCAUAAUAUUUGGUGUAUGUGUGGAAUAAAAACAAUAAACAUGUCAUGCAUAUGUAAGAUAUAAAUGCAGUGUAUCAGAUGAAUAGGGAUAAGGAGUAAAACAUUUGUAUAUAAAUAGAUCAGAUAGGGAUAAGAAAUAAUCCUAAGGUUUGGUCUUUGGUUUUGUCUUAUCCUAAUCCAAACUAUGGUCAUGUUCCUACAGGCAACACAUUGCUCUGAUACCAUCAGAAGCGAUCCCCCCCUUUCACAAGGGUUCGAUCUCCGUGCUUAUUUGUGCUAGUCCUUGGAUCGACUCACUAGCACACACAGUUCAAGAUGUAAUACCAAGAUACAAAGGUCAAAAGUACUUUAUUACAUCGUAUCAUCCAGAACUUAAAUUCUACUUACAAACUUGCAUGACCUCAUAGGCCAGCAUAAACAAAUAUUGUUCAAAAACCAUGAUAACAUUGUAUCAUAAAGCUGCAGCGGAAAGGUAGAGCAAAUGGGCCUCAUCUACUCCCAGAGGAGAGAGCAUGUUGGAAUUUAAGCACAUGACCCAAAUAACAUCGACGAACCUCACUCUUCAUCUGAUUCACCUGCAUUAUUAAUUGCAGCCACUACGUGGUCAAUACAUUGAAUGUAUUGGCAAGUUCACCUGGAAGUUAUAACAGAUCCUAUCAAAUAUAUGCCAUUGAGGUAUAGUGGGGUUCAGGCUUUAUGGCGUGAUAGCAAGACAUAGUUUAUCCUACUACAAUUGAAUGUUACAAUAUUGUUAACUAAUGUACACGGGAUAGAAACACCCAUGCUCCUAUUAACCUAGAGCACAUUGAGUAGCAACGGCAUCGACUACAGGAAUUUUCAGAACAUAAUCCCCAUACCACCUUAGGGACGCGCCCCCACCUACCCACCUUUUAUAAAUAAACCUUAUUGGUUUGAAGAUCCAAAUCUCAAAUGGGUGUAAACCCUAGGGUUUAAUUUGAAAUAAAAUCUUUUAAAGCCUUUUGAGAUUCAAAUUUGAAUUCAAAUAUGCAAUUGUGGCAUGAUGUUCAUGAAUGCAAUGCACAUGUAAAAGUUUGAAAUUUUGGGAUGUUACACCUGGCCCCCACGGGGGCGGGGCCGGCGACUGGUAUGUCCCCUUCGCUCCUCCUUUGCUGCACUUUCAGUUGUCAGUUAACCGUUAAUCAUGCAGACGUACCUUCAUUUUCAGCAAGCAGCAGUUCGCCCGCGACAAGUCUCUCGGGGGCUCCCGCAGGGAUGGACGAGGGGGUGGAAGCUUCCCCUGCAAGUCCCACGGCCUAGCAAUGUAACCACCUCGAUCGCCCUUGUCCGCUUCCGGCAACUCCUUUGCCUGCCGAUCUUCAUGUUCCUUGUUGUUCUAGGCAUAAGCGCGCCCGCACCGGGAGCAGGCGCUACCGUUGUUGAUCUCGACCCCGAUGUCGAGAUCACGGAGGUGGCGGAGGAGCCGGCAUCAACUCCCGCACCAAGCCCUGCUUCGCCGGCCACGGCGGUAGCGUUGACCACCGCCACGGCCGAAACGGCGUCUGGCGACGCGCCAGCAGCCGUGGGUGCGGCUGGCGAGGACUUGUCGGCCGCCCAGCAGGGGACCUGGCGGCACCUGCCGGGGGCACGGUGGCUUCCCCAGCCCCCGAGUCCCCGAGCGCGGGUGAACUGCUGCUCACAGCGUCCUCGCGACGACCCCCACCUAUUGAGGCGCUCUCUAGGGGAAUGCGGCAGGGACACUAUGGUAGUGCACCCAUGGGCGCCGAGCGCGAAUGGCAUGCACCGCCCUAGUGUCUCCACGGCAACCCCUGCUCCUUACGGAGGUGCCCAUUGAAGGGGUACGUCGGGAGCACUGUGACAGUGCACCCGUCGGCGCCAAGCGCGGAUGGAAUGCACCCCCACAGUGCUUCCGCGGCAGCCCUUGCCCUGGAGUCGCUCACCACAGGAGGUGCGGCGAGGACACGGUGGCAGUGCACCCGCCGGUGCAGACAGGAAGCUCUUCGAUGAAGUUUAGAUCGUCAACCCUUUGCUCGUGUUGGCUGGUGUUGCCGUACGUGCGUACUCAGGGAGAUCCGUGCUUGAGCUCGAUGGGCAGCACCGCUUCUGCCCCGUAGACAAGGGCGAAAGGGGUUUCGCCCGUUGCCUGACUGGGUGUGGUCUUGAUUGACCACAGCACGGGCUGGAGUUCUUCAACCCAGUGUUUCACGAGCUUGUCAAAGGUUCUCGUCUUGAGCCCCUGCAGCACUUCUGUGUUAGCUUGCUCCGCCUGCCCGUUACUCCUCGGGUGAGCAAUGGACGCGAAGUGCAAUUUGGUACCCAUGUCCUUGCAGUAUGCUUGGAACACCACGCUCGUGAACUGCGUACCAUUGUCGGUGAUGAUGCCAUUAGGCACACCAAACCGGCACACAAUAUUGUUGAAAAAUUUGAUGGCCGCCUGGGCGGUCACCUUGCGUACUGGUUCCACUUCCACCCACUUGGAGAACUUGUCGAUGGCCACGAACAGGUACUCGUAGCCACCGACCGCCCUCGGCAGCUUCCCGAUGAUGUCCAGCUCCCAGACAAUAAACGGCCAGGAGGCUGGGAUGACAUGCAGGGCCUGCGCCGGCUGAUUGCUUUUCUUGGAGUGGAACUGGCAUGCUUCACACGUCUUCACCAGCUGCUUCGCGUCGGCCGCCGCCAAGUACCAAAAGCGGCGGGAGAUGCACGCCACAGUCGCCUUCUUCCGCCCCGGCCACAACGGCAAGGCGAUGGGGAAGCUCCGGCACGCCGUCGCCUCCAACUUCAAUGAGCAUGGGGAGACGCAGAUCUUCCCGGCGGGCGUCGAGCACCAGGACAAUGAUUUCCGGGUGUUCGCGUGCUUCCUCCUCUGUGGCAUGGUGCCGCCCUUCUCUCUGUUCCUCCACGCACUGAUGGAGUCUUAUCAGUUGUGGGUGGCGCAGGUCCACCCCACCUCGUUGUUCCUCCUCGCCACCUUCCAGUUCCUCUGCGAGGCGUUCGUGGGGGUGAAGCCGUCGGUGGGGCUCUUCCGCCACUACUUCUACCCGCGGAUCGACAGCGCGAAGGCGAUGUCGUCAGGGGUGCUCUUCCGCGCCCGCGACCAGAUGAAGUCCGAGUUCAUCAUCCGGUCGGGGAAGAGGAUUGAAAAAGAGUGGCGGGGCGACUGGUGCUAGGUCCGGGUGGAGGACCCCUAGGAGUUCAUCCAGUCGCCGAGAGAGUUGCCGGUACCCCAGAACGGCUGGCAGGACAGGUACCACCACGACGCCGACCUCCUCCCCAUUGUGGAGAAGAUCAAGGCGUUGCGGCUAGCGGGGCUCACCGAUGUUGGCGUGGCACGCACCUUCGUCCAUCGGCGCAUAGCCCCGCUGCAGUUACGUUUCCGGCUCGCGUGGAUGUACACGGGCUCCGGGGACAGGACACGCCUCCAGGCGGACGGCAUGGACUUGGAGUCCCUCAGGACAUGGGAGAGGGGGAUCUCCGGCGAGAUCUUCCAGUCGACGGAGUUCCCGCCGGGGGUUUCCGCUCUCCACGCCGGCGUGAAGGCGCUCAGUGACAUCGUCGGCGCCUUCCCGCCCUGCAACGAGUGGGGGCUAAUGGACGACACCCCCACCCGGGCGGGAACUGGUCCCGGGGUGCCCGCCGGUACCCCGGCAGCGCCAGCGCCUGCGGGGGUCACCAGUGCCUCGGCAACGGCCUUCGCCCCGGUGGCGGGGGCCUUCGCGAGUUUGGCUCCCGGCGCCGCGGCGGCAUCGCCGUCGACACCCGGAGCUCUCUGGGUUGCGACGACUCCGCAGGCACCCCAAGGGACGCAGGGCUGGCCCCGGGUAUGUCUUCGUUGAUUCUCUGCAACGGCAAUUUCUGUUAGCCAAACUCACGAACAUACCUUCUUCUUCUGCAGUGAGCGGCAGCUCGCCCGCGGCAAGCUUCUUGGAUGCUCCCGCAAGCGCAGGCGAGGUAGGGGAGGCUGCCCCGGGAAGCCUGACGGCCGCACAAGGUAACCGCCCCGGUUGCCCUCGUCUGCCUUUGAUAGCUCCAGCCAUCGCCGAUCCUCAUGCUUGUCAUUGCUGCAGGCACAGGUGCGCCCCUACCAGGAACGGGCGCACCCGUGGUCGACCCUGACUCGGUCGUCGAGCCGCGGGGGCAGAGGUGGAGGCGGAGCCAACUCUCACGUUCGGCCCCGCUACGACGGACACAGCGGCAGCAGAGGAUACCGUCGCCGCUGUGACGGCUCCUGGUGACGCGCCCGAAGCCGCGGACGUGGUCGGCACGGGCUCACCCAUCGUCCAACAGGAGGCAACCCCCGCCGGAAGCAGGGAGCCUUCUCCAGCCCCGGGGUCCCAAGCGCAGGCGCGGGGGAAGUUGCCGGGGAAGGACGACAAGGCCCCCGGAACAAGUUGGCGACCCCGCGACUAGCCCCACUUCGGCAGCAGGGGCUUCAUCAUCCUCGGGGGCUCUCCCCGGCACCGACCUUGGCACCCUCGCCGAGGUCGCUUGGAACUCCCUUACCUAGGAUCCAAGCGUCUUUGAGCAGGGGCACCGGUUCCUGGACGCUGUCAGGGACCAGCAGUUUGCCUUCGUCACCUCCUACAACGAGGUGAGGGAGCGCCACACCGCCGCCAAGAAUCAACUCGGCGAGGUGCGGGAGGCCGUGGAGAGAGAGAGGCGCGAAUCCUCCCGGCUGCGCGAGGAGGCGCGGCUGGCCCGACAAGCCCUGGAGGCCGCCCCGGAGCCAGUAGUCCCGGAGACCGAGCUCCGUCGGCAACUGGAGGCCUAGCGCGUGGAGCUUCAAGGAAGGCUAGACACGAUGGCGACCACCCUCGAGGUGGCUCGGAAGGAGCAUGCCGAGGUGCUCGCGACGGCCCAGACGCGGCUGGACGAGAAGAGCGAGCUGAUCGCCAAUUACCGCGGCGAAAUCCAAGGCCUCCGCGUCCUGCUGGAGGUGCAGGUCAAGGCUGCCGAGGAUGCUGCGAGAGCGGCGGCUCGGCACGAGGCCGAGCUCAACUCCACCAAAGACAGAGCGGCCGGGCUCGAGGCCGAGUUGGCCGCCGUCCGAGAGGAACUCACCAAGGCCGGCGAGGCCAACGCGACCAAGGCUGCAGAGCUCGCGAAGCUGGAGGGCCGCGUCAGCAGGGCCAAGAAGGCCGCGCAAGACGCCCGACUCCAUCACGGCACGCUGAUCGGGCAGUGGCAGCUUGAGACGGAGAAGCUGACGAAGAUCGCCCAGUCGCUGUGCGACCUGCUACCCAAGUUCGAGCUACAGGCGGCGGAGGUGGACGGCACGGACGUCACGACGCCGAUCCCCUUCUUCUCCGACUUGGUGGGGAAGCUCGGGGCGCUCGAUGUCUGGAUCGCCAGGUACGGCGCCAACGAAGUCGCCAAGUGCGCUCGGAAGAUUGCCGGGACAAUCCUCCCGCGGAUUUAUCUCCGGGACCCGGAGUUCCCCUUCGAGUCCCUGCUGGAUGCUUGGUCCGACAGCGAGGACGAGCCCACGCACACCCAAGCAGUGCCCGAGUUCGUCGACGAGCUCGUCGAGCGGAUGCAGAUGAAGCCGGAGCCUGAUCUCCCCGCCGACCCCCCGGCCAAAGACGGCGACAACUAGUUGCCGCAGCCCCCAGCCGUGCUCGUUGCUUCCACUGUACCUUCUUUCGUUUGCUUUCCCUGCAAAUAUGGCGCUUAGCGCCGUUUGAACAAUCACCUUUUGAUUAGUCCAUGUAAUCAUUUGGCACUUAGCCAAUCAAGCUUGUUAAUUUGCUCAAUUUUUGUCUCUCGUUCCCGAGGCUGCCUCGCGGGAUGGUUCCCUUAGCCUUUGUGUGUUACGCCUUGUGUUGCCGGGGACUCGCACGCCCCACCCUUGACCAGACCAGGGACCCGGGAUGGACCCGUGGUGCCAACCUGGGGCCAAGCGGUAGGCGGCGAGCCACUCCACUUGUGGGGUAACUACUCCAAGCCAUGUCCUCCCAGGACGGACCCAGGAGCCACACGGGGAGUGCACUACCCCCGCAAGCGUCCUCCUCACACCCCGGCCACACGCCGGUUCCGAGACAACACUUGGCGAAGCAGCGUUAAUUCUUAGUUAAGUAAAAUUUUCGACAAGUUCGUUUGUUCCUGAUGCUGUCUAGCGGGGUGGCCCCUUUUAGCCUUUGCGUAUUUUGCCUUGUGUUGUGGGGGACUCGCGCGCGCCUCACCCUUGACCAGACCAGGGACCCGGGACGGACCCAUGGUGCCGGCCUGGGGCCAAGCGGUAGCGGGGAGCCACUACACUUGCGGGGUAACUAAUCCCAGCUGUGCCCCUUCGGGACGGAUCCGCGAAGCCACACGGGGAGCGCACUCCCCCCGCAAGCAUCCCUUUUAACACUCCGGCUACGCGCGGGACCCGGGGUCGCACCCAGCGAGACAGCGCUCAGUUUCGUUCAGCUCUUAGCGAAUUUAGCGUUCAUGUUCAGACACUUAGCUUUUCCGUUCGGUCCAAUGCCUCGCGACGCUCGGCGGUAGAGUGCAGACAGGGCAUUGCCUUGGUAGGAAACCAUCUUGGGUACCUGUUCAAGGGAAACGAUCUCUGAGGGAUGCGGCAGGAGCGCGGGGGCAGGAUCGCCGCUCGCGGCAACCGCCACCAACGAUGCUACCACCCCGCUCACGCGGCAACCCUCGCCUUCAGGGACGGACCCUGGCUUUCAGGGAGGAACCCUGGCUUAGGAGGAAUCCGCCCCGGGAGCAGCCGCAAGACGACUAUAACUUCCUCGCCACAAGCUUCGCCCCACCCCGAACGGCGGGCACGGGUGGCGAGGAAGUUAUAGCCUCCCAGCGAUAGCCCCCGCAACUGGGAAACCUGGUUUUUCUAGGGAACUCGUCCCAAGGGAUGUGACAGCCCUUGUUGCUCGGGAGCAGAACUGCUCGAGGGCCGCGGCAGGGACGCGGUGAUGGGACGGAACGGGCGAUGAGCGCCAACACCGGCGCCAUCACAGCGUCCUCGCAACGGCCCGCAGCCGAAAAGGCUCUCUCAAAGGGAAUGCGGCCGGGUCUCUAUGAUAGUGCACCCAUCGGCACAAGGCACGGAUGGCAUGCACUACCAUAGAGUCUCCACGGCAGCCCUUGCUCCUUGCGGAGGUGUCCUAUGGAGGGGGGCGAUAAGGGCACUGUGGCAACGCACCCCGUCAGCGCCGGACGCUGAUGGGAUGCACCACCCCCGUGCCUCUGCGGUGACCCUCGCCCAGGAGCCGCCCCCUUGAGGAAGCGCGGCAGGGGCACAACGGCAGUGCACCCGUCGGCGCAGGACGCUGAUGGCAUGCACUACCAUCGCGCUUCUGUGGCGUCCCUCGGGACGGGCUCGAUGGGGUGACGCAACAGGGGCGCGAUGGCAGCACACCCGCCGCGCUGGGUGCCGGCGGGGAGCUCCACCUCUGCGCCUCCGUGGCACCACCAGCCUUAACGGCCCCGAACCCGGCUUCGCUCUGAGCUGUUCCAUGGUUGGGGCGCGCCUUUUAUAGGCGCGGGAGGGGGAUUUGCCACCGCGCCCGACGGACCCGCGCAGCACCGUGGCGCCCUUCCCUCGAACGCGGCGCAGUUUCCGCCGCCAUGUUUACCAGGCAACCGUGGCACACGUGGCGGCAACCUGUCAAGUCAAAAGUCUCGGAGUGCGGUGAGCCCCUUGUGUUGCGGUCCUCCCGCACCACAAGGCACCGGUGUACGGUGCGACCCAUGCGCGAAGCCCCGCCAACGGCAUGUCCAGUGAUGCACGGUGCGGGAAGCCCGCCAACGGCAUGCCCAGUGAUGCACGCUGCGGGAAGUGAUGCACGUUGCAGGAAGCCCGCCAACGGCAUGUCCAGUGAUGCAUGUUGCGGGAAGCCUGCCAACGGCAUGCCCAGUGAUGCACGCUGCGGGAAGCCCCGCCAACGGCAUGACCCGUGCCGGAACGAUCCGGCAACGGGUUUACGUUUCGAGGCCACGACAGCCCCCUGCUCACAACCAAGUAUGGAAAGACACCUUUGUGCACUUAAAGCAGGAGACAAAAGAGAGAAAAACACGUGAAUGAACAAGGCAAAUCCAAAGCUCAGGGGCAAAACACUUAUCUUUAUUCACGAUUAACUAGCGGUUUACACACGGGGGCUGCCCGGUUACACUAGUUCGAGAGGUAUGCAUCGGAGGCAUCACCUGAGGGUCGGGCUCCACCGCUUCACGGAUAGAACUUGCGCAAGUGCUCAAUAUUCCAGCUACUGGGCACCGGCAAGCCGUCUUUGGUUUCCAGGCGGACAGCCCCCGGCCUGGUCACCUGCACUACCCCGAAGGGGCCCUCCCCUUUCGGAGUCAACUUGUUCCCGGCCUUCGUUCCUUGUAUCCGGCACAGGACAAGGUCUCCGUUCUUGAGCCCCCGGGGACGGACUCGUCUGUCGUGAUAAUGACGGAGUCCCUGCUGGUGGCGCGCGGCCCACACAGCAGCCCGGCAUCGAAGCUCUUCGAUGAAGUUUAGAUCGUCAACCCUUUGCUCGUGUUGGCUGGUGUCGCCGCACGCGCGUACUCGGGGAGAUUCGUACUUGAGCUCGAGGGGCAGCACCGCUUCUGCCCCGUAGACACGGGCGAAAGGAGUUUCUCCCAUUCCCGACUAGGUGUGGUCCGGAUGGACCACAGCACGGGCUGGAGUUCUUCGAUCUAGUGCUUCCCGUGGCCUUUGAGCUUGUCAAAGGUUCUCGUCUUGAGCCCCCACAGCACCUCUGCGUUGGCUCGCUCCACCUAUCCGUUACUCCUCGGGUGAGCAACGGACGCGAAGCGCAGCUGAGUGCCCAUGUCUUCGCAGUAGGCUUGAAACACCGCGCUUGUGAAUUGCGUGCCGUUGUCGGUGAUGAUGCUGUUAGGAACACCAAACGGGCACACAAUGCCCUUGAAGAACUUGAUGGCUGCCUGGGCGGUCACCUUCCGCACUGGUUCCACCUCCACUCAUUUGGAGAACUUGUCGAUGGCCACGAACAAAUAUUCGUAACCGCCAACCGCCCUUGGUAGCUUGCCAACGAUGACCAGCCCCCAGACCACGAACGGCCAUGAGGACGGGAUGACAUGCAGGGCCUGCGCCGGUUGGUUGCUCUUCUUUGCAUGGAACUGGCAAGCCUCACACGUCUUCACAAGUCGCUCCGCAUCGGCCAGGGCCGUGGGCCAGUAGAAGCCAUGCCGGAACGCCUUACCGGCUAGAGCCCGGGAGGCCACAUGGUGUGAACAUGUGCCUCGAUGUAUGUCUUCCAACAGUGCGCACCCUUUUUCCUGCGGCACGCAGAUGAGUUUGACACCAUUCGCACGCCUGCGGUAGAUGUUACCAUCUACCACAGUGUACAUCUUGGCUUGCCGCACUACGCGCUCCGCGGCGACGUCAUCCUCCGGGAGAGCCUCCCCUUUGAAAUAGCGGGCGAUUUCUUCCGCACAGGGGGGAAUCUCCCUGCCAACGCAUGCCGCCGUAUCAGCGGCAUGGACCCCCGCUGCUGCAGGCGUAACAUCCCAAAUUUUUCAAACUCGGAUGUUCGCACCUUUUCAUUUCUUAUGCAUAUCACCUUCAUCAUAUCUUAAAAUAUUGGUGUUCGUUGUGAUGUAUUAUUGAAAGUGUUUGAAAUGGUGUUUUGGAAUGUGUUAGGUUGAUAGAAAUUGAUUUGAGAAUUUUCUGGAGUUUAAAAAUGCAUUUUAGGGUUUUAUUUGUGUUUAUUUAAAGCUUAGAAACAUUAAAAUUAUUUUUGAAAAUUCAUUUUUGAGUGGGAAUAAUUUUCCUGGACUCUAAAUGAAAUAUAUUAUUUUACAGAAUUUUUGGGAAUUUUUCUGAAGCUUUUGAUAUUUUAAAUGAUUUAAAUGAAAUUUCGGGUGAAUUAUAGAUCCUGAAAAUUAUUUUAUAAUCUUUUUCUUUUAUUCUUUUUCUUUUUCUCUGAAAAUAUGCUUUCACUUGAAACCCCGAAGAGGUAUCUUCUAAGCUCGGCCGUUCAUCUCAGAUCCAACGGUCACAUUUUUUUUUCCUAUCUCUCUCUCUCUCACUGACGUGUGAGGCCCACGCGUCAUCCCCUACCUCCGGCCAUUCUGCCCACGUCGCCGGCGCCCGCGUUUUCCGGCCCAACCGCCGUGCCCGCCUGCGCGCGCGCCCGUGCCUGCCUGCGCGCUUCCCCGUGCCCGCCCGCACCCCCCCGUGCCCGCGCCUGCCUGCCUGCUUGCCCGCGCCCGCCCGCACGCCUGCCCGCACGGGCGCCUGGCCCCGCGCGCGCCCGUGCACCCGCCGCACGCCCCACGCCCAAGACCCCACGCCCGCGCAACCGCCGGCCGUGCGCCUCUGCCCUAUAAAAAUCGCCCGCACGCCCUCUCUCGCGCGCCCCCGCCUACACCCGCUCGCCCGCCCGCGUUCUCCCUGCCCGUGCGCGCUCCCUGCUCGCCCUGCACCUCAAAUUCCGGCCAAAACCGCCGCCGCCGCCGCCCAACUGUGGCGAGCAAUCGCCGGAGAUUCGCCGAACGAUUCGCGAAGCCGCUUGCACCGUUGGACUCCCCGCGACGCCGUGAAUCUCCUCCAACCCUUCUUCUUCCUUCCCGUGCUUCGAUUCUUCUAUUCCGUUCAUCUCCGGGAGGAUUUGGGUAUGAACUUGUUCAAGUUCUCUGAAGCUUUUGUUCUUCGGUUAGCUCUGUUUAGGCAUCGUUUGCUAUCAAACCAAUGAUCAUUAUGUGCUCUAGAUUUCACCAUUUUGUAGAGUGAAUGUUCCUCUACAAAUUCUCUGUAGAAAGUAGCCGUACAUGGUUCAUCUCGUGCUUUGCAUCGUCGUCGCAAAAUGGUAUUCUAAUGAGUUUCUCGGCCGUAUCUCUGCCGCGGCAGAAAGUUGCAGCACCUUCCUUAGUGGGUAGCCUUAUUCGCAGUAGUUCUCGUUGUUGUCCGUAGCAUCAUUUUAGUUGUUUAUUUUUGUAGAUUGAACUUUAGGAAUACCCCUUCACCGCCAUUUCCUAGUUGGACCAUUUCAACUUCACCUUCACUAGCAGCACGACGGUAGAAGUUCAUAUCCUAUUAUGUUCUGUUUUAGAGUAGCCAGUCACCUGUUCAUAGCUACUGCCUCAUAGCUCCAUAGUUAGGAAAACCAGUGCCAUUUGAAAGAGUAGAUCAUUUUCUUGGAUUUCUUUGUUUAGUCCUCUGUCAGUGGAAUAGUUUAGCACCAGUAGCUUUUCAGUAGAAGUUAGUAUUCUUUGUCUGUCAGAAUCUGACUAGCCACCUUUGCAAGCCAAUAACUUCUGACCUGUUUAUCCAAUUGACCUGAAACCUGUUGCGUUAGUUAGUACAACCCUAGAACUAUACUGUAGCAUAGGUUUCAUGCCAUGUUCUUUACUUUAGCACCUAUUACCUGUCCAUCCUAGUUGCUAUCUGUUAACAGUAGCAGAUUUCUGAAUUUCCAGACUUAGCCACACUAGCCUUAACCUUAGGCUUUAGAACUGGAAUUGUUAAUACUAUGGUAUUACAUAGAUGAUGUUUAGGUUCUGUUUUUGUAUGCUUGUGAUAUAUCCUUUAUCCGAAGUUCAUUUGGAGUUAUAUUUGGUCUUUGAGAGAUGUUUGGAACUAUGCAUUUAUUGUUGUUUCGUUCUUCGCGUUAGGUUAUUCGGAUUGCGAUUGCGAAGAGUGCCAGGGAGUUGACGACCGCAACAACUUUUCUGAACCAGGCAAGUUACACUUAUUGACCAUGUAGAACCUAUAUUUUUGCUUAUGCUAUUUUGUUUACAACAUCAUAGGGAUGCAUGUUAGAGUUAAUUCUUUAUGAAGUAUUUAUUAAAUGCGUUUUCAACAUGUUUAGUUAUUCCUAGUAGAUUGCUUAUAGGAUUUUAUUGCCAUGCCACCAAAUACCAUAGGUUAUGUAUUUACAUUUUUCCAAAGCAUGCUAUACUAUUAUAACGGGACGGGACCCAAACUAUAUUGAAAAGUAUUAAGUGCUCUUUAUGAGCGAGUAUGUUUUUGGAAAAAUGUUUUCGAAAUAAAACCAAAAUGUUUUAUCUGGAUGGAGUGGUAUGAUGGAGGCCAGUUGGCUGUCGGCAAGUGUUGUAGCCCCGUAACGGGUACACGCUCAGGAGAAGGUGGGGACCGCUGUCCAGAAAUCCAAGAGUUCAAACCUUCUCAUGUACCCAAAGGCUUCAUGUGCAACCACUUGCUAUUAUGGGCUCUGGCUUGGUCGAUUAACUAGUGGGAAACCCUUACCUGGGUAUCACCAUCCGGAGAGGAGCCAAUGUGCUCGUAUGGGGCGGGCGGUGCCAGAAUUAGGUAUCAUGGGGCUUCUAGUGAAAGACUUCGUCACAAUUUUUAUCUGUUGCGCACGCUUGUCGUCGGGCAACACUUUGGACUGAUUGUGUCAGGUGGGUAAAGUGUACAAACCUCUCGAGAGUGUCAAUCUAAUCGAUUAGCCAUGCCCCUGGUUACGGGCGACUUUGAGUCAGUAAGUCAGGAGAAGUGGAGAUCUUCAAGUUUUGUUUUCAAAAACCCCAAAACUGUUUUGACUCGAUGGAAGGUUCCACAGAAUGAGUCAGGAAAAAGGGAUGCUAUGUGAGUGUCGGUUGACCCAGAUUGCAUAGCUAGGUCGUGGAGUGAACAUCCACAGAAUGACCAUACUAUUGAUCAAACCCCGUUUUAUCAAAACUCUAGGAUAGAGAUUUUCAAGGGAAAAUACUAUGAGUAUUUCGAAACCCCAAAAGCAGCAUUUUGCAAAAACAACCCUAGGAGCCAACUAGGAAAUCCUUCAUCAUUUCCAUGCAUUCCUCCUAACGACACAGGUGUGACUUGCAAGUACAUUGAAUGUACUGACCUGCACCUAUCAUGUACAGAUAGUGACGCUUUAGAAGAAGACGCAGGGUCGCGAGUCUACACUCAACUUGCCUGUGGCGUUGAUGGGACUCCCUCUUUAUCAGUGUGUUUUAUUUGUACUUCCGCUUGGCUUGUAUUAAGUACUCUGGAUUUGUUAAUCGAACCGAUGUAAUAGACAUGUGUAUGGUAUUUCAUCAAUGGAACUAUGUGUGCUAGCAUUUGAUCCAGGGACUAGCAUAGUUUACACAGAGGUCCGGAUCCUUACGGGUCUGGGUUGCCACAGCAGGGGUUCCUUCGGUUGCCGGAGGGGCGUCCUCGGCAGCCGGCUGGGGGGCGACUGAAGGAGUCACUUGCUUCUGACAGAACACCCCCGCCGGAGGCUUCCGGCGCUUUGCUGCCAUCUUGGCCAGCUCGUCAGUAGCGAAGUUAUCCUUCCGCUUGACGUGCUCGAAGCGCAAACCUUUGAACUUUCGUUCCAGCUUGCGGACCUCCUCCACGUACGGCGCCAUUUGAGGGCAAUCGUAGUCCUUGGUCACCUGGUUGAUCACAAGCUGGGAAUCGCCGCGAACAACCAGGCGCUUAAUGUCGAGGGCGACCGCUGCCCGCAACCCGGCAAGCAGGCCCUCAUACUCCGCCGUGUUGUUGGUGGAAUUAGCGAAGUCGAGUUGAAUAGCGAACCUCAACUGGUCCCUGUUGGUGACUCGAUGACGACCCCAGCCCCCGCUUCCUGAAGACUGAACACACCAUUGAAGUAGAGGAACCAGGGGUCCUCAUCCAGCUUGCCGGGAAGGCUGGUCUCCGGCUCACUUUCUUCUAUGCCCGUGGACGUCCAUUCCGCGACGAAGUCCGCCAGGGCCGUGCUCUUAAUGCUUUUGGAGUUGGCGAAGCGAAGGUCGAACUCUGACAGCUUCAUCCUCCAUUCGGCCACCCUGCCGGUGGCUUCACGGUUGGUGAGGGCUCGCUCGAGGCAGAACCCGGACACCACCGUGACGCGGUGCGCCUGGAAGUAGUGGCGCAGCUUGCGGGACGCAAAGAGAAUCCCCAGAAGGAGCUUCUGUACCUGCGGGUACCUUGUCCGCGCGUCGCGCAACCCCGUACUAACGAAGUACACCGGGCGCUGCACCAACCGCUUUCACGGUGCCAAGGUUGUCGACUCAGGGGCGGUCCCCGGGUCUGAGGCGGUUGCCGGAGGCCGCUCAGCCCCCUGCCCCGCAGCCAUAGUCCCCGGGACGCCCUCCUCCCUCUCGGCAACCAGCACCGGACUGACCACCUGGUCAGUCGCCGCUAGGUAGAGUAGCAGCGGCUCGCCCAGCUUGGGGGCGACGAGGAUGGGCGGUGACUGUAGAUACUGCUUGAGUUCCUGGAACGCUGCCUCGGCCUUGGGGGUCCAGUUGACUGGACCCAUCUUCUUCAUCACCCUAAAGAAAGGCAAGGCACGCUCGCCCAGCCUGGAGAUGAAAUGUCCCAGCGCGGCAACACAGCCGUUGAGGCGCUGGACAUCUUUCACCUUGCGGGGGGCCUCCAUCUUCUCGAUGGCUUCUAUUUUGGUCGAGUUGGCCUGUAUCCCCCGGUGUGAAACCAAGAAACCCAGAAGCUGCCCGGAGUUGACACCGAAGGUGCACUUAUCAGGGUUCAGCUUGAGCUUGAUCCUGCGAAGGUUGUCGAACGUCUCCCGCAGGUCAUCAACCAGCGAGUCCCCACGCUUUGAUUUGAUGAUGAUGUCGUCCAUGUAGGCCUCCGUGUUGCGGCCUAGCUGGGGCCCCAAACAUUCACGCAGGGCGCGCUAGAAUGUGGAGCCCGCGUUCUUCAACCCGAAGGGCAUGCAUGUAUAACAGUAGCAGCCAACCGGGGUGAUAAACGCUGUCUUUUCCUCAUCCUCGACCGCCAUCUUGAUUUGAUGGUAGCCAGAGAAAGCAUCCAGAAAACUCAGCAAAUCACAACCAGCGGUAGAAUCAACUAUCUGGUCGAUACAGGUCACAGGGAAAGGAUCCUUGGGGCUUGCACGAUUAAGAUCGGUAAAAUCUACGCACAUGCGAAGCUUAUUCCCUGCUUUAGGCACCACUAUAGGGUUAGCUAGCCAAGUGGGGUACAAAACUUCCCUGAUUGCCCCGGCAGCCCUAAGCUUGCCCACCUCUUGCUUGAUGAAAUAUUUCCGCUCUUGUGCUUGCCGCCGGAUCUUCUGCUUAACGAGGUGCGCAUCCGGGCGCACCGCGAGCCGAUGCUCAAUCACCUCCCUAGGGACUCCGGGAAGGUCCGACGGUUGCCAGGCAAACACGUCGGCGUUAUCCCGCAGAAAGGUGACGAGGGCGCUUUCGUAUUCGGCUGUCAGGUUCGUACCGACGGUAACGGUGCGCUCCUCGUCGCCGGCUUGGAGGGGCAGCUUCUUCACUUUGGCGGCCUCCUCCAGGAGCACUUGCCCCUUGCCGGGGCGCGAGCUCGAGCCUGCGCCUCCCCCGGCAAGCCCUCACGGGGUGGCGCGGGCCUUCUUCGAGGCCGAGGCAUCACCCGGCAAGCCGUCAUCCUCGACAGCAUCCUCGUCGCCGGCGUCAGCUGCAGCAGCGGCCCGGACGACCUCGCCAACGCACCAAGCCGCGUCUUUGAGGUCGCACCUGAUGGAGGGGACCCCAUAGACGUACGGAAUCUUCAUCACGCCAUAGGCACAAUGUGUGGCCGCCAUGAACUUGAUUAGCGCCGGCCGACCAAGGAUCCCGUUGUAGGGCAACGGGGUAUGCGCCACGUCGAACACUAUGUGCUUGGUCCUGAACGCUUCCCGGGACCCGAAGGUGACCGGCAGCGUGAUGCGUCCCAGCGGGCGCACGAUCCCGUGGUUCACCCCCCUGUAACAUCCCAAUUUUCAAAAUCCUUCAUAUGCAUUGCAUAUCAUAAGCAUCAUGUCACCCUUGCAUCUGAACACUUUCAAAACCCUAAAGUUUUCCCAGAAAACCCUUUUGCAAAAAUGCUUUUAUUUGUUUUUGGGUUUUGAUCUUGCUCUUGACUAUUUGCAUUUUUAACCCAUGAGGGUAUUGUGAUAAAAAAAAGGAUUUAUUGCAUAUAUAAAGCUAUCCCAUAAUUGGCUUUUGAAAGUAUUUUGAAAAAAAAAAUAAUUUGAUUCGAUAGCCUAAGGGCCCUAAAAGCCAUUUUAUAUGCAAAUAUAUUUUUAAAUAUUUUAUUUUGAGAAAAUUCUUGCUCCAAAAGUUAGAUCAUAUGAAAAUAUGAUUUUACAAAUUUUGUUGCAUUUUAUUUGGAGUGAUUUGGAGCUCCGAAUCAAUUUUGAGGUUCGAAAACAGAAAAUAGAUAAAAGAAAAGGAAAAACCGAGGAAAACCGACCGAACCGGCCGAACCGGACCGGCCCGGUCAAACCGGACCGGACCGGACCGAACCGGACCGGCUCAGCCCGCCCGAGCCGCCCGCUCUCACUGACCGGUGGGACCCACGCGUCAUCUUCAACCUCCGUCCGAAAAAUCCGGCCACGCACGCCCGCGAACUGCCCACGACUCCACCUCCGAUUUCUCCGCGCUCGGGCCGUUUUCUCCAAAUCCUUGCGCGUCACCCCGAAGGCCUCGCUUUUCUCCUCCACUUCCCCCAAACCCCACGUCCAAUUUCGCACCGGUUAGAAAGUAAUUGCUCGCCGGAGUUCGUUGCUGCCACCGCCGUUCUUCGCGUUUCGCCGCCGUUCCGGUGAGGUUCUUCCCGCGCCACUCCCCUAGUCUCUCUCCUCUCCCCGUCCCGAGCGCCGUGAUGCGCUCGCCUUUGCGUUUGGCCGCCGCCGCCGCCUCCGGCCGCCCGCGCCGGCCGUCUUCCCCAACGCCGGCCGCCGCCCGUGCUCCGCUCGCGCCCGCGCAUCCGCUCGCGCCCGUGCCGCUCGGCUGCGCCUCGAGCCCCCCACCGCGCCGCCGCGCGCGCCGCCCCCGCCGCUCGCCGCGCGCCCGCGCGACCUGCUCGCGCCGCCUGCCCGCGCCCGCGCACCCGCCGCAUCCUGCGCCCGCGCCGCCCGCGCCGCUCGCCCCCGCUGCUGCUCGCGCCGCCCGCGCCGCUCGCCCCCGCUGCUGCUCGCGCUCCGCCCCGUGCCCCUGCGCCGCCCGCCGCCGGCGAGCUCGCCCGCCUGCCGGAACCCUAGAACCGGGCCAGUCAGGUUUCGCCACGUGGCAAGUUUUUGUUUUGUUUUUUUUUAUUUUUUUUAUUCGGCCGAAGUGGAUAAUACACUUUUGCAGAAAAGACCCUACAACUUCAAACCUUUAUAUCUUUCAAACCGUUUGUCCAAAAUUUGUGUUCCGCACCUUUCUGGAAUCGUCGUAACGUGUAGAAUAUUUUGGCACGGUUUAUUUUCAGUUUUGAACAACUUAGACAGUAGCUAUUUAUAGAAGGGUUGAAUAUGGUUCAAAUUUCAAAUGAAUUGUUUCAAAAUAGUUUUGAGCAUGUUAUCUUCCUGUAAAAUUAUUUAAAGUUGUUCUCUAUCCAUUAGGACCAGAGAAGAAAUUAUUUUGUGUAUAAUCAUGGCAUGCAAGUUAAAUAUUGCUCUACGUUACAAAAGCCGCACAAUCUUUUGUUUUAAACCCUAUCCAUGUUUCUUGCAUAUUAAUUACCACUUUGAUGUUGUAUAAUCUGUCCAAAUCUUUUGAGAGCCUUUUCAAAACAGAAACAAAACUUUGUACGUUAGAAGUAACCUUUGUGUGCAUCAGCAUAGCAUGUGCAUCAUGGCAUGGUUUUUGUAUUGAAUGUUGUGUUUAUUGUGUGUGUUCCUUUUAUUUUAGAUUGUGUGGAGUGUAAUCAUUGUUGUUGCGAAGAGUGCGAGAACUACCACAACCUUGGACAAGGCAAGUUCACUUUGAUCAUUCUCCUAAAUAUUUUUACUAUGCACUAGAUGUUUUAUUAGAUGCAUCAGGAAUAUUAUUCGUACUUCUAUGCUAGCUAUAAAUCCCAGGUAGUAUAGUUUACCCUCGCCAUUACCUUGCUACCAUAUUGCCAUCGAUUGUAGUUAAAUGCUAGGCUAUGGUAGUAUCGUGGGGGAAAUAACUACAUUAUUUAUUGUUAUGCCUUUGGCGAUAUGAAAUGAUUUUAUUAGAUGUAAGGCAAAACAAUUAAUUAAAUGAACCGUCCUGGGUGGGCAGCUUUGAAGAUUUUGAGGAUUAGCGGCGUCAGGUCCAUUUCUAUGGGUCCCUCUGAGUCGAGUUCCUGUGGAUUCAGGAAUGGAUCGUCCAUGGACGUCUCUCCCGUGGAUUCGGGGAGCGCCUACGUUGCAAAUGUGGAAUGCCACCUGGGGUAACCGAGACUGGACUAGUUUCCUAUUUAGAAGCUUCUAGUACAACCACAAUGCUAUAUGGGCUCUGGCGAGACAAGAGUAAGUUGUAUGAACCUAGACCCGAGGAAUUGUACUGAGGUAGCUGUGUAGGGGGAGCGUGAUUCUCUCGUGGUUUAGGGAAUUACCUCUGAAAAUCUCGUAAUCGAUGCCGUUGCUACUCUACCCAGAGGACAGCAAGGGAUUAACACGUCGGUUUCUUGUGGGGAAUGUGUACAAACUCUCGAGAGCGUCAAAACUAAGUACUUAGCCGUGUCCCCGGCAACGGACAAUUUGAGCGACUAGAUGUGGAGCUGUAAGGAAAGUCUCACUCAUUCUAAUUUCUUAAAUAAAAUGAAUGGUUGAACAGGGUAGGGGCACUUGAUGAAUCCACAUCAAUGUGCUCUAGGAUAAUAGGAGCAUGGGUGUGUCUACCCCGUGUCCAAUAGUGAUAAAAUUCUAUUUGAUUAAAAGAUAGGAUUCAAUAACUAAGCUUUUAUGCAAAUAGCUUGAACCCCACUUUACCACAUUAUGCAUAUAUUUGGUAGGCUCUGGUAUAACUCCUAGUGAAUCUUGCCAAUACAUUCAAUGUAUUGACCCUAGUGGCUGCAUCGUCUAAUGAUGCAGGAAGCUCCGACGACGAGUAAGACGUACGUUCUGCAUAUUUGGGUUACGGGCCUACAUUCCAACACGCUCUCACCGUGGUGUUGAUGUGCCCUUGUAUCUUCCGUUUUUCGCUGCUAAACAAUUGUUUUAUUUCUAGCUAACCCGUGAGGUUAUGCGAACUGUAAGUACCCUUUAUAUUCUGGAUGAUACGUUGUAAUAUUGAGACCUUUGUUCUAUGAUAUUACAUCUUGAAACUGUGUGUGCUAGUGAGUCGAUCCAGGGACUAGCACUAAAGCACAGAGAUCGAACCCAUUUACGGGGGCGGUCGCUUCAGAUGGUAUCAGAGCCAAGUUGUGUUGCCUGUAGGAACGUGACCCUAGCAUGGAUUAGACUAAAAGAGACCAUAGGAUUGUUCUAUGCAUUUCAUACCACUCUAAAUUUGCAUAUUGAGAUACAUGCAUAAUCAUAUACACUUGCAAUCAUACCAAGGUCCAAUGCAUAUGUACUGCUUGUAUUUUAUUUCAUCCACUUGCAUCUAAAGAUUUUAUAUGCAUUUAUUUACACCUCAUACUACAAUAUCAUGCUUUCCACUAUUACAAUCAUACGUCAUGUUUGCAUAACCUACACCUUAUAUUGUCAUUAUUACAUUUAUGCAUCCACCUACUUGAUCAUGUGACUAAUUCUUUUCCCCCACCAUCAAUCUUGUAGAUGAAUGGACCACCAAAUUUCGGAGAUGAGCCACCUUUCACACACGUCCAUUACCCGACAGUUGACGACGACAUCCCGUUUGGGAGACAGCUUGCUACUUUGUGCACGACACUACACCUGGCAGCACCUUGUUUCCGAGGACGUGCUGAGCCGGUGGGAUCUCAGGGAGGUGCACGCCGCUGGGAGAUCGACACGGAGAUCAAGGGACGGACUGUUGUUCCAUUGACGCCCGACAUCACCUACUCCGUGCGCUACCCCGACUUCAUGCUGGGACUCCAGUUCGCCAUGCAACAUGCGAUAGCUCGUGUGUGCGAGGCGUACCAUGAUGAACUGCCUCCGGACUCUGUCUUUCGUAGCUUCGGAAGGCGAGUUGUUGGCGGGAAUGCCGUGGGACUGGAGAUCCUAGGCGAGGAUCCACACAUGGAGGAUGUUCAGUUUCAAGCUCUGGAGCAGAACAUGGUGGACAUGGGGAAGAGUCUCUACAACGAGAUGACCCGAGCAGAUAUAGCUGAAGACCAGGUGGGGAUACUCCAAGGUCAACUGACGAUGAAGACAAACGAGGUGAACCGCAGGGGAGAUGUUAUCCUGAACAUGCACGCGAUCAUGGAGCAAAUUAUGUACGAGAAGGAUCUCCUGCAACUUCAGUAUGAUCAGCUCCAAGCCCAGAUCAACAACGCCAACCCUACACCUGCACCAGCACAAGCUCCACCACCCCCUCAGGACGAGGAGAUGGAGCCACAGGAGGAGGAACCUCAGGAGGCGCAGGAGAUGGACACACCUGCCACCCGCACCCGUUCCAGGGCGAAGAACUCCGGGAACACCAACUUCCUCUCACUUCCUUAGUUUCAGUUUAGAACCGCUGGACUAUUUAUUAUACUAUAUUCGUUAUCGUGUUAGUCAUUGACCAUGCCGUCGUUUUGGUAUGGCAAUGUAGAUUCGUGUGUUUAUUUGCAACUCUAUACUUGUGUUUAGGCUGGUAUGCCGGGUGAACUAUUCUUUUUGGAUGUUAAAAUCCUAGUGAGUGCUAUUGCUUGUUUCAUAGAUGACUUGUUUCAUGAUUGAAUCGUUAUGCUUGUUGUUUGAACUGUUGUACUGCAUGUGUUGUGGGGCUUAGUUUCCUCUUAGAUCCUGUCUAUCUAUUUUCUCAUCUAUGCUGUCCCGAAACAGAUGCCGCCGAGACGCGAUACUCGCCGCCCUGCUGACAACAACAAUGAGGAGGGUCAGGACAACAACGCCGCCACCAUGCAGCAACUGCUGGCUGCACAGACUCAGAUUUUGCAAGCCUUGACCCAGCAGAUGAACAACAACAACAACAACAACCACAACAACCAGAACCCCAACCCACCACCUCAAGUGGACAUGUUAACCAGGUUUCUGAGGCUGCGUCCACCAACAUUCACCAGCUCCCCGGAACCGAUUGUAGCUGAUGAUUGGCUCCGUUCUGUGAGCAAAUGCCUAGUGACAGUUGGCUGCACUGAAGCUGACAAGGUGAGGUUUGCUGCUCACCUGCUUGAAGGACCCGCCGCAGCUUGGUGGGAGACUUAUCAGAUGACCACACCCAUGGAAGAAGUCACAUGGGAAAUGUUCCAAGAAGCCUUCCGCACCGCCCACAUCUCUGCAGGCGUGCUGAGCUUGAAGAAAAGGGAAUUCCACAAACUGAGGCAAGGGAACAGGACUGUGUCAGAGUACAUCGAAGCUUUCAACAAGUUGUCUCGCUAUGCCCCGGAUGACGUCAACACCGAUGCUAAACGCCGGGAAAGAUUUUUGGAUGGCUUGAACGACGAACUCGCCGUUCAACUGGCAGUUGUAUACAUCCCUACAUACCAGUCCCUCAUGGACAAAGCCAUCAUUCUGGAGAACAAGCAGAAUCAGAUGGAGAACAGAAGGAAGAGGCCUCACCAUGGCAACAACCACGCUGGUCCACACCAGAAGCCGCGCACCUCGUACGAGGGUAGUGGCAGCUCCUCGAUGGUUAAGCAUGGUGGAAAUCAUCAGAGUCACCAUGGAGGGAGUGGACACUAUCAUCGCCGUGGAAAUCAAGGACACCACCACCACCACCAGGGAGGAAAUGGCAGCCGGAACCACCAGCACCAACACCAACACCAGCAUCCAAGGAUCAACAGCAACAAAGGCAGUGGCCAUAACAAUGGAGGAAACUCAGGACAGAACCGCACCACUGGCAGGGAUAUGAGCCAAGUGCAAUGCUUUAAGUGUCACAAGAUGGGGCACUACUCCAACGAUUGUCCGGAGAAGUUCAAUGAGGCUGGAGCAAAGCCUAACCCAUUUCAGAAGGGCAAUGUGAACCACGUCAACGUGGAAGAAAUCACGGAGGAGCAAGGUAUCGUAAUCGGCACCUUCCGUCUAAAUUCUUUUGAAGCACUCGUACUGUUUGAUACCGGUGCAUCGCAUUCUUUUAUCUCAAGGAGUUUUGUGCAUGAGAAUGGAUUAAACACUACUACCUUAGUGAACCCUAUGAAGGUGAGGUCACCUGGGGAAGAGAUGAUAACGGCUCAUGAAUGUCGAAUGCUGACACUAGAAAUUGGAAAACACAAUUUCCCCACAGACCUGAUAGUGUUAGGAUCAAAAGGCUUGGAUGUGAUCCUAGGAAUGGAUUGGCUAGCCAAGUAUGAAGGACUUAUAGAUUGUGUCAAGAGGACUAUUACACUCACCACUCCAGAGAAGAAGCGAAUCCGCUUCAAGUCAAACUAUGAGCUUAAAUUAACCAAGGUAAAUUCUCUUAAGGGGGUUAGCCUAGAGGAUGUACCGAUAGUGAAAGAAUAUCCGGAUGUGUUUCCAGAAGAAUUACCAGGCGUGCCACCGGACCGAGAUGUGGAAUUCCUUAUUGAGUUAUUGCCAGGAAGUGGACCUAUAGCCAAGAGACCGUAUAAGAUGGCUGUAGAUGAAUUAAAGGAACUGAAGAAGCAACUUGCAGAACAAUUGGCCAAAGGAUUUAUUCGCCCUAGCUCAUCACCAUGGGGAGCACCUGUUCUAUUUGUGGAAAAGAAAGACAAAAGUCAAAGGAUGUGCAUAGACUAUCGCUCACUAAAUGAGGUGACGAUAAAGAACAAGUACCCACUACCCAUAAUCAAUGAUCUAUUUGAUCAAUUGAAAGGAGCCUGUGUUUUCUCAAAGAUCGAUCUUCGAUCAGGUUAUUUUCAGUUAAAGAUCCGAGAAGUGGAUAUACCCAAGACAGCGUUUACCACUAGGUAUGGCCUGUAUGAGUACACAGUGAUGCCUUUUGGAUUAACCAAUGCCCCGGCUUACUUCAUGAAUAUGAUGAACAAGGUAUUCAUGGAAUAUUUGGAUAAGUUUGUCGUAGUAUUCAUCGACGACAUUUUGAUCUACUCGAAGAGCAAAGAAGAACAUGAAGAACAUUUGCGUCUGAUCAUGGAAAAGCUUAGAGAGCACAAGCUUUAUGCAAAAUUCAGCAAGUGUGAAUUUUGGUUGUCCGAAGUUGGAUUCUUAGGACACAUUGUGUCAGGAAAUGGAAUUGCCGUCGACCCCGCUAAAGUAGCAGCGGUGACUGAAUGGGAAGUCCCUAAGAACGUCGGAGAUGUUCGCAGCUUUUUAGGACUUGCUGGAUAUUACAGGAGGUUCAUAGAGAAUUUCUCCAAGAUUGCCAAGCCUAUGACUGAACUUUUGAAGAAAGAAAAGAAGUUUGAAUGGACUGAUAAAUGUGAGGAAAGUUUUCAGGAUUUGAAGAAGAGGCUAGUAUCAGCACCCAUCCUCGUUUUACCCAACCUACUAGAAGACUUUCAAGUGUACUGUGACGCUUCGCGUUUAGGAUUGGGCUGUGUUUUGAUGCAAGGAGGAAGAGUCGUAGCAUACGCCUCAAGACAACUUAAGAAUCAUGAAGGAAAUUACCCCACUCAUGAUCUGGAACUAGCAUCGGUAGUGCACGCACUCAAGACUUGGAGGCACUAUCUCAUGGGAAAGCAAUGUGAGUUAUUCACCGAUCAUAAAAGCUUGAAGUAUAUAUUCACACAGAAGGAAUUGAACUUGAGACAAAGAAGAUGGUUAGAGUUAAUCAAGGAUUAUAAUCUGAAUCUUCAAUACCAUCCGGGCAAGGCUAACGUAGUAGCUGACGCUUUGAGCCGCAAGGGCUAUGUUAAUGGACUUACAGCUGGAGAAUUACCUGCUGAAUUGUGUGAGCAAUUCAAGGACCUCAGAUUGGAGUUAGUUCAAGAAGGUUACUUAGCCAACAUGGAAGUACAACCCACUCUGCUGGACAGAAUUAGAGAAGCCCAGAAAGAAGACUCAGAAAUAAGAACGAUAAAGGAUAAUAUGGCUGUUGAGAAAGCAAAAGGAUUCGUUGAGGACGAUCAAGGUACCGUAUGGUUUGAGAAGCGUAUUUGUGUACCACAGGACCCCGAGAUCAGAAAGCUAAUACUACAGGAAGCUCAUGAUUCACCGUACUCAAUCCACCCCGGUAAUACAAAGAUGUACAUGGACUUGAAAGAAAAGUUUUGGUGGACGGGAUUGAAGCGAGACAUCGCUGAGUAUAUCGCUCUGUGUGAUGUUUGUAGCAGAGUCAAGGCUGAACAUCAGAAACCAGCUGGAUUACUACGACCAUUGCCAGUGCCAGACUGGAAAUGGGAUAAGGUAGGCAUGGACUUCAUCACCGGCUUACCAAGGACGAGAUCGGGAUAUGAUUCAAUAUGGGUAGUAGUCGACCGUUUGACCAAAGUUGCUCAUUUCAUACCUGUAAAGACUACCUAUACAAGUGCAUAGUUGGCCAAGCGAUACAUGUCUAGGAUUGUAUGCCUACAUGGAGUCCCUAAAGAGAUCGUUUCAGACAGAGGUACCCAAUUUACCUCAAGAUUUUGGGGGCAAUUGCACGAGUCUCUAGGCACGAGACUAGAGUUUAGCACAGCGUUUCAUCCACAGACAGAUGGACAAACAGAAAGAGUGAACCAAAUUCUUGAAGAUAUGUUAAGAGCUUGCGCUCUAGACUAUGGUUCUAGCUGGGACGAGAAUCUACCAUAUGCAGAGUUCUCAUACAACAACAGUUUCCAAGCGAGUAUUGGAAUGGCACCGUUCGAAGCGUUGUAUGGCAAGAAGUGUAGGACACCAUUGCUAUGGGAUGGUGUAGGAGACCGCAGUCUAUUCGGACCCGACAUGAUAAAGGAUGCUGAAGAGAAGGUCAGACUGAUUCGAAACAGACUCAAGAUAGCUCAAUCCAGACAAAAGAGUUAUGCAGAUUCCAAACGAAGGGAUGUCAUCAAUGAGAUUGGUGACAGAGCGUAUCUCAGAGUUUCCCCGAUACGCGGAGUUAAGAGAUUUGGGAUUAAAGGAAAACUAGCGCCACGCUAUAUUGGACCCUACAAGGUUUUAGCACGCCAAGGAGAAGUUGCUUACAAGUUGGAGUUACCCGAAAAGUUGACAAGUGUCCACGACGUAUUCCAUGUGUCACAGCUAAAGAAGUGCCACCCGAAAAUGGCCAAUACGCCACUAAGGGAUACGGUUUCACUUGACGAAGUGGACAUUCAAAGCGAUCUCACAUACGAAGAGAAACCAACCAGGAUCUUGGAAACAGCGGAAAGACAUACCCGUUCCAAGACAAUCAGGUUCUGCAAGGUCCAAUGGAAUCACCACACCGAAGAAGAAGCUACGUGGGAACGAGAAGAUGAUCUUCGAGAAGACCACCCACACCUUUUUGCUAACCAACAGGAAUCUCGAGGACGAGAUUCAUCUUAAGGGGGUUAGUUCUGUAACAUCCCAAUUUUCAAAAUCCUUCAUAUGCAUUGCAUAUCAUAAGCAUCAUGUCACCCUUGCAUCUGAACACUUUCAAAACCCUAAAGUUUUCCCAGAAAACCCUUUUGCAAAAAUGCUUUUAUUUGUUUUUGGGUUUUGAUCUUGCUCUUGACUAUUUGCAUUUUUAACCCAUGAGGGUAUUGUGAUAAAAAAAAGGAUUUAUUGCAUAUAUAAAGCUAUCCCAUAAUUGGCUUUUGAAAGUAUUUUGAAAAAAAUAAUAAUUUGAUUCGAUAGCCUAAGGGCCCUAAAAGCCAUUUUAUAUGCAAAUAUAUUUUUAAAUAUUUUAUUUUGAGAAAAUUCUUGCUCCAAAAGUUAGAUCAUAUGAAAAUAUGAUUUUACAAAUUUUGUUGCAUUUUAUUUGGAGUGAUUUGGAGCUCCGAAUCAAUUUUGAGGUUCGAAAACAGAAAAUAGAUAAAAGAAAAGGAAAAACCGAGGAAAACCGACCGAACCGGCCGAACCGGACCGGCCCGGUCAAACCGGACCGGACCGGACCGAACCGGACCGGCUCAGCCCGCCCGAGCCGCCCGCUCUCACUGACCGGUGGGACCCACGCGUCAUCUUCAACCUCCGUCCGAAAAAUCCGGCCACGCACGCCCGCGAACUGCCCACGACUCCACCUCCGAUUUCUCCGCGCUCGGGCCGUUUUCUCCAAAUCCUUGCGCGUCACCCCGAAGGCCUCGCUUUUCUCCUCCACUUCCCCCAAACCCCACGUCCAAUUUCGCACCGGUUAGAAAGUAAUUGCUCGCCGGAGUUCGUUGCUGCCACCGCCGUUCUUCGCGUUUCGCCGCCGUUCCGGUGAGGUUCUUCCCGCGCCACUCCCCUAGUCUCUCUCCUCUCCCCGUCCCGAGCGCCGUGAUGCGCUCGCCUUUGCGUUUGGCCGCCGCCGCCGCCUCCGGCCGCCCGCGCCGGCCGUCUUCCCCAACGCCGGCCGCCGCCCGUGCUCCGCUCGCGCCCGCGCAUCCGCUCGCGCCCGUGCCGCUCGGCUGCGCCUCGAGCCCCCCACCGCGCCGCCGCGCGCGCCGCCCCCGCCGCUCGCCGCGCGCCCGCGCGACCUGCUCGCGCCGCCUGCCCGCGCCCGCGCACCCGCCGCAUCCUGCGCCCGCGCCGCCCGCGCCGCUCGCCCCCGCUGCUGCUCGCGCCGCCCGCGCCGCUCGCCCCCGCUGCUGCUCGCGCUCCGCCCCGUGCCCCUGCGCCGCCCGCCGCCGCGCCGCCGCCGGCGAGCUCGCCCGCCUGCCGGAACCCUAGAACCGGGCCAGUCAGGUUUCGCCACGUGGCAAGUUUUUGUUUUGUUUUUUUUUAUUUUUUUUAUUCGGCCGAAGUGGAUAAUACACUUUUGCAGAAAAGACCCUACAACUUCAAACCUUUAUAUCUUUCAAACCGUUUGUCCAAAAUUUGUGUUCCGCACCUUUCUGGAAUCGUCGUAACGUGUAGAAUAUUUUGGCACGGUUUAUUUUCAGUUUUGAACAACUUAGACAGUAGCUAUUUAUAGAAGGGUUGAAUAUGGUUCAAAUUUCAAAUGAAUUGUUUCAAAAUAGUUUUGAGCAUGUUAUCUUCCUGUAAAAUUAUUUAAAGUUGUUCUCUAUCCAUUAGGACCAGAGAAGAAAUUAUUUUGUGUAUAAUCAUGGCAUGCAAGUUAAAUAUUGCUCUACGUUACAAAAGCCGCACAAUCUUUUGUUUUAAACCCUAUCCAUGUUUCUUGCAUAUUAAUUACCACUUUGAUGUUGUAUAAUCUGUCCAAAUCUUUUGAGAGCCUUUUCAAAACAGAAACAAAACUUUGUACGUUAGAAGUAACCUUUGUGUGCAUCAGCAUAGCAUGUGCAUCAUGGCAUGGUUUUUGUAUUGAAUGUUGUGUUUAUUGUGUGUGUUCCUUUUAUUUUAGAUUGUGUGGAGUGUAAUCAUUGUUGUUGCGAAGAGUGCGAGAACUACCACAACCUUGGACAAGGCAAGUUCACUUUGAUCAUUCUCCUAAAUAUUUUUACUAUGCACUAGAUGUUUUAUUAGAUGCAUCAGGAAUAUUAUUCGUACUUCUAUGCUAGCUAUAAAUCCCAGGUAGUAUAGUUUACCCUCGCCAUUACCUUGCUACCAUAUUGCCAUCGAUUGUAGUUAAAUGCUAGGCUAUGGUAGUAUCGUGGGGGAAAUAACUACAUUAUUUAUUGUUAUGCCUUUGGCGAUAUGAAAUGAUUUUAUUAGAUGUAAGGCAAAACAAUUAAUUAAAUGAACCGUCCUGGGUGGGCAGCUUUGAAGAUUUUGAGGAUUAGCGGCGUCAGGUCCAUUUCUAUGGGUCCCUCUGAGUCGAGUUCCUGUGGAUUCAGGAAUGGAUCGUCCAUGGACGUCUCUCCCGUGGAUUCGGGGAGCGCCUACGUUGCAAAUGUGGAAUGCCACCUGGGGUAACCGAGACUGGACUAGUUUCCUAUUUAGAAGCUUCUAGUACAACCACAAUGCUAUAUGGGCUCUGGCGAGACAAGAGUAAGUUGUAUGAACCUAGACCCGAGGAAUUGUACUGAGGUAGCUGUGUAGGGGGAGCGUGAUUCUCUCGUGGUUUAGGGAAUUACCUCUGAAAAUCUCGUAAUCGAUGCCGUUGCUACUCUACCCAGAGGACAGCAAGGGAUUAACACGUCGGUUUCUUGUGGGGAAUGUGUACAAACUCUCGAGAGCGUCAAAACUAAGUACUUAGCCGUGUCCCCGGCAACGGACAAUUUGAGCGACUAGAUGUGGAGCUGUAAGGAAAGUCUCACUCAUUCUAAUUUCUUAAAUAAAAUGAAUGGUUGAACAGGGUAGGGGCACUUGAUGAAUCCACAUCAAUGUGCUCUAGGAUAAUAGGAGCAUGGGUGUGUCUACCCCGUGUCCAAUAGUGAUAAAAUUCUAUUUGAUUAAAAGAUAGGAUUCAAUAACUAAGCUUUUAUGCAAAUAGCUUGAACCCCACUUUACCACAUUAUGCAUAUAUUUGGUAGGCUCUGGUAUAACUCCUAGUGAAUCUUGCCAAUACAUUCAAUGUAUUGACCCUAGUGGCUGCAUCGUCUAAUGAUGCAGGAAGCUCCGACGACGAGUAAGACGUACGUUCUGCAUAUUUGGGUUACGGGCCUACAUUCCAACACGCUCUCACCGUGGUGUUGAUGUGCCCUUGUAUCUUCCGUUUUUCGCUGCUAAACAAUUGUUUUAUUUCUAGCUAACCCGUGAGGUUAUGCGAACUGUAAGUACCCUUUAUAUUCUGGAUGAUACGUUGUAAUAUUGAGACCUUUGUUCUAUGAUAUUACAUCUUGAAACUGUGUGUGCUAGUGAGUCGAUCCAGGGACUAGCACUAAAGCACAGAGAUCGAACCCAUUUACGGGGGCGGUCGCUUCACCCCCGGAACGGUUCGGUGGGCUUCAGCUGCUCCAUCGGCAGCUGGAGCUUUUCCACCAGCCUGGCAGACAGGAGGUUAAGCCCCGCUCCGUUGUCCACCAGUACCUUGGUCACCGUCAUAUUGCUAAUGGUCGGCGAGACGACGACGAGUGAUCGUCACCGCUGGGUGAUCGGCACGUGCGACCACCUCAGCGACUAUUGCGGCUCCGCAUCCGGCAACAACGCGCACACGUCGCGGUGAGGCGCUUCACCGCGGCGUGGGACGGGAGAGCGUAAGCUCCCCCAUGAAUGCAGGCGACGCAACGAGGCUCCUGGAAGCUCGGUUCGUCGCUGCCGGUAUAGUCGGACUCGCGCUGCUCCUGCGCAUGCCCUGUCGCGUCCCCGAGGAGGGCAUUCCCGCCCAGCGAGGGGUUGGCCGCGCCCCCCUUAGGGUUCACCCCUGCCGGCACCACCGCUUUGGGGUCAUUCGGGCAAUCUCGGGAGAGAUGUCCGAUGUCGCCACAAUUGAAGCACGCAGGUGCCGGCGGCACCGCGCUCCUCAUGGCGCUGCUCCCGCCGCUGCUUGAUCCCCUGCAGAACGCGGCAACUCUGCGCGUCGUGGGCGGAGUUGUGGUGGAUGGGGCAGCGGGGCGCGUCGCCUUGCUUCCCACCAGACUCUCCACCCGGCAAGGCCUUCUUCGCGGGCCUCGCGGCAGGAGCCCCCGAGUCCGCAGCGAGGACUUGCUUCCCGCUGCGCUUGCGGGAACCCUUCUUCUGCGAGCCCGAGCCCUGGCGCCCUUCCUCGGCCAUGGCGCAUUUGUGCGCCAAGGCGUACAAGUCCUGCGUCGUCCGAAUCCGAUGCGUGCUCAGCUUCUCGCGCAUCUUGGGAUCGCGGACGUUCAUGGCGAAUGUGUUGAUAAUGGCGGCCGCCUCUGCCUCCGAGAUGGAAUAGGAGAGGUUGGAGAAGCGGUUGACGAAGGCCCACAACGUCUCUCCCGGUUUUUGCACGAUAGUGUGUAGCUCCGCCAUGGUUCCCUGGCGCUUAUAGCCGCCUUGGAACGCGCUCACGAACUGCUCACGCAGGUCUGCCCAAGUGGCGACGGACCCGGCGGGCAGGUUGAGCCACCAGGUUCGCUGAUCCCUUCAGGACCAUCGGGAACCAGUUCGCCCUGACCUUGUCGUCGGCGCCGAUGGCAUGCAUGCCCCACGUGUAGGUCAGGAGGAAAUCUUUGGGGUUAGCGGUCCCGUCAUACGUACCGAGCGCAGGCGCUCGGAACUUACGGGGCCACGUCACCCGCCGCAGCUCGCGCGUGAACGUGGUGCAGCCGUCCUCGGGGCCCAUGGGAGCGUCUCCCUGCUCCUGUGGGCGCUGGCGCUCCACCUCGCGCCUGUGCCGGCACUCCAAGCGCAGGUGCAGAUCCUCCUGCUGGCGGGCAUUCAAGAUGCCACGCGCAUCGCCCCCCGCAACGGUGGGCGAUGAGUUCGAGGAUCCCUCCGGGACCCCGUCUCCCAGGCCUCGUUGAGGAGGAGGAGGGUUCUCCCCCUGUCGCGAGGCGGGUGGCGCAUCUUCACGCUCUAGGUUCUGCCCGUGGCCGAAGCCUACCGGGGCGCCCUCGCCUUGCGGCUACUAGGCGGCCAGGGCGACAAACGCUUCCAACUCCUCGCCCCAGGUCUCGUGCGCCGGCAUGCCCUGCUGCGGCUCGCACCGCACCAUGACGCGCGCGGCGAUGAUGGCUUCAGCCGGGGUUCGCACGGGGGGCAGCCGGUUUCCUGAACGGCUGCUUCCCGCCCUGGCUCCGGAUGCCUCCGGGUGUGCAGGGUGUGAACCUCCAGGGGUUGCCCGUGACGCGGCGUGCUCCUGGUGCCGCCGCCGUGGGGUGUCUGCGGGCCGCGACUCAACCCGUUGGCUGGCCCGGGCGAUGCCGUGCAUGCUCGCCCGACUGCCCCCGGCACUGGGGGCAGCCGGUCCCCUUGGCCGAUUGUCGGUCGACGGUCGAGGAGGCGGCAGAGGCAGCUGCGUCUGCGGCCGGCGAUCUCCGGCGGUGACCACUCCCGCGCCCCCUACCUGGCGCGCCAGAUGUCGUCGCUCGGUGCUUCGACAUCAGGGCGUGCGGACACGUCCCCCUUUUAGGUUCGGUAGGGGCGUCUGGGGCGGAGACCCGGUGAUCGCCGGCACGGCCGAUGUGGCCCUACGGGGCCGGCGAGACGAAGUGCUAGGGGUGCGCGCUAGUCCGAGAACAGGUACGCGCACGUUUUUUACCUAGGUUCGGGCGACCCUGGGGUGUAAAAGCCUAUGUCCUGCCUGUCUGAGCUGAUAUUGAUUACGGAUCACUCGUUUACAAGUUGCCGGGCUAGUUCCCGGGUUUCCUCUCAGUGUCUAAGUACUCCUUACUGCUCUCUGUUGGCUGCCUACUGGAGCCACGAAGCGUCCGUCGAGCCAGCUUUACCCGAACCAGUUAACUGCCUAACUAACCAAUAGAGAACUCGAACCCCUUGACCGUCGGCAUGGGUCCUCCUUUUAUACAUAAGGGGAUGCCACAAGUGCCAUGGUGCAUGAGCUGCAAGGGUCCAACGGGGAGGCAUGCAACUCCCCCUGGUGAGCUGGUGGCGUGCAUGGGCGCCACCUCCGCUGCUAGGGGCCUAGGACCCUAGGGUAGGAUUAGACAACCACUGUUCCUUGGAUCGGACGGGUAACUACCCAUCGGUCGGCUCGUUUACUAAGCCGCGCGCCUUGCUCCUUACAUUGGUGGGACCGCGCGUCCCGCGCCCACCACGCGCCUGCGUGGCGCUGUCAACUGGGCCCCGCGCUCGGGGCGGGGGCACGCGCCCGGGAACCCCCAGUCCCAGCAAGUCGACCCCGGGAAGCACCCGGGCCCAACGCACCCGGGAACCCUCUCCCGGGAAGCAGCUUCCCGGGAGGCGCCCAGGCGGGAAUAUUCCCCGAAGCCCCGCUAGCCCCUUUCGGGCUGGUAGCUUGCCGGGAAGCUCAUAGGCGCUCCCCGGGAUGAGACCUUCCCGGGAACCCGGGAAAGGGGCCCGCGCGUCGCACAGCGGUGGCACCCCGGGUGCCACUGGUGCGACAGUGUAGUUCGGGAAAUCGAGCUGGAAAGCGAACCUCAGUUGGUCCCCUGUCGGUGACUCGAUGACAACCCCGGCGCCAGCUCCUUGGAGACUGAACGCGCCGUCGAAGUAGAGGACCCAGUGGUCGUCGUCGAGCUUGCCGGGCAGGCUGGUCUCCGGCUCAUCCUCUUCUACGCUCGUCGACGUCUAUUCUGCGACGAAGUCCGCCAUGGCCGCACUCUUGAUGCUCUUGGAGUUGGCGAAGUGGAGGUCGAACUCCGACAGCUCCAUCCUCCAUUCGGCCACCCUCCCGGUGGCUUCACGGUUGGUGAGGGCUCGCUCAAGGCAGAAUCCCAACACCAUCGUGAUGCGGUGCGCCUGGAAGUAGUGGCGCAGUUUGCGGGACACAAGGAGAAUCCCCAAGAGGAGCUUCUGCACUUGUAGGUACCUUCUGCGGGCAUCGCGCAACACCGUGCUGACGAAGUACACGGGAUGCUGCACGAGCCGCUUGCACGGUGCGGGAGUCGCCGACUCGGGGGUGGUCCCUGGUUCCGAGGCGGUUGCCGAGGGCCGCUCAGCCCCCUGCCCCGCAACCUCGGUCCCCGAAACAUCUUCCUCCCUUUCAGCAACCAGCACCCAGCUGACCACCUGGUCAGUCGCUGCUAAGUAGAGUAGCAGUGGCUCGCCCGGCUUGGGGGCGACGAGGACGAGCAGCGACUUCAGGUACUGUUUGAGAUCCUGGAAUGCCGCCUCAGCCUCGGGGGUCCAUUCUAUCGGGCCCUUCUUCUUCAUCACCUUGAAGAAAGGCAGGGCGUGUUCGCCCAACCUUGAGAUGAAGCGGCCCAGCGCGGCAACGCAGCCGUUGAGGCGCUGGACAUCCUUCACCUUGCGGGGAGCCUCCAUCUUCUCGACAGCCUCUAUCUUCUGAGGAUUGGCUUGUAUCCCCCUGUGCGAAACCAAGAAGCCCAGAAGCUGGCCCGAGUCCGCACCGAAGGUGCACUUCUUAGAGUUCAGCUUGAGUUUGAUCCUGCGGAGGUUGCCAAACGUUUUCCGCAGGUCAUCAAUCAGCGAGUCCCCGCGCUUCGAUUUGAUGACGAUGUCGUCCAUGCAGGCCUCCACGUUCCGGCCUAGCUGGGGUCCCAAGCACUCGCGCAACGCGUGCUAGAUUGUUGCGCCUGCGUUUUUCAACCCGAAAGGCAUGCAUGUAUAACAGUAGCAGCCAACCGGGGUGAUAAACGCUGUUUUCUCCUCAUCUUCGACCGCCAUCUUAAUUUGAUGCUAGCCGGAAAAAGCAUUCAAAAAACUAAGCAAGUCAUAACCAGCGGUGGAAUCAACUAUUGGAUCAAUACGGGGUACAAGGAAGAGAUCCUUGGGUCAUGCACGGUUAAGAUCAGUAAAAUCUACGCACAUGCGAAGCUUGUUUCCUGCUUUAGAUACUACUACAGGAUUAGCUAACCAAGUGGGGUACAGAACUUCCCUGAUAGCCCCGGCGGUGAAGCGAUCCCCCUUCACCAAGGGUUCGAUCUCUGUGCGAAGAUGGAGCGCGUCAACCGAAGCGCACGGAGGACUAGAGGAAGAGGGAAAAGAAGAUGGCGGCGCUUACCCUGAGGGUUCACCGGAGACGGAGGAGAACGGCGGCGGCGCGGGCAAAGUUCUGGCGAGAAAUUUCUCGAGCUUGGGGGCGCAAUAGAGAGGGGAAAGAGGGGGAAGAGAGAGGGUGUCGCGGGGAUUAUAAAGACAUGCUCGGGGCUGCAAAAGGAAGGACGGGCGAAGAGAUUGCGGCGGCGAGCGCGCGGGGACGGCGGCCGAGAAUCGUGGCGGCGGCGCGGGCGCUUUCCUUCCGGGGAAGAAGCCCCUGACAGGUGUGCCCCACCUUUCAGCGGGUGCGGGCGCGCGUGGGGCGGCUGGGCUGGCAGGGCCGGCGCGCGUGCGGUCGGGGCCGGGCCGGUCCGGUUACCCCUUUUUUUUUUUUUUUCUGUUUUUCACAUUUCUUUGAUAUGUUUUGAGUUUGAACUCCAAAUUGGUCCAAAUAAAUUCCAGAAAAUUUGUAAAAUCAUCUUCUACCAUGAUUCAACUUUUGGGAGUAGUUUCCCCUCAAAAUAAAUUAUAUAAAAACACAUUUGCCCUAUAAAUGCCUUUAGGGCUAUAUAUACCUAUUGAAAUAAAAUACUUUUUCAACUCCAAAAAAUAUGAGAUAGCCUAUAUAUGCAAUAAACCCCUUUUAUACAUAAACCCUAUUGGUUUGAAAAACCAAAGCUUAAAAUGGGUGUAAACAAAGUCUUUUAAAGUCUUUUGUGAUUCAAAUUUGAAUUCAAACAUGCAAUUGUGGCAUGAUGCUUAUGAAUGUAAUGCUCAUCUAAAAGUUUGAAAUUUUUGGGAUGUUACAGGCGGCCUUCAGCUUGUCCAUCUCUUGCUUGAUGAAAUCCUUGCGCUCCUGUGCUUGCCGCCGAAUCUUCUACUUGACGGGGCGGGCGUCCGGACCCACCGCGAGCCGAUGCUCAAUCACCUCCCUAGGGACUCCGGGAAGGUCCAACGGCUCCCAAGUGAACACAUCGGCAUUCUCUCGAAGGAAGGUGAUGAGGGCGCUUUCCUAUUCGGCAGUGAGGUUCGCACCGAUGGUGAUGGUGCGCUCCUUGUUGCCGGCUUGGAGGGGCAGCUUCUUCACCUUGGCGGCCUCCUCCCGAAGCUUCGGUCCCUUGAAGGGGCACAAGCUCGAGCCUGCGCUUCCCCCGGCAAGCUCUUGUGGGGUAGCGCGGGCCUUCUUCGUUGCCGGGGCAUCGCCCGACCAUCCGUCGUCUCCGGCAACAUCCUCGUCGCCGGCGUCAGCUGCGGCGGCAGCCCUAACGACCUCGCCAACGCACCAGGCCACGUCCUUGAGGUCGCACCUGAUGGAGAGAACUCCAUACACGGACAGCAUCUUCAUCACGCCAUAGGCGCCAUGCGUAGCCGCCAUGAACUUGAGCAGUGCUGGCCGACCAAGGAUCCCGUUGUAGGGCAACGAGGUGUGCGCUACGUCGAACACUAUGUUUUCGGUCCUGAACGCUUCCCGGGACCCGAAGGUCACCAGCAACGUGAUGCGCCCCAAGGGGCGCACGAUCCCGGGGUUCACCCCCCGGAACGGGUCGGUGGGCUUCAGCUGCUCCACCGGCAACUGGAGUUUCUGAUGUGCAGUUGUCCACCAGUACCUUGGUCACCGUCAUGUUGCUGAUGAUCGGUGAGACGACGAAGGGUAUUACCCCUGAACCCAGCUGCCGCGCUGGGUGAUCGUCAGCGGUGAAGGUGAUCAGCACUGCGACCCCCUCAGCGGCUGUUGCGGCUCCGCGUCCGGCAACAACGCGCACACGUCGCGGGUGAGGCGCUUCACCGCGGCAUGGGAUGGGAGAGCAUAGGCUCCCCCAUGGAUGCAGGCGACGCCGCGAGACUCCUGGAAGCCAGGCUCGUCACCGCCAGUGCAGUCAAACUCGCGCUGCUCCUCAGCGCGAGCCCUGUCAUGUCCCCGGGAAGGGCGCUCUCUGCCAGUGUGCGGCUGGCCGCAUUCCCCCUGUGGUUUGUCUCAGCCGGCAGUGCCGCCAGUAGGCCUCGGCCCCGCUCUAGGGUCGUUCGGACAAUCUCGAGAGAGAUGCCCGAUGUCGCCGCAGUUGAAGCAGGUGCCAGCAGCGCUUGUGGGAACCCUUCUUCUGCGAACCCUCGCCAGGGCUCACGGUAGCCUUAGCCGCUAGCUCGGGCGCCAGGCGCCCUUCCUCGGCCAUGGCGCAUUUGUGCGCCAGGGCGCAUAGAUCCUGCGUCGUCUGGAUCCAAUGCGUGCUCAGCUUCUCGCGCAUCUUUGGGUCGCGGACGUUGAUGGCGAAGGUGUGGAUGAUGGCAGCCGCCUCCGCCUCCGGGAUAGAGUAGAAGAGGUUGGAGAAGCGAUUGACAAAGCUCCGCAAAAUCUCCCCCGGCUUCUGCAAGACAGUGUGUAGCUCCGCCAUGGUUCCCGGGCGCUUGUAGCCGCCUUGGAACGCGCUCACAAACUGUUCGCGCAGGUCCGCCCAAUUGGCGAUGGACCCGGCGGGCAGGUUGAGCAGCCAGGUUCUCACCGAUCCUUUCAGGACCAUCGGGAACCAGUUGGCCCUGACCUUGUCGUCGGUGCCGAUGGCGUGCAUCCCCAACGUGUAGGUCAGGAGGAAAUCCUUGGGGUUCACGGUACCAUCGUACGUGCCUAGCGCUGGCGCUCGGAACUUGUGGGGCCACAUCACCGGGCGCAGCUCGCGCGUGAACGCGGUACAGCCGUCCUCGAGGCCCAUGGGAGCAUCUUCUUGCUCCUGCGGGCGCUGGCGCUCCACCUCGUGCCGACGCCGGCGCUCUAGGCACUGGCGCAGAUCUUCCUGUUGGCGGGCAUUCAAAAUGCCACGCGCGUCACCCCCUGUGACGGUGGGUGACGAGUCUGAGGACCCCUCCGGGUCCCCGUUUCCUUGGCCUCCCUGCGGGGGAGGGUUCUCCCCCUGUCGCGAGGCGCGGGGCGCGUCUCCGCGCUCUGGGUUCUGCCCAUGGCCGGAGCCUACCGGGACGCCCUCGCCUUGCGGCUGUUGGGCGGCCAGAGCGAGGAGCGCAUCCAACUCCUCGCCCCACGUCUCGUGCGCCGGCGUGCCUUGUUGUGGUUCAUACUGCACCACGACCCGUGCGGCGACGAUAGCUUCGCCGGUGUUCGCGCGGGGCCCAACCGAUUUCCCGAGCGGCUGCUGUCCGCUCUAGCCCCGGACGCUUCCGGGUACGCGGGAUGUGAGCUCAUGGUGCCGUUGUUGCUGCGUGUCCUCGGCCUGCGACUCGACUCGCUGGCCGGUGCAGGCGGCACCAUGCCCGCGCGCGCGGCUGGCCCCAACGCUGGGGGCCGCCGGUCCCCUCAGCCGGUUGUCUGUCGACGGCCGAGGGGGCGGGGGAGGCAGCUGUGAUUGCUGCACUCUUGAGGGCUCAGGAUUCUCCUGAGCCUCUGACGCGGGUCGCACGUCAUGCGACCGCGUGUGUGCCGCUGGGGCCUCACGCGUGUCUAUCCGAGGAUCGCCAGCCCGCUUGGGGGGCAUGGCGGUCAGCUCCGUCGGCGAAGAGGACGAGGCCCACGGCGGUGCAGAUGCUGCUGCCGGCGGUCACUGGCGAGCUCUCCUCUCGCGCCCCCUACCUGGCGCGCCAGAUGUCGUCGCACGGGGCUCCGUCACCGGGGACGUGCUGACACACCCCCUUUUAGGUUCGGCAGGGGCGUCGGGGAUCGCUCCGGCGAUCGCCGGCAUGGCCGAUGGCGUAUGCGAACUGCAAAGUAAGGUACCCAUGAUGCAUGCAAGCUAAGGACACAUGCACACACGUUUUUACCCAGGUUCGGGCCACCCGGAGGAGUAAAACCCUACGUCCUGCUUGUCUGAGCUGGUAUUAUCACAAAACCAAGUGUUUACAGGUUGUCGGGGAGGGUUCCUGGGUACUCUCUCUCUUCUGAAUGACCAAAAAACCAACCCUUUGACCGUUGGCGGGGGUCCUCCUUUUAUAGCCAAGGAGAUGCCACAGGUGCCACGAUGCACGGAUUACAAGUGGCGAGCAGGGAGACAGGGCAACUCCCCUUCGGUGCGCUGGGGGAAUGCAUGAGUGCCAACUCCUCAGCUAGGAACCUAAGGCCUAGCUCUGGACAGCCACUGUUCACUCGACUGGACGGGUAACUUCCCUCUUGUCGGUCCAUUAAAUGCGCCGGGUGCUUCACUCCUUGCCUUGGCAGAACUGCGCGCGGAUUGCCUGACGCGCGCCCACGUGGGCGCCGCUACUCUGCCUGCUGGGGCCCGCCCUCACGACGGGAGCCUUCGCCCGGGAACCCCCUCCCGGCAAGUGACUUCCCGGGAGGUGGCCAGGUGGGAAUAUUCCCCAAAGCCCCGCUAGCCCUUCCGGGCUGGGGCUAGCCGGGUAGCACGCUAACUGCUUCCCGGGGUGAUGCCUUCCCGGGAACUCGGUGAUGCGACCCACGCGUCGCGCGACGGUGGUACCCCGGGUGCCACUGGUGCGACACAUUUCCAGUCUGGUACUGGCAAUGGUCGUAGUAAUCCAGCUGGCUUUUGAUGUUCAGCCUUGACUCUGCUACAAACAUCACACAAAUCCAUGUACAUCUUUGUAUUACCGGGGUGGAUUGAGUAUGGUGAAUCAUGAGCUUCCUGUAGUGUUAGCUUUCUGAUUUCAGGGUCCUGUGGUACACAAAUACACUUCUCAAACCAUAUGGUACCUUGGUCAUCCUCAACGAAUCCUUUUGCCUUUUCGACAGCCAUAUUAUCUUUUAUCGUCCUAAUUUCUGAGUCUUCUUUCUGGGCUUCUCUAAUUCUGUCCAACAGAGUGGGUUGUACUUCCAUGUUGGCUAAGCAACCUUCCAGGACUAUCUCCAAUCUGAGGUCCUUGAAUUGCUCACACAAUUCAGCGAGUAAUUCUCCGGCUGUAAGUCCAUUAACGUAGCCCUUGCGGCUCAAAGCGUCGGCUACUACAUUAGCCUUGCCUGGAUGGUAUUGCAGAUUCAAAUUAUAAUCCUUGAUUAACUCUAACCAUCUUCUUUGUCUCAAGUUCAAUUCCUUCUGGGUGAAUAUAUAUACUUCAAGCUCUUGUGAUCGGUGAAUAGUUCACAAUGUUUUCCCAUGAGAUAGUGCCUCCAAGUCUUGAGUGCGUGCACCACAGAUGCUAGUUCCAAAUCAUGUGUGGGGUAAUCCUUUCAUGAUUCUUAAGUUGUCGUGAGGCGUAUGCUACGACUCUUCCUCCUUGCAUCAAAACACAUCCCAAUCCUAGGCGCGAAGCGUCACAGUAAACUUGGAAAUUUUCCAGUAGGUCGGGCAAAACGAGGAUGGGUGCUGAUACUAGCCUCUUCUUCAAAUCUUGAAAACUUUCUUCACACUUAUUAGUCCAUUCAAAUUUCUUCUCCUUCUUCAAAAGUCCUAAGAAGCUGCGAACAUCUCCGACGUUCUUAGGGGCUUCCCAUUCAGUCACCGCUGCUACUUUAGCAGGAUCAACGGCAACACCGUCUCCUGACACAAUGUGUCCCAAGAAUCCUACUUCGGACAACCAAAAUUCACACUUGCUGAAUUUUGCAUAAAACUUGUGCUCUCUAAGCUUUUCCAUGAUCAGACACAAAUGUUCUUCAUGCUCUUCUUUGCUCUUUGAGUAGAUCAAAAUGUCGUCGAUGAACACUACGACAAACUUAUCCAAAUAUUCCAUGAAUACCUUGUUCAUCAUAUUCAUGAAGUAUGCCGGGGCAUUGGUUAAUCCAAAAGGCCACUGUGUACUCAUACAGGCCAUACCUAGUGGUAAAUUCUGUCUUGGGUAUAUCCACUUCUUCGAUCUUUAACUGAAAAUAUCCCGAUCGAAGAUCGAUCUUGGAGAAAACACAGGCUCCUUUCAAUCGAUCAAAUAGAUCAUUGAUUAUGGGUAGUGGGUACUUGUUCUUUAUCGUCACCUCAUUUAGUGAUCGAUAGUCUAUGCACAUCCUUUGGCUCUUGUCUUUCUUUUCCACAAAUAGGACAGGUACUCCCCAUGGUGAUGAGCUAGGGCGAAUAAAUCCUUUGGCCAACUGUUCUGCAAGUUGCUUCUUCAGUUUUUUCAAUUCAUCUACAGCCAUCUUAUACGGUCUCUUGGCUAUAGGUCCACUUCCAGGCAAUAACUCAAUAAGAAAUUCCACAUCACAGUCCGGUGGCAUGCCUGGUAAUUCCUUUGGAAACACAUCCGGAUAUUCCUUCACUAUCGAUACAUCCUCUAGGCUAACCCCCUUAAGAGAAUUUACCUUGGGUAACUCAAGCUCAUAGGUUGACUUGAAGCGGAUUCGUUUCUUCUCCGGGGUUGUGAGUGUAAUUGUCCUCUUGACACAAUCUAUGAGUUCUUCAUACUUGGCUAGCCAAUCCAUUCCUAGGAUCACAUCCAAGCCUUUGGAUCCUAACACUAUCAGGUCUGUGGGGAAGUUGUGUUUUCCAAUUUCUAGUGUUAGCAUUCGGCAUUCAUAGGCCGUUAUCAUCUCUCCCCCAGGUGACUUCACCUUCAUAGGGUUCACUAAGGUGCUAGUGGGUAACCCAUUCUUAUGCACAAAAUUCCUUGAGAUAAAAGAAUGCGAUGCACCGGUAUCAAACAGUACGAGUGCUUCAAAAGAAUUUAGACGGAAGGUGCCUUUUACGAUACCUUGCUCCUCCGUGAUUUCCACCACGUUGACGUGGUUCACGUUGCCCUUCUGGAAUGGGUUAGGCUUUGCUCCCGCUUCGUUGAACUUCUCAGGACAAUCGUUGGAGUAGUGCCCCAUCUUGUGACACUUAAAGCACUACACUUGGCUCAGAUCCCUGCCAGUGGUGCGAUUCUGCCCUGGGUUGCCUCCAUUGUUCUGGCCAUUGCCCUUGUUGUUGUUGAUCCUUGGAUGCUGGUGCUGGUGGUUCGGGCUGCCAUUACCUCCCUGGUGGUGGUGGUGUACUUGACCUCCAUGGCGGUGAUGGUGUCCAUUCCCUCCAUGGUGACUCUGAUGAUUUCCCCCAUGCUUAACCAUCGAGGAGCUGCCACUACCCUCGUACGAGGUGCGCGACUUCUGGUGUGGACCAGCGUGGUUAUUGCCAUGGUGAGGCCUCUUCCUCCGGUUUUCCAUCUGAUUCUGCUUGUUUUCAAGAAUGAUGGCUUUGUCCAUGAGGGACUGGUAGGUCGGGAUGUAAACAACUACCAGUUGAACGGCGAGUUCGUCGUUCAAGCCAUCCAGAAACCUUUUCCGGUGUUUUGCAUCAGUGUUGACGUCGUCCGGGGCAUAGUGUGACAACUUGUUGAAAACCUCAAUGUAUUCUGACACGGUCCUGUUCUCUUGCCUCAGUUUGUGGAAUUCCCUCUUCUUUAAGCUCAGCACGCCCGCAGAGAUGUGGGCGGUGCAGAAGGCAUCUUGGAACAUUUGCCAUGUUACCUCCUCCAUGGGGGUGGUAAUCUGAUAGGUCUCCCACCAAGCUGCGGCAGGUCCCUCAAGCAGGUGAGCAGCAAACCUCACCUUGUCGGCUUCAGUGCAGCCCACGGUCACUAGGCAUUUGCUCACAAAACGGAGCCAAUCAUCAGCCACAAUUGGUUCCGAGGAGCUGGUGAAAGUAGGUGGGCACAGUCUCAGGAAUCUGGUCAACAUAUCCAACUGAGGAGGUGGGUUGGGGUUCUGGUUGUUGUGGUUGUUGUUGUUGUUGUUGUUGUUGUUGUUUGGGUUGUUGUUCAUCUGCUGAGUCAAAGCCUGCAGAAUCUGAGUCUGUGCAGCCAGCAGUUGCUACAUAGUGGCAGCAUUAUUGUCCGGUCCCUCCUCAUUGUUGUCAGCGGAGCGGCGGGUUUCACGUCUCGACGGCAUCUGUUUUGGGACAGCAUAGAUGAGGAUAAAAGACAAGACAGGGUCUAAAGAAAACUAAGCCUCACAACACAGGCAAUACAACAAUACAAACAACAAGUAUCACAAGCAUAACAAUUUAAUCAUGUACAAGACAGGUAUAAAGCAAGCAAAAGCAUUCACUAAGAUUUAACAUCCAAAGCAAAUAGUUCACAAGGCAUACCAGCCUAAAGCACGAGUAAAAGUUGCAAGUAAACACACGAAUCUACAUUGCCAUACCACAACGACGGCAUGGUCAAUGACUAACACGAUAACGAUAUAGUAACAUAAAUAGUUUGGCGGCCUCCAAGCUGAAGCUAAGGAAGUGAAAGGAAGUUGGCGUUUCCGGAGUUCCUCGCCCUGGAACGGGUGCGGGUGGCAGGUGUGUCCAUCGCCUGCGCCUCCUGAGGUUCCUCCUCCUGUGGCUCCAUCUCCUCGUCCUGAGGGGGUGGUGGAGCUUGUGCUGGUGCAGGGGCAGGUGUAGGUGUGGUUGCUGGAACAAGGUUGGCGUUGUUGGCCUGGGCUUGGAGCUGAUCAUACUUGAGCUGCAGGAGGUCCUUCUCGUACAUAAUCUGCUCCAGGAUCUCAUGCAUGUUCAGGAUGACAUCUCCCCUGCGGUUCACCUCAGAUAGUUUCUGCGCCAAUUGUCCUUGGAGUAUCCCCACCUGGUCUUCAGCUAUGUCCGCUCGGGUCAUCUCGUUGUAGAGACACUUCCCCAUGUCCACCAUGUUCUGCUCCAAAGCUUGAAACUAAACAUCCUCCAUGUGCGGGUCAUCGCCUAGGAUUUCUGGUCCCAAGGCAUUUCCGCCAACAACUCAUCUCCCGAAGCUACGGAAGACGGAGUCCUCAGGCAGGUCGUCAUGGUACACCUCGCACACACAAGCAAUCACGUGCUGCAUGGCGAACUGGAGUCCCAGCUUGUAGUCGGGGUAGCGCACGAAGUAGGUGAUGUCGGGCGUCAAUGGAACAACAGCUCAUCCUUUGAUCUCGGUGUCGAUCUCCCAGCGGCGUGUUCCUCCCUGGGAUCCCACCGGUUCAGCACAUCCUCGGAAGCAGGGUGCUGCCAGGUUUAGCGUCUUGCACAGAGAGGCCAACUGUCUCCCAAACGGGAUGUCAUCGUCAACUGUUGGGUAGUGGACAUGAGUGUAGGGGCGUUCGUCUCCGAAGUUUGGUGGGCUGUUCAUCUACAAGAUUUAUGGUGGAAGGAAAGAAUCAGUCACAUGAUCAAGUGGGUAAAUGCACAAUGUAACAAUGACAAUAUGAGGUGUAUAGUAUGCAAACAUGACGAAUAACUGCAAUAGUGGAAAGUAUGACAGUGUAUUAUGAGAAGUGUAUAUAGAUGCAUAUAAAAUCUAAAGAUGCAAGUGGAUGAAUAAUCUUGCAGGUGUGGAUAGAGUAAAAACACAAGUAGCAAAUAUGCAUUGAACAAUCGUAUGAUUGCAAGUGUAUAUGAAUAUGUAUGUAACCCAGUAUGCAAAUUUAAAGUCGUAUGAAAUGCAUAGAACAAUCCUAUGGUCUCCUUUGGUCUAAUCUAUGCUAGGGUCACGUUCCUACAGGCAACACAAACCUGGCUCUGAUACCAUCUGAACCCGUACACGGGUUCGAUCUCUGUGCUUUAGUGCUAGUCCCUGGAUCGACUCACUAGCACACACAGUUUCAAGAUGUAAUAUCAUAGAACAAAGGUCUCGAUAUUACAACGUAUCAUCGAGAAUUUAAAAGUAUUUACAACUCGCAUAACCCCAUGUGUUAGCUGGAAUAAAACAAUUGUUUUGCAACAGAAAGCGAAAGAUACAAGGGCUACAUCAACACCACGGUGAGAGUGUGUUGGAAUAUAGGCCCGUAACCCAAACAAGCAGUACGCACAUCUUAUUCGUCGUCGGAGCUUCCUGCAUCAUUAAACGAUGCAGGCACUAGGGUCAGUACAUUGAAUGUAUUGGCAAGAUUCACCAGGAGAUAUAUCAGAACCUACCAAGUAUAUGCAUAAUGUGGCAAAGUGGGGUCCAAGGUUAUUUGCAUAAAAGCUUUGUUAUUUAAUCCUAUCUUUUAAACAAAUAGAUUUUAUCACUAUUGGACAUGGGGUAGACACACCCAUGCUCCUAUUAAACUAAGGACAUUGAGUAGACACAUCAAUGCUCCUAAAAGCCAAGUUCAAACCAUUCAUUUUAUUAAGAAAUUAGAAUGAGUGAGACUUUCCUUACAGCUCCACAUCUAGUUGCUCAAAUUGUCCAAUGUCGGGGACACGGCUAAGUACUUAGUUUUGACGCUCUCGAGACUUUGUACACAUUCCACACAAGAAACCGACGUGUUAAUCCCUUGCUGUCCUCAGGGUAGAGUAGCAACGGAAUCGAUUACGAGAUUUUCAGACGUAAUUCCCUAAACCACGAGAGAAUCACGCUCCCCCUACACAGUUACCUUAGUACAAUUCCUCGGGUGUAACAUCCCAAAAAAUUCAAACUUUUACAUGAGCAUUGCAUCCAUAAGCAUCAUGCCACAAUUGCAUUUUUGAAUUCAAAUUUUGAAUCUCAAAAGGCUUAAAAAGAUUUUAUUUCAAUUUAAACCCUAGGGUUUACACCCAUUUGAGCUUUGAAUCUUCAAACCAAUAAGGUUUAUUUAUAAAAUAAGUUUAUUGUAUAAAUGAGCUAUCCCAUAUUUUUUGGAUAAUUAUUUGGAGUUGAAAAAGUAUUUUAUUUAAAUAGUUAUUGUCGUCGCUCGGUGCUCCGACACCGGGGGUGUGCGGCCACGACCCCCUUUUAGGUUCGGUAGGGGCGUCUGGGGCGGAGACCCGGUGAUCGCCGGCACGGCCGAUGAGGCCCUACGGGGCCGGCGAGACGAAGUGCUAGGGGUACGCGCUAGUCCAAGAAAAGAUGCACGCACGUUUUUUACCCAGGUUCGGGCCACCCGGAGGUGUAAAACCCUACGUCCUGCCUGUCUGAGUUGAUAUUGAUUACCGAUCAAAUGUUUACAAGUUGUCGGGCAAGCUCCCGGGCUUGCUCUCAGUGACUAAGUGCUCCUCACUGCUCUCUGCUGCUGUCUACUGGAGCCCAAAUAAGCUCCCGCCGAGCCAGAUUGAGUGAACUUACUGAACUGAGCCACCGGAAAAAUAUCCAACCCCCUGACCGUUGGCAUGGGUCCUCCUUUUAUACUCAAGGGGAUGCCAUAGGUGGCACGGUGCAUGGGCUACAAGUGUCCAACGGGGAGGCACACAACUCCCCCCGGUGAGCUGGUGGCGUGCAUGGGUGCCACCUCCGCUACUAGGGGCCUAAGACCCUAGGGUAGGAUCAGACAACCACUGUUAUUUUGAUCGGACGGGUAACUACUCGUCGGUCGGCUCGUUUACUGAGCCGUGCGCCUUACCCCUUGCCUUGGUGGGACUGCGCGUCCCGCGACCGCCAUGCGCCCGCGUGGCGCUGUCCACUGGGCCCCACGACCGAGGCGGGGGCACGCGCCCGGGAACCCCCAGUCCCAACAAGUCAAACCCGGAAAGCACCCGGGCCCAACGCACCCGGGAACCCCCUCCCGGGAAGCCGCUUCCCGGGAGGUGCCCAGGCGGGAAUAUUCCCCGAAGCCCUGCUAGCCCCUUUCGGACUGGUAGCUUGCCGGGGAGCUCAUAGACGCUCCCCGGGAUGAGACCUUUCGGGAACCCGGGAACGGGGCCCAAGCGUCGCGCAGCGGUGGUACCCCGGGUGCCACUGGUGCGACAGUAGCCCCCGGGCGUGGGCCGGCAUCAUCUGUUCCCGGAAGGGUCUCCCCCUGGUCGGUUGCCGGGCUACGCCCUUAACUGACGCGUCGGCCCCGAUCAGUCGCGGGCCCGCGUCCCUUCGCUGCCCCGUGUACAGCGCCGUUACAAGCGGAGCAGUGGACACGCGAUCUCCGCCCUAACUCCCCCCCACCUAAAUAGGGUAGUUAAGGCCACUCCGCGCAUUGCUCCCAGUGAUUAGGAGUUAUCCCCGCGCACCCGUAGGGUACGGAACCGGCCGUUACCAAACGGCCCGGCGUCAUAAAGCCUCUACUGUUGCCAAUAGGGGAACAACACUCUGCCCUUUCGCCUCCAUCCUAUUCCACAUCUCGCAACCCUGCACUCCUGCUAGCUUCCGCCCUUGCUUUCCAUGGCGCCCCCCACCACCAGGAAGGGGAAGGAGGUCCAAACCUCGAAGAAGGCCGCGACAAGCAAGACCGAGGCGGCAAUCAAAGCGGCCGCCGCCAAGGACCAGAAGAGGCGGGAGAUGCGCGCCACAGUCGCCUUCUUCCAAUCCGGCCACAACGGCGUGGCGCUGGAGAAGCUCUGGCACGCCGUCGCCUCCAGCUUCAACGAGCACGGGGAGACUCAAAUCCUCCCGGCGGGCGCCGAACGCCAGGACAACGAUUUCCGGGUGUUCGCGCGCUUCCUCCUCUGCGGCAUGGUGUCGCCCUUCUCUCUGUUCCUCCAUGCACUGAUGGAGUCUUAUCAGUUGCUGGUGGCGCAGCUCCACCCCACCUCGCUCUUCCUCCUCGCCACCUUCCAGUUCCUCUAUGAGGCGUCCGUGGGGGUGAUGCCGUCGGUGGGGCUCUUCCGCCACUACUUCUACCCGCGCAUCGACAACGCGAAGGCGAUGUCGUCAGGGGUGGUCUUCCGUGCCCGCGACCAGAUGAAGUCCGAGUUCAUCGUCCGGUCGGGGAAGAAGAUUGAAAAAGAGUGGCGGGGGGACCGGUGCUAGGUCCGACUGGAGGACCCCCAGGAAUUCAUCCAGUCGCCGACGGAGUUGCCGGACCCCAGAACGGCUGGCAGGACAGGUACCACCGUGACGCCGACCUUUCCCUCAUCGUGGAGAAGAUCAAGGCACUGUGGCUGGCGGGGCUCACCGAUGUGGACGUGGCACGCACCUUCAUCCAUCGGCGCAUUGCCUCGCUGCAGCUACGUUUCCGGCCCGCGUGGAUGUACACAGGUUCCGGGGACAGGACACGCCUCCAGGAGGACGGCAUGGACUUGGAGACCCUCAGGACAUGGGUGAGGGGGAUCUCCGACGAGAUCUUCCAAUCCACGGAGUUCCCGCCAGGGGUUUCCUCUCUUCAUGCCGGCAUCAAGGCGCUCAGCGACAUCGUCGGCGCCUUCCCGCCCUGCAACGAGUGGGGGUUGAUGGAUGACACCCCACCCGGGUCCCGCACGCUCCCCCGCAAGCACCCCGCGAGAAGCAGGUGCUCGAGGAGAGCGGGGGCGGAUCCGAUCCCAGCUGGCCAUCCCUCCAGUCGCUGGACGACGAGGUGGGCCAGGGGGCUGCGUUCCCGGAGGUCGUCCCUGUGGAGGACGACGACGAGGAAAUCAGCGAUAGCGCGCCCUUGAUCGUGAGAAGAUCGAGGGCGUUUGUGGCGGCCGCGGCUACCUCUUAGACGGCAACGUCCACCCCGGCAGCGGCCCCCAAUCUCGCGGCGGCGGCCGCUUUAGGGGUGCCCGUCGACACCUCGUCGGCAUCCGCGGCAACCGGGGCCGCGGGUGCCCCGGCGGCGGCCUCUGCCUUGGUGGCAGCCGCCAGACCGUGGCGGGGGCCGGUCCCGGGGUGCCCGCCGGUACCUCAUCGGCAUCCGCGGCAAUCGGGGCCGCGGGUGCCUCGGCGGCGGCCUCGGCCUUGGUGGCAGCCGCCCGCACCCUGGUGGGGGCCGGUCCGGGGAUGCCCGCCGGUACCCCGGGAACGCCGGCGCCUGCUGGGGUCACCGGUGCCCCGGCGACGGCCUUUGCCCCGGCAGCGGGGGCCUUCACGAGUCCAGCUCCCGGCGCCGCGGCGGCCUCGCCGUCCUCAUCCGGAGCUCUCCGGGUCACGACAACUCCGAGGGCGCCGUGGGGGUCUUCCGGGGUUUCGCGCUCCGGCAUAACCCCCCGAAGUCCUCCUCGCCGGCGGGUGCCAGCAAGAGGGCGAGGAGUGAUUCCCCGCCCGGUACACCUAGCAAGAGGACACCCGCCGACACCAGCGGCGCCGCCGACCCCACCGCCGCAGGGGCCGGCCGCGACACGGGCAUGUCCCUUGGCGACCUAGCCCCAACGGAGGCAGGGCCAGUAGCCGGUAUGUCCUCGUUGUUCCUCUACAAUCGCUAUUUUCGUUAGCCAAACUCAUGAACAUACCUUCUUUUUGUAGUGAGCGGCAGCUCGUCCGCGGCAAUCCCCGGGGAUGCUCCCAUCGGCGCAGGCGAAGCAGAGGAGGCUGCCUCGGCUAGCCCGACGACCGCACAAGGUAAUCGCCUUGACCGCUCCCUGCUGCAUUUGAAGGCGCCAUCCUUUGUCGAACCUCAUGCUUCUCAUUGUUGCAGGCACAAGUGCGCCCACGCCCGGAGCGAGCGUGACCGGGGUCGAUCUUGAUCCGGUCGUCGAGGCCGUGGGGGCGGAGGUGGAGCCGGAACCGGCUCGCACAUCCAAUCCCGCUGCGGCGGACUCAGCGGCAGUAGGGGGCACUGCCGCCGCCAUGACAGCGGCGCCCAGCGUCGCGCCCAUAGGCGCGCGCGCGGCCAGCGCAGGCUCACCUGCAGCCCGGCAGGGGGCAACCCCUGCCCGGCGCAGGGAAGCUUCUCCAGCCCCUGGGUCCCCAGGCGCAGGCACAGGGGAGGUUGCCGGGGGAGGACAGCAGGGCCCUCGGGAGCAGGCUGGCGACCCGGCGCAAAACCCCACAUCUGCAGCAGGGGCCUCAUCGUCCUCGGCGGCGCUUCCCGGCACCGACCUCGGCAGUAGUUGGCUUUCGUCACCUCCUUCAAUGAGGUGAGGGAGCACCACACCGCCGCCAAGAACCAGCUCGGCGAGGUGCGGGAGGCCGUAGAGAGAGAACGGCGAGAACUCUCCCGGCUGCGCGAGGAGACGCGCCUUGCCGAAGAGGAGGCGCGGUUGGCCCGACAACCCCUGGAGGCCGCUCGGGAGCCGAUGGUCUCGGAGGCUGAGCUCCACCAGCAGCUAGAGGCUCAGCGCAUGCAGCUUCAAGGGAAGCUGGACACGAUGGCGGCCACCCUCAAGGCGACCAGGAAGGAACAUGCCGAGGUGGUCGCGGCGGCCCAGGCCCGGCUGGACGAGAAGAGCGUCUUGAUCGCCAACUACCGUAGCGAAAUCCAAGGCCUCCGCGUCAUGCUGGAGGUGCAGGUCAAAGCUGUCGAGGAUGCUACGAGAGUGGCGGCUCGACACGAGGCCGAGCUCAACUCCGCCAAAGACAGAGCGGCCAGGUUCGAGGCCGAGUUGGCCGCCGCGCGGGAGGAGCUCGCCAAGGCCGGCGAGGACAACGCAGCCAUGGCCGAAGAGAUUGUGAAGCUAGAGGGCCGUGUACGAUGUCCGACUCCAUCACGGCACGCUGAUCCGGCAGCGGUAGCUCGAGACGGAGAAGCUGACGAAGAUCGCCCAGUCGUUGCGCGACCUGCUGCCCAAGUUUGAGUUGCAGGCUGCGGAGGUGGACGGUACGGAUAUCACGAUGUUGAUCCCCUUCUUCUCUGACUUGGUGGGGAAGCUCAGGGCGCUCGAAGUCUGGAUCGCCAAGUACGGCGCCAACGAAGUCGCCAACUACGCUCGGGAGGUUGCCGGGACAAUCCUCCCGCGGAUUCACCUCCGGGACCCGGAGUUUCCCUCCGAGUCCUUGCUGGACACUUGGUCCGACAGUGAGUAUGAGCCCACGCACACCCAAGCAGUGCGCAAGUUUGUCGACGAGGUCGUCGAGCGAAUGCAGAUGAAGCCGGAGCCUGAUCUCUCCACGGACCCCCCGGCCGAAGACGGCGACAACUAGCUGCCGCAGCCCCCAGCCAUGCUCAUUGCUCCCUCUAUAUCUUGCUUUUUUUUGCUUUUCCUGCAAGUAUGGCGCUUAGCGCCGUUAGAACAAUCACCUUUUGAUUAGUCCAUGUAAUCAUUCGGCACUUAAUCAACCAAGCUUGUUAAUUUACUCAAUUUUUGCCCCUUGUUCCCGAGGCUGCCUUGCGGGGUGGUUCCCUUAGCCUUUGUGUGUUGUGCCUUGUGUUGCCGGGGGCUCGCACGCUCCACCCUUGACCAGACUAGGGACCCGGGACAGACCCGCAAUGCCGACCUGGGGUCAAGCGGUAGGCGGCGAGCCACUCCACUUGCGGGGUAACUACUCCAAGCCAUGCCCUCCCGGGACGGACCCGGAAGCCACACGGGGAGCGCACUGCCCCCGCAAGCGUCCUCCUCACACCCCGGCCACACGCGGGUUCCGGGGCCACACUUGGCGAAGCAGCGUCCAAUUCUUAGUUAAGUAAACUUUUUCAAUCAUGCUCGUUGUUCCCAGUGCUGUCUAGUGGGGUGGCCCUUUUAGCUUUUGCGUGUUUCGCCCUGUGUUGCGGGGGACUCGUGCACGCCUCACCCUUGACCAGACCAGGGACCCGGGACUGACCUGCGGUGCCGACCUGGGGCCAAGCGGUAGCGGGGAGCCACUCUACUUGCGGGGUAACUACUCCGAGCCGUGCCCCUCCGGGACGGACCCGCGAAGUCACACGGGGAGCGCACUCCCCCCGCAAGAAUCCCUUUAACACCCCGGCUACGCGCAGGAUCAGGGGGUACACCCACCGAGACAGUGCUCAAUUUCAUUUUGUUCUUAGUGAACUCAGUGUUCAUGUUUAGACACUUAGCUUUUCCGUUCAGUCCAAUUCUCCGUGACUUUCGACGGUAGAGUGCAGCUGGGGCACUGCCUUGGUAGGAACCCUCCUUGGGUACCUGUUUAAGAGAAACGAUCUCUGACGGAUGCGGCGGGAGCGGGGGGCAGGAUCGCCGCCCGCGGCAACCGCCGAUGACGACGCUACCACCACGCUCACGCGGUAACCCUCACCUUCAGGGACGAACCCUGGCUCAUGAGGACUCCGCCCCGGGAGCAGCCGCAAGACGGCUAUAACGUCCUCGCCGCCAGCUGCGCCCCACCCCGAGCAGCGGGCACGGGUGGCGAGGAAGUUAUAGCCUUCCGGCGACAGCCCCCGCAACCGGGGAGACCUGGUUUAUUCUAGGGAGCUCGUCCCAAGGGAUGCGACAGCCCUUGUUGCCAGGGAGCAAAACUACUCGAGGGCCGCGGCAGGGACGCGGUGAUGGGCCGGAAUGGGCGACGAGCGCCGGCACCGGCGCCAUCACAGCGUCCCCGCAACGACCCGCGCCCGAAAAAGGCUCUCUCAAAGGGAAUGCGGCCGGGUCUCUAUGAUAGUGCACCCGUCGGCACAAGGCACGGAGGGCAUACACUACCAUAGAGUCUCCGCGGCAGCCCCGACUCCUUGCGGAGGUGUCCUAUGGAGGGGGGCGGCAAGGGCAUUGCGGCAAUGCACCCGUCCGCGCCGGACGCCCAUGGGAUGCACCACCACAGUGCCUCUGCGGCGACCCUCUCCCAGGAGCCGCCCACUUGAGGAAGCGCGGCAGGGGCACAACGGCAGUGCACCCGUCGGCAGAGGACGCCGAUGCCAUGCACUCCCAUCGUGCCUCUGUGGCGUCCCUCGGGGCGGGCUCGAUGGGGCUGAUGCAGCAGGGGCGUGAUGGCAGCGCACCUGCCGGCGGUAGGCACAGGCAGGAAGCACCACCUCCGCGCCUCUGUGGCCCCGCCCAUCUUAACAGCCCCGAACCCGGCUUCACUCCGAGCCGUUUCAUGGUUGGGGCGCACCUUUUAUAGGCGCGGGAGGGGGGCUUGCCACCGCGCGCGAUGGACCCACGCAACACCGUGGUGCCCUUUCUUCGAACACGGCGCAGUUUCCGCCGCCAUGUUUACCAGGCACACGUGGCGGCAACCUGUCGACUCAGAAGCCUCGGAGUGCGGUGAGCCCCUUGUGUUGCGGUCCUCCCGCACCACAAGGCACCGGUAUAUGGUGUGACCCGUGGGCAGAUCACGGGCACCACAGUGUACAAGAUUCCACCCUUUCCUGCAGGUUAUACUCUUACCAGGCCCAAGGUGCUGCAAAAAAUUUCGAAACCUACGAAAAUAAGCAACACAGACAAAUCCCUCCUGCCCCCCAGCCCCCGGGCACAAAGGGGUCGAUGCCAAACUUGAGUGUGAGCAUUUCCUUUCCCAGGCGCAGCGACUACGCGGUGCAAGCUGCAGGGGGCCGAGCAACUGCACGCCUAGUGAUGCAAGUUGCGGGAAGCCCGCCCACGGCAUGUCCAGUGAUGCACGUUGCGGGAAGCCCGGCAACGGCAUGUCCAGUGAUGCACGUUGCGGGAAGCCCGCCAACGGCAUGUCCAGUGCCGGAACGAUCCGGCAACGGGUUUAUGUUUCGAGGCCACAACAGCCCCUUGCUCACAACCAAGUAUGGAAAGACACUUUUGUGCACUUAAAGCGGGAGACAGAAGAGGGAAAAACACGCGAAUAAACAAAGCAAAUCCGAAGCUCAGGGGCAAAACACUUAUCUUUAUUCACGAUUAACUAGCGGUUUACACACGGGGGCUGCCCGGUUACACUAGUUCGAGAGGUAUGCAUCGGAGGCAUCACCUGAGGGUCGGGCUCCGCCGCUUCACGGGUAGAACUUGCGCAAGUGCUCAAUAUUCCAGCUAUUGGGCACCGGCAAGCCGUCUUCGGUUUCCAGGCGGACAGCCCCCGGCCUGGUCACCUGCACUACCCGGAAGGGGCCUUCCCAAUUCGGAGUCAACUUGGUCCCGGCCUUCGUUCCUUGUAUCCGGCGCAGGACAAGGUCUCCGUUCUCGAGCCCCCGGGGACGGACUCGCCUGUCGUGAUAACGACGGAGUCCCUGCUGGUAGCGCGCGGCUCGCACAGCAGUCUGGCAUUGAAGCUCCUCAAUGAAGUUUAGAUCAUCGACCCUUUGCUCGUGUUGGCUGGUGUCGCCGUACGCGCGUACUCGGGGAGAUCCAUACUUGAGCUCGAGGGGCAGCACCGCUUCUGCCCGUAGACAAGGGCGAAAGGAGUCUCGCCCGUUGCCCGACUAGGUGUGGUCCGGAUGGACCACAGCACGGGCUGGAGUUCUUCGACCCAGUGUUUCCCGUGGCCUUUGAGCUUGUCAAAGGUUCUCGGCUUGAGCCCCCGCAGCACCUCUACGUUGGCUCGCUCCGCUUGUCCGUUCCUCCUCGGGUGAGCAACGGACGCGAAGCGCAGCUUAGUGCCCAUUUCUUCGCAGUAGGCUUGGAACGCUACGCUCGUGAACUGCGUGCCGUUGUCGGUGAUAAUGCUGUUAGGCACACCAAACCAGCACACAAUGCUUCUGAAGAACUUGAUGGCCACCUGGGCGGUCACCUUCCGUACUGGCUCUACCUCCACCUACUUGGAGAACUUGUCGAUGGUCACGAAUAAAUAUUCGUCACCGCCAACCGCCCUUGGUAGCUUGCCGACGAUGUCGAGCCCCCAGACCGCGAACGGCCAUGAGGACGGGAUGACAUGCAGAGCCUGCGCCGGUUGGUUGCUCUUCUUUGAGUGGAACUGGCAUGCCUCGCACGUAUUCACAAGUUGCUCUGCAUCGGCCAGGGCCGUGGGCCAGUAGAAGCCAUGCCGAAACGCCUUGCCGGCUAGAGCCCGGGAGGCCACAUGGUGUGAACAUGUGCCUCGAUGUAUGUCUUCCAACAGUGCGCACCCUUUCUCCUGCGACACACAGAUGAGUUUGACACCGUUCGUACGCCUGCGGUAGUGGCUACCAUCUACCACAGUGUACAUCUUGGCUUGCCGCGCCACACGCUCCGUGGCGACGUCAUCUUCCGGGAGAGCCUCCCCUUUCAAGUAGCGGGCGAUUUCUUCCGCCCAGGGGGGAAUCUCCCUGCCAACGCAUGCUGCUAUAUCAGCGGCAUGGACCCCUGCUGCUGCAGGGGUUCCUUCGGUUGCCGGAAGGGCGUCCCCGGCAGCCGGCUGGGGGCGACUGAAGGAGCCACUUGCUUCUGACAGAACACCCCCGCAGGAGGCUUCCGGCGUUCUGCUACCAUCUUGGCCAGCUCGUCAGCAGGGAAGUUAUCCUUCCGCUUGACGUGCUCGAAGCGCAAACCUUUGAACUUUCGUUCUAGCUUGCGGACCUCUCCCACGUACGGCGCCAUUUGAGGCAGUCGUAGUCCUUGUUCAUCUGGUUGAUCAUGAGCUGGGAAUCACCGCGAACGACCAGGCGCUUAAUGUCGAGGGCGACCGCUGCCCGCCGCCCGGCAGGCAGGCCCUCGUACUCCGCCAUGUUGUUGGUGGAGUUAGCGAAGUCGAGUUGGACAGUGAACCUCAACUGGUCCCCUGUUGGUGACUCAAUGACGACCCCGGUGCCUGCUCCCUGAAGACUAAACGCACCGUCGAAGUAGAGGACCCAGUGGUCCUCGUCCAGCUUGCCAGGCAGGCUGGUCUCCGGCUCACCUUCUUCUACGCCCGUGGACGUCCACUCCACGACAAAGUCUGCCAGGGCCGUGCUCUCAAUGCUUUUGGAGUUGGCGAAGUGGAGGCCGAACUCCGACAACUCCAUCCUCCAUUCGGCCACCCUCCCGGUGGCUUCACGGUUGGUGAGGGCUCGCUCGAGACAGAACCCGGACACCACCGUGACGCGAUGCGCCUGGAAGUAGUGGCGCAGCUUCUGUACUUGCGGGUACCUUGUCCGCGCGUCGCGCAGCACCGUACUAACGAAGUACACCGGGUGCUGCCCCAACCGCUUCCGCAGUGCCGAGGUUGCCGACUCGGGGGCGGUCCCCGGGUUUGAGGCGGUUGCAAAAGGCCGCUCAGCCCCCUGCCCCGCCGCCCCAGUCCCCGGGACGUCUUCCUCCCUCUCCGCAACCAGCACUGAGCUGACCACCUGGUUAGUCGCCGCUAGGUAGAGUAGCAGCGGCUCGCCUAGCUUGGGGGCGACGAGGAUGGGCGGCGACUGGACCCGGGAAUGCUUGAGUUCCUGGAAUGCCGCCUCAGCCUUGGGAGUCCAGUCGACUGGACCCUUCUUCUUCAUCACCCUGAAGAAAGGCAAGGCACGCUCGCCCAGCCUGGAGAUGAAGCGUCCCAGCGCCGCAACACAGCCGUUGAGGCGCUGGACAUCUUUCACCUUGCGGGGGGCCUCCCUCUUCUCGAUGGCUUCUAUUUUGGUCGGGUUGGCCUGUAUCCCCCUGUGUGAAACCAAGAAACCCAGAAGCUGCGCGGAGUUGACACCGAAGGUGCACUUAUCAGGGUUCGGCUUGAGCUUGAUCCUGCGGAGGUUGCCGAACGUCUCCUGCAGGUCAUCAAUCAGCGAGUCCCCGCGCUUUGUUUUGAUGACGAUGUCGUCCAUGUAGGCCUCCGCAUUGCGGCCUAGCUGGGGCCCCAAACACUCGCGCAGAGCGCGCUGGAACGUGGAGCCCGCGUUUUUCAACCCGAAAGGCAUGCAUGUAUAGCAAUAGCAGCUAACCGGGGUGAUAAACGCUGUCUUUUCCUCAUCCUCGACCGCCAUCUUGAUUUGAUGGUAGCCGGAGAAAGCAUCCAGAAAACUCAGCAAGUCACAACCAGCGGUAGAAUCAACUAUCUGGUCGAUACGGGAUACAGGGAAGGGAUCCUUGGGGCAUGCACGAUUAAGAUCGGUAAAAUCUACGGAUAUGCGAAGCUUAUUCCCUGCUUUAGGCACUACUACAGGGUUAGCUAGCCAAGUAGGGUACAAAACUUUCCUGAUUGCCCCGGCAGCCUCGAGCUUGCCCACCUCUUGCCUGAUGAAAUCUUUCCGCUCUUGUGCUUGCCGCCGGAUCUUCUGCUUGACGGGGUGCGCAUCCGGCGCACCGCGAGCCGAUGCUCAAUCACAAGGUCCGACGGUUGCCAGGCGAACACGUCGGCGUUAUCCCGGAGGAAGGUGGCGAGGGCGCUUUCCUAUCCGGUGGCCAGGUCCGCACCGACGGUAACGGUGCGCUCCUUGUCGCCGGCUUGGAGCGGCAGCUUCUUCACUUUGGCGGCCUCCUCCCGGAGCCCCUGCCCCUUGCCGGGGCGUGAGCUCGAGCCUGCGCCUCCCCCAGCAAGCCCUUGCGGGGUAGCGCGGGCCUUCUUCGUUGCUGGGGCAUCGCCCGGCAAGCCGUCGGCCUCGACAGCAUCCUCGUCGCCGGCGUCCGCUGCAGCCGUGGCUCGGACGACCUCGCCCACGCACCAAGCCGGCAUAAAUGGACGGCAUCUUCAUCACGCCAUAGGCGCAAUGCGUAGCCGCCAUAAACUUGAUCAGCGCUGGCCGACCAAGGAUCCCGUUGUAGGGCAACGGGGUAUGCUCCACGUCGAACACUAUGUGCUUGGUUCUGAACGCUUCCCGGGACCCGAAGGUGACCUGCAGCGUGAUACGUCCCAGUGCACGCACGAUCCCGGGGUUCACCCCCCGGAAUGGUUCGGUGGGCUUCAGCUGCUCCAUCGGCAGCGGGAGCUUUUCCACCAGCCUGGCGGACAGGAGGUUAAGCCCCGCUCCGUUAUCCACCAGCACCUUGGUCACCGUCAUAUUGCUAAUGAUCGGCGAGACGACGAAGGCUAUUACCCCUGAACUCAACUGUCGUGCUGGGUGAUCGUCGGCGCUGAAGGUGCUCGGCACGUGCGACCACCUCAGCGGCUGUUGCGGCUCCGCAUCCGGCAGCAGCGCGCACACGUCGCGGGUGAGGCACUUCACCGCGGCAUGGGACGGGAGGGCGUAAGCUCCCCCAUGGAUGUAGGCGACGCCACGAGGCUCCUGGAAGCCCGGUUUGUCGCCACCGGUAUAGUCGGACUCGCGCUGCUCCUCAGCGCGCGCCCUGUCGCGUCCCCGAGGAGGGCAUUCCCGCCCGGCGCGGGGCUUACCGCGCCCCCCUUGGGGUUCACCCCUGCCGGCACCACCGCCGGCCGGCCUCGUCCCCGCUCUGGGGUCUUCGGGCAAUUUCAGGAGAGAUGCCCGAUGUCGCCACAAUUGAAGCAGGCGCCGGCGGCGCGGCGCUCCUCAUGGCGCUGCUCCCGCUGCUGCUUGAUCCCCUGCAGAACACGGCAAUUCUGCGCGUCGUGGGUGGAGUUGCUGUGGAUGGGGCAGCGGGGCGCGUCGCCCUGCUACGGCUCAUACCGCACCAUGACGCGCACGGCGAUGAUGGCUUCAGCCGGGGGGCAGCCGGUUUCCUAAAUGGCUGCUUCCCGCCUUGUCCACGAACGCCUCUGGGUGUGCAGGGUGCGAACCCCCAGGGGUUGCCCGUGACACGGCGUGCUCCUGGUGCCGCUCCCGCGGGGCGUCCUCGGGUCGCGAGUCAACCCGUAGGCUGGCCCGGGCGACGCCGUGCGUGCUUGCCCGACUGCCCCCUGCACGGGGGGCAGCCGAUCUCCUCAGCCGAUUGUCGGUCGACGGUCGGGGAGGCGCCGGAGGCAGCUGCGUUUGCUGCACCCUCGAGGGCUCGGGGUUCUCCUGAGCCCUCGACUCGGGUCGGACGUCGUGCGACCACGUGUGCGUCGCUGGGGCCUCAUGCGGGUCUAUGCGUGAGUCAGCAGCCCGCUUGGGGGGCAUGGUGACUAGACUCGUCGGCGAAGCAGAGCGAAGCCGACGCCGAUGGAAACUCUGCUGCCGGCGAUCUCCGGCGUUGUCCACUCUCGCGCCCCCUACCUGGCACGCCAGAUGUCGUCGCUCGGUGCUCCGACACCGGGGGCGUGCGGCCACGACCCCCUUUUAGGUUCGGUAGGGGUGUCUGGGGCGGAGACCCGGUGAUCGCCGGCACGGCCGAUGAGGCCCUACGGGGCCGGCGAGACGAAGUGCUGGGGGUACGCGCUAGUCCAAGAACAGAUGCACGCACGUUUUUUACCCAGGUUCGGGCCACCCGGAGGUGUAAAACCCUACGUCCUGCCUGUCUGAGCUGAUAUUGAUUACCAAUCAAAUGUUUACAAGUUGCCGGGCAAGCUCCCGGGCUUGCUCUCAGUGAGUAAGUGCUCCUCACUCCUCUCUGCUGCUGUCUACUGGAGCCCAACUAAGCUCCCGCCGAGCCAGAUUGAGUGAACUUACUGAACUGAGCCACCGGAAAAAUGUCCAACCCCCUGACCGUUGGCAUGGGUCCUCCUUUUAUACUCAAGGGGAUGACACAGGCGCUGUCCACUGGGCCCCACGCCCGAGGCGGGGGCACGCGCCCAGGAACCCCCAGUCCCAGCAAGUCGAACCCGGACAGCACCCGGGCCCAACGCACCCGGGAACCCCCUCCCGGGAAGCCGCUUCCCGGGAGGUGCCCAGGCGGGAAUAUUUCCCGAAGCCCUGCGAGCCCCUUUCGGGCUGGUAGCUUGCCGGGGAGCUCAUAGACGCUCCCCGGGAUCAGACCUUCCCGGGAACCCGGGAACGGGGCCCACCCGUCGCGCAGCAGUGGUACCCCAGGUGCCACUGGUGCGACAGUUAUAUAGCCCUAAAGGCAUUUAUAGGGAAAAUGUAUUUUUAUAUAUUUUAUUUUGAGGGAAAUUACUCCGAAAAGUUGUAUCAUGGUAAAACAUGAUUUUACAAAAAAAUUGGAAUUUAUUUAGACCAAUUUGGAGUUCAAAAUCAAAAGUUAUCAAAGAAAUGAGAAAAAGGGGGGAAAAAAAGAGAACCGGACCGGUCCGACCGCUUGGGCCGAACCCGCCCAGAACCGCCGCGCUGAAUCGAGCAAACCGGCCCCGCUAGCCCAGUCUGCCUGCGCGCGCCCGCUGCCACUGACAGGGGGGGCCCACCUAUCAGGGCGUUCUUCCCCCGAAGGAAAGACCCCGCCCGCAGCCGCGAUUCCCCGCCGCCGUUCCCGCGCGCUAACCUCGCCGAUCCGCCAUCUCCGUGCCCCCCCUACCUCGCCCGAGCGCGUCCUUAUAUAGGCCUUGACCUCCUCUUUCCUUCCCCUCUAACUCCCCUCGCUAUCGCGCCGCCAGGCCGCCCUAAUUCUUCGCCGGAGACGCCACUGCCGCCGCCGCGAUUUCGCUCGUCGCCGACAAUACGGUGAGCCAUUCUCACCGCCGCCCACAUAUCUAGUCUCCUCGCCUUCUCGCGGAUCUUGUGACGCAGUUGGUUUGGGUUUUGGUGCUCCGCAGUUGACUGUCGCCGACGACCGAAGCCCGCGCCGCCGUCUUCCCGACGUCCUAGACGACGCCUCCGUCGCCCCCGCGUCACCGGAACCCCGUCACCGGGCACGUCUCAUCACGACGAUCCGUCCGCGCGCUUCCCCGCGCCGCCAGCCCCGCCUGAGCACCCCGCGCCGCCGCCGCCCGUGCCGCGCCGCCGCUGAAAGCCUCGCCGGAACCCUAGUUCCCGGAGGUGAGAAUUCGACCGUCCAUCCAUCUCCAACGGCUAGGAUGAGAACUAGUUUUAUUUUUAAUCGAACCGGUACACGCCUAUUAGAACGUGACACGUGGCACCCAGUUAUAAAAUAAAAAUCUGAUUUUAAUCCCCGGAAUAAUUAAAUGGCACUUUUGGAGAAAAGCCCCUGUAACUUCAAACGAUCAUAUCUUUUAAUCUGUUUGGCCAAAUUUAAUGAUCCACACCUUUUUGGAAUCCUUAAGAAAUUUAAAAUCUCUUGGCACUGUCCAAUUUCAAAUUUGAAUAUUUGAAUCACAUUCAAAUUACAGAAUAGAGUUUAAUGCCAUUUAAUUCAUAACUAAUUAUUUAGAAGUCCUUUUUAAUUGAAACCAGUGCCCAAAAAUUUGUUUUAUUGUCCUCUGUCCAAUGAGAUAGAGAAAUAAAUAUUUUGAAUUAAUUUAGUUGGCUGAGGCCAAUAAACCUCAUUUUAGGGUUUAAAUCCUAGCCUUUGCAAUUUGUUUAAAAUCCUAAUUACAUGUGCUUAAUUAUCGAUGCCUUGGACCAGUAGAUCACCUAAAUAAAAUCAACCCACUCAUGUCACAUGUUUUGCAUUUCAUCAUGGCAUACAUAUUCUUUUGUUUGUAUGGUGUGUUUAUGUAUGCAUUGUUUGUAUUGUUUAGUUUUCUCGGAGACCGAACUGUGUGAUUGUGAAGAGUGCUUAAAUACCAACUACUAUCAAGGCAAGUUCACUUUGACCAUCAUCCCAUUAUUUUAUUAUGCACUAGAUUUUAUUAGUUGCAUUGUUAGGAUUAUUAUUGUAUCUAUGCUAGCUAUGAUCUGUCCUACUAGUAUAGGAUACCUUUGCCAUGUCCACACCACCAAUCGCCAUCGUAGUAGUAAAAUGCUAUGCUAUGAUAAUAUACGAGGGUGGUAUUAUUACAAUGUGAGGUUAUUGAAUUAAAGUAUGGUUUUCCUAGUGUAUGGCAAAACAAGUAAUUCAAUGAACCGUCCUGGGUGGACUGCUUUGAGUUUUCGAGUGUCGUGACGUUAGGUCCAUUUCUAUGGGGCCCGCUGAGUCGUCUCUCCGUGUGAUUCGGGAGCGUCCAUGGUCGUCUCCCCGUGCGAUUCGGGGAGCGCCUGCGUCACAAUGUGGGAUACCACCCGGGAUAACCAGAGACUGGACUAGUUUCCUGUUUAGUAGCUUCCAGUACAACCACAUGGUAUUAUGGGCUCUGCCAGGAUGGACGUAAGAAAUAUGAACCUGGAUCCGAGGUGACAUCGGUAUGUAGCAGUGUAGGUAGGGGCGCGUCCCUCAGGUGGUCUGGGGGAUUAUGUUCUGAAAAUUCCUGUAAUCGAUGCCGUUGCUACUCUACCCUGAGGACAGCAAGGGAUUAACACGUCGAUUUCUUGUGGGUAAAGUGUACCACCUCUCGAGAGUGUCAGACUAAGUACUUAGCCGUGUCCUCGGUUAUGGACAAAUAUGAGCAACUAGAUACUGGGGCUGUAAGGAAGGUCUCACUCAUUCCAAUUUCAUAAUAGAACGAAUGGAUUGAACUGGGUAGGAGCAUUGAUGUUUCUACUCAAUGUGCCUAGGUUAAUGAGAGCACGGGUGUUUCUACCCCGUGUCCAAUAGAAUUCAAAACUAUUUGUUUAAAAAUGAUAGGAUUGAACAAUGAUGCUUUUAUGCAGAAAGCCAAACCCCUCCUAGCCAAAUUAUGCAUGUACUUGGUAGGUCCUUUAUAACACUGGUGAACUUGCCAAUACAUUCAAAUGUAUUGACCACGUAGUGGCUGCAAUUAACAAUGCAGGUGGAUCCGACGAUGAGUGAGAUUCGUCGUUUUGUCGUGGGUCAUGUGCUUACAUUGCAACAUGCUCUCACCUUGGAGUAGUUGAGGCCCUUUUGUUCUACCCUUUUCCGCUGCAGUUUUGAAACAUUGUUUUAUGAUGAUGAAACAGUAUUUGUUUUAUGCUGGCCCAAGAGGUCAUGCGAGGUUGUAAGUACUGUUUAAAUUCUGGAGGAUGCGAUGUAGUAAAGUACUUUUGACCUUUGCUUCUGUAUAUUUCAUCAUGAAACUGUGUGUGCUAGUGAAUCGAUCCAGGGACUAGCACAGUAAGCACAGAGAUCGAACCCUAGUAAGGGGGAGGAUCGCUUCAUCGGGUCUAGGUUCAUACAACUUACUCUUGUCUCGCCAGAGCCCAUAUAGCAUCGUGAUUGUACCGGAAGCUGCUAAAUAGGAAACUAGUCCAGCCUCUGUUACCCUAGGUGGGACGUCCAUGGACGAUCCAUUCCCGAAUCCAUGAGAACUUGACUCAAAGGGACCCAUAGAAAUGGACCUGACGCCGCUAAUCCUCAAAAUCCUCAAAGCAGCUCACCCAGGAUGAUUCAUUGGAUUAAUUGUUUUGCCUUACAUCCAACAAAACAUUUCAUAUCGCCAAAGGCAUAGCAAUAUCAUAAUGUAAUUAUUUCCCCCGCGAUACUACCAUAGCCUAGCAUUCAACUACAAUCGAUGGCAAAUUGGUGGCAAGGUAAUGGCGAGGGUAAAUUAUACUACCUGGGAUUUAUAGCUAGCAUAGAGGUACGAGUAAUAAACUUAAUGCAUCUAAUAAAACAACUAGUGCAUAGUAAAACAAUUGGGAAAUGAUCAAAGUGAACUUGCCUUGUCCAGAGUUGUCGUGGUUAUCACACUCUUUGCAGCAACAAGGAUUACACUCCACAAAUUCUAAAAUAAAAGAAAGCAUACACACAAUAAACACAACAUUCAAAACAAAAACAUGCUAUGAUGCGUAUGCCAUGAUGAUGCACAAUCGGUUACUUCUAACUGUAACAAAUUUUGUUUCUGUUUUGAAAAGCUUCUCAAAAGAUUUGAACAAAUUAUACGAUAAUGAAAAGUUAAUUAAUAUGCAUGAAACAAGGAUAGGUUUUAAUUAAAAGAUUAUAUGUUUUUUUGCAAACAUAGAGCAAGAUUUAAACUUGUAUGCCAUUAUCAUUACAAAAUAAUUUCUCUUUUGGUCCUAAUGGACAGAGAACAUGCUCAAUUUAUUUUCCAGCAAGCUAACAUGCUCAAUUUUUUUUUGAAAUAAUUCAUUUGAAAUUUAAAUCAUAUUCAACCAUUCUGUAAUUGCUUAUGGCAAAGUUGUUGAAAAUUGAAAUUGGAUUAUGCCAAAAUAUUCUACAAGUUGUGACGAUUCCAGAAAGGUGCGGAUCAUCAUUUUUGGACAAGCGGUUUAAAAGUUAUGAUGCUUUGAAGUUACAGGGGCUUUUCUGCAAAGUGCAAUUUUAAUUUCGGCCGAAAAAGAAAAUGAAAAGCUUCGCCACGUGGCGUCCCGGGAUUGGUCCGGUUUGGUGAGAACUAGGGUUUACCCUGGCGGCGUGGUGGCCGGACUUGGGGAAGACGGGCGGCGGUUGGCGGCUCGGGGUCGGCUCGGGGCGGCGCGGCGGACGGGCGCGAGCGGCGCGGUCGGGGACGACUCAGGGCGACUCGGCGGACGGGCGGGGGCGACGGGCGACGCGGGCUCGGCGAUGGGCGACGGCGGCGGCCGGCGGCGGUUUGGUCGGCGCUGCAAAAACAAAUCCACACGCGUCACACGAUGCAGGAGAGAAAGAUUGGAAUGCGGGGAGAGGGUUGGCGGCUCGGCUUCCUCACCGGAACGGCGUCAGCAGCGACGAAGAUGGUGGCGGCAGAAGAGAACUUCGGUGAGAAAUCAGAGAAUAAUCGGCACGUAAUCGAGCGGGGAAACUGGGGGAAUAGAAGGACAAAAGGAAGGGGCUCGAGAUGACGCACGGGGUUUCGAGGGUAGAGGCUCGUGCACGGAGAAAUCGGGGCGAAACCGUGGCGUGCUUGGGCGGACGUGGCCGUGAAGAUAGGCUUGGCAGUUGGAGGAAGGAGGCGUGGGGCCCAUUGGUUAGUGGCCGAGCGGCUCGGGGCGCGCAGCCGGUCCGGUUCGGUCCGGUUUUUCCUCUUUUUUUUUCUAUUUUCUUAUUUUGAACACAAAUUUUGAUUUAUAGCUCCAAAUCACUCCAAAUAAAAUGCGACAAAAUUUUAAAAUCAUAUCUUCAUAUGAUCUAACUUUUGGGACAAGAAUAUCCUCAAAAUAAAAUAUUUAAAAAUACAUUUGCCUAUAAAAUGGCUUUUUGGGCCUUUUAGGCUAUCAAAAUAAAUAAUUUUCAAAAUAAUUUCAAAAGCAAAUUUAUGGGGUAGCUUUAUAUAAGCAUUAAAUCUGUUUUAUGCCAAUACCCUCAUGGGUUGGAACACAAAUGCUCAAAAGCAAGAUCAAAGCCCAAGUUCAAAUAAAAGCAUUUCUAUAAAGGGUUUUCUGGGUUGAUUUUAGGGUUUUCAAAUGUGAUCAAAUGCAAGAGUGGCAUGAUGCUUAUGAUAUGCAAUGCAUAUGAAGGGUUUUGAAAAUCGGGAUGUUACAGUGUGUCUUCCUUGGCCUUCUUGUUCUUGCCCGCUUUGUAGCACACAAACUGGGCUUGACUUGUUUCGCCACUUUUAAUGGGUCUCUGGUAGUCAAUCCUUAUCCCAAAGCCGUUCCACCUUGCAUAAUUGACAUGGUGUUGCUUUGCAGCUUCAAUGGUGUCGAAUUUCAUGUUGUCCUCAGGUUUCUUAGGCGGUGAAAUCCCAUCACCAGCAUCAUCAUCAUUAUCUUCAUUGUUUUCUCUGCCAUCUGUCCUUUUCUUCAGUUGAUCUAUGCAACAUUGGCUCUGGUGGCAAUGUGCUAGCACCGACAUUUAUAGUGGGCGUAGGGCGGCCCAUAGUGUCCAUACCUGCAGCACGAUGUGGAGCAACACAGUUCAAAAUCACAUGACAAACAGAUAAUAAAUUAACUUUAAUGCGACAGUUGCUUGCAAGGCUGGCAACUUCAAAACAUGAGGUGGCAUUUUAAAUCUACACCACGCGGCAACUUAUGAAAGCUCAACCCCUCAAUUCUCAUGCGGCAACUUAACCAUACACUAUAUGGCAAUUCUUAUCGCACAUUUCUCUUUACACAACCUAUCAUGAGCAUCUGAUCAUGACAUUCUACAAAUAAAUCGACAGAUAACCGGUCUGUUAUGGGUGAGUAAAGGAGGUGGGGGCAGGCAGGCUGGGUUCUACCACCCGGCAUCGCUUGUUGCUGUAUCGCAUGGGCUCGACUGCCAUCUUUUUGUGCAAACUGGCAAGGCUGCCUUGUAGUGUAUGGUUCUGCAGAGAAAUAACAAUCAUACAUAUAUCAAACUACGGAAAUCAAAGAAUGCGGCACAACUUUCUAAUAUAUGUCACAUCAAUAUACUUAGGCAACUAUGUGUUGCAAAUCCUGGCAACUCAUACAAUGUACGGCAUAUUCUUGUCCAAACUUUUUUUUUCUUCUUUUUUACCUUGUCUUAAAUCUGGAUGCAGCACAUUUUGAGUGGGGUUGGGUCCAUUUUCUUCCACCUCUGUAGGGUGUUGACCUGCUUUAGCAAAUGGAAUGAGUAGGUUUCAGUGCAUGGCAAUUUUAGUAGGGAAUAGAUGGCAACUUUCAGUAUAAUAAACAGAACCACUUCAAUUUGACUUUUUUUGACAAGCUCAUCUGGUAUUUGGCCUAGUCCCCAAACCUUGCGAAAGUGAAAUGACUUGCUGUAGUAGCGGCAGCAACGGGUAUGAGGAAUGCAAUCCAUCAAAAAUUUCUACCAAAACAUCAUCCGGUGUCAACGAUGGGAAGCUCCAUCUUUGAAAAUUUUCACCCAUGCCUCCAUCCAUGUUUUCCAUCCUUUUUUUCUUGUGAUACCCUGUGGGGAGUAAGAUACAUGACAAGUUAGCGCAUAUAGUUAUUAUUUUAGAUGGUUCAAGUUCAAGCUUUUUUACGAUGCAUCAACUGAACUUUUUGUUGUACCCAUACAUGCAGGGGUUAGUCUACGUCGACGCGCUCUUCUUGUUUCUCGACACCACACGGCUGAACAACUUGGAGGGGCCAGAUAUGUUUGUACAUAUUAAUAAUUUUUCUGCUUUUCUUUUAGCAGUGUAGCAGCUUUAAGAAUCCGUGAAGGACACAAACAUGGUUAUGCGCUAGGGUUUAUAUGGUUUAUAUGGGCAGUUGUUCACUUACUCAAUUGGCAGUUUAUGUACAAUUAAGAUGGUAAUUUUGGUGUUACCCUAGGAUGAUAACAUGCCCCAGCAACGCAUGCAUGUUGUUUUUUGUGUCAGCUCACUGUACUUGCAAUACUUACAUAUAGGUUGGUACUUCUAGUUACAGGAAUUCCGUUAGUUACAUACAUAUAGGAUGAUAAAAUCUGGACCCAAUCUGGUACUUUUAGCAAGACAUGCAUCAGACUUUUCAAAUAAAUUAGGGCUCAUGUGUACACAGGAACACAAACCCAAGAUUUUGAUCCAACGUACAACUAUCAACUGGUACUUGGACCCAGAUCCAAUAGUCCCAUGACAAAAAUUGAACCAAUAUGAAUGUAGGUGGGGAGUAGCAAGAAUCAUUUGACGCCCAACUAUGAACCAUGAACUAUAGAUCGGCGCAAUUUUUACGAACGGAUUAUGAAGAUGAAAGAUAGAGGGGGCCAGAAAAUUGGUAUGGGUUAGAUAGAAGAAGUCACCUUCCUCUUCGGUUGUUUUUCCCGAUCAAUAACGCAGUGGGGGAGGAGGGACGAUGGAUGUUCUUCUUUUUUGGACUUUUGUUGGCGAUUUCUUGGAUCAGAUCUCGGUGUUUCAAGAGGCGCCUCCUUUCACAGCCGCCAUGGCUGCCGCCCGGAGAUUUUCCCCCGUACUCUCUUCUUUCCUCUUUCUUGCGCCGUCGUGAUAUCUUGGGGAAGAAAGCGACAUUCAUGGGCUGUUGGCAAUUAUGGACCGCCACGUCUGGCAACUUCGGACUGGAUGGCAACUUAUCUCGAGCGCUAUAUUCGUGGGCUUUUUUAUGUGGGCCUUUUGGCAACUAUACACCACCUGGCAAAACCAAUGGGAUUUGGAUGGCAACUUCCAAUCGCGCGCCCUAAUCUCGUCGCCGCACACGCGCUCGCGCAUGGCAACUAGCAUCGCCGCGCCAGCGCGCUACCGCGCGCACGAUGCCGUCUCGCGCUCGCGUGCGCUCGCGCAUGGCAACUAGCAUCGCCGCGCCAGCGCCCUACCGCGCGCACGGAUCCAUCUCGCGCUCGCGCACUGCCACGCGCACGCGCUCGCGUGGCACUCGACGUGGCAGCCAGCGUGGCAUGUGCGGUAAUCACGGCGCGUCGCUCGGAGGAUCUAAAGCGCGACGUUCGCGCGGUAUUCGUGUCCAUAUAUAUAUAUACUAGUUAAGUGCCGUGCGUUGCAACGGGUUCGUAAACAUUCUAUCAUUUAAUAAAAAGACAUGAAAAGAUUAACACUACUCAUUAUAUCACAUAACAAGACAUUGCUCUUUGGGUGUACAUAUUCCAAGCCCUUGUCAAAAGGUGGGAAGAGAACAAAUGAUAUAAUCGACACGUGAAACAUAGCAAUAGCAAUGGACUGUCCCGAAGCAAUGCCGAGAAGGUAAUAUGAAACAUAUGCUACAUAUUUGAUGACUAUCCCCAAGUAACUCAUGUAUAUGCUACAUAUUUGCAAAAUUCAGAACUUGCAGUGCAGCCUCAACAUCAGUUCUGAGAACCUGCAACAAGAUACAGGCAAUGCCAUUAGCUUUUCUCAAGGAAAAAUGUUCUGCAUCUGUUAUCCUUCAAAACAAUGAGUACAACUAUUUCCAAAAAAAGACUUAAUAGUAGCAUGAUUUCUUGGUCUUCUUUCACAAAAAAGGGGGCAUGCUUAAGUAAUUGAAACUUUAGCUCAUCUAGAUAGGUCUUGUUACCGGUGACUUGUUUUGGUAAUUGGAUUAAAUAAAAAAUGUAAUAUGGAGAAAAGUACCUCAUACCUAGUGGAUCUUGCUCCUAGUUAUACACAUUAGAAUUACCCAUAGACUUGAAGAAGAAUAUCUCAUAUCAAAAUGAGAGGUUACCUCGUCAGUGAGCUCAGGCUGAAUAAGGUUCUUCAGAAAUUUGACAGUCAGCCUAUCAUGCUUGGCCUUCUUGCCCCGCCUUCUAUCUUGUCCAUGGAGCAAACUGCCAGUGAAACAUUAGUUUUUAUAAUCAAACGGAAUCUGGAUAUAAGAAGAAAAAAAUAGAAUUAUCUUCAGUAGCUAAGGUACCUUCAAAAAAUCGAACUUCAACACAGCCCAUUUGCCUAUCUAGGCUCAUCUAGAUAGCCCAAUAACAACAGACCAUUCCGAGCGUCCAUUUGCCAAGCACUCAUUCAUUCCCGGCAUAGCUUCUUGCUGGCAGCGUACUAUCUCCUCGUAGCAACUCCUGAUUACUCAGUGAAAUGGUAUCAUGGUUGACGUUGUUCUAACUGAACAUCGGCUUAUUAAUCUGAGACCACGAGGAUAAUAUUCCUGGAGACGCAUAAAUGAAUCCAAUUAUCCAAGGCUUUCAAAAUCAGCUUGGGACCUGCUAGUUUCCAUUAUGGUCAACCUUCUUCAUUUUGUUGGUUCUAUCCCUAGAAUCGUCAAAAGUACACCGGAUCAGGGUUAUGGCUUAAUGAUAAGCUCACAUCUUGUUCUUGGGGUUUCAUGUGAUAUCUGGUUCAAUCAUGUAACUCCUUUGUCCCUCUGCUCCCAUGAGCCCUUUCUCUGCAUGAAACUUGAGAAGCAAGGAAAAGCCAGCAUCUUAAGAAAAAAUUCAAUACACAGAAAAUUUAAAGACUUGCAAAUAAAUUAUAGCUGCAGUUUAAUACAUGGGCAAUCACAGCUCUGUCAGCAUUCCUAAACUGAUAUAAAAAUAUUCUAUAACACCACAAAUGUAUCCUACUUAAUCUAUUUGUUCUUAUUAACAUAGGAUCAUCACUGGAGUCAAUUUGAACUAAUUACAAGUACAUAAAUUUCCAAUCAAGAAACACAAAUUUCCAGUCUUUUUUUUUCUCAUGGAGUUUGCAUUACUCUCAUCCCUUCCCCAAUAUUUCCAAUAAAGCUAUGAACGGAACAUCUAUACUGCCCCUUCGCUCUCCACACAUGCAAACUUUAUUGCCCUAACAUACUGGGUUAUCUACUUAUCCUGACAUCUGUCCUUACUCCAUACCAGCACAUAGCUUGUGCCAUUUCUAGUGAAUCCUCAACAGCUGACAGAUAUUGUACUGAUACAUAUGGCAGUAUAAUCCAAACAAAGGUAAGUAUAGUUUUCAAGCUCUGCAAGUUAAUAUAGUACAUGCACAACAAUACUGCUAAGCCAACUUAUGAAAGCUCUUUAAAAAAUUGAAUGCAUCAACAUAUGCGAAGAGAACACUUUAAACUCACAGAGUAAGUUGUGGUGUAUUGUUGCCCAAGAGCAUCUGCUCCAGAAACCAUCUGCACUCCAGGAGUAGCGUGGAUAAACACAGGAGAUCUUUACAGCUGCUGCAGUGUGAUCUCCGUUAUAAAGUUGCCAGCUGAGCUCAUUUCAGCAAGCAAAAGUAGCCGUCUUCCUUUUGGCAAACCCUUCAAUAGCAGAAAGCAACCGUUACUGUUGAGCACUUAGCAGCUUCAACAUUAUCUUAGUAAUAUCUUUCAGACAUGUAAAUCAUAGCAUACCUUAAGCUUCCAUCAACAAUUCCAGGCCCAGGAAUAUUUCUCUGAAAUAAAGCAAAAAUAUCAAAAAGUUGUGCUUCUCAGCAAUCUAAAAAUGGAAGAGAUCUCAUUAUAUAAAGAACAUGACAUGUAAAAGGUCCCAGCUUGUAUAAUAGUAAUGUUUACAUAAUGGACUGCGAUCGCACUUCAGAGUACACAGAUCCUCGACUCUCUAAGCAACAUAAAAAAAUGCUAGACUGAACAAGCUUCGAUCUGAGUUGAUAUGGCUGAUGAAUCUCCUGUAAAAAUCCACCACACAUGUAGAUAGAGAAAGGAGAAGAAACUCAAGAGGUGCGCGGAUCCGUACCUUGUUAUGCACGAGGAUAGAGCAGCCAGCUCGAGCAGCGUGGGUUCGGGGUGGAGGGUAGCGGCGAAGGAGGCAUGGACGGCGGCGGAAGAGGAGGGCGAUGCGGAUGCGGGCGAUUUUUUGCGUCUGUUCAGGCAUGGGGCGGUGAAGGUCUGGCGGCACGGAGUCGCUGGUAUGGGGCGGUCACGUUUCGGAAGGCAGCAGCAUCAACGCUUGCGGCAGCGGGCGGUGGCGGCUGCUGUUGGCGAUGGGUUACGCUGCGGUCGCAAAGCCAAAGCCGCCCCCUUCCUCGCGCCGCCGCCGCCUCCUUCGAUCUCCCCCUCCACCUCUUCCGAUCCCCAGAGGUAAACCCUUUCCCCAGAUCGCGAAUCCAGACAGCUUUCUUCUCACGAUCUCACCGCUAUGUUUGCCUCGCGUCCCCUCCCUUCCCUCCUCUCAGUUCGUUGGAGGGAGUCGCGACCAAGAAGAAGAUCCAUGGCGGCGCUGGGUUCGAAGCUGACGCAAGUGCAAGCCAAGGCGUGCGAGGCGACGAGGUUCGCAGCCAGGCGCGGAGGUUGGCGGCCUCGGAGCACCAGCGAGGCGGCGACGGCUAGGGAGUAGCGGCGGUGCGAGGAGGCGGUUCUACUACGCCAGGCGAGAGGCAUCGGGGUGGUUUCUUUUCCUAUGCGGGCUUUUUUCCAACGUGGGCUUUCCCCGUGGAGAGUGGGACUGGAUCGGGGGAGGGGGGACGACAUAGGAGGAACGACCGACUUAGCCAGACUUGAAAUUAAAGAAUAGUAAAGAUAUAUAGUGCAGUUUUUUUUUGGCUUUGUGUACCGAUUUCUUUUAAAAGUUGUCCUUCCCUAGUUUUUUGGAGAAGGCGUCACGUAAAUUUGAUUAGGCUACCAAACUAGUUUGGCCUAAAUUAUUUUGGAAGUUGAACUAAAUUUGUGACGCGGCUUCUCCAGGAAGCUAGGUGAGGACAGCUUUUAGGAGAAGCCGAAAAAAAAACACCCAUAUACUCACAGUUUACAAAAUAUAUACUCACAUUUUCUGCUCCAGGAGUACAUAAGUUUGAGUGCCAUGAAAGUGCUACUCCCUCCGUCUCAUAUUAAAUGACUCAAAUUUACCCAAAUAUGAAUGUAUCUAUGCGUAAAAAGCAUUUAGGUACAUGUAAUAGAAAGUCACUUGAUAUGAGACAGAGUGAGUGCUAGCCAGUACAAAUAAUGGCCGCAAAUUACCAUUGGUAAAAGGAGCAAAGUGAAUGGUACAUAAAAAAACACAAAAAUGUUACCAUGUCUGUCUAUGCAUAUUACAUUCUCGUUUGCUCAGCAGCUAGUAGGCAAGGCUUUAAGCAGCCAGUAAUUAAUUACUCAAAGAGGUGAUUUUAAAACCAAAUCAUUGUCUGGCCUUUUCCUCUUUUUCUUCCUGCAGCAGCGUUGAAUCACAGGACAUCCAUGAAGACCAGCUAACACUCUCUCCCUUCCUUCUCUGUUCCAGCGUUUGCUUUCUCGUUCCUUGAGUUGGAUGAUGCUACUGUUGAUCCCCUGAGUUCUCAUUCCCUGACCCAAUGAUGGAACCAAAAUAGGAGCACAUUAAUAUGAGAAACCAAGUGGACAGAGCAACCUAGCGGGCAAAGUAAGAUUUCGCUAGGAGCAUUUGUGGUAUUUUACCUUGAGAUUCGGAUGACCUUCUGGUGAAGUGAUGCGACAGUAAAUCCCUUGCUCUGGCAGAAUCCUCUUCUGCUAACUGGCGCAAUUGCUCGUUGUAAUGCACCUCAUGAUCACUCUCCAUGGGUGCAUCCUCCAUGUCUAUCACUAUGUUAUGCAUGAUGCAGCAGGCAUAGAUUGCCUUCCACAACUCACAUGGGAUUUUUGGGCUCCCUCCUUGCGGGCACUUCCAUGUAUCUGUUAAUCUUGCUGGCGCCUUCAACGCUAAGGUUGCUGCUGUGGAGUGUCUCCGGUUGAACUCCACUUGGGAGUUUGAGAGCUCAUUCGUGUCUUGCUGCCGGUAAGGUGUGAGGGGCCAGGGGAAAAGAGGGUAUCUGCAUCAGUGCAUCACCAAUUAUAUACUCCCCAACUUCUGAUCCUUCUGAUGAUAACUCUAGCUUGUUGCCAUUAAGCCAAGCACCCUUGUCACACUCCUUGAAGAUCUCAGAGUCGUGCAAAAGACUUAAUUGGUCCAUGUUGUCUGACCCAAGCCAAAUGUUUAUGAACCUCAUAUCUAGAUCGACGACGGUUUGCAUUAGCAUGCAGUCCUUCCUCUCAUGGCCGCAGUUUUCUUUUCCAAAUGGGAUGUGAAUUGUAUGUACAACACCACAGCAGUUUGACAGUACAGACCAUGGAUCUUGUCAAAUUUGGACUUGACCUUCUCCAUUUCGCCAGAUCCUGGCCACUUCAUGUGGUGCCUUGCUCGCUCCCGUAUAGCAUCAACAAACCUCUGAGUUACCAGCGAGACGGUUGACUCGUUCACACCGACAGAGGAUCCCACGGUCUCCAGUGUCUCACCAGCGUUCAACAUUUUUAGAGCAAUAGCUACUCGAUCUUCUAAACAACAAAUGCUGUUCAUAUCUUUCAAAGACGGCACCUUCACCAAGGUGCAGAUAUAUCUGAAGGUUCGCCUUGUCAUUUUGAGGACAGACUCAAAUAUUUGUGAGUCCUCAAAAAGAUAUAAGGUUCCUGCAUGAAAAGAAAAUAUGCAAAAGUGGUUACAGAAUCCAAACUUGCAAGGCUAAUGGGCUGGAAGAACUUUAGAAACAAAGUGUACAAAGCAACCUGAUGGAAAUAUGAGCAAUUUACCACAAGAUUUAAUAGAUAAAAACAGUGAAUAAAACAUGUGGAAUAUUGCAACCAUGAAUAAUUCGGUAUAAGAAUUAAUCAACAUAAAUAAUGGACAAAACAUGAGUAGAUCAAACACAGUAGUCAUGCAACACUACUACAAAAUGGUCUAUAUGUAACGGCACAUCAGUAACGGGUCGUGGCCGCGACCGUUACUGAUGAACAGAGCGGGGUCUGCCCGUCCCCGCCCAGCCAUACAUCAGCGGCGGUCGCACGAGCCGACCGCCCCUGAUGACCAUCAUACCUCUCCAGAGACAUCAGUGGCGGUCGGUUAAGAGACGACCACCACUGAUGAACAACGCAUCAGUAACGGUCGCUGAAGUCCCGACCGCCACUGAUGAUUGUAGCAUUUUAAGUACGCGGGGCAGAGCCGCAGCUGGUCGCGCUGCGUGUCGUAACGGACCAGCUGUGGCCCUUCUUCCCCAGCGACGGCAAAGCACUGCCGAAACCGGCCGCCAUGGCCGCCGGCGACCCCAAGUAGACCCUUCUCCUCCCUCCCUUCCUCCUCUCUCCCUGGCGGCCGGCGGCGCUCAUCUCCAUGGCCGGAGGCGAGCUCCAUUUUUGGAGCUCCGGCGGCCGGCGAGCUCCGAUCUUCGAGCCCGAAGCUUCCCUCUCCCUUGCGAGCUCUCUCUCUCCCUCCCGAUCUGUCUCGCCGGCCUCCAAUUUCUCUCCGAAGUUCCCCAAUUUCAAAUUUUUGAGCUCUGGUCGCCGGCCAAAAUGCGGCCUCCUCGUCGUCGCCCAGAGCUUCCCUCUCCCUUGCGAGCUCUCUCUCCCUCCCGAUCUUUCUCGCCGGCCUCCAAUUUCUCUCCGAAUAUCUCUAAUUUCAAAUUUUUAGUUAGCCCUAGUUAAUUAACACCUUAAUCCCCUUGUCAAUGAUUAGGCUAACUAUUUUUCUUUGUGUUUUGUUGUGUAUCGUGUUGUAGAUCGAAGGACCGUUCUUGGAUGUACGCCAAGGAAAGAAUCAAUGCUCGAUGGAUAACCGAAUGGACGGUCUUUUUUGGAGUCGCGAAAGGUGGUAUGGAACGAAAAGGACUUGUGAUGAUGCGUUCUCCAUGUCGCAAAUGUGGAAACACAUGCAUGACGAAGCCUGAAGAUGUUCAGAUGCACGUGCUGGCAUCGGGUUUUGUGGAAGGUUAUUCUCGCUGGACUUGUCACAGGGAGGAUGCGGUUGAUGUCGGUAGCGGUAGCGAAGAUGAUGAUGUCCUGCGGUAUGAUCUGGCGAAUGAUUUCAAGGAAGAAACAAGGGUCGAUGAGGAGGCUAAUGUGGAAGGUGAAGGAGCUGCACAUGGCAGGAUUGCCGAAAUGCUAGAUGACCCGUACCUAGCGGACCAGCUGGAUGACCCCGAAGAUGAGACAGAGUCUGCUCAGUUCAAAAAAUUGUUGGAGGACGCAAACACACCCUUGUAUGAUGGAGCUGGCGAAGAAAACAACGUGCUCGAAGUGACGCUCAAUCUUUUGAGGCUGAAGGCAGCAUCAUGCUGGUCAGACAAGGGAUUCACGGACUUGUUGAGUUACCUUGCUUCGGUUUUUCCACAGCCAAACAAGUUGCCCAAGAGCACAUACGAGGCGAAGAAGAUUACAUGCUCGCUUGGAUUAGAUUGCGUGAAACAUCUUGCAUGUCCAAACGACUGCAUGAUAUACAUUGGAGAGUACGAGAACCAUGAGAGCUGCCACAUAUGCGGGGCAUCGAGAUAGAAGAAGAAAAACGCCAGAGGUGGUGAAGACGAUGGGAAAGAAGUGAUGAAGGGAAGGCCGGCAAAGACUGUCUGGUAUCUUACGGCAGGUGGCCAGGUUGAGCGUUGGAUGCAGAACAUUAAGGACGCGAGGUAUCUCGUCUAUCGCGAUCCGGCGCAGACUGCAUUCGAUCCUGAUGGGCACUAUCGUGUGGAGGAAGCUGGGGUCCUAAGACACCCUGCCGAUGGGACUCAGUGGAGGAACUUCGACACGGCAUUUCUAGAUUUCGGGGCAGAGCCCAGAAACCUGAGGCUCGGUCUCAGCACUGACGGGAUAAAUCCUUUCGCAAAUAUGAACAACAAGCACAACACAUGGCCAGUGAUCUUGUUUGUCUACAACCUUCCUCCAUGGUUAAUCAUGAAGAGAAAGUACAUCCACAUGUGCAUGCUCAUAAAGGGUCCAAAGCAGCCGGGAGAUGACCUAAGCUAUUGAAGGAUGAGCUGAAGCAGCUUUGGAACCCUGGCAGAGUGGUUUGGGCCGCAAACAGGAGGGAGUACUUAACGAUGAGAGCAGCGUUUCUGACCUGCAUGCAUGACUACCCCGCGAAUGGAAAUACUUAUGCCAGGUGACACAUGGCUACAAGGCCUGUACAAAGUGCGGAGAAAACACGACAUCGGAGAAGUUGCUCGCUUCAUCCAAAAUUGCUUACAUGGGCCACCGAAAGUGCUUGGAUGUUAAAGACCCUUGGAGGGAUGACAAGGAAAGGUUCAAUGGGAAGAUGGAGCACGGGACAGCGCCGAAGGAGAAGUCAGGUAUGCAAAUCCUCAAAAUUGUGAACGAUCUUGAAGUUGUCCCCGGAAAGAUUGCUGCGAAGAAAUAUAAGGAACCUGAAGGCGUCGUGUGGAAAAGGAGGUCCGUAUUUCUGGGACUUGGAGUACUGGGCACAUUUAGAAUGCCGCCACAACAUAGAUGUCAUGCACGUGGAGAAAAAUUUAUGCGACAGGGUGCUGGGGUUGCUGAUGAACAUUCUAGAGAAGACGAAAGAUGGACCCAAUGCACGGAAGGACUUCGAACUCAUGUCUAUCAGAAAAGAGUUGUGAGGCAAAGAUCAAGUGUCGGCAGCCGACAAGAAUGGUUUCGUAACGGUGACCAUGCAGUGUCGUCUUGCAUGUUACAACCUGUACAAAGACGAGUUGCAUAGGAUGUGCCAGUGCCUGCAGGGCAUUAAAGUCCGAUCGAACUACUCGUCGAGCAUCAAGGAUCUAGUUGACAUGAAGAGUCACAAGCUAUCUGGCAUGAAGUCUCACGACAACCAUGUCAUACUCACUCAGUUACUUCCAGUUGCAAUUAGAGGUAUCAUGGAGCCGCACGUAAGGGAGACAAUCAUGAAGCUUUCUGACUUCUUUGACAGCAUCUCGCAGAAGUCAAUCACCGUUAGACGAUGCCAGAUACUGCAGGAUAGUAUGAUACAGAUUCUGUGCGAACUCGAGAUGUUCUUCCCUCCAUCAUUCUUCGAUAUCAUGGUCCAUCUAAUGAUUCACAUAUGCGAUGAGAUCUUGUUCCUAGGGCCCUCGUUCCUGCAUAACAUGUAUGGCCCUGAACGAUACAACGGGGUUCUGAAGCGCUACGUUCGUAACAGAUCACGUUCGGAAGGUAGCAUCGUGGAAGGCUUUAGGGCAGAAGAGUGCAUCGAGUUAUGGACGGAUUGGUUGGCCGAUCAGAAAUCAACAGGUGUUCCCGAAUCAUGGCACAAGGGCAAGCUCGAAGGUGAAGGUGGCCUUGGACAUACAUUCCUUAAUGUCUAUGGAAAAGGAAGGGAAGCUGACUUUGAAAGAGCACAUUUGGUUGUGUUGCAAACUGUCGAUUGUUGCCGGCCUUCUCAGGAAAUGCACAUGGAACAACUGCGAAAUGAAAACCCUAAAAUAGGAGAAGUUUGGAUCCACUGGGAGCACAAUAAAACAUUCGCAACGUGGCUGAAGAAUUAUUGGUACGGCAGGAAGACGACCAAUGAAUCAGAAGAGACGGUUGUAUGUUUGUCACGGGAACCUGCUUACCACAUCUCUACUUGCCAAUCAUAUGCGAUCAACGACUAUAACUUCUACACUGCUUCUCAGGACCGUAAAAGCACAUAUCAAAAUAGUGGUGUAGUCAUGACUUCUGAGACCGCGACCAACGUCAACAGCAAAACCAAAGCGUUCUUUGGCAUUAUCGAGGGGAUCUGGGAAUUGGAGUACACGAUCACAAAGAUCCCAAUGUUCCGUGUAAAAUGGACCAAAGGUGACAAAGAAGAAAGUCACAGGUUCACGACAAUGGUGCUACCUCCUGAGAUCCCUCGUGAACAAGUUGACGUGAGAAAAAUCCCGGCAAGAGAGGAACCAUGGGUCUUUGCUAAACAAUGCAAGCAGGUAUUCUACAUAGACGACCCGACAAAUAAAGGCCGCGUCGUAGUAAGAAGAGGGAAAAGAAGCAUUGUUGGAGUGGACAAAGUUACAUCACAAGAAGACUACGAAGGUUUACAUGAUCCGACGACCGCCGCAGAUGACGAAGAAGCGGAACGCACGAUAUUAAUGAGGAAAAGGAGAGGGAAAAGAAGAAGUGAUGAGAGCGAGAGCGAGAAAAUACCACAAAAACCCUACCUCAGAAGCACUACUGCGAGGAGUCAAGUUAUGACUUACCGAAGGAAGAAGAAGUACUAGUAGUCACAUUGUAAUGUACUCGUACUGAAUUUGAAUGCAAACUUUGUACUAAGUGAAAUUAUGUGUGAUCGAUGUACUUUUGUGUAUGCAUGUUGGUACAUGGCUUUGUCACUCCCAAAAAUUCAAAUUUAGCUCAAAAAACACUCAAAAGGACAGGUUUUUAAUUUUUUAGCAAAAAAAACUAGACAAAAUGCAUGAAUUUAUUCAUCAAACUUCAACCUUUUGAUUUCAUCUAUUGAAUGUGACAAGUACAUGUCCUAAAACACUCAAAAGGGCAGGUUUUAAUUUUUUUAAACGUUCCUGUAAUUUAAAUUUGUACAAAGCUCAACAAGGAUGGUAACACAUCAGUAACGGUCGCAUGGUUGCUCGCCAGUUACUGAUAAGUAUAUGCACACAUCAGUAACGGGCGGGUAACAAGGCGCCCGUUACUGAUGUCCUGUUGGGCAUUGCUCAUAGGCACUCAUCAGUGGCGGUCGCGUUGUAUCCCGACCGUUACUGAUGAGUGAGGGAACAUCAGUAACAGUUGCCUCCCUUAUCCGCCCGUUACUGAUGAUACUUGGGUAUAUAAAGGAACACUUAGAAUUUUUUUAGGGUUAUUCCGCCUGCGCGUCCUCAGGACACCGAGCAAUCAGUAGUGGGCUAACCCUAGCUUCGGCGAAGCCCUGCCAGAUUUUUUCGCCAUCGCCGCCGUCAACCCCGAGCCCGCCGCCCCGCGUCGAGCGUCGCCGCCCCGCAUCCUCGCCUCGUCCUCGCCGUCGACCCCGAGCCCGCCGCCCGGCGUCAAGCGCCGCCACUCCGCGUGCUCACCGUCGACCCCGAGCCCGAGCCCGCCGCCCUGCACCCCGCGUCGUCGUCCUCGCCCGAGUGCCGCCACCCCGCGCCGCCGUCUCCCUCCUUCCCGAGCGCGCGCCGUCGUCUCCCUCAACCACAGGUGCGCGCCUCUGCCUCCCUCCCUCUCCUCUGAUUUAGGGUUAGGAUUUAGGAUUAGGGUUAGCAUAUUGUAGUUUCUUGCUGUUAAUUUAGCAUAUUGUAGCAUUGUUGAGUGUGUCAAAUUAGUUGCUGCUGUUAGGGUUAGGGUUAGUGUUAGAGUACUUUAGGGUUAGGGUUCAUGCUACAUAUUGUUAGGGUUAGGGUUAGUGUUAGAGUAAUUUAGGGUUAGGGUUAACUGAAUAAGAUGAAUACUGCUGCUGUUGCUGUAUACUGCUUCUGCUGCUGCUUGACUGCUGAUGUUGCUGAAUACUGUUGCUGCUUAACUGGUGCUGCUGCUUAAUUGCUGCUGUUGCUGCUUAACAUAGUUGCUUACAGUUGAUGUUAGUUACUGUUAUUUGCUUAAGAUCAUGCCUAAUACUGUCAUAUUUUGAACAUACUGUCAAAUACUGUUAUUUGCUUAAUGUCAUAUAUACAUGUUGCUGGUCAGACAAUGUCAUAAAAGAACAUGCUGUUGUUGAUUAACUGAAUUUUUUUAGCAAUGUGAAGUGUUCAUUAUUAGAUUAUUAGAUGAUGUCAUAUAUACAUGUUGUUUUAUAUGCUAUUUUGGAGAUUUGAGUAAUGAACUGUGGGCCCGACCAUCGUGUCGGGUCAUUGGAGAAGGGGCCGGCCAUUGUGCCGAGGGGGUACAUAUGCGGGUGGGUUUUUUAUGCAGGUUUCGAGCUCCUAGUAGAGAAAAUUUGCAAGUUUUUUAGCAUAGGUCAUGCCGAAAUUUUCGGCCGAUAUAUAUUUGAUGGUUUUGAUGGCAUAGGUACGAAAUGGGCAAGAGUAGCCAGAAAUCAGUUCUUGAGGAGGUAGCUCCUGAGGAGGUAGAUCGUGUCGAUGAAGAGUCUUCAUCGGGAGAGCAAAUUGCCAGCUCUGGCGACGAACCUAGCUCUGGCGAAGGUAGCUCUCGUUCAGAAGAGCGCGACAACGAGCGACGGGAGGAAGAGAGUAAACUGCAGCCAACUGCUUCUAUGGCUAAGAAGCCAAGGAAGAAGACGCCGAGGGGGAGCCACAACUUGAAGGAGUUUUGUUACGUGGUCACCCGACACUCUGACAGAGGCCGGCCGGAGUCGCCUAAGAGGGCACAGAAGGCCUUCGCAACCACCUGUGGAGCCGUUGCACGUAAAUAUUUCAAGAUCACCGACAAGUGGAGUGACAUCUCCGAAGUCGUUAGAAACACGUGCAUCGCGGACGUUGCAAGGAGGUUCCAAGUCACAGACGAGUGGCGCGAGCGAUUCCUAGCGUCCGUCAACAUAGCAGUGCGGAAUGGUCUUGCUAAUUGGAAAACCACCGCUAGAAAGUGGAUGGACAAACCCUACGAGAUCAUCAACAAGAAAUGGCUGUCGAUAACUGAUGAGGCCGAAUGGGAAAAAUUCAAGAAGGAAUCGUCUGACCCUGCCUUCGUUGCGAAGAGUGAACGUAUGAGGGCGUUGCGCAUGAGGAAGACCUUGAACCACAGGCUAGGGAGUGCAGGGAAAGAGGGGAAGAAGAAGGUUUGGCGCAAGCAUGACCGAAUUCUCGAGGUGGCAGGCAGGGUGCCUCCAGUGCAUGAUCCAUAUAGACUCGCGUCCUGUCUUAUAUGAUAACAUGAAAAUGCCCACAAAUGGGAGGAGAGCAAGAGGUCAGAAACAUUCGACAACUCCGUGCAGAGCAAGAGGUGGGAGUCGGCUGUGACCGCCGGCUUGCAAAAGGCGGAGCACACGGGCCGUGUUCUAGGGGAAGGCGAAGGGGCCUGCUGGGAUGAUUAUUUCCCGCCUACUCCGAAGCGAAGCAGGGUCCAGAAAAAGCUCCCUGCUUCUGCUGAAAUAAUAGAACAAGCUAAGUCGGAGGCGCGAGAGCAUGCAUCUAUGGUGUGUCAAGAGGUAUCAAGAGAAUAUGUAGUGCAAGCCAUCCAUCAUUUGGUGUUGGCAUUGGCCAAAGACCACCCCGCCCUUGACGCCAUACUCGGGGGAGGAGUGGAAGGCUUGAGGAACCUCCUUCCUCCUCUUCCUCCUCUUCCCCCGUGAAAGAGCACCCCGCUGAAGAGCAGCGCCGCCUCCGACACACGUAUGGACGACGAAGACACCUACACCCCAGGUUACAGCCCAGCUCCUAGCAUGGACAACCCCCCGGCUAGCCAACCGGACCCAAGCGAGGGCAUCCGGGAUAACGAUCUUGGUCCGAGCGACAACAUCCUUGUAAGCAUACUUUUCAAACUCUUUUUCACUCCUUACCUUCAUGAAGAAAGAUCUUACACACAUAUGCCUUCUUCUUGUUACGCGCAGGCACCGGUGAAGUGUCGUUGGCCAUUGUUACGUAGACAAGCCUGGGAAGCCUGUAGGUGCCAUUGGCCGCCUGAUGCCCAGACAAUCACCGCCACUGGCGGCAUUCUUAUGAACGACACACAAGUGAGUGUGAUGGUGGACUCCGUCGACGACCAUCGUGAUUAUGCUAUCCCGCUACCUCCGGAGGAAGGCGUGGAUAUCCUAGGCGGUUGUCCAAACUACUGCAUUAUGUGGCCUAGGAGCUUGGUAUCUCUCUACAACCAGCGCCGGCCCUCUAUGACUCCAUCUCCGUGUGCCCACAAAGGUACUUCUCAAUCGCUGCUCGGCCUUUCCCCUAGGAUACUUCCUCUUGUCGAUGCUGGCGGAGAUGAAGAGCGGGCAAUGUCGAUGCCUCCACAACUCAAAGAUAGCCAGACCAUAGGGUCGGCACAGGCUGGAAGUGUCCCUCCUACCUUCUCUCUCUUGGGUGCUGCUGAGUCCAUGGGUGGCCGCAGGAUCGAUGACAAGUACAAGGCAGAGGAGCAGGCAUGGGACAAUAAGAGGAGGCAUAAAAAGAGGGGGCGCGGCGGCAAGACCAUCAAGGAGUCCUCCAAUGUCAAUCAAGAUGAGAUGCACUAUGUGCCUGACAUAACUGGAGUCUGGGAAGACAAUAAGCCUGACAUUCUCAUGAAGAACCCCCGUCAAGGCCAGAGAUUCGAAGACGGAUCCUAUUUCGUGGCUAGGGAGUUUGACCGGGUGCUUAUUUACUAUCCUGGAAGACCGAUGGUCACUGAAGAUUCCUUGCGUGCCGUGUCCAGAGAGAUGCAAGAGCUUCAUCUGUUCUACAUGCAAGGAUCAGCUGGUUCUCAACAGCAUGCCCAACAAAUCAAUAUUCGAAUCCCAUGAGACUAUGGCUUUUUUGACCAAGAAACUGGGAACAUUCAGGAACGUCCUAUCACCUUUGGUGUGGAGUUCAACGAACUGUUUCACCUCUUCAACCACCAAAAGCUUGAUAUCAACCUCUUAAGGCUGUGGUCUGCCUACCAAAUAAGGGAAAUGCGGUGAAUGGAGGUCAAAAAAGUAGCCAUUCUAGACCCCAUGGUGUUCAACUAUGGUGACAUCGGUCUUGAGCCAGAAAAGGAUCACUCAAGAACCCUAGAAUCUCAAUACUUGGUGGCAUGUCUGGAGAAAUACGCGGACCACGACUUUAUCCUCUUCUUCCUUAAUUUGGAGUAAGUUGAAUUUUAUAUAUGGAACCGUUUGUUUUUUCUAAUUCAGUCUUUCUUAUACACCCUUAGAUACUAAUUUAAGUUUGUUUCUUUUGAAAACAGAGACCAUUGGGUGACACUACUCAUUUGUUUGCCUUGGUCUGCGGUGUACUACUUCGAUUCACUACUUCUAAAGAAGGGUGUUCGAGGUCGGUACUGGAAACCCAUCAAAUCACUCAUUAACACUGCCUAGAAAGUGUCGACCAAGAGAAAACUAGCUGGUAAAGGCUAUAAAGACGAGCCUCACCACAACCACAGGUUCCCUUGCCAGCAACAGCCGGCCGGCAGUGUGUGCUGUGGCUACUACUGCUGUCACAUCCUUAUGGAGAAUGCCAGCAUGUUCAAGUCUGAGUGGAAAGGGUCAGUCGCGGCUGUGGAACAGUACUGGCGGCCCCGAAUGUCAAUGGCACACCGACCUAAAUGGGUCGUGUAUAACAUUCAAAGGGAGUUCGCCCAUCUUAUCAAUAAUGAGGUCAUCAAGCCUAGUGGGGACUUCUACGAACGCGUGGAACAAGUGGUGACUAGGGUUCACCCACAACAAUAGCUUCAAACUUGAAAUGAGAUACAUUUGUAUUCUUUAUAUGCUUCUAUGAAAUUUUGACACUUUGUAAUCAAUGUCGUGAAGUGAGAUACAUUUGUAUUAUUUAUAUGCUUUAAAUGAUGCGGGUUUAUAUACAUUUGUAUGCUUUAAAUGAUGUGGCUGUGUAUUUUUCUAUGCUGUGAUGUGAUGUGCUGUGUUGUAUAUAUUUUUCUGUGUAUUUCCUGUGUAUUUUCUGUGGUUUUAAUUAUUUUUUUAAUUAUCGAAAAUGUAUCAGUGUCGGUCGCUCGCCCGACACUGAUGUGGCAAAGCGACCAUUACUGAUGUACAUAUUAUUAGUGACGGGCGCAAAAACGUGAUCGUCACUGAUGAUGGUAUUCGUCAGUAACGGUUGGGUCGGUCGCCCGCCACUGAUGAUAGUACAUCAGUAACGGUCGUAGGGACCGUUACUGAUGAUAGGUACAUCAGUAACGGUUGGAGCGACCGUUACUGAUGAUACCCAUCAUCAGUAACACGAAGUUAGUAACGGCGGCCCCGACCGUUACUGAUGUUGUUUUUCGACCGUUACUAAUAAGCCUUUCUGUAGUACUGCAAGCAUAUGAACAAAACACAUCUAAGGCAAGAACUAAACAUACGAAUUGCAGCAUGAUCUCAAGUAUGUGAAACAGUGACACGUACGGUGCAGAGGUGGAACCGCUCGUGUUCCCGUUGCCAGUCAUGUUGAUGCCGAGGAUGUCGUCGACCUCCGGGAAGAAGUCGUCGUCGGGGAAGGAGUCGUCGGAGUCCAGUGCGUUCGCGGUGAAGAGGGAGAAGCCAGUAGUCACGCGUAGCACUCCCCAAAAACCUUAUCGCCCUUCUCUCGUACAAGACUCGAAGAGGCGGGGUUUCGGAGGCCUACUGUCGCGACCUGCGAUGCACGCCGUGAGACGGGAUGGGGAAGAAUGGAGGCAGCGGAAUGCUCUGGAACGAGAGGAGGCAGGUGCUAUUUCUGUGUGCUUUGUGGAGAGGAGCGACCUCUCUUAUAUAGGCACAGCAGGCAGGCAACAGAGGGAGGCAGAAACGAAGAGGCAGCGGCCGGAGCGAUGCAAUAAAAACCCACUGACAAUUUUGUGCAACCGUUUAGAUUAUUUUCCACUCACGUGUGGCAAAAAGAUAGAGAAGCUCUUGACUCGAGGCAUUCCCGCAACUUGCGGCGCGCGCGUCGCGUCGUGACGAGGCGAGGCGUGGCGGGCGGCGGAGGAGCACGUAGAAGCUCUCUUCUUCUCAUGCUCAUACAACAGGUGGAAGAGCCUCCCUUAUAAGUUGGUGCAAAGUCUAUUCAACUAGUAAUGUGGGACUAAACUUUUGUCCCACCUCUUGCUACUCAUGACUGAGUCAACAUGGGCCUUUGGGAUUUUUCAGGAAUUUAUUAGACUAUAAAUUAAAUAGUGGGCUGGGCCACAUAAAUUCCAACAAUCUCCCACCAGAUCCCAAAUGCACAUAAGAUUUGCCUAUGGUUCCAAAACAUUGUUUAAUAUACCGGUGCUGCAGUGGAGAUUGUUAAGUUGAACUUCCACUUAGGACUUUAUGUUACACUAGUUGCAACUUGAACAGUGGACGGUGCCUUGAACUGCAAGUUUUUUGCGGACCUAGAUUCACACAAAGCUUUGACCGAUACUAGGCUACCGCAGGACUUCCCCGCGGGUGGAGCUUAUGCGUCAUACUCCGGGGCCUUUCAUGAGUUUAUUAGAGAGCACCCCAACUCUCACAUGGACUGCGACGUUUAACAGUCAAGCUCAUAUAGGUGUGUUCUUCAAAAGAUGUUCUGCAGGACAACAUCUCUGCUUGUAAAAGCCUCUUAGAACACAUUAAGAUAAGUAUCAACCUGCCAUGCAGAAUAGGAGAGUAUUGCAUCUUCACGGAGAGGUAAAUUUUUUAAGGAUACUCUCCUCACGGUUGACCAACAGCUUGUCUCCCACUUCUAAUUCACGGGAUCUCCGAUCACAUAGAGUGGUUUACCACUAUGGACAACUCAACAUGUGUGUCUCAUACCCAUCUCCUUCGAUGCAUUAUCUAUCACAUUGCGUGAUAGACCCUUUCUGAAGGGAUCUGCCAAAAUUUUAGAUGUAUGGAUAUAAUCCAACGUAAUAACUCCGGAGUUUCUCAUUUUUCUGACAGAUUUUAAUCUCCUCUUCACAUGCCUUGAGGACUUCAUAUUAUCCUUAGAACUGUUCACUUUGAUGAUAACAGUUUGAUUAUCACAGUUCAUAAGGAUAGCGGGUAUUGGUUUUUCAACCACAGGUAAGUCCAUCAAGAGGUGACGAAGCCACUCUGCUUCAACAGUGGUUGUGUCUAAUGCUGUGAGUUCCGCUUCCAUAGCUGACCUUGUUAAGAUGGUCUGCUUGCAAGACUUCCAAGAAACAGCGCCACCACCAAGUGUAAACACAUAUCCACUCGUGGCCUUAAUCUCAUCAGCAUCAGAUAUCCAUUUUGAAUCACUCUAACCCUCAAGUACCCAUGGAUACCCAUUAUAGUGAAUGCCAUAGCUCGCAGUGCCUUUUAGAUAGCGUAAAACUCUUUCAAGAGCAUGCCAAUGAUCAUCACCCGGAUUAGAGACAAAUCGACUAAGUUUGCUCACAGUGAAAGCGAUGUCAGGCCUCGAAGUGCUAGCUAAAUACAUAAGCGAGCCAAUAACUUGAGAGUAUCUCAGUUGAUCUCUAGCACUUCUUUGAUUUUUCCAAAGCAGCACGCUAGGAUCAUAAGGGGUAGGAGAAGGCUUGCAGUCGCUAUACCCAAAACGACUCAAGAUCUUCUCCACAUAGUGAGACUGAAGCAAAGUAAUCCCACCAUGGUCAUCUCUCAACGGCUUGAUGUUCAAAAUAACAUAAGAUACUCCAAGAUCCUUCAACUCAAAACAUCGAGAUAAGAAAUCCUUGACCUCCUUGAUCACAAUGAGGUUGGUUCCAAAUAUCAGUAUGUCAUCAACAUACAAACAAAGAAUAACUCCCUCGCCCCCACCAUGGCGAUAGUACACACACUUAUCGGCUUCGUUCACAACAAACCCUGCAGCAGUUAAGGUUCUUUCAAACUUCUCGUGCCACUGCUUAGGGGCUUGCUUAAGACCAUAUAAAGAUUUCACCAACUUGCACACCUUUCCUUCUUGACCAUCUACUACAAAACCAUCUGGCUGCUCCAUAUAAAUUUCCUCAUCUACCUCUCCAUUUAGGAAAGCUGUCGUAACGUCCAUUUGAUGAACGAGAAGACCAUGUGAGGCAACCAAUGAUUUAGUACUCGAAUGGUGGUCAAUCUGGCCACUGGUGAGUAAGUAUCAAAGAAAUCUUCACCUUCCUUUUGGGUGUAACCAUUGGCCACAAGCCAUGCCUUAUAUUUCUCAAUUGUACCAUCAGGUCUAAGAUACUUCUUGAACACCCAAUACAACAUUUUUGGAGGUCCAUGACAUUCGCCCAUUGUCAUAGAAAGUGGUAAAAACAUCAUGGACUUCACGUCAUAGACCUCUCCAUGACGUUUUUCCCCGUGUAAUGUCAUAAAGUUCUAUGAUAAACUGUCCCAAUUCAUCAUGAGUUAUGAGCCCUUACAUAGUGAGGAACUGCCACAAUUCGUCAUAGUUGAGUGUAUGUAUGCUUACGUGGAUGCCACGUGGGCUUGCUUGCAUGCAUGACAUGUGGUGGGUUGACGUGGCGGACACAUGUAUAUUUUGCUGGCGUGGCGUCCACGUGGAACAAAUUGAUGAUGUGGAUUUUCAGAUGACGUGACAAAAACAUGGGCCUCGUCCAAAGGCCUGGUUAUUUUUUUGGCCCAUUUAUUUCUUCAGCUUGAGCCUGUUUUUUUUCCUUGAGGCCUGUUUUCUUUUUAAUCACCAGGCUCUUUACAGGCUGUUUCUUUUUUUUUCCUGCUGCAUGGAGGCCUUUUUUGUUGUUUUAAAAUACAACAUAGCCCAUGUGCUCUUGGGCCAAAUGUUUUAAAAUACCACACGGAAAGAGAAAUUACAAUGCACAGAAGUAUCAGCCAACAUCAAACCAUAUCACGAAACAUUCAGGCCAUAGGACCAUAAGCAUCAAAGUGACCAUAUCACAUAACAUUCAGCCCACAAGCCAUAAGCACCAAAGUGCCCUCAAUAUGCAAUGUAUAAGCACAACAUCUAAUAAUUUUGUAACCUUCUCAUCACAUGAACAGAACAGAACUGAAAGGAACUCUCAACAAACACACACGCACACCAGAGGUUUUUACUGGGCUUGUAACCUUCUCAUCACUUGCCGAAGUAGGGCUUCAUCUACUUCAAGUUUUUUCCUCAUUGCUUGAAUCUCUUCCUCAUUCUUUACUCUUGCUGCAUCUGCUUCUUCCUUUGCUUUCCUAGCUUCUUCUUGUGCCACCUUAGCUUCUUCAUGUGCUUUUUUCAACUCUUCAAUGGUACUACGUAACUCAGCAUUCCCAUCUCUUUCAGCUUCUAGCUUCUCCAGAAGGCUACUCUUGGAUGUUCUACUCGAAGGGAUUGGCGGCAAACCAAUACGCUCCAAGAAUCUGUUAUUCUUAGUACUCUCAUUCAGCACUUCGGAAACGACCUCAGCAGCAGAUUUUGGUUCUCUCGUUAUGAUAUUUUCCAUAGAAUCCUUUAAAUAUCACCAAAGUGUUGGAAAUAUGCCCUAGAGGCAAUAAUAAAUUUGUUAUUAUCAUAUUUCAUUGUUCUUGAUAAAUGUUUAUUGCCCAUGCUAUAAUUGUAUUGAUUGGAAACUCAAAUACAUGUGUGGAUAAAUAAACAAAUACCGUGUCCCUAAUACGCCUCUACUAGAUUAGCUCGUUGAUUAAAGAUGGUUAAGGUUUCCUAACCAUAGACAUGUGUUGUCAUUUAAUAACGAGGUCAUAUCAUUAGGAGAAUGAUGUGAUGGACAGACCCAAAACUAAACAUAGCUUUUGAUCGUGUCACUUAAGUUUAAGUUGCUUAUGUUUUAUUAUGUCAAGUAUUAUUUCUUUAGACCAUGAGAUCAUGCCACUCCCUAGUACCGGAAGAAUACUUUGUGGGCAUCAACCGUCAUCUCGUAACUGGGUGAUCAUAAAGGUGUUUUUCAGGUAUCCCAGAAGGUGCUUGUUGGGUUGUAUGGAUCAAGACUGGGAUUUGUCACUCCUUGUGACGGAGAGAUAUCUCUGGGCCCUCUCGGUAAUAUAACAUCCUAAUGAGCUUGCAAGCAUGCGACUAAUGUGUUUAGUUGCGGGGGUAUUAUAUUACGGAACGAGUAAAGAGAACUUGCCGGUAACGAGAUUAAACUAGGUAUGGCGAUACCGACGAUCAAAUCUCGGGCAAGUAAUAUAUCGCGAGACAAAGAGAAUUGGAUACUGGAUUAAUUGAAUCCUCGACAUAGUGGUUCAACCGAUGAGAUCUUCGUGGAAUAUGUGGGAACUAUUAUGGACAUCCAGGUCCCGCUAUUGGUUAUUGAUAUUUGAUCAUGUCCACAUGUUCUCGAACCCGUAGGGUCACACACUUAACGUUUCAUGUUGCUUGGGUUAGAUGAGAUAAAUGAUGAUGAUAUCGAAUUAUGAUUCGGAGUCUUGGAUGGGAUCCUAGACGCAACGAGGAGCUCCGGAAUGUUCCGGAGAUAAAGAUUUAUAUAUGGAAAGUUGUUUUCAGGGUUCUGGAAAGUUUGGAAUAUUUCCCGGUUUUGACCGGGAAGCUUCUAGAAGGUUCCGGAGGGAUCCGGAGGGUUCCACCUUGAGGCCCACCUAUCCCUGGGCUAAAUGGGCCUGUGAGGGAGCACCCUGGCCUUAAUGGGCCGAGGGGCUAGCCCACAGGGCCCAUGCGGCCAGGAGGAGAGUCCUGGCCGCGGGAGAGUCCUGGCCGCAUGAGAGUCCUGGCCGCCGGAGAGUCCUGGCCGCGGGAUAGUCCUGGCCGGCCACGCCUCCUCUACCCCUAUAUAAAUAGAAGGGGGGGCAAGGGAGAGAGACACCCCAAGCUUUCAGUUGGAUCUCUCUCUCCCCUGAGCCCUCCUCUCCUCCUCUUCUCACGCGCACGGCGUAGCCCUGCCCGUGAGAAUAUUCACCAUAGUCACCACACCGUCGUGCUGCCGGGAUCUCGUCUACCUCUCCCUCUCGCUUGCUGGAUCGAGGAAGGAGGAGAUAACGUGAAGCUGAACGUGUGGAUACCAAGGAGGUGCUGUCCGUUCGGCACUGAGAUUGAUCUCAUUGAAAGUUCCACUACACCAACAACGAUCUCGUGAUCGUAACGCUUAGCGGUCUACGAGGGUAUGGUGUUCAUGAUCCCUCUCGUUACAUACAUCUAGUAUAUAUAUUCUUGGGUUUCUUCCGCACUUCUCGUAGGAAAAUUUUUGUUUCCUAUGCAACGAACCCAACAGUGGUAUCAGAGCUAGAUCUAUGCGUAGAUGUUUUGUACGAGUAGAACACAAUUUAGUUGUGGUCGUUGAUGUUCAUAUUGCUACCUCCUUUGUGCACUAUCGGAUUUUGCGGGAUAGUGGGAUGAAGCGGCUCGGACCAACCUUACUUGUCUUCGCACAAGAGACCGGUUCCGCAAUUAACAUGCAACUUGUAUUGCAUAAGGUGGCUGGCGGGUGUCUGUCUCUCCCACUAUAGUUGAAAUCUGAUUUGCAAUGGGAGGCCUAUAUGGUUAAUAAGCAAUUUGUAUAUCACCGUUGUGGCUUUUGCGUAAGUAAGAACGGUUCUUUUAGUGCAGCCCCUAAAGCCACGUAAAACAUGCAACAACAAAGUAGAAGCGUCUAACUUGUUUUUGCAGGGGCAUGUGAUGUGGUAUGGCCAAGAUAUGAUAUAAUAUAUUUGAUGUAUGAGAUGAUCAUGUUUUGUAAUAUUUCACGACUUGCAUGUCGAUGAGUUUGGCAACCGGCAGGAGCCGUAUGGUUGUCUCAUUAAUUAUUGUAUGACCUUCGUGUCAAUGAUUUAAUCGCCAUGUAAUUGCUUUACUUUAUCGCUAGUAGUAGCAAUAGUCGUAGUAGCAAUAGUUGGUGGAGGCAACUAUACAUGACGCCCGAGGACCUAGGCGCCAUGCUGGUGAUGAUGGAGAUCAUGCCCGUGCUUUGGAGAUGGAGAUCAAAGGCACACGAAGAGAAGGCCAUAUCAUGUCACAUUAUUUAUGCAUGUGAUGUUUAUCCCUUUUAUGCAUCUUAUUUUGCUUAGUUGACGGUAGCAUUAUAAGAUGAUCCCUCAUUGUUAAUAUCAAGAUAAUAAUGUGUUCUCCCUUAGUAUGCACCGUUGCAAAAGUUCGUCGUUUUGAAGCACCACGUGAUGAUCGGGUGUUAUAAACUCUACGUUCGCAUACAACGGGUGUAAGCCAGUUUUACACAUGCAGGAAUACUUUGGUUAACUUGACAAGCCUAGCAUGUACAGACAUGGCCUCGGAACACAAGGAACCGAAAGGUUAAACAUGAGUCAUAUGAAUGAUGUGAUCAACAUGCUGAUGUUUACCAUUGAAGCUACUCCAUCUCACGUGAUGAUCGGACUUGGUGUAGUGGAUUUGGAUCAUGUGUCACUAAACAACCUGAGGGAUGUUGAUUUUAGUGGGAGUUCAUUAGUAAUUUGAUUAGUUUGAACUUAUUAUCAUGAACUUAGUCUAAUUACCUUUGCAAAUAUGCUGUAGAUCAAUGGCUCGUACUACGUUCAAUAUGAAUACUCUCCUAGAGAAAGAUAAACUGAAGUCCAAUGGAAGCAACUUUACGGACUGGUUCCGGAAUGUGACGAUUAUCCUCGAAGCUGCCAAAAAGGCUUAUGUUUUUGAUGCAGCGCUUGGUGCAGAACCCGCAGCAGCUGAGUCUGCUAACGUUAGGAACGUUUGGCUGACUAAAUCUGAGGACCACAAUGUAGUUAGGUGCGGCCUCUUGCUUGGUAUGGAACCUGAGCUCCAAAAGCGUUUUGAGCACCACUCGGCAUAUGCUAUGAUUGGGGAACUGAAUACUUUAUUUCAGACCCAAGCCCGUGCGGAGAGGUAUGAUGCCUCCGAAAGGUUCUUUAACUGCAAGAUGGAGGAGAACAGCUCCGUUAGCGAGCACGUGCUCAGAAUGUCUGGGUACGCCGACCGCCUGAGACAACUGGGAAUUGAGAUUCCUAAUGAAUUAGGCAUUGACCGGGUUCUUCAGUCACUACCACCUAGCUAUAAAAGUUUUGUGGUGAACUACAAUAUGCAAGGGAUGGAUAGGACACUUCCUCAGCUCCUCGCGAUGUUAAAAACCGCGGAGGUGGAAAUCAAAAAGGAGCAUCAAGUGUUGAUGGUCAAUAAGACCACCAGUUUCAAGAAGGCAAAGGGUAAGAAGGGAAAUUUCAAGAAGGGUGGCAAAACUGUUGCCACUCCCGCGAAGAAGCCCAAAUCUGGACCUAAGCCGGAUACUGAGUGCUUCUACUGCAAGGGGACUGGCCACUGGAAGCGUAACUGCCCCAAGUACUUGGCAGAUAAGAAGGCUGGCAACGUCAAAGGUAUAUUUGAUAUACAUGUUAUUGAUGUGUACCUUACUAGUACUCGUAGUAGCACCUGGGUAUUUGAUACUGGUUCAGUUGCUCACAUUUGUAACUCGAAACAGGAGCUACAGAAUAAACGAAGACUAGCAAGAGAUGAGGUGACUAUGCGCGUCGGGAAUGGAUCAAAAGUUGAUGUGAUCGCCGUCGGCACGCUCCCUCUACAUUUAUCUUCGGGAUUAGUUUUAAACCUUAGUAAUUGUUAUUUGGUGCCUGCGUUGAGCAUGAACAUUAUAUCAGGAUCUUGUUUAAUGCAAGACGGUUAUUCAUUUAAAUCAGAGAAUAAUGGUUGUUCGAUUUAUAUGAGUAAUAUCUUUUAUGGUCAUGCACCACUUGUGAAUGGUUUAUUUCUAUUAAGUCUCGAUAGUAGUGACACACAUAUUCAUAAUGUUAAUGCCAAAAGGUGCAAAGUGGAUAAUGAUAGUUCAACAUAUUUGUGGCACUGCCGUCUAGGUCAUAUUGGUAUAAAACGCAUGAAGAAACUCCAUUCUGAUGGACUACUUGAAUCACUUGAUUUUGAAUCAUUUGAUACAUGUGAACCAUGCCUCAUGGGUAAGAUGACUAGAACCCCGUUUUCAGGCUUAAUGGAACGGGCCAGUGACUUGUUGGAGAUCAUACAUACUGAUGUGUGCGGACCAAUGAGUGUUACAACAUGCGGUGGAUAUCGUUACUUCCUAACCUUCACAGAUGACUUGAGUAGAUAUGGGUAUAUUUACUUAAUGAAAAACAAGUCUGAGACAUUUGAAAAAUUCAAGGAAUUUCAGAAUGAAGUGGAGAAUCAUCGUAACAAGAAAAUUAAAUUUUUACGAUCGGAUCGUGGAGGUGAAUAUUUGAGUUAUGAGUUUGGCACGCAUUUAAGACAAUGUGGAAUUGUUUCACAACUUACGCCGCCUGGAACACCACAACGCAAUGGUGUGUCCGAACGUCGUAAUCGUACUUUAUUGGAUAUGGUACGGUCUAUGAUGUCUCUUACUGAUUUGCCACUGUCGUUUUGGGGUUAUGCAUUAGAGACAGCCGCAUUCACUUUAAAUAGGGCACCAUCUAAAUCCGUUGAAACAACACCGUAUGAAUUAUGGUUUGGCAAGAAACCUAAGCUGUCCUUUCUUAAAGUUUGGGGAUGCGAAGCUUAUGUAAAAAGGCUUCAACCUGAUAAGCUCGAACCCAAGUCGGAAAAAUGCGUCUUCAUAGGAUACCCUAAAGAAACAAUUGGGUACACCUUCUAUCACAGAUCCGAAGGAAAAGUGUUUGUCGCUAAGAACGGGUCCUUUCUAGAGAAGGAGUUUCUCUCGAAAGAAGUGAGUGGGAGGAAGGUAGAGCUCGAUGAGGUUAUUGAACCUUCUCUCGAAUUUGAGUGUAGCGCAGCACCAGAAACUGUUCCCGUGCAUCCUGCAUCAGCUAGAGAGGAAGCUAAUGAUAAUGAUCAUGAAGUUUUGAAUGAGACAACUACUGAACUUCGCAGGUCGACGAGAACACGUAAUACUCCUGAGUGGUACAAUGUUCGUGUCAUGAAUGUCAUGUUGUUGGACAACGAUGAACCUGCGAAUUAUGAGGAAGCGAUGAUGAGCCCAGACUCUGAAAAAUGGUUAGAAGCCAUGAAAUCCGAAAUGGGAUCCAUGUAUGAAAACCAAGUAUGGACUUUGGUAGACUUACCGAAUGACCGAAAGGCCGUUGAGAACAAAUGGAUUUUCAAGAAGAAAACAGAUGCUGAUGGAAAUGUUACCGUCUAUAAAGCUCGACUUGUCGCAAAAGGUUUUCGACAAAUUCAAGGAGUUGACUACGAUGAGACUUUCUCACCCGUAGCGAUGCUAAAGUCUGUUCGGAUUAUGUUAGCAAUUGCUGCAUUUUUCGAUUACGAAAUCUGGCAGAUGGAUGUCAAAACCGCGUUCCUUAAUGGUCACAUUGAGGAAGAGUUAUACAUGGUUCAGCCCAAAGGUUUUGUCGAUCCUAAGGAUGCUAAUAAGGUAUGCAAACUUCAGCGUUCCAUUUAUGGGCUGAAGCAAGCAUCUCGGAGUUGGAAUCUCCGUUUUGAUAAGGUGAUCAAAGGGUUUGGAUUUGUCCAAACUCACGGAGAAGCUUGUAUUUACAAGAAAGUGAGUGGGAGCUCUGUAGCAUUUCUAAUACUGUAUGUGGAUGACAUAUUGCUGAUUGGGAAUGAUAUAGAACUUCUUAAAAGUGUUAAAGGCUAUUUGAAUAAAAGUUUUUCAAUGAAAGACCUUGGUGAAGCAGCUUACAUAUUAGGCAUCAAGAUUUAUAGAGAUAGAUCAAGACGCCUGAUAGGACUUACACAAAGUACAUACCUUGACAAAGUUUUGAAAAAGUUCAAAAUGGAUCAAGCAAAGAAAGGGUUCUUGCCCAUGUUGCAAGGUAAGAUAUUGAGUAAGACUCAGUGUCCAGCUUCGGCAGAAGAUAGAGAAAAGAUGAAUAGUAUCCCCUAUGCCUCAGCCAUAGGCUCUAUUAUGUAUGCCAUGCUGUGUACUAGACCAGACGUGUGUCAUGCUAUUAGUUUGACUAGCAGGUACCAAAGUGAUCCAGGAGUGGAACACUGGACAGCAGUUAAGAAUAUCCUUAAGUACCUAAAAAGGACUAAAGAAAUGUUUCUCGUUUAUGGAGGUGACGAACAGCUCGUCGUAAAGGGUUACGUCGAUGCUAGUUUUGACACUGAUCCGGAUGACUCUAAGUCUCAAUCCGGAUACGUAUUUAUUUUGAAUGGUGGUGCAGUUAGCUGGAGGAGUUCCAAGCAGAGCGUUGUGGCAGCAUCAACAACUGAAGCGGAAUAUGUGGCUGCUUCAGAAGCGGCACAGGAAGGAGUUUGGAUGAAGGAGUUCAUAUCUGAACUUGGUGUGGUUCCGAGUGCGUUGGAUCCCAUGGACAUCUAUUGUGACAACACUGGUGCCAUAGCCAACGCCAAGGAGCCGAGGUCUCACAAGAAUUCCAAGCAUAUUAAACGCCGGUUUCACACUAUUCGUGAAUAUGUCAAGGAUGGUGACAUAAAGAUUUGCAAAGUACAUACGGAUCUGAAUGUCGCAGAUCCGUUGACUAAACCUCUUCCACGAGCAAAACAUGAUCAACACCAAGACUCCAUGGGUGUUAGAUUUAUUACAAUGUAAAGUAGAUUAUUGACUCUAGUGCAAGUGGGAGACUGUUGGAAAUAUGCCCUAGAGGCAAUAAUAAAUUUGUUAUUAUCAUAUUUCAUUGUUCUUGAUAAAUUUUUAUUGCCCAUGCUAUAAUUGUAUUGAUUGGAAACUCAAAUACAUGUGUGGAUAAAUAAACAAAUACCGUGUCCCUAAUACGCCUCUACUAGAUUAGCUCGUUGAUUAAAGAUGGUUAAGGUUUCCUAACCAUAGACAUGUGUUGUCAUUUAAUAACGAGGUCAUAUCAUUAGGAGAAUGAUGUGAUGGACAGACCCAAAACUAAACAUAGCUUUUGAUCGUGUCACUUAAGUUUAAGUUGCUUAUGUUUUAUUAUGUCAAGUAUUAUUUCUUUAGACCAUGAGAUCAUGCCACUCCCUAGUACCGGAAGAAUACUUUGUGGGCAUCAACCGUCAUCUCGUAACUGGGUGAUCAUAAAGGUGUUUUUCAGGUAUCCCAGAAGGUGCUUGUUGGGUUGUAUGGAUCAAGACUGGGAUUUGUCACUCCUUGUGACGGAGAGAUAUCUCUGGGCCCUCUCGGUAAUAUAACAUCCUAAUGAGCUUGCAAGCAUGCGACUAAUGUGUUUAGUUGCGGGGGUAUUAUAUUACGGAACGAGUAAAGAGAACUUGCCGGUAACGAGAUUAAACUAGGUAUGGCGAUACCGACGAUCAAAUCUCGGGCAAGUAAUAUAUCGCGAGACAAAGAGAAUUGGAUACUGGAUUAAUUGAAUCCUCGACAUAGUGGUUCAACCGAUGAGAUCUUCGUGGAAUAUGUGGGAACUAUUAUGGACAUCCAGGUCCCGCUAUUGGUUAUUGAUAUUUGAUCAUGUCCACAUGUUCUCGAACCCGUAGGGUCACACACUUAACGUUUCAUGUUGCUUGGGUUAGAUGAGAUAAAUGAUGAUGAUAUCGAAUUAUGAUUCGGAGUCUUGGAUGGGAUCCUAGACGCAACGAGGAGCUCCGGAAUGUUCCGGAGAUAAAGAUUUAUAUAUGGAAAGUUGUUUUCAGGGUUCUGGAAAGUUUGGAAUAUUUCCCGGUUUUGACCGGGAAGCUUCUAGAAGGUUCCGGAGGGAUCCGGAGGGUUCCACCUUGAGGCCCACCUAUCCCUGGGCUAAAUGGGCCUGUGAGGGAGCACCCUGGCCUUAAUGGGCCGAGGGGCUAGCCCACAGGGCCCAUGCGGCCAGGAGGAGAGUCCUGGCCGCGGGAGAGUCCUGGCCGCAUGAGAGUCCUGGCCGCCGGAGAGUCCUGGCCGCGGGAUAGUCCUGGCCGGCCACGCCUCCUCUACCCCUAUAUAAAUAGAAGGGGGGGCAAGGGAGAGAGACACCCCAAGCUUUCAGUUGGAUCUCUCUCUCCCCUGAGCCCUCCUCUCCUCCUCUUCUCACGCGCACGGCGUAGCCCUGCCCGUGAGAAUAUUCACCAUAGUCACCACACCGUCGUGCUGCCGGGAUCUCGUCUACCUCUCCCUCUCGCUUGCUGGAUCGAGGAAGGAGGAGAUAACGUGAAGCUGAACGUGUGGAUACCAAGGAGGUGCUGUCCGUUCGGCACUGAGAUUGAUCUCAUUGAAAGUUCCACUACACCAACAACGAUCUCGUGAUCGUAACGCUUAGCGGUCUACGAGGGUAUGGUGUUCAUGAUCCCUCUCGUUACAUACAUCUAGUAUAUAUAUUCUUGGGUUUCUUCCGCACUUCUCGUAGGAAAAUUUUUGUUUCCUAUGCAACGAACCCAACAGUGGUAUCAGAGCUAGAUCUAUGCGUAGAUGUUUUGUACGAGUAGAACACAAUUUAGUUGUGGUCGUUGAUGUUCAUAUUGCUACCUCCUUUGUGCACUAUCGGAUUUUGCGGGAUAGUGGGAUGAAGCGGCUCGGACCAACCUUACUUGUCUUCGCACAAGAGACCGGUUCCGCAAUUAACAUGCAACUUGUAUUGCAUAAGGUGGCUGGCGGGUGUCUGUCUCUCCCACUAUAGUUGAAAUCUGAUUUGCAAUGGGAGGCCUAUAUGGUUAAUAAGCAAUUUGUAUAUCACCGUUGUGGCUUUUGCGUAAGUAAGAACGGUUCUUUUAGUGCAGCCCCUAAAGCCACGUAAAACAUGCAACAACAAAGUAGAAGCGUCUAACUUGUUUUUGCAGGGGCAUGUGAUGUGGUAUGGCCAAGAUAUGAUAUAAUAUAUUUGAUGUAUGAGAUGAUCAUGUUUUGUAAUAUUUCACGACUUGCAUGUCGAUGAGUUUGGCAACCGGCAGGAGCCGUAUGGUUGUCUCAUUAAUUAUUGUAUGACCUUCGUGUCAAUGAUUUAAUCGCCAUGUAAUUGCUUUACUUUAUCGCUAGUAGUAGCAAUAGUCGUAGUAGCAAUAGUUGGUGGAGGCAACUAUACAUGACGCCCGAGGACCUAGGCGCCAUGCUGGUGAUGAUGGAGAUCAUGCCCGUGCUUUGGAGAUGGAGAUCAAAGGCACACGAAGAGAAGGCCAUAUCAUGUCACAUUAUUUAUGCAUGUGAUGUUUAUCCCUUUUAUGCAUCUUAUUUUGCUUAGUUGACGGUAGCAUUAUAAGAUGAUCCCUCAUUGUUAAUAUCAAGAUAAUAAUGUGUUCUCCCUUAGUAUGCACCGUUGCAAAAGUUCGUCGUUUUGAAGCACCACGUGAUGAUCGGGUGUUAUAAACUCUACGUUCGCAUACAACGGGUGUAAGCCAGUUUUACACAUGCAGGAAUACUUUGGUUAACUUGACAAGCCUAGCAUGUACAGACAUGGCCUCGGAACACAAGGAACCGAAAGGUUAAACAUGAGUCAUAUGAAUGAUGUGAUCAACAUGCUGAUGUUUACCAUUGAAGCUACUCCAUCUCACGUGAUGAUCGGACUUGGUGUAGUGGAUUUGGAUCAUGUGUCACUAAACAACCUGAGGGAUGUUGAUUUUAGUGGGAGUUCAUUAGUAAUUUGAUUAGUUUGAACUUAUUAUCAUGAACUUAGUCUAAUUACCUUUGCAAAUAUGCUGUAGAUCAAUGGCUCGUACUACGUUCAAUAUGAAUACUCUCCUAGAGAAAGAUAAACUGAAGUCCAAUGGAAGCAACUUUACGGACUGGUUCCGGAAUGUGACGAUUAUCCUCGAAGCUGCCAAAAAGGCUUAUGUUUUUGAUGCAGCGCUUGGUGCAGAACCCGCAGCAGCUGAGUCUGCUAACGUUAGGAACGUUUGGCUGACUAAAUCUGAGGACCACAAUGUAGUUAGGUGCGGCCUCUUGCUUGGUAUGGAACCUGAGCUCCAAAAGCGUUUUGAGCACCACUCGGCAUAUGCUAUGAUUGGGGAACUGAAUACUUUAUUUCAGACCCAAGCCCGUGCGGAGAGGUAUGAUGCCUCCGAAAGGUUCUUUAACUGCAAGAUGGAGGAGAACAGCUCCGUUAGCGAGCACGUGCUCAGAAUGUCUGGGUACGCCGACCGCCUGAGACAACUGGGAAUUGAGAUUCCUAAUGAAUUAGGCAUUGACCGGGUUCUUCAGUCACUACCACCUAGCUAUAAAAGUUUUGUGGUGAACUACAAUAUGCAAGGGAUGGAUAGGACACUUCCUCAGCUCCUCGCGAUGUUAAAAACCGCGGAGGUGGAAAUCAAAAAGGAGCAUCAAGUGUUGAUGGUCAAUAAGACCACCAGUUUCAAGAAGGCAAAGGGUAAGAAGGGAAAUUUCAAGAAGGGUGGCAAAACUGUUGCCACUCCCGCGAAGAAGCCCAAAUCUGGACCUAAGCCGGAUACUGAGUGCUUCUACUGCAAGGGGACUGGCCACUGGAAGCGUAACUGCCCCAAGUACUUGGCAGAUAAGAAGGCUGGCAACGUCAAAGGUAUAUUUGAUAUACAUGUUAUUGAUGUGUACCUUACUAGUACUCGUAGUAGCACCUGGGUAUUUGAUACUGGUUCAGUUGCUCACAUUUGUAACUCGAAACAGGAGCUACAGAAUAAACGAAGACUAGCAAGAGAUGAGGUGACUAUGCGCGUCGGGAAUGGAUCAAAAGUUGAUGUGAUCGCCGUCGGCACGCUCCCUCUACAUUUAUCUUCGGGAUUAGUUUUAAACCUUAGUAAUUGUUAUUUGGUGCCUGCGUUGAGCAUGAACAUUAUAUCAGGAUCUUGUUUAAUGCAAGACGGUUAUUCAUUUAAAUCAGAGAAUAAUGGUUGUUCGAUUUAUAUGAGUAAUAUCUUUUAUGGUCAUGCACCACUUGUGAAUGGUUUAUUUCUAUUAAGUCUCGAUAGUAGUGACACACAUAUUCAUAAUGUUAAUGCCAAAAGGUGCAAAGUGGAUAAUGAUAGUUCAACAUAUUUGUGGCACUGCCGUCUAGGUCAUAUUGGUAUAAAACGCAUGAAGAAACUCCAUUCUGAUGGACUACUUGAAUCACUUGAUUUUGAAUCAUUUGAUACAUGUGAACCAUGCCUCAUGGGUAAGAUGACUAGAACCCCGUUUUCAGGCUUAAUGGAACGGGCCAGUGACUUGUUGGAGAUCAUACAUACUGAUGUGUGCGGACCAAUGAGUGUUACAACAUGCGGUGGAUAUCGUUACUUCCUAACCUUCACAGAUGACUUGAGUAGAUAUGGGUAUAUUUACUUAAUGAAAAACAAGUCUGAGACAUUUGAAAAAUUCAAGGAAUUUCAGAAUGAAGUGGAGAAUCAUCGUAACAAGAAAAUUAAAUUUUUACGAUCGGAUCGUGGAGGUGAAUAUUUGAGUUAUGAGUUUGGCACGCAUUUAAGACAAUGUGGAAUUGUUUCACAACUUACGCCGCCUGGAACACCACAACGCAAUGGUGUGUCCGAACGUCGUAAUCGUACUUUAUUGGAUAUGGUACGGUCUAUGAUGUCUCUUACUGAUUUGCCACUGUCGUUUUGGGGUUAUGCAUUAGAGACAGCCGCAUUCACUUUAAAUAGGGCACCAUCUAAAUCCGUUGAAACAACACCGUAUGAAUUAUGGUUUGGCAAGAAACCUAAGCUGUCCUUUCUUAAAGUUUGGGGAUGCGAAGCUUAUGUAAAAAGGCUUCAACCUGAUAAGCUCGAACCCAAGUCGGAAAAAUGCGUCUUCAUAGGAUACCCUAAAGAAACAAUUGGGUACACCUUCUAUCACAGAUCCGAAGGAAAAGUGUUUGUCGCUAAGAACGGGUCCUUUCUAGAGAAGGAGUUUCUCUCGAAAGAAGUGAGUGGGAGGAAGGUAGAGCUCGAUGAGGUUAUUGAACCUUCUCUCGAAUUUGAGUGUAGCGCAGCACCAGAAACUGUUCCCGUGCAUCCUGCAUCAGCUAGAGAGGAAGCUAAUGAUAAUGAUCAUGAAGUUUUGAAUGAGACAACUACUGAACUUCGCAGGUCGACGAGAACACGUAAUACUCCUGAGUGGUACAAUGUUCGUGUCAUGAAUGUCAUGUUGUUGGACAACGAUGAACCUGCGAAUUAUGAGGAAGCGAUGAUGAGCCCAGACUCUGAAAAAUGGUUAGAAGCCAUGAAAUCCGAAAUGGGAUCCAUGUAUGAAAACCAAGUAUGGACUUUGGUAGACUUACCGAAUGACCGAAAGGCCGUUGAGAACAAAUGGAUUUUCAAGAAGAAAACAGAUGCUGAUGGAAAUGUUACCGUCUAUAAAGCUCGACUUGUCGCAAAAGGUUUUCGACAAAUUCAAGGAGUUGACUACGAUGAGACUUUCUCACCCGUAGCGAUGCUAAAGUCUGUUCGGAUUAUGUUAGCAAUUGCUGCAUUUUUCGAUUACGAAAUCUGGCAGAUGGAUGUCAAAACCGCGUUCCUUAAUGGUCACAUUGAGGAAGAGUUAUACAUGGUUCAGCCCAAAGGUUUUGUCGAUCCUAAGGAUGCUAAUAAGGUAUGCAAACUUCAGCGUUCCAUUUAUGGGCUGAAGCAAGCAUCUCGGAGUUGGAAUCUCCGUUUUGAUAAGGUGAUCAAAGGGUUUGGAUUUGUCCAAACUCACGGAGAAGCUUGUAUUUACAAGAAAGUGAGUGGGAGCUCUGUAGCAUUUCUAAUACUGUAUGUGGAUGACAUAUUGCUGAUUGGGAAUGAUAUAGAACUUCUUAAAAGUGUUAAAGGCUAUUUGAAUAAAAGUUUUUCAAUGAAAGACCUUGGUGAAGCAGCUUACAUAUUAGGCAUCAAGAUUUAUAGAGAUAGAUCAAGACGCCUGAUAGGACUUACACAAAGUACAUACCUUGACAAAGUUUUGAAAAAGUUCAAAAUGGAUCAAGCAAAGAAAGGGUUCUUGCCCAUGUUGCAAGGUAAGAUAUUGAGUAAGACUCAGUGUCCAGCUUCGGCAGAAGAUAGAGAAAAGAUGAAUAGUAUCCCCUAUGCCUCAGCCAUAGGCUCUAUUAUGUAUGCCAUGCUGUGUACUAGACCAGACGUGUGUCAUGCUAUUAGUUUGACUAGCAGGUACCAAAGUGAUCCAGGAGUGGAACACUGGACAGCAGUUAAGAAUAUCCUUAAGUACCUAAAAAGGACUAAAGAAAUGUUUCUCGUUUAUGGAGGUGACGAACAGCUCGUCGUAAAGGGUUACGUCGAUGCUAGUUUUGACACUGAUCCGGAUGACUCUAAGUCUCAAUCCGGAUACGUAUUUAUUUUGAAUGGUGGUGCAGUUAGCUGGAGGAGUUCCAAGCAGAGCGUUGUGGCAGCAUCAACAACUGAAGCGGAAUAUGUGGCUGCUUCAGAAGCGGCACAGGAAGGAGUUUGGAUGAAGGAGUUCAUAUCUGAACUUGGUGUGGUUCCGAGUGCGUUGGAUCCCAUGGACAUCUAUUGUGACAACACUGGUGCCAUAGCCAACGCCAAGGAGCCGAGGUCUCACAAGAAUUCCAAGCAUAUUAAACGCCGGUUUCACACUAUUCGUGAAUAUGUCAAGGAUGGUGACAUAAAGAUUUGCAAAGUACAUACGGAUCUGAAUGUCGCAGAUCCGUUGACUAAACCUCUUCCACGAGCAAAACAUGAUCAACACCAAGACUCCAUGGGUGUUAGAUUUAUUACAAUGUAAAGUAGAUUAUUGACUCUAGUGCAAGUGGGAGACUGUUGGAAAUAUGCCCUAGAGGCAAUAAUAAAUUUGUUAUUAUCAUAUUUCAUUGUUCUUGAUAAAUUUUUAUUGCCCAUGCUAUAAUUGUAUUGAUUGGAAACUCAAAUACAUGUGUGGAUAAAUAAACAAAUACCGUGUCCCUAAUACGCCUCUACUAGAUUAGCUCGUUGAUUAAAGAUGGUUAAGGUUUCCUAACCAUAGACAUGUGUUGUCAUUUAAUAACGAGGUCAUAUCAUUAGGAGAAUGAUGUGAUGGACAGACCCAAAACUAAACAUAGCUUUUGAUCGUGUCACUUAAGUUUAAGUUGCUUAUGUUUUAUUAUGUCAAGUAUUAUUUCUUUAGACCAUGAGAUCAUGCCACUCCCUAGUACCGGAAGAAUACUUUGUGGGCAUCAACCGUCAUCUCGUAACUGGGUGAUCAUAAAGGUGUUUUUCAGGUAUCCCAGAAGGUGCUUGUUGGGUUGUAUGGAUCAAGACUGGGAUUUGUCACUCCUUGUGACGGAGAGAUAUCUCUGGGCCCUCUCGGUAAUAUAACAUCCUAAUGAGCUUGCAAGCAUGCGACUAAUGUGUUUAGUUGCGGGGGUAUUAUAUUACGGAACGAGUAAAGAGAACUUGCCGGUAACGAGAUUAAACUAGGUAUGGCGAUACCGACGAUCAAAUCUCGGGCAAGUAAUAUAUCGCGAGACAAAGAGAAUUGGAUACUGGAUUAAUUGAAUCCUCGACAUAGUGGUUCAACCGAUGAGAUCUUCGUGGAAUAUGUGGGAACUAUUAUGGACAUCCAGGUCCCGCUAUUGGUUAUUGAUAUUUGAUCAUGUCCACAUGUUCUCGAACCCGUAGGGUCACACACUUAACGUUUCAUGUUGCUUGGGUUAGAUGAGAUAAAUGAUGAUGAUAUCGAAUUAUGAUUCGGAGUCUUGGAUGGGAUCCUAGACGCAACGAGGAGCUCCGGAAUGUUCCGGAGAUAAAGAUUUAUAUAUGGAAAGUUGUUUUCAGGGUUCUGGAAAGUUUGGAAUAUUUCCCGGUUUUGACCGGGAAGCUUCUAGAAGGUUCCGGAGGGAUCCGGAGGGUUCCACCUUGAGGCCCACCUAUCCCUGGGCUAAAUGGGCCUGUGAGGGAGCACCCUGGCCUUAAUGGGCCGAGGGGCUAGCCCACAGGGCCCAUGCGGCCAGGAGGAGAGUCCUGGCCGCGGGAGAGUCCUGGCCGCGGGAUAGUCCUGGCCGGCCACGCCUCCUCUACCCCUAUAUAAAUAGAAGGGGGGGCAAGGGAGAGAGACACCCCAAGCUUUCAGUUGGAUCUCUCUCUCCCCUGAGCCCUCCUCUCCUCCUCUUCUCACGCGCACGGCGUAGCCCUGCCCGUGAGAAUAUUCACCAUAGUCACCACGCCGUCGUGCUGCCGGGAUCUCGUCUACCUCUCCCUCUCGCUUGCUGGAUCGAGGAAGGAGGAGAUAACGUGAAGCUGAACGUGUGGAUACCAAGGAGGUGCUGUCCGUUCGGCACUGAGAUUGAUCUCAUUGAAAGUUCCACUACACCAACAACGAUCUCGUGAUCGUAACGCUUAGCGGUCUACGAGGGUAUGGUGUUCAUGAUCCCUCUCGUUACAUACAUCUAGUAUAUAUAUUCUUGGGUUUCUUCCGCACUUCUCGUAGGAAAAUUUUUGUUUCCUAUGCAACGAACCCAACACAAAGCAGAUGUAUCAUAACCAAAGUAAAAAUGAGGCAACAAGAUGCUGCAGGAAAUAUGAUUUUUCAUUCAACAACACAAACAAGAUUAAUCAUUCACAUGGCAUAAUUUGAAAAUAAAGAAAAGGGGGGGGGGGGGGGGUUAAGGCUGUGGUAACUAACUCCUACGUAGAAACAACGGGAAAUAAAUGUGGCGACUACCUACAGGAAGUUACUUGUUGUAGCCUACAAGUUUCAUAUUAGUUACACAAACAACAUUUACAAGUUUCUACAAGUUUGGUGACACAAACAACCUCAUCAGAAUUACACCAAAAAUACUGUUGGAAAUAUAUCAACAGCAUCUACAACUUUCAUAUUAGUAACAUAUUCAAAUUUUGUACUGAUAAGUACCAGUUUAAAAAAUAACAAGGAUAACACUUAAAAAACAGCAGUAGAUUUUUUCUGCUCUAAAUUUCAGACCAAUUAUCGGAAUUAGACAAACAAUAUACUGUUGGAAAGUCAACGUCAACAUCUACAAGUUUCAUAUUAGUUACAUCUUCAAAUUAUUUACAAAUAAAUACCAGUUUGAAAAACAACAGGGAUAACACUUGGAACCGACAGCAGCAGGGUUUUUAUGCUCUAGAUUUCAAACCAAUCAUCAGAUUUACACAAACAAUAUAUCAUUGGAAAGAUAUCGACAUCAUCUACAAGUUUCAUAUUAGUUCCAUCUUCAAAUUCUGUACUGAUUAGUACCAGUUUCGAAAACAGCUGGGAAAGCACUUGAAAACAGCAUAGAAAACACUUGAAAACAGUAGAUAUGUUCCGGUGAAACAACAACAUACAUAGCAGAACGUAAUUGCAUGGCAGCUUGAUAUGACAAUAGUUUCAGCAAAGUGUUCUUUAGAUUACAACAGUUUCAGUAAACUAUUUGUCAAGCACAAUCAAAUAACCAUCACAUUGAAAUAAAACCCAAAGUUAUGAUAUAUCGUAGAUUGGGCUCUUCAGACAAUGACAAAGGCAAAAAAAGGAGGACUUACAAUUGCAGCUUGCGCAUUCUCACUAAAUUCUCUUUUUGUACUAAAGUGGGUCUCCUUGAACAAGUCAACUGCAUCUGGAGAUUUAUCUUUGUACUUCUUGCUCAGAAACUGUUUUUGCAAAAAAUAUUGAUUACGGCCUAAUUAUGAACAAAGCUAUUAGUGAUUUGUUGUGAAUUGACAUACCACUUCUUGUACUUGCACCUCAUAACUGCGUGAACCAGUGGCUUGCUGGUACUUGACCAUUGAUCGGCUCACCUUGUUCUUUGCACAAGUAUCCUUCACAAAAAUAAACAGUGAUGUAAAAGAUACAUCAGUACAUCAUAUUUUCACUAUGAUAAGGAGCCUAGCCCCAAAUACUAGAAGUAUAACUUGACCAGUGCAUCCACUUAACUUUCUGCUUCAAAAUAACCAGAGAAUAACUCAAUGAACAUAAUACUAGAAGAAGGUGACAAUGGAAGAUCAGAAAGUUAGUUUUCUGAACAUCCACUUAGUUUUAUUAGAGUCCAGUACUUAUACAAAUGAGGUCUAUUUGUAUAAAAAUGGGAGGUGUCCAGUGCUUCAGUUUGAUAUAGUUUCAUAUGAAUUUAUUUCUCUAUCUAGAGUAUAAAAUCACAAUGGCAUUAGCACAUGCCAUCACAAUGGCUCUGUUUCAGAUUGGAGUAGGUGAAUGCUGAAGAUACUGAAUUCAAAAACAGUGACGCGGAGAGGGGGUGGAGCAGGGGCACAAUCAACAUAGCCUAGCCUAAACAGGAGCGAAGUGCAUUUCUGAAAUUACAGAAACUGAACUUCCAUUUCUGAUGUACUUUGGUAUACUUACAGAUGAUUGUGUUUUUGUAACAUCCUAAAAAUUUCAAACUUUUUACAUGUGCAUUGCAUCCAUAAGCAUCAUGCCACAAUUGCAUAUUUGAAUUCAAAUUUUGAAUCUCAAAAGGCUUUAAAAGACUUUGUUUCAUUUUGAACCCUAGGGUUUACACCCUUUUUAGCCUUGGAUUUUCAAACCAAUAGGUUUUAUGUAUAAAAGGGGUUUAAUGCAUAUAUAAGCUAUCCCAUAAUUUUUGGAUAAUUAUUUGGAGUUGACAAAGUAUUUUAUUCAAAUAGAUAUAUAGCCCUAAAUGCAUUUAUAGGGCAAAUGUUUUUUUAUAUAUUUUAUUUUGAGGGGAAACUACUCCCAAAAGUUGUAUCAUGGUGGAACAUGAUUUUACAAAUUUUCUGGAAUUUAUUUGGACCAAUUUGGAGUUCAAAAUCAAAAGAUAUCAAAGAAUUGAGAAAAACAUAAAAAGAAAAAAAAAGGGAAAACCGGCCCGGCCCGGCCAAAAUGGGCCGAACCGGCCCCGUCCGACCGCGCCCGACCGAGCCCGACCGGCCCCGCCGCAUGCGCGCGCCCGCUGCCGCUGACAUGUGGGACCCACGCGUCAGGGCCUUCGUUCCCGAAGCAAAGCGCCCGUGCCGCCGCCGCAAUUCCCGGCUGUCGUCCCCACGCGCUCACCGCCACAGUCUCCUCACCCCGGCCUUCCCAAAACGCGCGGCCCGCGUCUCUAUAAAGCCCUCGCCGCCGCGCUUCUUUCCCCUCUGCUCGCCCUCGCUCUUACGCGCCCACGCCGCUGCGAUUUCUCGCCGAAACCCUAGCGCCGCCGCCGCCGUUCUCGCGCCGCACCGACCACGCCGGUGAGCCUCUCCGCCCGCGUCUUCAAAUUUCCUGACCACAUCGACCUCGCGCACUUUUUGACGCGAGCGGAUUUGUCCUUGGUGCCUUGUAGCCGCCGGAGUAGCGCCCCCCGACCUCGGCGGAGCCCCGCGUCGCGCCGCCGAAGGCCACCGUCGUCCUAGGCGUCAUCCUCGACUCCGUCUCGCCGUCCCGUGCGCGUCAUCGACUUCCCCGCGCCGCGCCGCCCUCGCCCGUCGCCUCCCCGAGCUCCGGCGGCCCCCGGAGGCCCCGCCCGCCGCCCGCCCGUGCCCGCGCCGCCGUCUCCCUCGUCUCCGGCGACCGCCGCCGCCGCAGGUGAAACCCUAGCGCAUCUCGGCCGUCCAUUUCAUCUAACCGGUCCAGAUUAGAUCCUAAAUUUUAUUUUAAACGAACCGGUAUGCGCCAAUCAGGAGAUGACACGUGGCACGGUUAAAUAGAAAUAAAAAUGGAAUUUUAAUCCCCCGGAUUAUUAAAAUGGCAUUUUAGCAGAUACGCCCAUGUAAGUUCAAAUGAUCAUAUCUUUUAAUCUGUUCGGCCAAAUUUAAUGAUCCACACCUUUUUAGAAUCCUUAGGAAUGUAGAAUCUUUUGGCACUGUCAAAUUUCAAAUUUGAAUAUUUGAAUCACAUUCAAAUUACAGAUUAGGGUUUUAUGCCAUUUAAAUCAUAACUAAUUAUCUAGAAGUCCUUUUUGAAUGGAACCAGUGCCCAAAAUUUUGUUUUAUUGUCCUCUGUCCAAUGGGACAGAUAAAUAAAUAUUUUGAAUUGAAAUGCUUUGCAGUUGCAAAUAAAACCUCAUUUUAGGGUUUAAACCCUAGCCUUUGCUUUUGCUUAAAAACGCUAAUUGCAUGUGCUUAAUUCUCAAGGCUUUGGAUCAGUAGAUCACCCAAAUAAAAUAAACCAAACUCAUGUCACAUGUUUUGCAUUGCAUCAUGGCAUACAUAUUUUUUUGCUUGUAUGGUGUGUUUAUGUAUGUGUAUGUUUGCUUGAUUGUAUAGUUUUCUCGGAGAGCGAACUGUGUGACUGUGAAGAGUGUCUGAAUACUAACUACUAAGGAUUAAGGCAAGUUCACUUUGAUCAUUUAUCCAUUAUUUUAUUGUGCACUAGAUUUUAUUAGUUGCAUUGUUAGGAUUAUUGCUGUAUCUAUGCUAGCUAUGAUCUGUCCUAGUAGUAUAGGAUACCUUUGCCAUGACUUCACCACCAAUUGCCAUCGUAGUAGUAAAAUGCCAUGCUAUGAUAAUAUACGAGGGUGGUAUUAUUACAAUGUGAUACUAUUGAAAUGACAAUAUGAUUUUCCUAGUGUAUGGCAAAACAAGUAAUUCAAUGAACCGUCCUGGGUGGGCUGCUUUGAGUUUUUGGAUGUCGUGACGUUAGGUCCAUUUCUAUGGGGCCCGUUGAGUCGUCUCUCCGUGUGAUUCAGGAGUGUCCAUGGUCGUCUCCCCGUGCGAUUCGGGGAGCACCUGCGUCCCAAUGUGGGAUGCCACCCGGGGUAACCAGAGACUGGACUAGUUUCCUGUUUAGUAGCUUCCAGUACAACCACAUAGUAUUAUGGGCUCUGCCAGGAUGGACGUAAGAAAUAUGAACCUGGAUCCGAGGUGACAUCGGUAUGUAGCAGUGUAGGUUGGAACGCGUCCCUCAGGUGGUUUGGGGGAAUAUGUUCUGAAAAUUCCUGUAAUCGAUGCCGUUGCUAAUCUACCCUGAGGACAGCAAGGGAUUAACACGUCGAUUUCUUCUGGGUAAAGUGUACCACCUCUCGAGAGUGUCAAACUAAGUAUUUAGCCGUGUCUCCGGUUACGGACAUUUAUGAGCAACUAGAUAUUGGGGCUGUAAGGAAGGUCUCACUCCUUCCAAUUUCCUAAUAAAACGAAUGGAUUGAACUGGGUAGGAUCAUUGAUGUUUCUACUCAAUGUGCCUAGGUUAAUAGGAGCAUGGGUGUUUCUACCCCGUGUCCAAUAAAAUUCAAAUCUAUUUGUUUAAAAAUUAUAGGAUUGAACAAUGAUGCUUUUAUGCAAAUAGCCAAACCUCACGUAGCCAAAUACUACAUGUACUUGAUAGGAUCUGUUAUAACCCUUUGGUGAACUUGCCAAUACAUUCAAAUGUAUUGACCACGUAGUGGCUGCAAUUAACAAUGCAGGUGGAUCCGAUGAUGAGUGAGGUUCGUCAUUUUGUCAUGGGUCAUGUGCUUACAUUCCAACAUGCUCUCACCUUGGAGUAGUGUGACCCUUAUGUUCUACCCUUUUCCGCUGCAGUAUCUUGAAACAUUGUUUUAUGAUGUUGAAACAGUAUUUGUUUUAUGCUGGCCCCAGAGGUCAUGCGACGUUGUAAGUACUAUUAAAUUCUGGAUGAUGCGAUGUAAUAAAGUACUUUGACCUUUGCUUCUGUAUAUUUCAUCAUGAAACUGUGUGUGCUAGUGAGUCGAUCCAGGGACUAGCAUAGUAAGCACAGAGAUCGAACCCUAGUAAGGGGGAGGAUCGCUUCAGGUUCAGAGGCCGAGUCGAGACCGCCGCACCCGAGGGAUGGCAGCCACGGUGGGAGAUCGAGGCGAAGAUCCGCGGGCGUGAGAUCGUGCCAGCAACGCCGGACAUCACCUUCAUCAGCCGCUACCCCACCUUCGAGCAAAGCCUUCAGUUCGCCAUGCAGUGCGCUUUCGCACAGGUGUGCCGGGACUAUCGGCACGAGUUCCCUGAGGACUCCCCCUUCCUCCUCUUUGGAAGGCAGAACCAUGCAUCCUCGGCAGUGGCUACAACCAACGACGAGGAUGCGACCCCGGUGACGACCCACUUCAAGAACAUGGAGAUAAACACCGUGGACUUGGAGUCUUGCCUCGAGCACGAGAUGACCAGGGCCGACCUAGCCGAGGAGCAGGUUGGUAAUCUGAUGGGAGAGAAGACCCAGUGGCUGGAGGACAAGGCCAUGUUGGAGAACACUGUCCUCAACAUGGGAGACGCCAUCGAGCAGCUACAGUAUGAGAGGGACCAGGCUCGCUACUACUGCGAGCAGUUCCAGGCGUUCAUCGCAGCCGCAGCCGCACCGACUGCAGCACCGGCGCCCGUUUAGAUCCCACCUCCCCCACAGGAUCAGGAGACGGAACCUCAGGAGGAGGUACUGACUGAGGAGGAGGAGCCCCAAGAGGUCCACGAGAUGGACACACCUGCCACCAACACCCGCUCCAAGAGGAAGGCGAACGGGACUACACCAUCAGCCACACUUCCUUAGACUAGUUGAUGCCUACCAGUUUUUAUCAGUUAUCUAUCGUUAUCAGUUUUGCGAGUUAGUCAUUGACCAUACAAUCUAUGUGUAUGGCAAUGUAGAUCGAUUGCAUUUUUCGUACUCUUUAUGGGCAGUAUCCCAUCAUGACCAAGUGUGUUUUGCUAUAAUUUCCAAAACCUUUUAUGGUUGAUUGAGUGUAUGAUUGAGAUAUGCUUGAGUUAUAUCUUGUUUGGGGGUUUAGUCAUCCUUAGGUCUAUUCUAUCUGUUUCCUCAUCUAUGCUACCCUAAACAGAUGCCUCCGAGACGCCGGAACCCCACCAACAACGCUGAGGCUAACAAUGCUGACGCAGAAGGGAAUGCUGCAACCAUGCAGCAACUGUUGGCAGCACAGACCCAAUUCUUCCAGAUGAUCACACAGCAGUUGGCCAACAACAACAACAAUAAUUAGCAGAACCACAACAACCAGUAGCACCACCCACCUCAAGUGGAUAUGCUGACCAGAUUUCUGCGUUUGCGCCCGCCCACCUUCUCCAGCUCCACUGAGCCCAUUAUGGCUGACGAUUGGCUCCGGUCAGUCAACAAGAAUUUGGUCACCAUCAACUGCACUGAUGAAGAGAAAGUGCGGUUUGCAGCUCAUUUACUAGAAGGACCUGCAGCGUCAUGGUGGGAAAAUUUUCAGAUCACCACCCCCAUCGAGGACGUCACCUGGGACAUGUUCCAGGAAGCUUUCCACACCGCCCACAUCUCUGCGGGGGUGCUCAGCUUGAAAAGGAAGGAAUUUCACAGGCUGCGACAGGGAAGCCGCUCUGUGUCUGAAUACAUAGAAGUAUUCAACCAGCUGUCCCGCUACGCGCCGGACGAUGUGAACACCGAUGCCAAUCGCAGAGAAAAAUUCUUGGACGAUCUGAACGACGAACUGUCAGUUCAACUUGCGGUUGCUUACACCCCCACUUACCAGUCCUUGAUUGACAAGGCCAUCAUUUUGGAAAGUAAACUCACUCAGAUGAAAAGCCGCAAGAAGAGGCUUCACCAAGGAGGCUUUCACACUGGCCCGCACCAGAAGCAGCGCACCUCCUAUGAUGGAAGUGGCAGUUCCUCCUUGAGCAGGAAUGGGAACCAGAACAGCCACCGUAGUGGAGGUAAUGGUCACAACCACCGCCAGGGAAACCAAGGACACCACCAUCAGGGUGGCAAUGUGAACCGGCACCAUUAGCAACACCAGCAUCAGCAAGAGCAUCAGUUCGCUCGCCCAAGGCCCAUCAAUGGCAACGGGAAUGGCAGGAACAACGGCAAUGGCCAGAACAACAAUGGUCAGAACCACAACGCCAACAAGGACAUGAGCAAGGUGGAGUGCUUCAAGUGUCACAAGAUGGGACACUACGCCACCAACUGCCGGACAACCAGGAUGGCACUGGGAACAAGCCCAAUCCGUUCCAGAAGGGCCACGUGAAUCACGUGGACGUGGAAGAGAUCACCGAGGAACCAGGUAUCAUACUUGGCACCUUCCACAUAAAUGCUUUUGAAGUACCAGUUCUAUUCGACACUAGUGCAUCACAUUCUUUCAUUUCAAGAGUAUUGGUAGAAAGAGGCAAAUUACCCUCUGAGACCAUGAGUAGACCUAUGAAAGUAAACUCACCGGGUGGAACAAUACUAGCAACCCGACAUUGCUACCAGCUACCUCUAAGUAUUGGGAGACACAAUUUUCCCUCUGAUCUCAUAGUUAUAGAUUCCUGAGGACUGGACCUAAUCCUGGGAAUGGACUGGUUGACCCUGUAUGAAGGAUUAGUAGACUGUGCCCAGAAGACUGUCACACUCACAACCUCUGACAAAAGACGCAUCCGGUACAAGUCAACCCAUGAGCUUAAGAGACCCAAGGUCAAUUCUCUUAAGGGGGUUAGCCUGGAUGAGGUUCCAAUAGUGAAUGAGUAUCCGGACGUUUUCCCGGAAGAGUUGCCAGGUAUGCCACCAGACCGUGAUGUAGAGUUUCUCAUCGAAUUGAUGCCUGGAAGUGGACCCAUAGCCAAGAGACCUUAUAAGAUGGCUGUGGACGAGUUAAAGGAAUUAAAGAAGCAGCUAGCUGAACAGUUAGCGAAAGGUUUCAUCCGCCCUAGUUCAUCACCCUGGGGAGCACCUGUCCUGUUUGUGGAAAAGAAGGACAAGAGCCAACGGAUGUGUAUUGAUUAUCGGUCACUGAAUGAGGUGACGAUAAAGAAUAAGUAUUCUUUGCCCAUAAUCAAUGAUCUUUUCGACCAGUUGGGAGGAGCCUGUGUGUUCUCAAAGAUUGAUCUGCGAUCAGGGUAUUUUCAGUUGAAGAUCCGAGAGAUGGAUAUACCCAAGACGGCAUUCACCACUAGGUAUGGACUUUAUGAGUAUACCGUGAUGCCAUUUGGAUUGACCAAUGCACCCGCAUACUUUAUGAACAUGAUGAACAAGGUGUUCAUGGAAUUCUUGGACAAGUUUGUCGUGGUGUUCAUCGAUGACAUUUUGAUCUAUUCCAAGAGCAAGGAAGAGCAUGAGCAGCAUUUGCGAAUGGUUUUAGAGAAGCUGAGAGCGCACAAGUUGUACGCCAAGAUCAGCAAGUGUGAUUUUUGGUUGUCAGAGGUCAGUUUUCUAGGACACAUCGUGUCAGGAGCAGGAGUAGCUGUCGACUCAGCUAAGGUGACCGCUGUUACAGAAUGGGAGUCACCUAAGAAUGUUGGAGAUAUCCGCAGUUUCCUAGGACUCGCGGGAUAUUACCGGAGAUUCAUUGAGAACUUCUCCAAGAUUGCCAAACCAAUGACGGAACUACUAAAGAAAGAGAUGAAGUUUCCCUGGAACGAAAAAUGUGAAGAGAGUUUUCAGGAGUUGAAGAAGAGACUAGUGUCUGCGCCCAUCCUUGUUUUGCCUGACCUGCAAGAGGAUUUUCAAGUAUACUGUGAUGCCUCACGUCAAGGAUUGGGAGGAGUGUUAAUGCAAGGUGGAAGAGUUGUAGCGUACGCUUCGCGACAACUAAAGAGCCACGAAGGCAACUACCCCACUCAUGAUUUAGAAUUAGCAUCAGUAGUGCACGCCCUGAAGACUUGGAGACACUAUCUGAUGGGGAAAAAUUGUGAGCUGUUCACAGAUCACAAGAGCCUGAAGUACAUAUUCCCUCAGAAGGAGUUGAACCUAAGGCAGAGAAGAUGGCUAGAGCUCAUAAAAGACUAUGAUCUGAAUUUGCAAUACCACCCCGGCAAGGCUAAUGUAGUAGCCGACGCUUUGAGCCGGAAGGGCUAUUUGAAUGGACUAACAGCUAGAGAAUUACCGUCAGAAUUGUGCGAACAAUUCAAGGAACUUAGACUGGAAAUAGUACCGGAAGGUUAUUUAGCCACCUUGGAAGUACAUCCCAUGUUGCUAGACAGGAUCAGAAAAGCACAGAAGAGCGAUUCGGAAAUAAAGACGAUCAAAGAGAAUAAACUUAUUGGUAAAGCAGAAGAUUUUCGUGAGGAUGACCAAGGAGCCAUAUGGUUCGGUAAACGCAUUUGUGUACCACAAGAUCCGGAAAUCAGAAAGCUGAGUUUGCAAGAAGCCCACGAUUCACCUUACUCAAUCCACCCUGGAAACACGAAGAUGUACAUGGACCUCAAGGAAACAUUUUGGUGGUCCGGAUUAAAGCAAGACAUCGCAGAGUUCAUUGCCUUGUGCGAUGUGUGCAGCAGAGUUAAAGCCGAACACUAGAAGCCUGCAGGAUUGCUAAGACCAUUGCCAAUACCAGGCUGGAAAUGGGAUAAAGUUGGCAUGGACUUUAUCACUAGAUUACCGAGGACCAGAUCAGGAUAUGAUUCCAUUUGGGUAGUGGUUGACCGUUUGACCAAGGUUGCCCAUUUCAUACCAGUGAAGACCACAUACACAAGUGCACAGUUAGCGACACGCUACAUUUCCAGAAUAGUGUGUUUACAUGGAAUACCCAAGGAAAUAGUUUCAGACAGAGGUACCCAAUUUACCUCAAGAUUUUGGGGACAACUACACGAGUCUCUAGGAACGAGACUAGAGUUCAGCACAGCUUUUCAUCCGCAGACGGAUGGACAAACUGAGAGAGUUAAUCAGAUCCUUGAGGAUAUGUUGAGAGCCUGUGCUCUAGAUUAUGGAUCCAUUUGGGAUUACAAUCUGCCGUAUGCAGAGUUUUCAUACAACAACAGCUUCCAAGCCAGCAUAGGAAUGUCACUGUUUGAAGCUUUGCAUGGAAGGAAAUGCAGAACACCAUUGUUAUGGGAUGGUGUAGGAGAUCGUAGCCUAUUUGGCCCGAACAUGAUAAAGGAAGCCGAAGAAAAGGUUAGACUCAUCCGAGACCGGCUGAAGGUAGCCCAGUCAAGACAAAAGAGCUACACAGAUACCAAACGUAGGGAAGUGACCUACGUGGCUGAGUGAAGCGAUCCCCCUUCACCAAGGGUUCGAUCUCUGUGCUUACUUGUGCUAGUCCCUGGAUCGACUCACUAGCACACACAGUUCAAGAUGUAACACCAAGAUACAAAGGUCAAAAGUACUUUAUUACAUCGUAUCAUCCAGAACUUAAAUUGUACUUACAAACUUGCAUGACCUCCUAGGCCAGCAUAAACAAAUAAUGUUCAAAACCAUGAUAACAAAGUGCUGCAGCGGAAAAGUAGAGAAAAAGGGCCUCAUCUACUCCCAGAGGAGAAAGCAUGUUGGAAUGUAAGCACAUGACCCAGAGAAAUAUCGACGAACCUCACUCUUCGUCAGUUUCACCUGCAUUAUUAAUUGCAGCCACUACGUGGUCAAUACAUUUGAAUGUAUUGGCAAGCUCACCAGAGUUAUAAAGGACCUACCAAGUACAUGCAUAGUUUGGCUAAGUGGCGUUUGGCCAUUUUGCAUAAAAAUAUCAUUAUUCAAAUCCUACCAUUUUUAGACAAAUAGUUUUGAAUUCUAUUGGACACGGGGUAGAAACACCCAUGCUCCUAUUAACCUAGGCACAUUGAGUAGAAACAUCAAUGCUCCUACCCAGUUCAAUCCAUUCAUUUUAUUAGGAAAUUUGAAUGAGUGAGACUUUCCUUACAGCUCCGAUGUCUAGUUGCUCAUAAUUGUUCGUAACCGGGGACGCGGCUAAGUACUUAGUUUGACACUCUCGAGAGGUGGUACACUUUAUCCACAAGAAAUCGACGUGUUAAUCCCUUGCUGUCCUCAGGGUAGAGUAGCAACGGCAUCGAUUACAGAAAGUUUCAGAAUAUAUUCCCCCAAACCACCUGAGGGACGCGUUCCAACCUACACUGCUACAUACCAAUGUCACCUCGGAUCCAGGUUCAUAUUUCUUACAUCCAUCCUGGCAGUACUGGAAGCUACUAAACAGAAAACUAGUCCAGUCUCUGGUUAUCCCGGGUGGCAUCCCACAUUGUGACGCAGGUGCUCCCCGAAUCGCACGGGGAGACGACCAUGGACGCUCCCGAAUCACACGGAGAGAUGACUCAGCGGGCCCCAUAGAAAUGGACCUAACGUCACUACAUCCGAAAACUCAAAGCAGCCCACCCAGGACGGUUCAUUGAAUUACUUGUUUUGCCAUACACUAGGAAAACUAUGUUUGUAAUUCAAUAGUAUCACAUUGUAAUAAUACCACCCUCGUAUAUUAUCAUAACAUAGCAUUUUACUACUACGAUGGCAAUUGGUGGUAAGGUCAUGCCCAAGGGUAUCCUAUACUACUAGGACGGAUCAUAGCUAGCAUAGAUACAGUAAUAAUCCUAUGCAACUAAUAAAAUCUAGUGCAUAAUAAAGUAAUAGGAUGAUGGUCAAAGUGAACUUGCCUUGAUAGUAGUUGGAGUUCAAACACUCUUCACAGUCACACAGUUCGCUCUCCGAGAAAACUAUACAAUCAAGCAAACAUACACAUACAUAAAACACACCAUACAAGCAAAAGAUUAUGUAUGCCAUGAUGCAAUGCAGAACAUGUGACAUGAGUUUGGUUCCAGUACUGCCAGGAUGGAUGUAAGAAAUAUGAACCUGGAUCCAAGAUGACAUCGGUAUGUAGCAGUGUAGGUUGGAACGCGUCCCUCAGGUGGUUUGGGGGAAUAUGUUCUGAAAAUUCCUGUAAUCGAUGCCGUUGCUACUCUACCCUGAGGACAGCAAGGGAUUAACACGUCGAUUUCUUGUGGGUAAAGUGUACCACCUCUCGAGAGUGUCAAACUAAGUACUUAGCCGUGUCCCCGGUUACGGACAAUUAUGAGCAACUAGAUAUUGGGGCUGUAAGGAAGGUCUCACUCAUUCUAAUUUCAUAAUGAAAUGAAUGGAUUGAACUGGGUAGGAGCAUUGAUGUUUCUACUCAAUGUGCCUAGGUUAAUAGGAGUAUGGGUGUUUCUACCCCGUGUCCAAUAGAAUUCCAAACUAUUUGUUUAUAAAUGAUAGGAUGAAUAAUGAUGCUUUUAUGCAAAUAGCCAAACCCCAUAUAGCCAAAUUAUGCAUGUACUUGGUAGGUCCUUUAUAACUCUGGUGAACUUGCCAAUACAUUCAAUGUAUUGACCACGUAGUGGCUGCAAUUAAUAAUGCAGGUGAAUCUGACGAAGAGUGAGGUUCGUCGAUGUUAUUUGGGUCAUGUGCUUACAUUCCAACAUGCUCUCUUCUCUGGGAGUAGAUGAGGCCCAUUUGCUCUACCUUUCCGCUGUAGCUUUAUGACACAAUGUUAUCAUGGUUUUUGAACAAUAUUUGUUUAUGCUGGCCUAAGAGGUCAUGCAAGUUUGUAAGUACAAUUUAAGUUCUGGAUGAUACGAUCUAAUAAAGUACUUUUGACCUUUGUAUCUGGGUAUUACAUCUUGAACUGUGUGUGCUAGUGAGUCGAUCUAGGGACUAGCACAAAUAAGCACAGAGAUCGAACCCUAGUAAGGGGGCGGUCACCUCAGUUGAAGUGACCCCAGACGGAGUCUAGUCUGACGACUAGGGGCACUGUUGACGUUCGCCAAUAGAGGAAUGACCGCUUGAUGCGCGGUAAAUGAGGCGCAAUGAUGGCUCUCUUGAUUCUUGAGCCCGCAGAAUAGGCGGCCGUUGCCAUGCUCACCGUUUCGCAUCCCGUUAGAUGCGGGACAUGUGGAUACGAAUUAAAUUGUGUGACCCGGAUCCUACUCCAGGAUUGGCUUAUAAAAGAGGGGAAAGGUUAAGUGGUUUUACCCUUCUGCCUCCUCUCGCUCAAGCCCAAGCACUCCAGCCUUCUGCUUCCGUAGCGAGACAGAUCUCUCAAGCUUUCCAGAGCCCAAGCUUUUCUCUUCAUCAACCCAGUGAGAUGGGGAAAACCGUUGCCUCGAAGCCCAGCGCCGGCAAGAAACAGGCCGAGCGGGAUGCCGCCUCAUGGCCACCGGCGACGAAUGAGCGCGCCCAGAUCCAAAGCCUUCAGGAGGAGGGGUUGCUGCCGCGCGAAGUCCGCCUCCCUGGAGAGGAGAAGGUUCCUUGUCCGCUCCACAAGGAGCGGGUGAUUUUUUAUGAUUACGUGAUGAGGGGGCUUUCAUUCCCUCUGCACUCAUUCUUCUGUGCCAUGCUGGUGGCCUACGGGUUGUAGCUGCACGAUCUCCCCCCGAACUCUUACCUGCACGUGGCAUGCUUCAUCACGAUGUGUGAGUGUUUCCUAGGGGUGAGCCCUCAGUGGAUGCUCUGGAAGAAGAUCUUCAUGGUGAAGAGGCAGAAGGCCAGCACCGUGGGAUGCGUGAACUACCAGGUAAGACCGGAUGUCAAGUACUUCAACCUCCAGCAGCGCGAGUCUAUGCAAAACUGGAGAUCGAAGUGGUUUUACGUCCGAGAUGACUCGGUCUGCAAGGCCAAUGAGCACCUUCCCGCUUUCUCCGUCAAAGAAUCGAGGAAGAAGAUGGUGGCGUGGAAGCACGAGGUCGUCGGGUCGGAGAAGGCGGAGGUUGACUCAAUGAUGAGUCAGAUUCACACCCUCAUGAACAGGGGUUUGACCGGGGUCCACCUGAUAGCCCUGUUCUUGAAGUUGAGGGUUCAUCCUCUGCAGGCGCGCGUUCACCCCAUGUGGUCAUACAUGGGACCUACGGAUCCGACCCGGGUGAACGCCGAAGAUCUGACUCCAGCGGAGGUGGAAGAACGGGUAGCGAGGCUGACGAGCUCGUCCGUUUCUUCUUCCGCAAGUCUCGACUCCCCGGUGGUCCCUUACGGGCUCACCAGACCAAGGGAGGAGGUAAGUUGUAUAUUCUGUAAUGUCAGUACUUACUUUGAUGCAGCAGUCUUCUAACGAGUCUUUGAAUGCAGGGGAUGGCUGACCCCCGGAGUUGGCCUCCUAGGGAUAUGCCAAUGGAGUCGUCUGAUGAGAUUCCGGAAUCGCCAGCUCGGGUGGCUGAUUCCGAAAUCGAGGAAGGCACCUCGGAGCCGCAGAGGAAGCGUAGCCGGGAGUCGAAUCCCACCGGGGGUGAUUACCAGUCGACCGGAGUCGAGGGUUCCCCCGUUGCUGCUUUGGCUCUGGCUCCUUCGGCUAAGAAGACCAAGAUGGGAGCAUCAGCUCGCUUUUGUCUGUAUAGGACCCGUCCCAGGUAUGCAGUCGUAUGCCGUCUUUGGUUGUGGCUUUCGAGAUGAAUCGGUUCAGAUCCCGAUAAUCUCUUCUUUUUUAGCUCGGCAACUCCAGUCAGGGGAACGUCGACUCCAGAUGUUGAGCCGAUGAGUUCGGGUUCUCGCGUCCCCGACGAGUCAGCCAGGGCUAUCCCCGAGGCAUCGGCUCAAGGGGUUCGCGCUUCGGUGAGCGAGGGCAGUCAACCGUCAAGGUCGACUCAACCCCAAGCUCGAGUGGAGGAGGUGGGUGUCGAGUCGACACCCAAAGCGUCGUCUACGACUCCUCAUAUAAGUUUUUGUUUUUUGCUUCUCCCGAUGGGAGUGGUAGUCACUAGAUGACUUGAUAUACCUUUUUUUGCAGCCGAUCGUUAGUUCCGUUGCGGAAUUCGUCGAUCGUCAUGAGCAGUUGAGGAUGGAACAUAACCAGCUCCGACAGGAGUUGGAAGAGUGCCGACGCGAGUUGGCGUCGACACAAGGUAAGUUUGUCUUUGACGUGCCGAGCUGCUGUUGCUCCGUGACACUAGUGAUCUUUUGUAAAUUGCAGGCCAUCUUUCUCAGGCCAACUCCCUCAAGGUUACUGCAGAGCUCCAGUGUAAAACCUGGGAGUAAAAGCAUGUGGAUCUCUUCAAGGAGCUGGCGGAUAGGAAGGCGGCGUUGGAGCGCCUUGUCGCCUCUCGGCAGGAGCAAGAGGGGCGCUGGGCCGAACAACUUAGCGAGGCCGCUCGAGCCAUUUCCGGUAAGUGUUUCGACUUGCUGAAUCAUUGGAAUUUUUAGAGUAACGCUUUCAUUAUAACUGCAGUGCCUCUCGGCCCGGAGGCGGAGAUCCAGUCUGGCGGGGGCACGAGCUCCCUUGCCGAAGCGAUUGACUCGAUCGUUCGAGUCAAUGCCAAGGCAAGGGACAAGCUUGGGGAAGCGUCCAAGGCGCUCGAUGGUCUCGUCAGGAACAUGUUUCCUGACGAGCUGUGCCGGAGUCAUUGGGAGGACUCGUCGAGUUCUUCAGUGCGGACACGGACCCGUUGGACGAGUUCAGCCAGGCGCAGACAAACGCCGGAGCUGAGUCAACCUUCGUGCUGGCGUUUGCCCACGGGGUCAAGGAGGAGCUGCUGCGGCAGGUGGCGGCCGGGCCACCUAAGUCGAACAGCGGGGAGGAGGUGGACCUGCAGCCGUUCUUGGUGCUGGGUGGUGAGCUCGCGACCAUCCUAGCUACUCAACUGGGUAGCAUGGAUGCCGGGAGGGCGGCGACCGAUCCUGAUGCGACUCCUGCCGAAGACCAGGAGGUGGGAGGCACCUAGAGUCGAUAGUCUUUCAUUUUCCUUUGUAGUCCUUUCUGGUGUAAGACUGUGCUCGAGUCGAGCUUCUUGAAAUAAAUUGGUGACAUUGAUGCUUUGCUGAGCCUGAGUUCCUUCUGGAGUUGAGUGGUUGACCUUGUUGUGUAGAUGAAGGAUUCAUCGAGUCCUGGACUCGCUCGAGUUCCGGAGUCCUCUGCCCCUAAAAUGGAUGAGUCCGAAUUGAUGCGGAGUCAAGUGAAGGAGGCAGAAGACCGUGCCAAGGAGUCGAAGGACCUGAUGUGGGAUGCCUGUCGGGGCUUCCAGGCAGUCAAGGCUCAGCUGAAAGCUGUGAUUCAGCAUGAGGCCUCAGCGUUUGAAGAGCGGCGGUCGUUAAGUUCCCAACUUGCAUGUGAGUCGAGUACUGUUGUUCCUCGACCAUGCUGGCUGACCAAACUGUUCCUUUCUUACCUGUUUUCUUGGGCUAUACAGAUAUGCAACUGGACCCAAGGUCCGAGAGACGGAGGGUGAACGAUGCUCUGAAAUCCCUACAGAUUGGAGACCGUGAGUCCAUCUGGUUUGACUCGGCAAAGGGGCGCGACCUGGUGUUACUUUGUGAUCGAGUCGAUCAGACCAGGCAAUACUUCAAACUUUGCGGUCAAGCCUUGACUCGUAUUUUCCAAGCUUCCUGGCCCGAUCCAGAGCCGCUGAAAGGCCUUGGAGCUUUGAUGUUGGAGUUUCGGAGUGGAGCUGUGUUCAAGGACCUUUUGCGCUGCUAGCUAGUAGAAGGAGCCAAACUGGCCUUGGUCUUUGUUCGAGCCAAGGUUCAGAACCUCGACCUGAGUCGAAUCGCUGACCCUCCAGCCGAGCUGACUGAAGGUGUUGAUGUACAGCGUUUUCUUGACGCAGUCGCCGUGUCGGCUGAGAAGAUCGUGAUUUGGCGAGACGCGAGAAGAUUGUAGCUUCAAGCCUUCUGUAGAGCAGAUCGGGUGCGCGACCAGCACUCCCGAUGGGAGUAGCCCCCGAGUCCGGUUGCGACUGUGAGGAGUCGUGACUGGACUUAAAUUUGUAGAUGCUGAGGCUUGUACCUGUGUAAUGAAAUUUUUUGUUUGAUUGCCCUUGAGUCCGGCUUUGCUUAAUGAAGCGAUCCCCCUUCACAAAGGGUUCGAUCUCUGUGCUUAUUUGUGCUAGUCCCUGGAUCGACUCACUAGCACACACAGUUCAAGAUGUAAUACCAAGAUACAAUAGUCGAAAUGUACUUCAUUACAUCGUAUCAUCCAGAACUUAAUUGUACUUACAAACUUGCAUGACCUCCUAGGCCAGCAUAAGCAAAUAUUGUUUCAAAACCAUGAUAACAUUGUAUCAUAAAACUGCAACGGAAAGGUAGAGCAAAUGGGCCUCAUCUACUCCCAGAGGAGAGAGCAUGUUGGAAUGUAAGCACAUGACCCAAAGAACAUCAACGAACCUCACUCUUCGUCAGAUUCACCUGCAUUAUUAACUGCAGCCACUACGUGGUCAAUACAUUGAAUGUAUUGGCAAGCUCACCUGGAAGUUAUAAGAGAUCCUACCAAGUAUAUGCAAUUGAGGUAUAGUGGGGUUCAGGCUUUAUGGCGUGGUAGCAAAACAUAGUUUAUCUUACUACAACUGAAUGUUACAAUAUUGAUAACUAAUGGACACGGGGUAGAAACACCCAUGCUCCUAUUAACCUAGAGCACAUUGAGUAGAAACAUCAAGUGCCCCUACCCUGUUCAAACCAUUCAUUUUAUUUAAGAAGUUGGAAUGAGUGGGACUUUCCUUACAGCCCCAAUAUCUAGUUGCUCAUAAUUGUCCGUAACCAGGGACACGUCUAAGUACUUAGUUUGACACUCUCGUGAGGUUGUACACAUUUCCCACAAGAAUUCGACGUGUUAAUCCCUUGCUGUCCUCCGGGUGGAGUAGCAACGGCAUCGACUUCAAGAAUUUUCAGAACAUGUUCACCCAGACCACCUGAGGGACCCGCGCUCCCACCUACACAACUACCUCAGUACAAUCCCUCGGAUCUGGGUAAACAUUUCUUACUCCAUCCAGGCAGAGCCCAUAUUACCAUGUGGUUGUAAUGGAAGCUACUAAACAGGAAAGUAGUCCAGUCUCUGAUACCCCAGGUGGCAUUCCACAUUUGCGACGCAAGCACUCCCCGAAUCCACGGAAGAGACGUCCAUGGACGAUCCAUCUCCGAAUCCACGGAGACUCGACUCAGAGGGACCCAUAGAAAUGGACCUGACGUCACAUAACAUCUCAAAAUCUCAAAUCAGUCCACCCAGGAUGGUUCAUUAGGGUUGUUUUGCCAAGUUUCCAAAAUCACUCCACAUCAUCAUUUCGCAUUUGAUUGAGAUGCCCUCCCACGUAUACUAACAUAGCAGGGCUAAGCAAUUCUAAUCACGAUGGCUAUUGGUGGAGGAUUCAUGGCAAAGGUAACCCUAUAGCUAGUAGGUCAAUCAUAAGUACGAGUAAUAGUCCUAUCAAUGCAUUUCCACAAGCAACACUAAUGCAUAGUAAUUUUAAAAACAAUAAUAAUAGGUUAAUGAUCAAAGUGAACUUGCCUUGGUAGCAGUUGGAGUUCAAACACUCGUCACAAUCACAAGGUUCGCUCUCCGAGAAAACUAUUCAAAUACAAACAAUAUACACACACAUAAACACACAAUUCAAACAUGACAAAAGAAUGUAUGCUAUGAUGCGAUCCAAACAUGUGACAUGAUUGGGUUUAUUUUAUUCAGGUGAUCUACUGAUCUUAAGCAUUAGCAAUUAAAAGAAUUGCAUUAGGGUUUUUAGACAAGGCAAAAACAAUUUAUGAAAACCAUAAAUACGGUUCUAAUGGCAUCUGCCAAAUAAUUUAAUUCAAAAUAUUUAUUUCUCUGUCCCAUUGGACAAAGGAUAAUAAAACAAAAAAUUUCGGCACUGGUUUCAUUCAAAAAGGACCUCUAAAUAAUUAGUUAUGAUUUAAGAGGCAUUAAACACUAUUCUGUAAUUUGAAUGAGGUUCAAAUAUUCAAAUUUGAAAUUGGACAGUGCCAAAAGAUUCUACAUUUCCUAAGAAUUCCAAAAAGGUGUGGAUCAUCAAAUUUGGCCAAACAGAUUUAAAGAUAUGAUCAUUUGAAGUUACAGGGGCUUUUCUGCAAAAGUGCCAUUUAAUUAUUCCGGGGGAUUAAAAUUUGAUUUUCAUUUUAUAAAUUGCCAUGUGUCAGCAUCUAAUUGGAUGAUACCGGUUCGUUUAAAAAUAAAAGGUGAGAUCUAAUCUACACCGUUGAUCAAGAUCCAACGGUCGAGAUCUCACCUCCGGGAACCUGGGGUUUCGGCGAGCGUCUACGGCGGCGGCGCGGCACGGGCGGGCGGCGGCCGGUGGUUCCGGCGAGGCUGGCGUGACGGGGAUGUGCGGGGACGGAGCGGCGCGGCACGGCGAGCUCGGUGAUGGGGUCGGCGGCGCUCGGGGACGGCGAGGUGCUCGCCUAGGACGGCGCAGAGACGGUGGCGAGCGGCGGACAGCUCCGGCAAGCUUCGGCGAUGACGGGGGCGGCGCUACGGUGCACGAAAAAGGAAACGGGGCGCAUCAAAAGAAGCGCACGGAGAUGAAGAAGUAGAGGGAGAAGAAGAUGGCGGCGCUUACUCUUAGGGUUCAUCGGCGACGAAGGAAAACGGUGGCGGGCGCGCUAGGGUUCCGGCGAGCAAUCGCGGCGGCGUGGGCGCGUAAUCGAGGCGGUGAGAAGAGGGGAAGAAGAGAGGAGGAGCUAGGCUUUAUAGGGACGCGCUCGGGCUGCUCAGGGAAGGUCGGAAUUAGCGGGCGCGGGGAUUGCGGCGGCGCGGUGUCCGGCGCAGAGAUGGCGCGGGCGGCACGGGGCUUUCCUAACGGAGACGAAGGCCCUGACAGGUGGGCCUGUAACAUCCCAAAAUUUCAAACCUUUACAUGUGCAUUGCAUCCAUGAGCAUCAUGACACAAUUGCAUGUUUGAAUUCAAAUUUUGAAUCACAAAAGGCUUUAAGAGAUUUUGUUUACAUCCCUGUAACCUUUGGAUUUUCAAACCAAUAGGGUUGAUGUAUAAAAAGGGUUUAAUGCAUAUGUAAGCUAUCCCAUAAUUUUUGGUUAACUAAUUGGAGUUGAAAAAGUAUUUUAUUCAAACAGAUAUAUAGCCCUAAAGUCAUUUAUAGAGCAAAUGUAUUUUUAUAUAUUUUAUUUUGAAGAGAAACUACUUCCAAAAGUUGUAUCAUGGUAGAACAUGAUUUUACAAAUUUUCUGGAAUUUAUUUGGACCAAUUUGGAGUUCAAACACAAAAGAUAUCAAAGAAAUGAGAAAAACAGAAAAAGAAAAGGCCUAAAAGAAAAAAAAAAAAGGGGUAAACCGGACCGGCCCGGCCAAAAUGGGCCGAACCGGCCCAGUCCGACCGCGCCCGACCGGUCCAGACCGCCCGGUCCGCGCGCGCGCGCCCGCAGUCACUGACAGGUGGGGUCCACCUGUCAGCUGCGUCUUCCCCGAAGGAAAGCGCCGCCGGUCACGCGCGCGAUUUCCGGCCGCCGUCCCCGCGCGCCCGCCGCCGCAAUCCGCUCCUCCGGCCUUCCAUUUUCAUGCCCGAGCACUCCUUUAUAACCCCCGCGACCUUCUCUCUCUUUGCCCCUUGUUUCCUCAUCCGAUCGCGCCGCCGGGCUGCCCCGAUUUCUCGCCGGAGCCGUGCCCGCGCCGCCGCCCAUCUUCGUCCUCGGCGCCGUCCCCGACCGUCCCCGACCGCGCCCCGUCUCCGCCGUGCCGCGCCGCGCCUCCCCGUGCCUUCACCGUCGCGCCCACGUCGCCGGAGCGUCCCCGCGCCGCCGCGCCCGUGCCCGCGCCGCCGUCCGCCGACCGCGCCGCCCGCUCGUCCCGUCCUAGGCGCCGACCCGCGCCGCCCGAGCCCACGCCGACCGCGGCCCCGUCUCCGCCGUGCCGCGCCGUCUCCCCGUGUCUUCCCCGUCGCGCCCACGUCGCCGGAGCGCCCCCGCGCCGCCGCGCCCGUGCCCGCGCCGCCGUCUCCUCCGACUCCGGCAGCCCGCGCCGCCCGGUAAACCCUAGAACUCCCCUCGUCCGUCCGAUCUAGAUCGAUGGCUAGAUUAGAUCAUUUAUAAACCGAACCGGUACCGUCCAAUAAUAAUGCGCCACGUGGCACCCGGUUUUUAUAAAAUAAAAAUGUAAUUUUAAUCCCCCGGAAUUAAUAAAAGGCACUUUUGCAGAUAGGCCCCUGUAACUUCAAAUGAUCAUAACUUUAAAUCUGUUUGGCCAAAUUUAAUGAUCCACACCUUUUUGGAAUCCUUAGAAAGUGUAGAAUCUUUUGGCACUUUCCAAAUUUAAAUUUGAAUAUUUGAAUCACAUUCAAAUUACAGAUUAGGGUUCAUACCAUUUAAAUCAUAACUAAUUAUUUAGAAGUCCUUUUUGAAUGAAACCAGUGCCCAAAAUUUUGUUUUAAUGUCCUCUGUCCAAUCGGACAGAGAAAUAAAUGUUUUGAAUUAAUCUAUUUGGCUGAUGCUAAUAAAACCUCAUUUUAGGGUUUAAACACUAGGCUUUGCAAUUCAUUUAAAAACCCUAAUUGCAUGUGCCUAAUUAUCAAUGCCUUGGACCAGUAGAUCACCCAAAUAAAACCAACCCACCCAUUUCAUAUGUUUUGCAUCGCAUCAUGGCAUACAUAUUCUUUUGUCAUGUUUGUAUUAUGUGUUUAUGUGUGUGUAUAUGUUUGUUGAUUGUAUAGUAGUCUCGGAGAGCGAACCUUUCGAUUGUGACGAGUGUUUGAACUCCAACUACUAUCAAGGCAAGUUCACUUUGACCAUCAUCCUAUUACUUUAUUAUGCACUAGUUUUUAUUAGUUGCAUUGUUAGGAUUAUUAUUGUAUCUAUGCUAUGCUAUGAUUCUCCUAGUAGCAUAGGACACCCUUGCCAUUUCCUAACCACCGAUUGCCAUCGUAGUAGUAAAUUGCUAUGCUAUGAUAAUAAACGAGGGCGGUAUUAUUACAAUGUGAUACUAUUGAAUUACAAUAUGAUUUUCCUAGUUUAUGGCAAAACAAGUAAUUCAAUGAAUCGUCCUGGGUGGGCUGCUUUGAGUUUUCGGAUGUCGUGACGUUAGGUCCAUUUCUAUGGGGCCCGCUGAGUCGUCUCUCCGUGUGAUUCGGGAGCGUCCAUGGUCAUCUCCCCGUGCGAUUCGGGGAGCGCCUGCGUCACAAUGUGGGAUGCCACCCGGGGUAACCAGAGACUGGACUAGUUUCCUGUUUAGUAGCUUCCAGUACAACCACAUGGUAUUAUGGGCUCUGCCAGGAUGGAUGUAAGAAAUAUGAACCUGGAUCCGAGGUGACAUCGGUAUGUAGCAGUGUAGGUUGGAACGCGUCCCUCAGGUGGUUUGGGGGAAUAUGUUCUGAAAAUUCCUGUAAUCGAUGCCGUUGCUACUCUACCCUGAGGACAGCAAGGGAUUAACACGUCGAUUUCUUGUGGGUAAAGUGUACCUCCUCUCGAGAGUGUCAAACUAAGUACUUAGCCGUGUCCCCGGUUACGGACAAUUAUGAGCAACUGGAUAUCGGAGCUGUAAGGAAAGUCUCACUCAUUCCAAUUUCUUAAUAAAAUGAAUGGUUUGAACUGGGUAGGAGCAUUGAUGUUUCUACUCAAUGUGCCUAGGUUAAUAGGAGCAUGGGUGUUUCUACCCCGUGUCCAAUAGAAUUCAAAACUAUUUGUCUGAAAAUGAUAGGAUUUGAAUAAUGAUGCUUUUAUGCAAAAUAGCCAAACCCCACUUAGCCAAACUAUGCAUGUACUUGGUAGGUCCUUUAUAACUCUAGUGAGUUUGCCAAUACAUUCAAAUGUAUUGACCACGUAGUGGCUACGGUUAAUAAUGCAGGUGGAUCCGACGAUGAGUGAGGUUCGUCGUUUUGUCAUGGGUCAUGUGCUUACAUUCCAACAUGCUCUCUCCUCUGGGAGUAGAUGAGGCCCUUUUACUCUACUUUUCCGCUGUAGCUUCAUGAUAUUUUGUUGUCAUGGUUUUGAACAUUAUUUGUUUAUGCUGGCCUAAGAGGUCAUGCAAGUUUGUAAGUACAAUCUAAGUUCUGGAUUAUACGAUGUAAUAAAGUACUUUUGACCUUUGUAUCUUGGUAUUACAUCUUGAACUGUGUGUGCUAGUGAGUCGAUCCGGGGACUAGCACAAGUAAGCACAGAGAUCGAACCCUUGGCGAAGGGGGUUCGCUUCAGGGCCCCACCUGUCAGUGGCAGCGGACGGACCGGACUGGCGGGGCCGGCUCGCGUGCGGUCGGGCGCGUCGGUUCUGGGCCGGUUCGGCCCAAGAGGUCGGACCGGUCCGGUUCUCUUUUUUUUCUGUUUUCUUUUUUUCCCUUUUCCUCAUUUCUUUGAUAUCUUUUGAUUUUGAACUCCAAAUUGGCCCAAAUAAAUCCCAGAAAAUUUGUAAAAUCAUGUUCUAUCAUGAUACAGCUUUUGGGAGUGAUUUCCCCUCAAAAUAAAAUACAUAAAAAUACAUUUGCCCUAUAAAUGCCUUUAGGGCUAUAUAACUAUUUAAAGAAAAUACUUUUUCAACUCCAAAUAAUUAUCCAAAAAUUAUGGGAUAGCUCAUUUAUGCAAUAAACCCCUUUUAUACAUAAACCCUAUUGGUUUGAAAAUCCAAAGCUUAAAUGGGUGUGAACCCUAGGGUUUAAAUUGAAACAAAGUCUUUUAAAGCCUUUUGAGAUUCAAAUUUGAAUUCAAAUAUGCAAUUGUGGCAUGAUGCUCAUGGAUGCAAUGCACAUGUAAAAUUUUGAAAUUUUGGGAUGUUGCAUUUAAUCUUGAACUGUGAGUCUUGAUGACUGAGGACUCCCGAUGGGAGUAAGUCGGGUGCGCGACCAGCGCUCCCGAUGGGAGUAGCCCCCGGGUCUGUGCGUAACUGCUUGCAGUUGGGUAGAGACCCAAAUUCUUCGGUGUUGGAAUUUGCUUGACGAGUCAAUUGGGCGGAGUUCCUGAGUGAGGGGUGCGUCCAAGACUUAGUUGAGUCGAUUGGGCGGAGCCCCCGAGUUAGGGGUGCGACCAAGACUUAGGUGAGUCGAUUGGGCGGAGCCCCCGAGUUAGGGGUGCGACCAAGACAUAGGUGAGUCGAUUGGGCCGAGCCCCCGAGUGAGGGGUGCGACCAAGACUUAGGUGAGUCGAUUGGGCAGAGCCCCCGAGUGAGGGGUGCGACCAAGACUUAGGUGAGUCGAUUGGGCAGAGCCCUCGAGUGAGGGGUGUGACCAAGACUUAGGUGAGUCGAUUGGGCGGAGCCCCCGAAUGAGGGGUGCGACCAAGACUUAGGUGAGUCGAUUGGGCGGAGCCCCCGAGUGAGGGUGCGACCAAGACUUAGGUGAGUCGAUUGGGCGGAGCCCCCGAGUGAGGGGUGCGACCAAGACUGAGGUGAGUCGAUUGGGUGGAGCCCCCGAGUGAGGGGUGCGACCAAGACUUAGUUCAGUCGAUUGGGCGGAGCCCCCGAGUGAUGGGUGCGACCAAGACUUAGUUGAGUCGAUUGGACGGAGCCCCCGAGUGAGGGGUGCGACCAAGACUUAGUUGAGUCGAUUGGGCGGAGCCCCCGAGUGAGGGGUGCGACCAAGACUUAGUUGAGUCGAUGGGACGCAGCCCCCGACUGUGGGGUGCGUCCGAGUCUACGACCCGUCUUUGAGUAGAGAGAAUGGAUUAUUACUUUAUUGAGUACCGGAGUACGUAAGAGAGAAAAAGAAAAAGCACUAAAGCCAAGAUAAAAAAUUGAGGUGAAGCUAUAGAGCUUUUAGGCAUAGAAUCGUCGCAGUUGUGCAACGUUCCAAGGCCUGUUGUAAGUUAUGCCGGUCUUCAUGUCCUUGAGGUAGUAUGCGCCGCCAGGCACUACUUUUGUGAUCACGUAGGGUCCUUCCCAGGGGGACUCAAGUUUAUGGUGCCCUUUCAGCUUUAGCCGAAGGACCAAAUCACCCUCAACAAAGGAGCGAGGGCAUAGGCUCUGCUGAUAGAUAGCUGCUCGAGCUAGGGCAAUAUCACGAGCCUCGUCAACUGCGUCGAGAGCGUCCUCCAUUGGCAUAUCGACGUCAGGACCGGAGUAAGCUGUGACUCGAGGUGCGUUGGACCUAACGUCGGAAGGGAGGAUGGCCUCGGCACCAUACACCAUGAAGAAUGGUGUAAAGUUUGUGCAGCCGUUUGGAGUCUUCCGCAGGCUCCAUAAGACGGAGGGUAGCUCCUCGACCUAGGCCCCAGCUGCUCGGUGCAGGGGAGUCAUGAGUCGUUUCUUGAUUCCGACGGUAAGGAGGCCAUUGGCCUUUUCGACUUGACCGUUGGUUUUGGGGUGUGCCACGGAGGCAUAGUUGAGGUGUAUCCCCAUUUUCUCGCAGAAGUCUUUAAACUCGUUGGAGAUGAAGUUGGAGCCAUUGUCGGUGAUGAUGCUGUGCGGAACUCCGAAGCGGAAGACGAUCGAGCAGAAGAAAGUGACGGCAGUCGUGCCUGCCUGGUUGGUAACCGGCAUGGCCUCGAUCCAUUUGUAGAACUUGUCGAUGGCAACCAGGAGUAGGGUGUGGCCACCCUCCUUGGAUUUACGCAGUGUACCCACCAUGUCGAGUCCCCAUUGGGCGAAGGGCCAAGCUAGGGGCAUUGUCUUCAGUUCUGAGGCGGGCCCAUGCGGUUUGCAGGCAAACAUCUGACAUGUCUCGCAAUGAAUCACGAUGUUGGCGGCGUCACACAGCGCUGUUGGCCAGUAGAAUCCGGUUCGGAACGCUAGGCCGCGAUUGCGCGGCUGCUGGCAUGAUGUCCACAAGUGCCUUGGUGGAUGUCAAGUAACAGCUCACGUCCUUCCUCGGGUACGAUGCAACGUUGCAAUACCCCGGUGACGCUUCGCUUGUAGAGCUCUCCCUCGAUGAUGGUAAAGACCUUCGAGCGUCGUACGAUGCGACGAGCCUCGGCCACAUCAUCGGGAAGCUCCUGCCGUGUCAUGUAUGCUAUGAACGGCUGCAUCCAGGUUGGCUCGACCAUGAGGACCUCGUCCGACUCUUCUUCACCGCUCGCGACCUCUGGGGUGGCUGGUGUUUGUGAGUCAACGAGGUCGGGGUCGAGCGCGACUCCUUUGCUUGAUGUAGACUUGGGGGUUGGAGCACCCUUUUCCUUGAUAGAUCUCUGGUGGAUCGACUCCAGGAACACUCCCGGCGGGAUGGGUGUUCGAGUGGAGCCGAGGUUAGCCAGCUGAUCGGCCUCGUCAUUACUGGCACGGCCAAUAUGACGAAGCUCGCAUCCUUCGAAUUGCGCCUCCAACGCGUUGUACGCCUCGCGAUAGGCGAUCAUUGUCUCGGAGACAGCGAUGCACAUUUUCAUUGUUUGCUGGACGACCAGGUAGGAGUCGCUGUAGAUCAUGAGUCGAGUAGCACCGCAAGCUCUGGCCAUUUGCAUGCUGUGUAGAAGCGCUUCGUACUCAACCUCAUUGUUGGAGGGGUUACGAAAGUGCAUUUGGAGCACGUAGCGCAGUCGGUCGCCCCUGGGUGAGAUCAGGACGAUACCGGCGCCGGCUCCUUCGUGCCUCUUCGACCCAUCAAAGUAUAUUGUCCAUGAGCUGGUCAUGUCAGGCGGACCCGGAGUCUGGGCUUAUGUCCACUCGGCGAUAAAGUCGGGGAGGACUUGUGAUUUGAUGAAUUUCCUCCGCUCGUAAGUUAUGUUACGAGGGGAGAGCUCAAUCCCCAUUCGGCGACUCGCCCAGUCGCCUCCGGGUUGUUGAGUAUAUUGGCUAGCGGAGCCUCGCUGACCACCACGAUCGGGUGAUCGAAGUAGUGCCGGAGCUUGCGGGCUGUCAUAAAGAUGCCGUAAGCAAGCUUCUGGUAAUGCGGGUAACGCUACUUGGUUGGAGACAAGACCUCACUGAGGUAGUAGAUGGGGCGUUGGACGCCGUGAGUCUUGCCUUCUUCGGGUCGCUCGACGACAAUGGCCAUACUGACCACCUGAGUGGUGGCUGCUAUGUACAGCAGCAAUGGCUCAUCCUGAAGGGGUGCUACGAGCACCGGAGAGGUUGACAAUAACCUUUUCAGGUCGGCAAAGGCCGCGCUGGCCUCUGGGGUCCAAGCGCAGUCUUCGUCCUUCUUCUUCAAGAGAUGAUAGAAAGGCAGGGCCUUUUCACCAAGCCUGCUGAUGAACCGACUCAGUGCGGCGAGUCGUCCCAUGAGCUCUUGGACCUUACGUAGGUUCGUCGGCUCGCUCAUCGUUAAGAUGGCCUUUAUCUUGGAGGGAUUUGCCUCGAUUCCACUUGCUGACAAGAAAUAACCAAGCAGCUGUCCCGCGAGGACUCCGAAGGCGCACUUCGUAGGGUUGAGCUUGAUUUUGUACUUGUCGAGGUUAUCGAAUGUUUGGCGUAUAUCCUUCGGCAGGUCGACCUCCUUCUUGGAUUUGAUGACGAUGUCAUCUAUAUACACCUCGAUGUUGUCGCCCAACUGCGAUUGUAGACACGCCUGCAUGCAGCGUUGGUACAUGGCUCCUGCGUUUCGGAGCCCGAAGGGCAUCGUCGUAUAGCAGAAGACGCCAUAUGGUGUGACAAACGCGGUCUUUUCCUCGUCCUCGACCUUGAGUCGAAUCUGGCGGUAGCCUGAGUAGGCAUCGAGGAAAGACAGGCGCUCGCAGCCCGCAAUCAAGUCGACGAUCUGGUCGAUCCGAGGCAGGGGAAAGUGGUCCUUGGGGCAGUGCUUGUUGAGUGACGUGAAGUCAACGCACAUGCGCAAGGCCUUUGUAUUCUUUUUCGGGACAAGAACGGGGUUUGCGACCCAGGUUGCUUGUUUGAUCUCCCGGAUGAACUUGGCCUCGAGAAGGCGCUUGACUUCCUCCCCGAUAGCUUUGCGCUUUACUUCUGAGAAACGCCGCAUGGGUUGUCGAACCGGCUUACAGUCUUCAUCCACGUGUAAUUCGUGCUCGGCGAGUUCCCUAGGGAUGCCUGGCAUGUCAGCUGGGACCCAGGCAAAGAUUUCUCAUCGCUCACGGAGGAACUCGACGAGCGCGCUUUCCUAUGCGAGAGGAAGGGUUGCUGAGAUAACAGCGGUCUUGUUCGGGUCGGUAGGAUGGACCUAAACCUCCUUUGUUUCUUUCUUGGCAUUGAACUCCACCUGCGAUGUUUUCUUCUUGGCCGCAGGGAGGAGGUCGUGUUCGGCUCCCGGCUUGAGUUGCUCCAGCUCUUCGUGCAUGCCGAAGGACUCGGAGAUUUUGUGAAACUCCUUGUCGUAGCUGUCGGAACGUGUAAAGUUCCCGGAGAUGGUGAUCACGCCGUUGGGUCCAGGCAUUUUGAGCUUGAGGUAAGCAUAAUGCGGGACUGCCAUGAAGCGCGCCAGGGCGAUGUGACUCAAGACUACGUGGUACUGGGAUGUCAGUCGACCACCUUGAAGUCAAGUCGCUACCGCCGGAAGUUCUCGGGUGUGCCGAAUACAACGUCCAGGCUUAUUUUCCCCAGGGGGAUCGCAGCCCUGCCAGGUAUGAUACCGUGGAAAGUUGUAUCGGUUGCAACGAGAUUAGUUAUUGACCGAUUCAUCCCGCGUAGGGUAUCUGCAUAGAUGAGGUUGAGGCCACUGCCUCCAUCGAUGAACACUUUGUUCAUCACGUAGCCACCGAUCUGGGCCUCGAGUAACAGAGCGGCGUGUCCGGGCCGUGGGACUCGAGGCGGACGAUCCUCUCUGGAGAAGAUGAUCUCGGUUUCCGACCAAUCGAGGAACAUAGGCGUGACUGGUGGUGCAGUGACGGCCAUGUGCACCUGCCUAGAGAUUAGCUUCUGAGCCCGAUUGGUUGGCCUACCUUUCUGGAUCAUGUUGACGAGAUUGAUCGGGUCGGGGCACUGCUUGAGUGCGACUCGAUCGUCGUGGCGACUACUCUCCCGGUGCGAGUCACAUUCUCCAGGAGGGCAGUCGGUCCGUGGUUUUCGCACGUCAUGGACGGCAAUUUCCGCGGGGGAACGAGCAGUGUUGCCCUAAGACUCCAAGUCGUUGCAGUUGCGGCAACCUCCUUGAUUGAAGCAAUCGCCAGCGUCGCUAGGGACGGGGCUUUCUCCUGAAAAGGAUUGAUCUGAUCCAGUAGAGGAUAGACCAAGGUCCGUCUCCCAGACGCCACUGGAACGUGAGAGAUCGGGUGUUGAGAGCGGUCUGACCGCAAUGUAGGGUCGAGGCUCCUCGAGUGGGGGCGCGAGGAGAUCUGGGAAUUGUAGGAUUUCGGUCUCGUCGGCCUGUAUGUGGUAAUCUCCGAACGUGAGAUCGACGCCAGACUGCAGCGAGUUGAAGGCUGCGUGUCGCACCAGUGGCACCCGGGGUACCACCGUCGGGCGACGCGUGGGUCGCGUCGCCGAGUUCCUGGGAAGGCAUCAUCCCGGGAAGCAGUUAGCGUGCUGCCCGGCAAGCCACCAGCCCGGAAGGGCUAGCGGGGCUUCGGGGAAUAUUCCCGCCUGGCCACCUCCCGGGAAGUCACUUGCCGGGAGGGGGGUUUCCGGGCGCAGGCUCCCGUCGUGAGGGAGGGGCCCAGCAGGCAGAGCAACGGCGCCACAUGGGCGCGCGUCAGACAUCCAGUGCGCAGUUCCGCCAGGGCAAGGAGUGAAGCACACGGCGCAUUUAAUGAGCCGACAGGAGGGAAGUUACCUGUCCAGUCGAGUGAACAGCGGCUGUCCAGAGCUAGUUCUUAGGCCUUAGGCCCCUAGCUGAGGAGUUGGCACUCAUGCAUGCCACCAGCGCACCGAGGGGGAGUUGCCCUGUCUCCCUGCUCGCCACUUGUAAUCCAUGCAUCGUGGCACCUGUGGUAUCCCCUUGGCAAUAAAAGGAGGACUCCCGCCAACGGUCAAAGGGUUGAUUGAAUUUUCGUUGGGUCUUUGGUUGGUCGCUCACAGUUAGCCUUUGGCAUUAGCAGAGAAUAGUAAGGAACACUUAGCCAAAGGGAGAGAGCGCCCGGGAACUCACCCGACAACCUGUAAACACUUGGUUUUGCGAUAAUACCAGCUCAGACAAGCAGGACGUAGGGUUUUACACCUCCGGGUGGUCCGAACCUGGUAAAAACGUGUGUGCAUGUGUCCUUAGCUUGCAUGCAUCCUGGGUACCUUAUGCAGUUCACAUACGCCAUCGGCCACGGCGGUGAUCGCCAGAGCGAUCCCCGACACCCCUGCCGAACCUAAAAGGGGGUGUGCCAGCACGCCCCCGGUGUCGGAGCCCCGUGCGACGACAUCUGGUGCGCCAGGUAGGGGGCACGAGAGGAGAGCUCGCCGGUGACCGCCGGCAGCAGCUUCUGCAUCGACGUCGGCCUCGUCCUCUUCACCGACGGAGCCAACCGCCAUGCCCCCCAAGCAUGCUGGCGAUCCUCAGAUAGACACGCGUGAGGCCCCAGCGGCACACACGUGGUCGCAUGACUUGCGACCCGCGUCAGGGGCUCAGGAGAACCCUGAGCCCUCAAAGGGGCAGCAAUCGUAGCUGCCUCCCCCGCCCCCUCGGCCGUCGGUAGACAACCGGCUAAGGGGACCAGCGGCCCCCUGCGUGGGGGCCAGCCGCGCGAGCGGGCAUGGUGCCGCCCGCACUGGCCAGCGAGUCAAGUCGCGGGCCGAGGACACGUAGCGACAGCGGCACCAUGAGCAUAUCGCGCCGCCAGCGACGCCCGGGGGCUCAGACCCCGCGCACCCGCAGGCAUCCGGGGCUAGAGCGGACAACAGCCGCUCGGGAAACUGGCUGCCCCCCGCACGAACCUCGGCGGAAGCCAUCAUCGCCGCACGGGUCAUGGGGCGAGGAGUUGGACGCACUCCUCGCUCUGGCCGCCCAACAGCCGCAAGGCGAGGGCGUCCCGGUAGGCUCCGGCCACAGGCAGAACCCGGAGCGCAAAGACGCGCCCCGUGCCUCUCGACAGGGGGAGAGCCCUCCCUCGCAGGGAGGCCAGGGAGACGGGGACCUGGAGGGGUCCUCGGACUCGUCACCCACCGUCACGUGGGGUGACGCGCGCGGCAUCUUGAAUGCCCGCCAGCAAGAAGAUCUACGCCCACGCCUAGAGCGCCGGCGUCGGCGCGAGGUAGAGCGCCAGCACCCGCAGGAGCAGGAAGAUGCUCCCAUGGGCCUCUUGGACGGCUGCACCGCGUUCACACGCGAGUUGCGCCGGGUGACGUGGCCCCGCAAGUUCCGAGCGCCAGCGCUCGGCACGUACGACGGGACCGUGAAUCCCAAGGAUUUCCUCCUGACCUACACGUUGGGGAUGCACGCCAUCGGCGCCGACAACAAGGUCAGGGCCAACUGGUUCCCGAUGGUCCUGAAAGGAUCAGCGAGAACCUGGCUGCUCAACCUGCCCGCUAGGUCCAUCGCCACUUGGGCGGACCUGCGCGAGCUCAAGUCGGGGAUCCUUGGGUCCCCUACGGCCGCUGCCGCCAUCGCAACCGCUGCGUCAGCACCGCCUUGGUCGCCGCCGCUCGAUGCCGGGCGGGGCUUCUUGGUUGGGGCUGCUGGCGACAUGCUGGUCUGCCCCCUCUUCCUCGACGAUCUGAAAAACGCAAAAAUAGAUUAGUCAAGCACAAAAUAAUUUCACGAAAUCAAAGCUGUUUUGGGUGACAUUGAACUUACCCCGCCGGCUUGAGCUUGAGCACCCUGUCCGCCAGGAUGCUCCUCGCCGGAGAGCCGCUUCGUGCGGGGGGAGCUGUCGGAGUUGCCGGGGUGGUCCGAGCAGCUGCUGCAGCCGCGCCACUGCCGCCGGAGGCCACAGCCCCCGCGUCGCCGUGAGGCUCCUGGAGCUGCGGGCCGGCUUCCCGCCUGCCCGCCUGUUCCGCCGCGGACCGCCUCACCAGGGGACGUCAUAGUCCUCGUCGUCCUCCUCUGGCACGACCUCGCCGGCUGCCGGGGGAGCGUCGUCGUCGCUGAGGUCUCCUCCGACGCCCAGCGAGGAGUAGUCAGAGUCUGAGCCCUCUGCCUUGGCGGAGGCCUGGCCUUGGCCCCCUUUCCCUGAGUCGGCAGCCGGCCCCUUGCCCUUCUGGGACCUGGGCUGCGGGGGGGAGGGUUGCGCCAAGGGGUCCUCCACGAUCCCCCACUCGUCGCAGAGUGGGAGAUCUCGGGCUCCCGGGUUCAGGAUCGCGGCGUGGAGCGAGUGCGCUCUAGGCGGGAGGAGCCGGUAAGGUUCAUCCUCGCCGGUGAUACCCUUCACCAGAACUGCACUUCCUCCGGGAGGAGGUCCGUGCGCUGUAGCCGGGUCCGGUCGCCGGCCCCGGUGUACAUCCACGCCCGAUGCGAGCGCCGCUGCGGGAGGCCACGAUGAACUGGCGCGCCACAUCCGUGUCCGUGAGCCCGGCCUCACGGAGCGCCUUGAUCUUCACGCAGAUCGGGGCCAGCUCCUCGUCCUUCGGGUCGCGGAGCGCCCAGUUGUUAGAGCCCUUCGGAGGACCGAGGGGCUCCUCAUGGAACUCCUGGACCUCGUCGGUGCGCACCCAGCACCAAUCGCGCGCCAUUCGUGCUCAAUCUUCUUCUUCCCCAGCUCGAUGAAUUCCGAUUUGAUCCUGUCGUGGAAUCGGAACACUACCCCCGAGGACAAGGGAACCUUCUUCUCCACCCUCGGGUACUAGUAGUGGCGGAAUAACGCCGAUGGUAUCACCCCCACGAACGCUUCACAGAGGUGUUGGAAAACAGCCAAUGUGAAGAACGACGUGGGGUGAAGCUGCGCUAUGAGGAGCCCGUAGGACUCCAUGAUGGUUGAGAGGAAGUAGGAGUGCGGCGGCACGAACCCGGCAAGGAUGAACCUCCCAAAGAUCCAGAAGUACUGCUCGUCGUGCUCCGCACCGACGAGGAGGACUCGCGUUGGCCCGUGCUCGUUGUGCUUGGUGGCCAGCGCCAGGAUCAGCAUGUCGACUCCCUCACUGUUGUACCCGGGGGAGAAGAAAGCGAACUUAGCUCGCAUGUCGUCAUCCUUCCGGGCUCUGUCCGACAGCUCCUUCUUGCCGGCCUUGUCGUGCUUUUCCCCUUUGCUGGUGCUCCCCUUGGGACGAUUCUGGCCCUUGGAAGACAUCGGCAGAGGUGGAGAGGAGAUUUGGUUGGAGUUGGGGUGCGGGGAGCUUGGGAGGAGGCAAUGGCAGGAGCGAAAGACAAUGGGGAGUGCCCACCGCUGGCCUUGGGUAUUUAUCGGGGCUGGCAGACUGCAACGGACACCCCCAUGAUGGGCAAUAAAGAGCCCUAAAGAAUCGGAGAUUAAGAGGGGGCUGGUGAUUAAGGGGAAUAAGGCACGAAAUCGUGCGCCCAACCGUUUCGCUCGGAGGAGAGGAACUAUAAAUGCGGCCCACGAGGCCGAGUGCCCAGGGGUUUCCCCCUUGGGACCCACGCGUCGGAUAGGGCGUAGCCCGGCAACCGACCGAGGAUAGCACUUGCUGGAAGCUUCAAGGCUGCCGGCCCACGCCUGGGGGGUACUGUCGUACCAGUGGCCCACGGGGUCCCACUGCUACGGGACGCGUGGGUCGCCAGUGACGGAGCCCCAUCAGGAAGGACUCCCGGGAAGUGACGAGCCCGGGAAGCCUGCCUCGAGGAGACGACCCCUAGUGAAGCUAAAGUUAGGAGCCGAGUACAAAAUGCUCCCGGGAACCCCGGUCUCGGGAAGCCGAAGGAACACCUCCCGGCAACUAGCAGGUGCGCUAGCCGGGAAGGUGCACCCCAACAACCCACGCUCAGGCAUGCAGGUAGGACCCGCAAAACAGUGAAGACAGGACAAGACGGCGGGCGCAGUGCAUUAAAUGCACCGACAGGAGUCUUAUCAGCAGGCCUAGUCUUGUUUAGCAAGACUAGAACGGUUGCCCUGAGAACCAUUUUUUCUACCAUGUAUAGUGGACUGGGCGCUGCAUGGCGUCCAGCACAGAUGAGUAAAAUUGUAUUCCGUGUGGCUAUGACACACGUUUAGGCAACAUGUUACGCUGCAUGCAAUGGCACCUGUGGUAUCCCGUUGUCUAUAAAAGGAGGACCGAUGCCACCGAUCAAAGGGUUCUGAGGAGUCUUAGUUGGAGCCCUAGUUAGAGUCAUCACCAAGUAGCUCCCCGGGAACUCCCAGGACACAUUGUAAGCAACAUAUACAACCUUGAAUAUAACAAAACGCAGGACGUAGGGUGUUACACCUUCGGGUGGCCCGAACCUAGGUAAAUUCACGUGUCCACACUUCGUAUCUAUCGCCACGUCGGCGAUCGCCGGAUCGAUCACCUCACCCUCCAUCGAACCAAAAAGGGGGUGCUCGGCAUCUCCGGUGCCGGAGACCGUGCUCCGACAGUAGAAAAAAAUGGUUCUCAAGGCAACCGCCCUAGCCUUACUAAACAAGACUAGGCCUGCUGAUAAGACUCCUGUCGGUGCAUUACAUGCACUGCACCCGCAGUCUUGUCCUGUCUUCACUGUUCUGUGGGUCCCGCCUGCAUGCCCGAGCGCAGGUUGCUGGGGCGCACCUUCCCGGCUAGCGCACCUGCUAGUUGCCGGGAGGUGUUCCUUCGGGUUCCCGGGGGCACUUGGUACUCGGCCCUUAGCUUCACUAGGGGUCGUCUUCUCGAGGCAGGCUUCCCGGGCUCAUCGCUUCCCGGGGGUCCUUCCUGAUGGGGCUUCGUCACUGGUGACCCAGGCGUCCCGUAUCAGUGGGAUCCCGUGGGCCACUGGUGCAACACACACGCACUCAGAAAAUCGCGCCUCGCAGCCCCCUCUGGCCCUCUCCUCCUCCGUCACGCCGCCGCGCCCCUGCUCUCCUCCGCCCCCGCCUACCCUCUGCCCCCCAUAUCCGGCUCUCCUCCGCCCCUCGCCUCCCCUCUGCCCCCCAUAUCCAGCUCUCUCCGCGCGAGCUCGCCAACGGGCGCCAUGGCCCCUGCAGGUUGCUUCCCAAGCUCUCCUCCGCAGCACCGUCGACCUCCCCCCUUCCUCGUGCCACCCUACUCCCAGCCUCAAAUCUGCGGCGGCAGGGUGCGCGCUUGGCGGCUGCGGCACCGUGCGGGCAGGGCAGCGGCAGGGUGCCACCGUAAGAAUGAUGGUAGAGAGUGAAUUGACAAGCCUGAAGAGAUACAGACACUUUGUGAGGCAUUACUUUAUUGCAAUCAUUUGUUCUUUUUAGGGCCCCUACACGUGUACUGCAAUUUAGGGUUAGUUUUAAUUUUGCUGUCAAAUCUCAAAUGUAGAUUGAUCUUGUCAGACCUGGAGAUAUUUAAAAGCUAAAAGUAGUUGCAAUACUUGUAUAUAUUUUCUGAAUAAUUAUGUUGGACAAACACUGUUUUUGUUUGAUACAUCAACUGCAAAGGUGGAUGUCAAAUCUUUUCUAGCAAUAGCUCAAGUUUAGCUUCCAUCUAUAAAUGUAAGUUGCGACUAAGUCAUUGAAUGCUAAAAGUAUGAACACACUUUACCUCUUUGUAUCAUUUGCAAGUUGAUUGUUGUACAGUGCAGAACGGGAUAAUUCACCGUGUAUUUUUUCAGAAAUAUAUGCCUCAAGUCAGCAUGUGUAUUGUGUAAUGUGUUGUGUACGAAAUUAACUCUCCUUUUUGGACAUAAGGAAUUUAGCUCGGGAACAAUGCUAUGAUCCAUCUUUGUAUGCUAGAAUAAUACAUAGUAGAAUGUACAAAAAUGUGUGUUCUGUUUGGAUAACUACAUGUGUAAUACUUUGGAUAACCAUAAAUCAAUAUCUUUAUUUUUCUAUGUCUAGCUCAUGUGGUUUCACUGAAUCAUAAUGGUUCAGAAUUAGUAACACAUGUAAAUAGCUACCACAUAUUUCAGGUUAGUGUGUUAGUUUGAUUGAUUAAUUUUGUGAAAUUGUGUUGAAGUUAACUCUUCAUAUAUAGACUUGUAGGAUUGUCAGUGCUUAUGGUAGAUUGCAUAUUUAUGAAUUAUGACUAUGCUCACUUGAGAAAACUAAUUUUUUUUCAUUUACCAUCUACUCCACUUGUGUAGAAAACAUACUACAGAUGAUGUGGUUUGGGGUAUCAUGGGGGUGGCUGAACUAAUGUCUCCCAGUCCUGGAAAUUUGUUUAGAUAGGGUUGUGAUGUAUGGAGGACCAUAUGCAUGUAAAUUGAACUGAUUCAGUUUGUUGGUUACAUAAUCUGGAAGCUGAAUGUUUGAUUUUCUAGCACAAGUCUGAACUGAAUGGUAGUAGCUCUGACUACACAUUGGCUUUUCUGAGAAAUAUUUGACGUAACUGGACUGAUUUAUUAAUCUUUCUCAUCAUCGAUGCACAUGCUGGAUGGCUUCACUAGACAUAGAAACACCUGUGUUUGUUUGAGGUGCAUCAAUAUUACAUCAUGCUUUAAAUAUCUUUACAGCAGUCGGAUGCCAAAGACAUAACCUUGCAUAUUCAGAUGCAAUAUAUUUGGGCAAGUUUAUGGAUUUUGUGGCUCGAGAACAGCACAGUAGUCGGAAUUUGAUUUAUUUUGUGGCCAAAGACAUAACCUUGCAUAUUCAGGUACUGUACAUGUUUGUGCAAUUUGAUUUGUUUGUUUUGUGUAAAUCAGGGAAUUAUGUUCUGUUUGGGAUUUCAAACUAAUUUUGUUUAUCUCGUGUGGCUAGAUGCGAUCGGCGGGCGCCCACAACUGGAAUCAAAGUACUGCCCUAAAAAUAUCUUUACAGUAACCUUGGCCUGGUAAGCGAGGGAUGCAUAUAUCGAAUUCUUUAUAUAAGGUGAAGCCAGCAUAGUCGAUGUACGAGUUGUUUUUUUUGAGAAAACUGGAAGCUUGCGUCUCGAUGCAUUGAUAGAAGAUAUAUGAGUUGUUUUAGUUUUGUAUCUUGGCUCAGUUAAUUUCACAACUUCUCCAGAACUACAAAGACAUCUAAGCAGAAGGUUAAAAGGGACUUUGAAGCUUAUGGGCAAAGGGUAAGUAAGUAUACAUGGCAAAUACCAGUACAGGUGAAGUGAUUCUUCAUUGGUAAGGUUUUCAAUUGUUAUAAAAUUGGUAAACCAUCAUGGGUUAGCAUUUCUAUAGGACAUUGAAGGGAAGGACAACGGAUUUUGAUGGCCGUGCGGUCUUAUCCCAAUAUGGUCAAUACUGGCAUAACAGUUGGCUCUUCCUCUGUCUGUAGGCAACACCCCAACGGCACGUAGACGUCAGCAGAUUCAUGAAUCAUAUGCCUAGGAGGUACAUGUGUUGUUGUCCCUGUUGGUGUUGAUGGUACGUACUCCUCCUGCCACUUUUAUAACCAUCUCCUUUCGUCCCAAGACGUUUCCCUCUCUUUGCUUUUGGAACCUCCAUGCAUAACUCAUGGUGACGGGAUUUGACAUUUUGAACCGUUCAACAGUGAGGCCUAACAGAAAAUAUGUUGUUGCCGCUGUUCCAGGACCACGGUGGUGUUCCCCACUGAGCUCCGCCAUCCGACGCAUGCCCCUCCCCAAUCUAUUCGGAUAAACUCACCAUCGACAUCUCCUUUUUCCUUUUUUUUGUUGAUAUUUUCCCUGUUGAUGCUUUUUGUUUACAUAUUUAGGAAUAUACGAAUAUAGAAUUGCUUAGUGUUUAUGAAAAAAAUUGUGCUAUUGUGUCUGUUUUAUAUUAUUGUGGAGUGACUGUUAUCAAAGGAGUUGGGAUUAUUGUGUGGUUAUCUGGAAGAGCUAAUGUUGUACUAUACAACUUUAUUAAUACAUGUGUAAAUCGGUUGCCUUAACAAUGGACUUCUAUUCCUAAAGGGCUGCAGAGUAUUUGAUUGACGAAUAAUCCUAAACAUGAUUAUGUGGGUUGAUUAAACAUCGCAGUCCACGAGACGCGAACAAAGCGGUUUGCCGCAAUGGAUGAAAAUCACUUCGGUGUUUACAUAAGAAUACCAUUUUAUUGUUCCGUAGCACCGCACGGGCACCCUAUACUAGUGAAUUUUAUAACAUGAGAUCUGUACCACUAGAAUUGUCUUAAAAAAAAUACUUGUAUGAUUAUAUUUCGUGUCAUAUAAAACAUGUAUUGAUAAGAUAAUUUCUUAAUAAAACUUAAUACAACAUUGGUCGAGAGAAAGACGGAAGACUAAAGAUAAUACUAUUCCUCCUUCUAAUAAAAGAUGUCUUUGCUUAGACUAAAUUUGAAUACAUCUAUGCACUAAGUACUGUCUAGAUAUAUCUAAAUUUUGACAAACUUGAGACAUCUUUUGUACGUAAUAAGUUUGAACUGCGAAAUGCAUCCCAUUUCAGACUACUCUCACUGCGAGAUGGAGCUUUCUAAACGAGUUCCCGUACUACAACAACAACCACAUGCGUAUGGGCCGGUCCCGGUUCACAGCAACGUUCGGGCUGAAAGCACUAGCAGACAGCUGUAAUGGACGGCGAGAUAAUUGUUUAAUUAUAGCGUAGGGUUGUCAGGUUAAUUGUUAGUUUAAAUUUUGUCAUCGCUAAUCGAUGCAUGUCCACAUGCGCAUGCAGUCUACUCCCUCCGUUCAACGAGUCUUAACUUUGACUAAAUUUGAAUGCAUCUAUACACUAAGUUACGUCUAGAUGCAUUCAAAUUUGAUAAAUUUGAGAUAUUUUUUGUUGGACGGAGGGAUUACUUUAACUAGCAGGUGUGUCCGCGCGUUGCUACGGGUCAACAAAACCACAAACUAUUUUCUUUUCCUGUGUAGGCAGCUCAUGACGCCGUCGAGGUCGGCAUGCGGGCAUGGUGUCGUCGGUUGUAAGACGGAGGAGGAGAAAUCGUGAAUAAGGCGGGAGUGAAAGAAAAUAAGGGGCAGUGGUAUAUUGGUUGUAAUUUUAACGAAGUUGACCGACCAACGACGCCCAACCAUCACCACCAGUUCCAAUUUAAUAGAUAGUAAUAGAUCUAGUACUGGUACGCCAUUGAUUACACAAGGAAGGACGCUGCAGGCACGAUGCAUUUCUCAGAUUCAUACUACCCAUCACCCUUGUCCAUCUGAAGAUGCAUAACUCCAGCUUGGAAAUUAUUUAAAUGGUUCUCAUAUACAUGCUUUCCUUUCCAAUUUCAUUCAUAGUUCAAAUAGAGAUUAAGUAUGUUAAGCUGCUCGUAUGAUGAACUCCUCCAAACAUAAGAUCAAACCUACGUGGCAUAAUUUCCUCAAAGGAAAAGAAUACACCCCAUUUUCAAGUGAAUUAAUCCAUAUUUGAAGCGACCGCCCCCUACAGGGUUCGAUCUCUAUGCUUACAGUGCUAGUCGCUGGAUCGACUCGCUAGCACACAUAGUUUUAAGAUGUAAUAUCAAGAUACAAAAGUCAAAAAGUAUAUUACAUCGUAUUGAUUCAGAAUUUAAUAGUAACUUACAUAUUGCAUAACCUCAUGGGUUAUCUCAAAAGAAAAAAAAAAUCUUGCAGCGGAAAGCAGAAGAUACAAGAGUCCCAUAACAACUCCACAGUCGAAACAUGUUGGAAUGUAAACUCGCAACCCUAAUAAUUCGUACCUCACUCUUCACCUGGUUCACCUGUUUAAACGUUGUAGCCACUAGGGGGUCAAUACAUUGAAUGUAUUGGCAAGUUCACCGAAGGUUAUAGCAGACCUAACAAGUAUAUGCAUUAUUUGGCAAGGUGGCUAUUUGCAUAAAAUCAUCAAUGUUUCAUCCUAUCAUUUUUGAACAAAUAGUUUUAUCACUAUUGGACACGGGGUAGAAACACCCAUGCUCUUAUUAACCUAGAGCACAUUAAGUAGAUAUAUCAAUGCUCCUACCCAGUUCAAUCCAUUCAUUUUAUUAAGAAAUUGGAAUGAGUGAGACCUUCCUUACAGCCCUCAAAUCUAGUUGCUCAUAGUUGUCCGUAACCGGGGACACGGCUAAGUACUUAGUUUGACACUCUGCAGAGGUUGUACACUUUCCCCACAAGAAACCGACGGGUUAAUCCCUUGAUGUCUUCAAGAUAGAGUAUCAACGGCGUCGAUUACAAGAAUUUUCAGACCAUAGUCACCCAGACCACCUGAGGGACCUACGUUCCCACCUAUACGGCUACAUCUGCACAAUCCCUCGGAUCCAGGAUCAUAUGUCUUACUCCAUCAAGCCAGAGCCCAUUUAGCAUGUGGUUGUACUGGAAGCUACUAAACAUGAAACUUGUCCAGUCUCUGGUUACCCCGGGUGGCAUCCCACAUUUGCGACGCAGGCGCUCCCAUAGAAAUGGCGAGACGACUCAUAGAAAUGGACCCAUAGAAAUGGACCUGAUGUCGCAUACAUCUCAAAUACUCAAAGCAGCCCACCCAGGACGGUUCAUUGAAUUACUUGUUUUGCCAUACACUAGAAAAAUCAUACUUUAAUUCAAUAAUAUCACAUUGUAAUAAUACCAACCCUUGUAUACUAACAUAGCGUAGCAUUUUACUACUACGAUGGCAAUUGGUGGUAAGGACAUGGCUAGGGUUUCCUAUACUACUAGGACAAAUCAUAGCUACCAUAGAUACAACAAUAAUCCUAACAAUGCAACUAAUAAAAACUAGUGCAUAAUAAAAUAAUAGGAUGAUGGUCAAAGUGAACUUGCCUUGAUAAUAGUUGCUAUUCAAACAAUCUUCGCAACCACACAGUUCGCUCUUCUAGAAAACUAUACGAAACAAACAUACACAUACAUAAACACACAAUUCACAUCACGAUAAAAGAAGGUAUGCUAUGAUGCAAUGCAAGUAUGUGAAUGAUUUGGUUUAUUUUAUUUGGGUGAUCAACUGGUCCAAAGCAUUAGCAAUUAAAAUUAAUGCGUUAGGUUUAAAAACAUAAUGCAAAAACUAGGGAUUAAAACCCUAAAUUAAAGUUUUAUUCGCAUCAAUUCAAAUAUUUUAUUUCUCUGUCCCAAUGGACAGAGGAUAAAGGAACAAAUUUUUGGGCACUGGUUUCAAUUAAAAAGGAUUUCUAAAUAAUUAGUUAUGAAUUAAAUGUCAUUAAACCCUAUUCUGUAAAUUCAUUGAGGUUAAGUUAUUCAAAUUUAAAAUUAAACUAUUCCAAAAGAUUCUACAGGUCAAGAGCUUUCCAGAAAGGUAAAAUUUGUCAAAAUUGGCCAAAGGGUUUAAAAGUUAUGAUCAUUUGAAGUUCUAGGGGCUUUUCUGCAAAAGUUCCUUUUAAUUCGGCCAGGGAAAUGUUUUUAUUUAAAUGAUGUGACACGUGGCAGAUCCCUAUUGGACGAUACCGGUUCGAGAUUUAAUUAAAAGGGAGCCGUCGGAUCUCACUUAAGUUAGAUCGGACGGUCCAGAUCGCGUACCGGUUCGGUGAGUUAAGUGAUCUAAUCCUAGCCGUAGAUCUAGAUCGGACGGACGAGAUGGAUCGGGCUCACCUCCGGCGGCGCUAGGUUUCCGGCGAGGUCUCCGGCGAGCUCGGGGACGCGGCGGCGGGCGGUUCGGGCGAGGCACGACGAGACGGAGACGCUGGUGGCGGUGGCUCGCUUCGGGGUGGCCGGGGUUGACGCCCAGGACGGCGGAGACGUGGCGGCGGCGGAGCUUCGGUCGUUGGGGUCCUCGGGUCUACGGCGCACGGGAAGAGAAACCAAGCGCAUCAGGAGAAGCGCGAUGACGAGACGGGUGAAAGAGAGGAGGAGGGGAGGACGAUGCCGUACCCGGUCGUCGGCGGUGACCAAGAAAUGGCGGCGGCGGCGGGCUUGCCCCGGUGACAAAUCUUGGCAGUGUGGGCGCGUAAUCGACGAAGAGGAAAGGAGGAAAUGAGAGAGGAGCGCAGGGGCUUUAAAAGGACGCGCUCGGGCUCCCGAUUAAUGGACGGGGCAAGGAGAUCACGGCGGUGAGCGCGCGGCCGGCGGACAUGGCAGGUGCGGGCGUCGCGCGCGUGAUUCCGGGGAAGACGAUGCUGACGGGUGGGCCCCGCGCGUCAGCGGCUUGCCGGUUCGGGCGCGCGCGGUGAGUUGGGCCGGUUCGGCCCAUUUGGCCGGGCUGGUCCGGUUUUUCCUUUUUUUUUCUUUUCUUUUUUUUCCUUUUCUAUUUUUCUUUGAUAACUUUUAAUUUUGAACUCCAAAUUGAUUCAAAUAAAUUCCAGAAAAUUUGCAAAAUCAUGUUUUAUCGUGAUUCAACUUUUGGGAGUAAUUUCUCCUCAAAAUAAAAUAUAUAAAAAUACCUUUGCGCUAUAAAUGCCUUUAGGGCUAUAUAACUAUUUAAAUAAAAUAGUUUUUCAACUCCAAUUAAAUUUCCAAAGAUUAUGGGAUAGUUUAUUUAUGCAAUAAACCCCAUUUAUAGUUAAACCCUAUUGGUUCAAAGAUCCAAAACUCAAAUGGGUGUAACCCUAGGAUUUAAAAUGAAAUAAAAACCUUUUUAAAGUCUUUUUGAAAUUCAAAUUUGAUUUCAAACAUGCAAAUGUGGCAUGAUGCUCACGGAUGCAAUACGUAUGAAAGAGUUUGAAAUUUUAGAAUGUUACGAUAUUGCAGUGGCCGCCAAAUAUAGAAUGUGGAACCACGGAUCCGUUAAUUACGUGUCGGAUGUAACUAAGACAAGCCGAAUCAAAACUGCUACUCCCCGUGUCAGACUCUACUCUCACUGCGAGAUGGAAAUUUCUAAACGAGUGUGUGUACAAUAAAACGGCAAGAGGAAGGAAGCCCACGCAAUCCUCUACGGUCCAACAAGUACACAUGCAUAUGGCCGGCCCAGAUUGAGCAGGAGCAUUCGGGCCGAAGCACAUUAUGGCCUCAAGCACAAUCCGGGCCGAUGAUGUGCUUAUUAGGCCGGAUUUCUUAAGCUCAAUUCGAUUUAACAGACAUUGAGCGUAAUGGGCCGAGUUCGGUCGUGCUUAUUGGGCUUCGAAUCUGACGCGGGUGCUGCCCAUGGCCGUUUUUGGCAUGCUCUGUUUGGCGGGAAACGUGCCCGAGUUCCUCCCCACGCGCGCCCUUUUCCCAUCCCCCACUGCAGUCCCCGAGGAGACUUCUCUGACAAGGGUGCAAUCGCUCGCUAAACACAGGCGAUUCCAAGGAGCGGCGGCCCCAAGUCCAGGCGAUGGCUCCCAAGCGCAAGUCUCCGGCGGCGGCGGCGGCGGCGGCGAUGUCGCCGAGGAAGACGCGGAGCAUGGCCGCCCUGAAGCGGGGCGAGGUGGUGCCGGCCAAGGAGGAGGAAGCUGAGCCGGUGCCGGCCGGGAAGAAGGGGAGGAAGAAGGGCAAGAAGGAGGAGGCGGCGGCGGUGGUGGAGAAGGAGGAUGCGGAUGCGGCGAAGCAGGAGGGGAGGAAAAGGGCCAAGAAGGAGGUCGCGGCUGCGGCGACGGCGGAGGAGGACGAUGACGGUGCGGCCGUGGAAGACGGGAAGCGCGUCGUCGUCGAGGCUUGGUGAGUUCGUUUGCCUGACGGUUACAGGUUUAGCUUGCCUCUUGGAAGUUAAGGAAUUUAGGGUUCGAUUGAUUGGGGGUUUUGGGCACGAUUAAUAGAUGAAAGUAGCGAAGUUUUAAGAUUGCUUUGUAGUCUAGAUUGGGGAAAAUGUGUCAAUUCUGGGGGUAAAAUGGACCGACUCAACUCCAGUAGGUAUCCGAGCUUACCUCCAGCAGGAAGCUGGCUUUCUAUUUUUAACUGUAAGUGAUGCAUGAAUCAUGAUCGAUUGAAAUAGGUGUAGAAUGUGCUUUAACUUGUAACGAAAUCCAAUAGGAGUCCAAGCCGCAAACAUUGACUAAAAGAUGAUUCCAUCUGGUAUUUUCCAUCUUUACAAGUUGGAGCUUGGGUGUCGAUUAAGCUGCCCUGGAGAACCACCGAUGGUUCAAGGGUAGCGCACUUGCGAAACAGUUAGUACCAUUUCCUUUUGUGGAUCUAAAAUUCGUCAACAGAGUUUUUACGUUUGAAAUCCCAAUUCCAAUAGAAGAUUAAAUUACUUUGGGUGACAAUAGGAGAAAUUUGACAAAAUGCCACACUUUUCUUUGGACUUUGUCCCAAAUGCACACCUUUUCUUUUCUUAGACAAAAUAGCACGCUUUUCUUUAGAACUUUGAUAAAAUAGCAUUUUUCUUUUUUUUAAUCACCUUUUCCCUUUUUGCCCACAUGGCAGAUUUUUUAGGAAGAAAAUGCCCCUACGCCUUCAUGUGCCGACCGAUCUAACAAAUUGAUGGACCAUCUUAUACCUCGGUCUCCCGAAUUGAUCGAUCAUCUCAUCCCAAAUGCAAUUUUAUCUGAAAGUAGACACCGCAGCAGUCAAUGGCAAACAAUCAGCAGCAGCAAUUUUAUCCCUACAAGCUACAGCGACCUACAGCAACAAUCUACAACGCCACGGGCUACAACCUUCAGGCCGAGAAGCCGAGAAGGCAGCAUAGCAGAGCGAGACAGGCGCCAAUUCCUCGCCGGCCCCUUCUAGCCGGCGGCGGUGGCGACCUCGACUGGUGGGCCUCGGCUGGUGGAUGGGGACGGCGGCCUCGUCUGGCGGAUGGCGUCCGACGGCGGGGGCGGCCUCGUCCAGUCCCACGACCGUGAUGGUGGACGCGGCGAGCGAAGUCUGAUGGGAGCACCUACCUACGUCUCCUUCCCAUGUCCUCCCUCUGCCGCUGCACCGCCUCUGGUUCUUGAAAUAUCGAUCGAUCGAUUUGGGGAUCGAUCAUAACAUGAAGGAAGGGACAGGGGAAAUUUCGUAACUAUACAAUCUGCCAUGUGGGCCAAGAGGGAUAAAAAGAUUAAAAAAACAGAAAAAUGCUAUUGUGUCAACGUUCCAAAGAAAAAUGUGCUACUUUGUCUAAGAAAAUGAAAAGUGUGCAUUUGGAGCAAAGUACAAAGAAAGAUGUGGUAUUUUGUCAAAUUUCUCAAGAUGGGAGAACCUCCUUAUUUUUAUUGGAACCUUGUUUCCCUUUUGAAAUUGAACAAAUGAGAACUACAAGCAAAUGAGAACCCUGCUGUCCAAGUUCCGUCUGUCUUUUUACAACUUCCGUCUCCAUAAAGGCCGAAGCGGCAUUGCAAAAUUCAGUAAAUGAGUAAUAUUAAUAAGAUCCAGCAUUUAGUAACAUAACAGUCACAUAUAAAUCAACAAGGGUGUCAGAAAUAUUACACCGAUAGUGUAGCAUGAUCGGUUAUUAUAUCACCUGAAAACUUUGACGCAAAAUAGUGGAACUAUUUCUUCUGAAGGAAAAACCAUCAGUACAACAUAUAACCACAACAAAAUCCAUCCAAGUAGUCAGUAUAGAUGCACAAAGGCUUGCUUUGAUGAGGCUCAACGAACAACAGAAGGGAACAUUUACAAGGCAAGAUGAGUGGCAGAAUGUGCAUAGGCCCAUUUGUAUUGGAGGUGUGUGUAUGUCUGGAGAUAUUUUGCUUUGCCUAGUAUAUGACUGACAAGAAAGGAGGGAUAAAGUCCUCUGUCCUAAUGAUAAUUGCUGACAGAAAGGAAAAAUGCUUUUUACAUCCAGGAGAAAUAAAAUAAGUUAGGAUCAAGAGAAAGAUUACAUAUUCGGCCCAUGAGUCGAUGAAUGCUUGUCCCACAGCAAACAAGUAGUGACACUCAUGGAUUUUAGCACAAAAAGAUUCUCGAUGGACAAGCAUCGGCUUAUCUGGUAACAAACUGAACCCUUUUAUAGAUUGCUUACUUCCGUUUGCAUUUCAGUUAAACAAAACAUUGUGUGUGUUUGCCUUCACUUCAGAAGUGAUUUCUGCCAUUCCGUGAGACAUCCGAUGGGCACAAAGCAGUGAAUCGAAAGCAAAAUUCAUGAACUUAUCUACCUAUUUGAGUAAAAAAUAAAUGCCAUGUUCCUUAAUUAGAAGCAGGGAGUCAACUCACAGAGUAAACAAACAAGAAGUCAGAAAUACAUGUCUUCUGAAUCAAGUAUAAGCAAGGUUGACCUGACCAUUCUCUUGUAUAAUUUGAAACACAAAGCAAGAGCAAAAGGAAAGCCAAUUUAGGUCUGAGGACAGCCUCAAUGAUCAAAAAUAGGAUCAUUAAGAUUCUCUAAACCAUACCCACCACGUCACAUGACCCCGCAAGAGCCUUCUUGUCCUGCCUAUAAAAUGAGGAGCCAGAACCACCAAACCAGUGAACAGCUAAGAAAAACAAAGUGCCUAGUAAGCAACCUUCUUCCCAUCAGGCUGGAGUUCAUCAAGGAUCUGAACCUAAAACUGGAGCCCACGAGUACGCAGAGAAGGGAGAGCAACAAGGCUGGCUCCCAGCCCAUCCAAGGCCGAAGCGAGCAACGCUAGAGGAUGGUGACGGUGCGGGAUGAGAUGCGCAAGGGGCCAUGGACAGAGCAGGAGGACCUGCAACUGGUACGCACUGUCCGCCUGUUCGGUGAUCGCCGUUGGGAUUUCGUUGCCAAAGUCUCAGGUUUGAGGGGUGGGAGACCUGCAAAUUAGGUAGCCAAUUUUGCAAGCCCUUGGCACAAAGAUGCAAACAGCAUGCAGUCCCAUUUUUCUCUAACCAGUUCUGUCUUCAUAUGUCACCUUAUCUAUGGUCGUGUAGGCCUUAAGACAGGACAGGCAAAAGCUGCCACCUGCGGUGGGUCAACUAUCUCCACCCUGGCCUCAAGCAUGGGCGCAUGUCGCCACAAGAGGAACAUCUUAUUAUUGAGCUCCAUGCUCGAUGGGUUAACAGGUUUGAUAUCUCCAGAACAAGACUUGGACGAAGACUUUCUUCUCAGCUAUUAGAGGUGAAACUUGCUAACCAUCUAUCUCUUUAUAGGUGGUCUAGGAUAGCAGGGAGGCUGCCAGGGCGCACAGACAAUGAGAUCAAGAACUACUGGAGGACACACAUGAGGAAGAAAGCACAGGAGAGGAAGACAGGCAUGUCACCAUCCUCCUGCUCAUCGUUUACAUACCAAUCCGGCCUCAUUCAGACUGCACCAAUCACCGGGAAGGAGGAAGGCAACUCUAGUAAUGGCAGUACCUGCAUCUCAAGUGUACUUAAGAGCAACCAGAGUGUCAUGGAUGGGUAUUCCAUGGAUCAGAUAUGGAGGGAGAUCGUGGCACCUGCCAUGCUGCCCAUUGAUGAUAAAGCAUGCAGCAAUUUCCCAUGUCCUCUGCUGCCAUCUCCUAUGCGAGAUUGGCACUACCCUGAGGUAGUCUGGAAGAUAGACGAUGAUGAUAUGAAGAUGUUGGCUCCAGAAUUUGGUUAUGUUACAGGAGGAGGCUCCUGCUAUUGAAGGCUGAAGCCAGCAGGAUGGAGGUCAGGUUACUAAGAUACAAAUAUAUGCUCAACAGAGUUACCAGUAGAUAUAUAGCUAUGUUUGCGUAUACAUAUAUGAUUGAAAGAAUUGUAGCUAUGUUUGCAUUCCUAUGGACGGUGGUCUUAAUAUUUACAUAUCUAUUGUAAAGAUGUAGAUUUUCAGGUAUACUCGUGAUGUGUGUGCCUAUGAAGUGUGUAAAAUAGCUUAUGUUGCUUGCCCUUGGUAGUUUUGACUAUGGAAUACAAGGUCAAUUUAUUAUGCAUGAUACAGCCACCCAUCUGACCAUCUCCAGUGAAAUCUUUAUCUUUACUCUUGUAAAGAUCCGAGUUGGUGGUCGUCCAUUCACUCGGCCAGUAAUAUCCACCUUUCUAUGUAGUAGAUAUAUGUAUCCCGAUCUUUUGAUUAUACUCCCUCCCUUCUAUAAUAUAAGGCGUCCACACAUUUCGAGGUCCAUCUUUGACCAUGAGCUAGACUAACAAAAUGUGAAUUAUGUGUUAUAAAAAUUAUACCACUAGAUUCAUAUUUGAAAGAAGUUUCCAACGGUAUAAUUUUUAUAAGACAUAAUUCACAUUUUGUUGGUCUAAUUGAUAGUCAAAUCAAAAUUUUGAAAUGCGUGCGUGCCUUAUAUUAUGGAAUGGGGGGAGUAGUUGAUUGGAUUGACAUAUAUUUUGAGGAAAAUCGUUACUUAGCACAAAAUUGGGAAUUUUGCGGGCACACCCAUUUAAACAACUCAUGCAAUAUAUAUUUUUAAAUUUUCUAGCAACUCACGUGUAUUUAUCUAGUUUUGGUGAAAGUAUCAGUUUGAGAGAGAUGUACAUUGUAUUUUCUCUAUUCCAAAACACAACUCAUAUAGAUUUGUGCACUUGGACCAAGGCAGCUCUCAUUUCUAGUGUCUGACUACUCAUAUUGGAUUAAUAGUAAAUGGAUGUGAGUGGUUAUUGGCCGGGUGCGGGUUUCAAGAGAAAAAUAAGAUGUGUUUUGGAACAAAUGAGAAAAAUCUAUAUGAUUUGUGUUUUGGAAUGGAGGGAGUACACCGUUACGUUAUAGGAAUUGUAAUCUCAUCCCCAUGUUCUCAUAGGACUGAAAACAAUACUAAUUCUGAAGCUAAAGAUAGGGCCUCAAGACUAUGAUCAUCAGACUGAAGGCAUAUACUCCAGCAUGUAACACGGAAAUUCAAAAACAAAAAUUUUGGAGUUCCAAAAACUUCUGAUUUUUUUUUCCACACAUACAUAUAGAUUGUUGCCACACCAUUGUAAAAUCUCAUGAAGAAAUAUUACUAUGUGUAGAGUGUAGACUACACAAAAAAUAGAAAUGUUUGCUAUUAUAGUGGAUGCACUAUUCACUAUUAUAGGUUCAUGUUUUUGUCUUUUUUGUGUAGCAGAAAUGUGAACAUAUUUACGAAAAAUUGCAGGUACAUACAAAAUAUAUACCUGUACGUCUAGAAAAAAUUCAAUGUUUUCCGACACUCAAAGUAUGAUUUUCGAAAAAUUAAAAUGCGCCAAACCAAAAUGGGAAGUUUACGCGGAACCCAGUUUACAUUUCAGAUGCAUGACAUCAGUAAAAAGGCUAUUCAGAGAGGAUUAUUAAUUUAUUAUCAUAUCUGAAGGAGCAAAAAGGAAAAGGGGGGAAAUGGAUUAUUUCAACAAAACUGUCUAUGGGCAAAAGACCCGGAACUGAUUCUUCAAACCGAACAUGAUAUUGUCCAAUACUCUCAUUUUCUCCCUCAAAUUGAGUUUGCAGCCAAUAAAACAGCUUUUGGAACUUUAAACUGAGAACAAAGUAUUCCUCUGACAAACACACAGCCCAUGAAAUAAAACAUUUUAGUAUAUGCAAUUAUAAUAUAUUAAAAUUAUUUUAGUAAUUACAAUAUAGUAUAUUAUGGAAUGCAGCAGGAGUUCAAGUAAAGCAGAUACAGUCGUAUACAUGUUAUACAAAAGCUAAAGUGUACCAAUCUGUUUGUUCUUUAGGUUACAGUCCAAUAGAGAUGUUGGUAGUGGUACAUACACAAGAAGCUAGUCUACGAAUAAGUUCUCAAACAGGUCAGAAACAGCACCGCCAGCAUGGACAUCCACUGACCCCUCGACAGUUACAUGAAAACAGAUUAACACAUGAAUAUAAAUGUAUAGUGCUUAGUCUGAAGGAACAGUUGAAGGAAGUAAUGCAAAUCAACAAAGAAUUAAAAGCCAGCAGUUUCAACCGGUGGAGCAAAUUGUAGUCUGCAGAGUAGUAGACAACUGGCAUGGUAUUAUACUGAGUUCAUCGAUCUCCCGAUCACAAAGAAAGUAAUGAGCUUCCUCACUCUAUGUGAUGCAUUUAAGAUUUACAACAAUAAUUAAGAGACAGAGAAUACAAAGUAAAAACAGGUUAGGCGGGAGAGUGGCGAUUGGCUCAUGGGCCAUGGGCUGGGUUACCAACUGAUUGGUGGGGUUCUAACUUAACCUGUUAACCCCUUGGGUUGGAUAAGAGCUACUCUGAUGUUCGGAGCUUACUGCUUUAUACCCAUAAGGCCCUGCUUGGUUUGUUAUAUCUUUUCCUGGGAUACCAGCCUCUCCCACAAAAUAUACAACAAUCCAAGCAGCGCCUAAGUAUAGAACAUUUGAUUCAUGAUGAAAGCAAGUUACCGAAACUAAGAAUUAAGUACUUGGCUUAAGAAUCAACAAUGGCAUAGCCCAGAAGGUCAUUAACUGUCCAACUAUUAGCAGACAAUAAUAAAGUAAAUAGAAAUACCAGACAUCUGAUCUGAUACAACACAGUGCCAUCAAAAUAGUAAGAAACUCUCACGUUUUGAAUCACUCAUCUUGGAGGGAUUGAAUUUGCCGGUCAUCAUGUCUCAAAGCCUUCACCUCCAGUUGGUAACACCAACAUUUAACACAUCAAUAAUAGAGCUUUUUUACUUGCAGGCCUGAGUGAUUCCAAAUAGCAGCAGUAUUAACAUUAACAGUUACAAAGUUAGCGGCGGUAUUUAUGUUAUUGAUGUUGUUGCUUAACAAUCACCUCUUAGAAAAACAUACUAUUACAUAAUUCUUUCCAAAUAAGUGCUGAAAGUGUAUUUGUGUAUUCAGUUCAAGUACUUUGCACUCUGCCGUAGAAUAUUUAAACUUCACUAGUAGCAAGUUUACUAUAAGCUGGAAGAAUGUUGGAAAGUUGAAGAAAUGCCGAUCUUAGUGUAGUUUAAAAAAUCCAAUUUGUACUAAAAACCUGACACCUGCUUAUACAUAUCGUCUAACUGAAGAAGAGUAGUUUUUUAAGGAAAAGUAAUCACAUAGUUAGUCACGUUUUUAAGGAAAGUGAUGGAUUAAGAUGACGUACCUGUAGUAUUAGAGAGCUUGCAAGGUCAAAGUUUGGCUUCUGAGAUGAAGAGAAACAAUCUUAUAUUUUCUAAUAGUUCCUUUCUCCUUUUGACGGAACUUUUUCUUUGCAAUUCUGAGCUUCCUGCUCGAAGCAUAAAAGAAAAUAUUAGACAGAAAAUGCAAGACAAAAUGUGUUGGAAUGUAGAGUUUUAUGGAGGAAGAUUAGUUACUUCAUCUUCUUAGUUUCCUUCUGCUUUUCUUGUUUUAUAACUGUUUCUUCUUCUUCUUCUUCAUUUUCUAUGAUAUCUUGUUCCUUUUCACUCUCUACCAUAUCUUCCUCCUUUGCAGUUUCUAUUAUCCCAUCUUCCCGGACUCUGCUUAUUACAAGAUUUGCCCCACGGCUGCGGCCCCUGUAUAUUGCCCUCCUAAUAGCAUCCUUUGCAUCCUCCACUACCCGAAGAUUGGCAUUGAAACAGAUUAUUUCAAUACUUAAAUGCUCCAAGGAAGACAGGUUCUCCAACCCAAAAUCGAAACCAUGAAAUACAUCUUUGGUAUGUGAUGCUUGAAAUGAAAGAUUAAGCCUUUUGAGGUUUAGCAUAGCUCCGGGUCCAAAAAUCCUCCCUACAGCAUUACUCAAAAAGUGGAAGCAUGUUAGAUUUCUGAAUCCAUCAUUGAAGUUGCCUUCUGGGACAUGCUUCGAUGUCAGGGAGAGAACAAGAAGAUUUUGCAAUCGCCCAAGGAUGUCAAUGAUCUCCUGUGAUAGCUUGUAGACCUCAAUGCAUAAAGAGGAAAGUCUCUCAAGUGAGCAAAUCCAUCCUGGCAAUGAAAGGAAUGUGCUAUGCCUUAUCUCAAGCUUUUUGAGGCUUGGAGGGGCUUGUCCAGCAUCCAAAUCAUCCAAGACAUGUAAGGAGCAGCAAGUCAAAAUAGAUAGACUCUUGAUGUUUUGCCUGCUUAGUGAACCUAGAUAACUGAGAAGUGCGUCAUCGUAACUAUCAUCCCAUGACCAUAUGACAAUUCUAAGAACCCUCAAGUCAGUCAGCUCGCACAGCUCUUUCAGCAACUCUGGGUUACUGAUAUUCAUGUCUCCUAGCUCUUCCAAAGCUUUCAUUUUUCCAAUUCCAUGUGGUAUUUUCGUGUGUCUAUUAACACGUAGACAUUUCAAUUGCUUAGCAUGAACAAUACUCCCUGGCAAUUCUUUCAGACUAGUUGCGUUUAAAUCCAAUAUCUGCAGAAAGACUAGAUAGCCGAUAUCUUUCGGUACGUCGGUGAUACAAUUACCUUCAAUUACCAGGUAUCUCAAAAGAUAUAAACUCCCAAUACCCUUGAGAUGGUCACUUUGCAAAGAAUCACAGCCCCCUACCUCCAAAACACGUAAAUUUUCAAACUUUGAGAGGAAUGGCAUCAGCUUAGUACCACCACUUUCCUCAGAAAACAAAUUAGCAUCACCAGAGACAACAAGUGACCUCACACUGGACAAUCGCACUUGUGUUGGCAAGUCUAAAUUGUUUCCCUGGAUGGCUAGCCGCCCAACCGUCUGUGGCAAAGGUCCGCCUUGCCGACCAUUAAAUAUGGUGACAGAGCUUUCUUCAGUUGACAAAGAGACAAUCAAGUCAUGCCCCGUGUCGUUCACACGGCACGAUAGAGCCUUGCCACCUGCAUCAACCUCCACUGCUUCAAUCAACUUUCUCUCCAUCAGCUCACUGAGGUACUCCUCUCCUAGUUGCUGCACAGUCGUUCCAGCAUGUUCAGGAAUGAAACCCUCAGCAAUCCAACCCCAUAUCAAGCGGUCCACAAUGAUCUCAUAACCCUUCUGAAACAUGCUUAAAUACAACAAACAAGAUUUCAGAUGGCGAGGUACACCAGUGUAAGAGAGAUAUCUGCUUCUGGUAUCAUAUGAAUCUGCUAAAUUAUUGGACUCAAGCACUGUAUGCCAGUCUUCCUGUGUCUUGCCAGCUAGCAAAUUGGCUGCCUUGAUGAUGGCUGAUGGUAUACCAUUGCAUUUUUCUAAAAUCUUUUCAGACAUGUCUGCUAAUUCAGGAGGACAGCUGUCUCCAGAACCAAACAAUCUUCGGUAGAAUAAUUUUCUAGAGGAGUUUUUUUGAAGCGGUCUCAAUCGAUAAAUUCCAGAAGAACGAGCAAUGGAAACUUUGCAGGUUGUCAUCAGAACUGCACUGCUGUUGCCAUUUUCAAUCAAAGCAGACUUGAUAGUUUCCCAUGCUUUAACAUCCCACAUAUCUUCAACUACAAUAAAGUACCUAAUAGAAUAACGCAUCCGAAUGUUAAAAAACAUAAUAUAUGAUGAUGUAUAGUGCUACUCUAUUCAAAAUGCAGCGAUUAUUUUAAGGAGUUGAACGGAGAACCACAAAAUCUUGCCAAUGUAACCUCCAUCAACUGUCUUAAUAAUAUAGAAAAGAAUGAUACGAGUAAUAGUUAAGUUUUGCAAUUAAGUGAUGCACGGUUUAAGGGAUAGGAGUUAGAAAGUGUCUGGAAUGGAGCCUUAUAAAUCUGGAAGGAGGGGAGUAAUACCUUUUAUACAUGAGGGCUUUCCUGAUCUCGCCGAUGGUUUCUUCCACAUUGAACGAUCCAAAAUCAUCAUGGUCUUGUGGACUAAUCUGACAGAGCAUUGUCCACAAAACAUUUUUGAUGUCAGGCUUGGGAGAAACCGUGACCCAAGCUGUACACUUGAAUUGCUGGUUAAGUCUUUGGUACACCAGGUUCGCAAGAGUGGUCUUGCCCACGCCUGCACGCCCAAGAAUCGAAGCGACCUUGAGUCGCCCCUGCUCCUUCUCCUCCGUGAGGAUCUUGACCAGAUCCUCCACUCGGGCAUCAAGGUCAACGAGCUCGCCCGCCGGGUCAACAAGCUCGCCGGCAGCCCUCGGAGCAGCAAUGUUGGGCCUGUCAGGUCGCCCGCCCAAUUCCAUGAUAGGCUGCCUGAAGCUCCCGAUGUCGGUGGCGAACCGGGCAGAAGCCUUGGUAAUCGCCACCUUGGAGCUGAACUUGCCGAAGAUUUCGCUGGGGUCGGCCGCCGGCGGAUCGGCGGCCCUCAACCGGCGAGCCAGGAACCUGUCGACGGCGUGCUCGAUGUCGUAGCUGAGGUCCCUCGCUUGCCUGGCCCAGCCCUUGAUUUGCGAGCUGAGCUGAUCCGCCGGCACGUCUUCCAGGUCGCUGAGGGCCAGCUGAAUCCUGGUCAGUUCCUCCUUGAGAAAAAGCACCUCUUUCCUCACGCUCUUCCGCAGCUUGUCGCCGAGCAGCUCCUCCAGCUUGGGGAGCAGGCUGCCGAUGGCCCCCGUCGCCGGAUCCAUAUCGAUGCUCUCUGGUUCUUGGUCGAUCCCCUUUCGGUUGUUUCGAAGGUAGGGAGUGCGACAGUGUUUCUUCUGCUGGACCUCAGGACCUGUGGGGCGGAGCGCUGCCGCUGAGGUCGGGAAGUGCGGCUGAAACGCACGACGGGUCGUCGGGUCGGGCAGCAACGGGCCCAAGCCCGGCGGGCUUUCAGACUUUCGAAAAAAACCCAGCCCAUUGGCCAUCUAUAGUUACAUCAGGUGAUCAAACCUUAGAUCUCCAAAUCCAUUCAGCACCGUACGCUUCCUUGCAGCAGAUACCGUAUAUGCUAUCGAACUGGCAUAUAACCGUCUUGCACGGAACGGUACACUUUUCAGCUUUGGAAUGAAGCUGAACUAGCUUGGUAGUGUGGCCGUGUGGGGAAUAAACCAUUUAUGCUGUACUGACAAUGUGAUUGCUGAAAUGCCGUCUCACGCACUAUUUACUAGGAUCUUGUGUGAUGGAUGCAAAUUGGGUUAACCAGGACAUUGCCAACGAAUCUGAGUUAUAUAAUGAUCUGAAUGUCUAUUGGUAAUUUAGCGUGGUAAUUCUUUUUGCCGAAUGCUCUAGACCUUGAGCUGGAGGCAACACUAAGAAUAUUCAGUCAUCCAGAAUGGUUCUGUCCAAAAGGUUUUGUCUAUUACAUACAUGAAUUACGUGAUUUGCAUUUGCAGUAGUCAUAACAAAUUCAGUAAUUUCAGUUGACCUUUACAGCUUAUAUACAAAAUGGUUCUACCGAGACAACUAUGAUCAAUUUUCAAGUUGCAUGAACGGCUUCAAGAAUCCCAUGGUUAUCAUGCAUCGAAGGCAGACACAAGUGCAAAGGUAGACAAGUAAACAGAAUGGGUUCUGAAGUGCAUUGGAUUACAUUAGUGUACAUUCUCGCAAAAAAACAUUAGUGUACAGAAGAGCAAGGGAAAAGGAAACCAUGGCACAAUCGUUGAGUUCGGCGGCAUGAUGCCCGCGACCAUCUUUCAAAGUGGUCAUGACGACCAUCGUGCGUCUGUCACGAGCCCGUUAAAAAAUGCCGUGGCAGCGCACGGGCAAAUUGCUAGUAGUAGCAAAAAAACGGUCCAGAAUAGAUACCGAAAAGAAAAACUGACCUGAAAAAAGUUUUCGGGGAUCCGAUCUCCCGGACCAGAAAUGCCAAUAUCCGCGGAUAUGAGAUCGGGUGGAAGGGGAACUGCUGAAAAUAACGGCCAAAGGUCGUUUUCCAUCUUCUUCUUCUUACUCUCCUCGUCCCGCGCGGGCUUCUUCCCCAACUCCGGCGGGAGCUCCCCCUGCGCCUCCCGGAGCCUUCUCUUCGUCUCAAGGAGACGCGCCCGACCUCCGCCUGUCUCGCGACACGGUCGCCGUCCCUGCUCCCGACCAUGACCCCCGCGCCCGAUUCUCUCCUUGUGUGAGGAUCCGAUGGAUUACUCACGAAUUUCAGUGGCUAGCUCUAGAAUUCGAAUACUCAAUUGACGAGAUAUAUUGUUGUGGUCGUUGUUCCUCCCAUCCUCCCUCACAGCAAGUUCAUAUUACAAGCAAUCGGUCCAAGUCGUCCAAAACCUAGCCAAGGAAGAAACUACACAGAAGCUAGCUUAAGUAGGAAAUACAAGGUUCAGCGAACCCAACUUGGGCUUGCAAGCCUGGCGGGUAACCGGUGCGUGCGAGUGGGCCGCAACGAAGGCCCAUCUUGCCUUGAUGAAGCGUUGGGCUGGUCCAGGUCGUUGACACCCCCUCCUCCAUAAGAAGCGGCUUGCCCCCAAGCCGGUGCCCAAGGAAACUUCUGACGGAGCGAAUCCAGAUCUUCCCAGGUGGCAUCAGUCACAGCAGCAUCACUCCAAAGAAUAAGACCCUGAGGAACAGUCUUGGAACCUUGCUGGCGAACACGAUGCUGCAACACACGCACAGGAAUCUGGAAAGCAACAGUGUCAGCAGGAAGAUGAUCAUGUACCUUGUACUUAGGAGAGACCAAUCGCUUCAACUGAGAGACGUGAAAGACAUGAUGAAUACGAUUGGAAUCUGGCAAUUUCAAACGAUAAGCCACAUUGCCAAUCCUUUCCAGAACCUCAUAUGGGCCAAAGAAACGAAAUGCCAGCUUGUGAUGAGAACGAUGAACCACUGAAGCUUGAACAUAAGGUUGAAGCUUAAGAAAGACCUUGUCGCCCACCAGAAAACUGCGUUCAGUUCCGUGCUUGUCAGUAUGAAGUUUCAUACGUUGCUGGGCGCGCAACAAGUGUUGUCUGACAGAAGCAAUAACAACUUGGUGCUGGUCUAACCAUUGCUGCAAAUCAGGAGGUUGAAUAGCAGCACGGGCUGAUAGACCAAAGUAACGAGGAGUAUGACCAUAUAACACCUCAAAAGGAGACUUGUUCAAAGCUGAAUGCCAAUUGGUGUUGUACCAAAAUUCACACAGAGAUAACCAUUGAGACCACUUGGUAGGAUGGGAACUGAUGAAGCAACGCAGAAAGCAUUCAAUCUGCUGAUUAACCCUCCCAGUCUGACCAUCAGUUUCAGGGUGAAGGCAGAACUCAUCUUCAAAUUAGAACCAGUGAGCUUCAUUAAUGUUUGCCAUAAAGUGCUAGUGAAAAUGGGAUCUCUGUCAGAAAUGAUAUGCUUAGGAAAGCCAUGAAGUUUGUACACAUGAUCCAGAAAGACGUCAGCGACUUUCUGAAUUGAAAGGAUGGCGCAAAGGUAUAAAAUGACCAUAUUUAGUGAACUUAUCAAUCACAACAAAGAUGCAAUCAAAGGAGCCAGAUUUAGGUAAGCCACUAAUGAAAUCCAUAGAUAUCAUUUCCCAUGCUUGAGAAGGAACUGGAAGAGGAGAUAAUAAACCAGGGUAUGGAACUCUCUCAGGUUUAGCUUGUUGACAAAUAAGGCAAGAUUGAGUUUGAUCCUUAAUAAAAUGCUUCAUACCAGACCAGACAAUAUGCGUCUAUAUGUCACAGGAAAUCCAGAAUGGCCUCCAACAGGACUUGCAUGAAAAGCUUGGAAUAUUUUCAUAUGGAGUGGCAAAUGGUGACCCACCCAUAAGCAACCUUUAUACCUCAGCAACCCAUUAAUCAAAGUGUAAUGUGGAUGAGAAGUGGGAUCCAAGGAUAGUAGUUGCAACAGCGCCUGGGCUUUUGGAUCAGCAACAUAACUCUGAACAACUUCAUCCAACCAAGCAGGCUGAAGAUCAGACAAAGCUAGGACUUGCAUAUUUGCAUGUGGCCGGCGAGAUAAAGCAUCAGCGGCAUUGUUAGUAAUACCUUUCUUGUACACUAUUUUAUAGGUCAAACCCAUCAUCUUAGUCAAGGCCUUCCGUUGCCAUUCAGUGUGCAGCUUUUGAUCAUCCAAAUGAGACAAACUCUUUUGAGUAGUACGAAUAAUGAAUUCCUUGACUUGAGAUAGGAUCUCCAUUGUUCAACAGCUAGUAAUAUAGCUAAGUAUUCCUUCUCAUAAACAGACAAUGACUGAUUUCUAGGACCCAAAGCCUUACUGACAUAUGCCAAAGGAUGGCCAUCCUGCAUUAACACAGCUCUAAUGCCUAUAUUGCAAGCAUCAGUUUCUAUGACAAAAGUCUUGCUAAAGUCGGGUAAGGCCAGAACAGGAGCAGAUAUGAGAGCUUGCUUAAGAACUUGAAAAGCUUCAUCAUGAACAACUGUCCAGAGGAAACUGGCACCCUUCUUGAGAAGCUGAGUCAAGGGCUUACUUAUAAUGCCAUAGUGCUUGAUGAAUUUCCUGUAAUACCUUGUAAUGCCCAAAAAUCCCCUAACUUCUUUGACAUUAACCGGUGUACGCCACUUCUGAAUAGUGACAAUCUUGCUGCUGUCCGUAGACACACUAGCAGCACUGAUAACAUGGCCCAAAUAAGCAAUUUGUGGCUGUGCAAAAGCACAUUUGCCUUCCACUGAUGUUCAUGUAAAAUCUGGAGGACUUGGUGAACACGGUGAAUAUGCUCAGGGAAAGUCUUGCUAUAGAUUAAAAUAUCAUCAAAGAACACUAGAGCAAACUUCCUAAGAACAGAUGCCAAGGAACUAUUCAUUGCUCCCUGAAAUGUACCAGGAGCACCAGUGAGACCAAAAGUCAUCACAAUGAAUUCAAAAUGGCCAUUAUGGGUCUGGAAUGCUGUCUUAUAUUCUUCUCCAGGAGCCAAUCUAAUCUGAUGAUAUCCAGCCUUAAGAUCCAAUUUAGAAAACCAAGCAGCUCCAGCAAACUCAUCCAAGAGUUCAUCAAUGACAGGUAAAGGAAGUUUGCCCUUAAUAGUGAGAGCAUUCAAGUGUCUAUAAUCAACCACCAUCCUCCAAGUGUGAUCCUUCUUUUGAACAAGUAAAACUGGAGAGGAGAAUGCACUAUUACUGUGCUGGAGCAUACCACUCUUCAUCAAGGAAGAGACCUGAGAUUCCAGUUCAUCCUUCAGAUGGGGAGCUAUACGAUAGGGGCGAAUGAGGACUGGUCUAGCACCUGGAACCAAGGGAAUAGUGUGAUCAUAGCAUCUUCUAGGUGGAAGUCCUACAGGAUCAGCAAAGACAGAAGCAAAUUUAUCCAACAAGGAUUGUAUCUCAGGUGGGAUUGGAGGAGUGUCAACAGGAAUAAUAGCAGAUAAAGAGACUACACUGAUAGCAUACUCAUCAGGCAGUGGACCCUAUAAAGUAACUAGUGCACCCUUCCUAUGAAAAGACAUCCAACGUUGAGCCCAGUCAACCUACAUGGGACUGUGAGCAGCCAACCAAUCGAGACCCAAGAUACCGUCAUAAGAACCUAGAGGCAACAAUCUGAAAUCAGUAGAAAAAGUGUUAUCACAAGGCCAAGAGCCUCUGUUUUGUGUGUGGUGAGCGCUGGACUCGUGACCACCAAUGCAAGCAGACUGUGCAACUGCAUUUUGUUCAGGAGUUAAUUGAUCACCUGCAAUCUGAUAUGGUGCAUUCUGGUUCUGAUUCUGAGACUGGCAGUCAGCUAAUGUCCAUCUCUGCUGCUGCUGUUGGCCGUGAGCAUUCUGUUACUACCCUGCAGAUUCAUAUUGAGUUGCAAGGUCACUCCUUAUUAUGUUUGGUUGACUUUUUCACUACUUUGAAAUACGAAAAAGAUCCAAACCUAAAAUGCAAAGGUCAUCUUAUUCAAAAUCUCAAUCAUCAGAUCCCCUCUCUCCCACUUCACACCUCGGAACGCGCUGUUCUUAUAGAGAGAAAGGCGCUUUCCCAUCUUCUUAACCCAAAAUGAAGGGGUACCCCCAAUUAGAAAAUGGAUUCCUAUUUGAAGAGUGCCUAACCGCAUGGAUAAGCUCACAUUAACCCGUCAAUUUGGAUCCAAUUCGGGAUUUUUCUUGGGAAGUUUCGAGAAGAAAUUGGAAUGGAAUAAAUAAAGAAUAAAGCAAAAAAAAAUAAGUCGAAGAUAGAAGAGCCCAGAUUCCAAAUGAAGAAACGGAAACUCGAAAAGGAUCCUUCUGAUUCUCAAAGAAUGAGGGGCAAGGGGAUUUUGACCAAACCUGAGUUGGAGUUGAGUACAGAACUCGUCCCCAGUAGCACGAGGCAUUUGACGCUGCGCUGACUCCAACCAGCGAGCCGCUGCGCCCUCAAACUGCGUUGACGCGUACUGAAUCCACAGCGUCGGUGACGUGCCCCAAAGCUGGAAAUAGUCCUCACAGCGAGCUUGCCACAGACGGGGAUUUGAACCAUCGAAUCGGGGAAGCUCAACGCGAGGGCCAGAACCAGAGAUAUCAGACGAGUCCGUGAGAAGAGAAUCAAAAGUCUAAGAAUUUUUGGUUUGAGAAUUCUGAGGAAUUUGGGACUCACGUGCGCCUCUUGCGGAAGGAGGAAUGUAGAGUCCGCUGCUCCGGGGUCGUGGAUCCUUGGGCGAGCCCACGGCAAGAGAGUCGGCUGCCGACCAGGAAGCAGACGGCGGCGGCUUGGGAGAAGUAGCGCGACGCCUGUCCCGCUCGAACUCGAUCCGCAUCUGCCCGAUGUCGAUGCCCGAUUCAUCCCGUACCGCAUCAAUUUUGGUAAUGAUGCCGUCGAUCUUACGCGUCGAUUCCGCGAGCAGGGAGCACACCGCCGACACCAAUGACUCCUGUUGGUUGCGGAACUUCAGAUCCAUGUCCGUGGUGAUGUCUCCACGGAGGAGCUCAUAGAGUUGCCGUCCCUCCGGUGGCAGAUUCUCCAUGGCUGCCAGGCGGCGACGGUCGCAGAAAUGGGUGUGGUAGUGGUGGACAGGCAAAGCCAGGAUUGGUGGCUCUGAUACCAGAUUGUGAGGAUCCGAUGGAUUACUCACGAAUUUCGGUGGCUAGCUCUAGAAUUCGAAUACUCAAUUGACGAGAUAUAUUGUUGUGGUCGCUGUUCCUCCCAUCCUCCCUCACAACGAGUUCAUAUUACAAGCAAUCGAUCCAAGCCGUCCAAAACCUAGCAAAAAAAAGACUACACAGAAGCUAACUUAAGUAGGAAAUACAAGGUUCAGCCAACCCAACUUGGGCUUGCAAACCUGACGGGUAACCGGUGCGUGCGAGUGGGCCGCGACGAGCGCCCCAUGUUGGCUUGAUGAAGCGUUGGGCUGGUCCAUGUUGUUGACACCUUGCCCGUCCCCGACCAUGGCCGCUGCCGCACUCUCCCCUGGUUGCCUCGCAUGGUCGAUGCCUUCUCUCCCCUGCCCGUCCCCAACUAUACCCGUCCCGUGGCCUCUCCCUGAGUCCAAUGCGAAGAUCUGAAAUUCAUCGCUCAGCACCUCUCCCCUGGCCGAUGCGAAGUCCUGAAUCGGUUUGUUGAUUGAUGAGGAUUGAAUUUCAGGUUUUAAUUUGAUGAAAAAGGGUUUAGAAUUUGGGAAUCUGAUGGUGAUUUAAUGAGGCAAUGCGUACUAUCCUUCUCUGUUUGAGUCGUGCGGGAGGAGGAAGAAGACACGAGGUGGGCUGGCUGGGGCGCUAGAUGGGUUGGAGAUGGGCCAUAUGUAAAUAUUCGGUUUACUUGUCAGAUAUACGGGAUUGCGCAGAUAAAAUUGGUACCGAAAAAUACCGGUUCGGUAGACUGAAUAUGUGUUUUUUCAGAUCAUUUUUUCAGUAACUGCUAGAGGUGUUCUGAGCUGUGAAACAAUGUAUCCAAACAGGCAUCGGAUCAAGUGGUAUCCGCCUAGAAGCCGAACCUGGCACCGGCGAGCACCUUCUAUCGAGCGGGAUGCUGUGGCCACCUCUGUCUUUACCGACCUGAUUCCCAGUGGAAUCGAGGCUGCCGCAGGCGCCCAAAGUUCGCACGCCACCAGCCGUCGUCCCGGGGCCACGCCUGAGACUAGCCGGUGCUCAUCUUGCCAAAAGCAACAGCCAUGGCCACCCCUCCGCAGCCUCCUCGUUGUCGUCGUCCAUCACUCAUGGGCCAUGGCCGCCGCCGCCAUGGAGGUAACCGGCCGGCAUCUGUAUCAGUAGGUGGUGCCGUGGCGUGCGGUGGCUGCAUCAGGCCAUUCGCUGGGAAGAGCACGAGGAAAAAGGAAGAAGGGGAAAAGAAAUGAAUGUGUCACUGACAGAGGGGUCCCAUUUGUUAGUGGAAUGCUAGAGUAGUCAAAGAUCCAAGCCUUGACCUCACCACAUCAGCAAACACAACCUAUGUACAAACCCUGUUUCAUCCACUACAUACCGGGACUAAGAAGAACAGGAUGCCAACUUCAGUGAUUUGGAGACUGAGGUUUGAUGUACCGACCUCUACAAAGACAGGAUUUAAAAUAGCCUUUACUUUACAAGGCGUGUUCUUUUUACCUCCGAAGUGCUUCAAUUUCAUGAAAAUAUAUUUUGGGUCGAGAAGAACAUAAGCACCCAUAAACCAACCAACUAAUUGUACUUAUGCAGUGUUUUGGUAUUUUUUUUGGCGAAUAGUGUUUGAUUGAUAGAUGAUUUGGUAGAUAUCACGAACAUAAUGAAAUCCUUUUAGAUUUAUGCAUGGUUCGUGUGUUUUUUCUAGGGUUGUUGAGGUUGAGCGGUUCUUGUGUCACCUGGGUUUUCGAUCAAUGUCCAGUGAAAGAGUCCACUUGUUUCCUUUGGUGUGGUUUGGGCGAGUGAUUUCUUGCACCUCAACCAUUGCGCAUAGGCAUUGUGUUGCGUUCUCGGCGUAGAGAUGAUAUUCGUUAUAUCCGGAUUUUUUUAUUUAACUAAAAUGAUUCAGGCUGGCUUAGGCCUGUCAUAGUUUUCCUAAAAAAAAUUGUUCCCUCGAUAUGCUAAACCAUUUGAUAACUCAAAUUUGUAGAAACUGUUUGGCAACGGCGUUCCUGGCAUGGAGAUUUCUCAUCGUCGCGGCUUGAGACAGGGGGACCCCUAUCCCCUAUGCUCUUCGUCCUCGCGAUGGAUGUUCUGGACAAGUUGUUUUGCCGUGCCUCGGAGGGGGUCUUCUGGCGGAUUGUGGUCUACGACAGCGCACUUCCAUCUUCGCUGACGACGUAGUUGCUUUCUUCCAUCCCGAUGUGAUGGAGCUCCGGGUGUGCUCUGCGUUGCUUGCAGAUUUCUGACUCGCCUCUGGCCUGCAUACGAACCUCUUCAAGAGCACGGCCCACCUUUUUCGCUGCUCCAUGGCCCAGGAGCAAAUCAUGGCCCAGGAGUUGCCCUGUUCGAUCGUGGGCUUCCCUUGUCAUUACUUGGGCCUCCCUUUGGGCGUUCGGAAGAUUACAGCGGCCCAGCUUCGUCCGCUGGUGGACAAGGUUGCCAACCGGCUUCAAUCUUGGGCGGCGCCCCUCCUGUCGAGUGGUGGAAGGCUGACACUGGUUAAAUCGACCCUUUGCGCCAUGCCGAUUUACUCCAUGCUUGCUCUCGACCUCCCCAUGAGCUCCAUCGAUGCCAUCGAGAAAAUCUGUCGCGGCUUCCUCUGGAAAGGACGUCGGGAGGCCCGGGGGGGGCAUUGCAUGAUCGCGUGGGACAAGGUCUGUGCUCCUCUUCAUGUCGGCGGGCUUGGGAUUCCUAAUCUCAGGCUCUUGAACCUUGCCUUGAGAACCAAAUGGUGCUGGCUUGAGCCCACUGAGCAUUGGCGCUCAUAGCAUGACCUAGGCAUUGAUGUUCCUCCUGGUUCUAUGGAUUUAUUCGAAGCUGCUACCUCCGUAGUCUUGGGCAAUGGCAUCGACACGAGAUUCUGGUAUGAUCCUUGGCUUGUCGGUGAGCGGAUCAAGGAUUUCGCCCCGCUGAUCACCCCUGGCUUUGAUGAGGAGAUUUCGGUGGCCAAUGGACUGCUUAACAACCGGUGGGCCCGUGCGAUGGAUCCUCGAUUGACGGGUGAAGGCAUUCGGCAAUUCCUCCUCCUUUGGGACAAGGUCAGGGAGGUGGAGCUUAACUCGCAGGAGGAUUCCUUGCUUUGGAGGUGGACGAGCUCUGGCCAGUUUUCUACGCGGUCGGCUUACCUGGCGUUCUUCGAAUGACGCACGGAAAUGGUUGGCCAUGAUCUGGUUUGGGGCUCCAGAGUGCCCAGCAAGUGCAAGUUCUUCGUUUGGCUUGCUUGCCGGGGCCGGUGUUGGACUGCGGAUCUCCUCGCCCGUCGUGGCCUUGAUCACCCAGCCAGGUGCCCGCUUUGUGAUCAGGAUCCAGAGAGCAUCUCCCAUCUUCUCCUGGGCUGCUCCGUUUCUCGAUCGAUUUGGUGGCAAGUGCUGGCUCUCUGGGGCAAAUUGGAGUGGCUCCCCGGGAGGGACUCCUCCAUCCUCGAGUGGUGGCCUUCGAUUCCCCUCCUGGCAGGGAGAAGAAAGACUUUCCGAUUGCCUCCACGCUCAUCUUUUGGUCAACUUGGAAGCAUAGAAAUAGCGUCGUCUUUGAUAACGCCAGGGUGGAUGUGGUUCAGCUCCUUCGCUCCAUCGGCAAAGAGGCCGAGACUUGGUGUCGAGCUGGGUUGUUUAGGGGUAGUUCCUUCGCUGUCCUUCCGAGAGAGUGGAGAGAUAACAGCUAGUCGUGUUGUAUCCGCCCGGUGGGCAUGUAACCGCAUCGCGGUAAACUCUUCUUCUUUAAAUCAAUGAUGCACCUGCCAGGUGUAUUCUAGAAAAAUAUGAACUUGAUUGUUCCAUUCCAUUUCUGUAUGAAUAGAAUUGUUCCACUCCAUCCCGUCUUGCUCUGUAACCAAACACUACGCAACGGCCAAGGGGACAUGCCAAAAUCUAAAUAUCCAUUCGUUUUUAUCCGUGGACAAAAAAAUAGUGACUCAAUGAUAUAUGCAGUUUGAUGUCAUCAGUCCAUUUGUCUGCAGACACGUCACGUCCCAAUCGGCUAAAAACAAAAACAAAAAAUUGCGUGCGUGUGUGGACACGUAUCCAAUAGAUGGAUAGUAUGUCCAUUUGACAUUACCCCCUAGGGAAAGUGGAAUUCCUUGUAAUAAAGCUUCGCGCCUACCUCUGAUUCCUUAUGCCGGAUGUCUAAUCAAUUAGAAUUCAGUUUAAAGAGGGUCUUCGACAUCGUUGUCCUUAAUUGGAAAGAUAAGAAUAAGAAGAUUCGAUCCGUCUCUCGUACUCUUAAGAAAUAGAUGAAUCAUAUACUACACGUCCACAUAUUAUAUGUGGGUAUUGUGAAGUAUUAUGUGUUGGCGUCAUAUCCCGUGCAUCCCUCGUCUUCGUGCAUCACAGCAUCCAUUCUUUUACAGCCCUCCGAUCAAAAUCGUGCGAGUCGAACGUUUCGUGGAAACAUUUGCAAGAACAUGUCCGCCCCUGUGGUCCUGCCUCCCCCCAAAUUCCCCAAUCGUUCUAGUCUAGAACUUGAACACACUGCUCUCCCUCCAGCCCUCAUCCCCCCCCCCCCCCCCCCAGGGCCCCCCCGCGAUGAUUCGACGAUUAUUAUGACCCUGACGAUCCCCAUGAUUAAGACCCCAACAAUACCGAAAGGCGAUGACCAUCGUGUCUGUGUCGCUGUGAUGGAGAUCUGGCGUGGGCUAUUACCAGAUUUCGGCGACGGCAACUGGAGGAUAGCUAGUUCUUGUUCUUCCUGUGAUCCUGUCGUGGAUUGUUUCAGAUGCAAGUCAUUUUUUUUGGAAGAAACUAAAUGUCAAUUUGUGUUCUGAGGUGUUAUUCCUGGUUCAUACUGCAAUUUCAGAUGCACAAGCAGUUAAAUGAUUUAAAAAAUUAGAUCGCAAGCACACAUGUAUCACGUAUGCUAACACUGAAUUCAUUUUUUGUUGUGUUAUCUGAAACUCCAUGCAUGUAUCCAAGUGAACUCAGGAUCUGCAGGUGGAGAGUUUUGGGGAAACAGAGAAUUAAAGGCGAUGAUUCUCUGAAUGGCAAGUUGGGAGAACACACUCCACGUGGCAUCCUGAACUUCAGGGGAGGGAGAGCAAGCAGGUUCUCCCGGUCUCUGUCCAAGCAGACUCGUUGUCCCUGUCCGUAGUGGCCGCCGUGAGGAGAUCGAUCUCAACAUCCCUGGCCGCAGUGGUCGAUGUGGGAAAUUGGGAGUCGGGAGAGGUCUGGGGGGUUUCUGAAAAAAAUGCACGCAAGUUGGGCUAGAUGGCGGACGUGUUUUCGUAAAUUUUGACACGAAAUGUUUCAGUCACACAAUUUUAAUCGAAAGGCUAUCGAGGAAUGGAUGGACGGAUGCAGGAAGACGCAAGAUUCACACGAUACGACAUAAUGUUCCACAUCAUCAUUUAGAAAAGACAGAAAAGACAACGAAACAAGUGCAUAUAUCAUUCCUUAAUGUCGUCAACAUUUAUCCCAGGUGGCAUGGCAUCUUUGAGGCUAUUUUUUUUUAAAUAAUACAAAUUAUUUAAUCAUCUUUGAAAAUAAUACGUGUUUUUUCAGAAUUUUAAAAAAUAAUACGCCCUCAUCUGGGCCAGCCCGAUUUGCUUCAGUCGGCCUGGCCGAAGCCGAUUAGUUCCAGUUGGUCUGGACGAAACUGAUUAGUUCCAGUUGGCCUGGGCGAACCUGAUUAGUUCCAGUUGGUGUCGCCCAAGCCGAUUGAAGUAAUUAGCUUCCCCAAGCUACUUAGUUGCAUGAUCAAUGCAUGUUUAAAUGGACAUAGUUUGUGUUUCGUCCACAAACCCAGCAAUUCAACUGAAACUAAAACACAACUGAAAUUAAGAGAGCAAAUUAACAGAAUCUGGUUAUAGAACUAAGGCACGAAUGGACUGAAAUUGAAAAUUAAGAGAGCAAAUAGUUCAAUCGUGUCUUAAUUUUAGUCCAAUCAUGCCUCGAUUCUGUAACCAACUUCUGUUAAUUUGCUCUUUUAAUUUCAAUCGUGCCUUAAUUUCAGUCGAAUUGUUGGGUUUGUGGACGAAACACAAGUUACGCCCAUUUUAACAUGCAUUGAUCAUGCAACUAAGUAACUUGAGGAAGCUAAUUAGUUCCAAUCGGUUUGGGCAGCUUCGCUCAGACCAAGUCUGGAACUAAUCGGCUUGGGCCACGCCGAUCAGAACAAGGACGUAUUACUUAAAAAAAAAUGAUUAUUUAAUUCGUAUUAUUUUUAAAAAAAUAGCAUCUUUGAGAACGAGUUUGAUGGUACACGCCCCGUUACCCGACCCGAUACCCGAUCGAUGCAAGCAAUAAUUGCAGUAGCUUGUCCAUCCCCAAUCCCCCCAUCCUACUACUGCGUGCGGCGGCGGUCUCCCCUCCUCGGAAUAGAUCCACUCACUACUACCACCACGAAUCAACCAUGGAGCUCGCAACGGGGGCCAUGGGCUCCCUGCUUCCCAAGCUGAGCGAGCUCAUCACCGAGGAGUACAAGCUCCAGAAAGGCGUGAAGAAACAAAUCAAGUUCCUCAUGCUAGAGCUGGAAGCGAUGCUCGCUGCCUUGCUCAAGAUUGCGGACGUGCCGCGUGACCAGCUCGACGAGCAAACCAAGAUCUGGGCCGACGAGGUCAGGGAUCUGUCAUACACCAUGGAGGAUGUUGUCGACAGGUUCAUGCUGCCCACCAAGGGCUCUGCUCCACCCACCAAUCCAGACAGCUUUAACGAGAUCAUGAGGAAGAUGUUCAAGAGCGGCAAUACUCGCCAUCGGAUCUCCGUCGCGAUCAGAGAUAUCAAGGACCAAGUCCAAGAGGUGUCUCAACGGCAUGCUAUGUUGGAUGUCCCUGUUGCUAAUUCAGUUGCCGCAGUCACCGUCGAUCCUCGCCUGGUGGCCUUAUACGAGGAUGAAAGAGAUCCAGUUGGCUUACAAGAGCCAAGUGACGAAAUAAUCAAGAUGCUGCUGGGAGAUGGGGGUGAUGGUGUGUACACGCAGCAGCUCAAGAUACUCUCUAUUGUCGGGUUUGGGGGAAUGGGGAAAACAACUCUUGCCAAACUAGUGUACGACAGGAUCUCAAAACAAUUCGAUUGCAGAGCUUUUGUUUCUGUAGGUCGUGUUCACCAAGUGAAGAGUGUUUUCAAGGCCAUUCUCCUUCAAAUUGACGAGGAAAAGUAUACAGAUUUCGAUUCAGCAGCACUGGAUGAAGUGCAGUGUAUCUAUCAACUACGAGAGCUGCUUCAGAACAAGAGGUACGAUCCACCCACCACAGGAUUCAGUUCUCUAGCUGCAUUUUUACGGUGCUAGUCGAGGUGCACGCAUCUUGUUUUUUCGGCGGACAGUCUGGAUAAUACCAUGAUAUUCACUAAUCCAUAUCUCUUGUUUUCUCAUGACAAUAGGUACUUCAUCGUUAUCGACGAUGUAUGGGAUAUUCAGUCCUGGGAAAUAAUCAGAUGUGCUUUGACUGAUACAGAUCUCGGAAGUAUAGUAAUCACAACUACUCGGAUUUUCAGGGUGGCAGAAAUUGCUGGUGAUGUUUACCAGCUAUUACCACUUUCUGAUAGGCAUUCUGAAGAAUUGUUCUAUACAAGAUUAUUUGGUGGUAAAGUCAAACCCCCUGAUGAUCAAACAACUGAUCUAAUUCAGAAGUUCUUACAAAAAUGUGGCGGUGUACCACUAGCUAUCACUACUAUAAGUAGUUUGUUGUCCGGUAAACCAAAGGAUGAUUGGCAUAAGGUGUAUAGCAGUAUUGGUUUAAGGCUUAGCGAUGACACUACCGUGGAUAGCAUAAGACCUAUCAUCUUAUUGAGCUAUCAAGAUCUACCUCAUCGUCUAAGGGUCUGCUUAUUGCAUCUGAGCAUAUAUCCGGAAGAUUAUAUAGUCAGAAAAGAUACAUUGAUAUGGAAGUGGGUAACCGAAGGUUUUGUGCGUGAGGAACCAGGAGUAGGGCUAUUUGAGCUCGGGGAGCAAUACUUGAACGAGCUUAUAAAUAGAAGCAUGGUCCAACCCCUAGAGAACCCACAUAGUGGUGUUAUAAUUGGUUGCCGUGUCCAUGAUUUGGUGCUUGAUAUGAUCUGUUCCAUGGCAGCAGAAGAAAACUUUGUUACCGUACUGGACGAUAACAAGCAACGCACAUCUUCACGAAUUAAAGGUCGCCGGUUAGCCCUCCAAAAGAAAGUUAUAGAUGGGCAGGAUCAUCUGGAUAACACUCUCAUGUCACAUAUGAGGUCAUUUAACGCCAUCGGAUGCCAUACUAGUGUGUUGCCAUCACUGUCGAGCUUCAAAGUUUUGCGUGUCCUAGCUAUAGAAGAUUCUAUCUUUCUGGAAGGUAAUUCUUAUCAUCUAAAACACAUCGGAGUGUUGUGUCAUCUGAGAUAUCUGGGGCUAUGGAGAACCCCUAUCCAUGAGCUUCCAGAAGAAAUAGGGAAUCUACAGUUUCUGCAAAUGCUGGACCUGAGGCAAACAGGGAUACGAGAUUUGCCGUCGAGUGUUAAUCGUCUAAGGAAUCUCAGGUGCCUGCGUGCUGACAGUGGUUCCGCAAGAGUGCCUGAUGGGAUGGGGAAACUGAUAUCCCUGGAAGAGCUACAGUUGGGCGAUGUCAGCAGUUCCCCGAACUUUGUGAAAGAACUGGGCAAGCUGACAGAGUUGAGAGAGCUGAGGAUCUGGAUUCAGGUGUUAGAUGAGAGGUCCAAGAAAGCUUUGGUGGAGUCUCUUAGCAAUAUGCAGAAAAUUCAAGUUUUGCAUCUUGAUGGUGGGCUGUGGAUUGAGGAUGCCGAAUGGGAAGGCUACGUACCCCCUCGGCAACUCCGUCAUCUAAGCCUACGGAUCAAAUCAUCGAGGCUGCCGAGGUGGAUUAACCACUCGCUUCUUCCGAACCUCUCCCACUUAUCAGUGGAAGUGAUGGUUCUGGAGGCGAAUGAUCUGGUGAUCCUUGGGAUGUUCCCACAGCUCCUUACUCUCAAGCUGUUCGUGCCAAACAUCUCCCUCGAUAUCAGGGGUGCUGGUGCAUUCCCCAAGCUGAGACACUGCUACGCAUCUGGAAUGCUCCGGUUCCUACAGGGAGCCGCUCCACGCCUUGAAUCUGUCAAUUUCAAUGUCCUAUUGUGGGACUUGAAGGGUGCCAACUUUGAGUUUGGUAGCUUGGGGAACCUCCCUAUGCUUCAGAAAGUCAGAGUUGAAAUCUUCUACUCAGAUGCCCAUGGUGCUACAGAGGUGAAGGAGGCAGAGGCAGCCCUGAGGCACGCUGUCGACCUCCAUCCCAACAGUCCCCACCUUGAUAUCAGCAAAUACAAAUCGUCCUUUGAUGAGGUACAACUGUAUGCUGUCUCAGCCGGUCGUACCCAUGUGCUAAUUUUUACAAGAUUAAUACUGAUGCUUUUGUCUAUUUCAGCUGAACGCUGAGAAUGAAGAGGAGGAGGAAGAAGAUGAUGACGAGUAGGAGGAGGAGGAGGAGGAGGAGGAUGACAAAUGCUCACUGACUGUGAAUGUGAGCUAGCUGUGCUGUACAAUCCUACCCGCCUGCUGGUAUGCAGCUCAUCUGGUAUGAUCUGCACAUCAUUCUGUACAAUCCUAACCUAUCCAGUGGAUCUACACGUGCCCAAAACACAGUAGGACCUGUGCCAAACCACUUAUGAAACUAUUAGGACUAAAUCGUGCAGUUUCAAAGAAUUAGGACUAACUUGGGACCUUUACGAAAGAAUUAGGACCUCUGAUGCAUUUUACUCAAGUAGGAAAGGGUGUAGAUCCACUGGAUAGGUUCAAAUUUUGAUUAAGCUAACAAAAUAAACACUAGCAGUACUCUCUGACAAAUAGAACACUCUAGUACUCUCUAGACACUCCCCUAACACGAAUAUUAAAUAUAAAUACCAGCUGACAUCUGAAAAAAAAACUCAAUCUGGCACAGCAUCACAAUUUGAUGAUUUGCAUUACCAUAGGUACCAGUGGUCCAAGGCUAAAUAUCCUGGUCAAUCUAGAUGUAUUUACACAUAGGAUGAAACUUUAGGGUGUAGAUUCAAGCCAAGGAGGUUAAGAAUAAGUGAGAUCACUAUUCACUAGUACAGAGGUACUCCCUCCGAUCCAUAAUAAGUGUCUCAGAUUUUGUACUAACUUGUGAUGGAUCGGAGGGAGUACUAAGCAUUGCUUAUACCUUCAGUUUUUUUUCUCAAAAAAGUGGAUAACCCCCGGCCUCUGCAUCGACUGAUGCACACAGCCAUAUCUUGUACCUUUAGUAUAUAAUCAUCCUUAUAUAAUUAUGUUUCGUUUGCAGGUUGGUACUGUGAAGACUUUAACAAUCAUCCACGCGACCAGCUGCAAGUGAGACCACAUCUCAUUGAGAUUCACAUGAUUGGGAGCUUAUCUUCCUUCCCAUGUGGGAUUAGGGUUAAGCAAGACCACAUCCAAUUCCAUGCAAGACUCGUAACUGCCAAAAGAUGAUGCUCGAACUCUAUUUAUUCCACAAAUGUACUGUGCAUCUGUAAUUCUUCCCUUCUACUUGUAUGGCUGUUGUUAUUUGCUACUGUGUCAACUGGAGAACGUACCAUUGCAUCUCCAGGAUGCCACCUGCUUGUUGUAACCUUCAGUUUAUCGGUACCUUGAACGCUUUAGCUCAUGAUCAUUUUUUUUCGACAAGAGAGCUUUUAUUGAACUUAAAAGUGGCAUCAAGGAGAUACAUCAAACAAGCUCCUGAUCAUGUUAAUAAGCUUGUCAAGUUGUGAUGUACUGGUGGCUGAUUUGCCUGCUUUAAUUCUUCAUCACAGCAGUUCUGGGGAUACGGGCUUAAUCUUAACAUUAUGAAACAUCUCGACACCUUAGCCUAGGAUAUGAAACAUGUUCGCAAUUUGCACUGUAAAAUGAAUUGAUGUUUCUCGAUCUUGCAUGCAGAGCGCCCAAAGAGAGCUGUGCCAAUCUACUGUGCAACAGCAAUAACCAACCAAAAGAAUAACCUCAUGGCUAUGAAGAGUUUUGCUGAAACUGCAAAGCUGGAUCAGAUUGCUUCCACAAGCUCAUGCUGCAUUCUUUCAGCAAGAAGAAAGAAAUCAUGUCAUUUUCAAAAAAGAAGACAAAUCAUGUGCACUUUUUCCAUAAAAAAAUCAUGUGCACUAGCUGUUUCUCAUCAUUCAACAAUUAUCAUGCCCAUGGGAAGAAGAAAAAUAGCACCAAAUAUAUGUUCCUGAAUAGAUGUCAUUUUGGAAUUUCAACUGUUUAAACACAACAGAUUUGAGAAGGUCUGAAUGCAACCUUACAAGUUACAAGCACCAUUUAAAAGUAUCAUACAGAUCCAAAGAAAGACGACCAAAUACAUGACACGACAAUACACCGACAUGUAAAUUAGAAGUAGGAUACAAGCAGCAAGAAACAGAUUUCUGCUUAAGAGUUGAACUUGUAAUCGGCAGACUGGCAGAACAUCAGAUGAGUCAUACCAAUUCCAGUUAACCUUGAUACUCGUUGACAAUCAGGGCAUACUUUCUCGACGACGAGCUUUUCUUCAAAUCAUCUAGUACCGACUUUGUAAGUUUACCAGCUUUGUCAUCAACUGUUAAAAGUACAUCAUGCAGGCUGCUGAGUUUGUCCAUGCCAUGAACACCUUCCAACCUUUUGAAGCGGAGUUCAAGCCUUUCGAGCAGGGGUGUACCCUUCUUUGAGAAGUUGAGUGAUGGGAGAAGAGGUACAAAUAUGCGAAGCAGUUUGAGCUUACGGAAUCCUGCAGAUGGGACAAAGAUCUCUCCUCCAGAGUCAGACUUAUUAUUCUCGAGAACAGCUGCCAUCUCAGGAUCCUUAUUUGCUGCACUGAUUGAAAAGGUCAGGGAAAACAGUGAACCUAGAUUGCUUAGAAGCACCAAAUUAUCUGUCCGGAGAGCUGUCGCUGAAAGAGUUAAUUUGAUAAGUUCACUGAGACUCGGAAGCCAGAUAGGGAGUUUUAGCAACUUGCCAGACAGCUCAAGAGUUCUCAAAUCUGUUGGAUGGGAUGUCAUAGUGUCCAGGGUGCUGAGGAAUUCAGAUGAUUCAUCAUCAAUUAUAAGAGUUUGGAGAGAAUAGCCGCUGAGGUACUGGAUAGAGGAGAGUAAAUCUUUGAACAUCUGAUCACCUUUUUGGAGCUUGUAAAUGGCCAACUUCCUCAACCUGGUGAAAUAACCGAGGUCUGAAGCAGCACUUGAUCCCUUGACAAUCUCAAUGCCUGACAAUAUGCGUAGGCCUUUCAUUGUUCCCUUGAUAUCCUUGGGAAGUUUCAGGGUUUUCCUUGUUCUCUUAUCUCCACCAAGUAUGUUACUUAUUCGUUCCAGCUGACCAGCAGUUUUAGGCAGCUCUUGAAUCUCCGUCUGCCUUAUGUCCAGAGUUUCCAAAUACUUGAGAUUCCCGAUGUUCGAUGGUAGUUUGUUGAUAUCUGUAUCUCGGAGGCUUAGGUACUUGAGUAAAGUCAUUUCACAUAUGUCCGAGACACUGACAUGAUUCGCCUUAAAACCUUUGCAGCCUUCAAGGUCUAGUACUUGUACUAUUCCAGUCUUGAAUGACUUGAAACGUAGUUGGUCUAGGCUCCCAAACAGAGUCAGUGAUCGGACAUGGGACAAGUUCAUGCUAUCUGCUUUCUUUGCAUGUUUGGAGUCAGUACUGUGGAGGGAAAGCCUGCGGACUUUGUUGCUACGUGUUGCCAUGGACCAGUAGCCACCAAUCACAGUGACGAAAUCCUCUUCAGCUGCCUUGGACAUGAUGUACUCCAGGAUCAUGUCAUGGACUUGGCAGCUCUUCACCUUCCCAUUGCUGCUGUGCUCCACAGGCCGCAUUAUCUUCCUUUCAAUCAGCUGAUUAAAGUAUGUCUCUGCAACAUCCUCAACACUCAGACCCUGCUUCUCACUGACAAAACCUUCCGCUAUCCAUCGUCUAGUCAACCGCUUCCUGCUAAUUUCACGACCCUUAGGGAAGAUGCUUAAAUACAGAGAGCAAGUUUUGAGAUCACCAGGUAAAUCACUGUAGCAAAAAUUGAUUAUCCUCAUAAAAUCCUCCGGUUUGCGACACUUUUCUUGCUCUGGAAACAAAGAGUCGCAAACUUUAGUCCAGUCGCUCUGUUCCCACAGGGGCUUGGAUGCCACGAGACCUGCCAUUGUAACAAUGGCCAAUGGCAGGUCACCGCACAUUCCCCAAACUCUAUCAGGAAUUUUUCUCCGAUUUUGUUGAUUUGCUAUGGUACGCUUGCACUCCAACAAGCUCUUCUCAAAUAACUUUUGGGACUCAUCAUCAGAAAGAACAUUAACUGGAUAGAGAUGAUCAUCUUUGUGAGCACAACAUGUUGUGGCGACAGCUUGAAAUCGUGUAGUCACAAUUAUUCUGCUGCCUUCAUCAUUUUCUGGAAAAUACCUCUUGAUGUUCUGCCAUGUAGAUGAUGACCAGACAUCAUCAAUCAACAGUAAGUACCUGCAAAGGAAUAAGAUAAGAAAAUACAUCACACGACUAUUAGCAUAUAUUUCCACGUGGGGUUGUCUUACUCAUGCUGGUGCCUACAAAUUUGAUACUUCGCUAAAUUUAUGUCUUGCAUUGUCAUUUAUCAUUACAUGCUUUACCAUAUUGUAGAAUAAGGAAAUUAAUCUCAUGCUUAAAGUUAAGCCAUGUACAACUUUACUUAAUACUUGGAGUACCGUUGAGUUGUGAUUUGGAAGGCUACUCAUAAAAACCACAAUGAUAUUAUAUUUCUUGUGGGCAGCAUUGCGAUCUCAAAGCCCUAAGCCAUGUUCAGCAUUAUGAAAUGUGCAUCAACACCAAUUGUCCUUGUUGUCGUUUGUACUUAGUAAAGGACCCCUCGUCAAGGUACCAACAGCUUGUUGGUUUUUUGGUUUGAGUUGCUAUCUAACUGCUAACAUAGUUUUUCGUAGGGCUAAUAUAUUAAAGGAAAAUUGCCAAAAUAACAACAUAGUCGUCACUUUAAAUUUGAAAAGCACGCAUACAACUUUUUUGCCACCCGACAAGUUCCCUCCAUUUUGUAAAGUCCACCAAGUAUCCAUCUUUAAAUAUCUUUGUUAUUCAUUUUAUUCAACCCAUACUCCGCGGAUAAGUGUAGCUCCUAUAUUAAGUUGCAUGCUCAACCGCUCAAGGUUUUGAAAAGAUUACACCAACUAGACUUAUGUUGCCUCGCUCCUACAAACUUUUUCCAGGUUCUGUAAGAACUAAGAACUUGAUGGCAUAGUGUCAAAAGAAAAAUAACUAGAUGACACAAUAUUUUUCUGUAGUUUUUUUUGCUUGAUGAAGUAUAAGACUAGUAACUACGAAAUCAAUUCAAAAUAUGUUUGAAAGGUAAAAAGGAGAAAAACUGGCUGCUCACAAUACCUAUUUGUUUUGAGAUAACUCUGUAACUCUGUUUUUAUGCCUGUGUGCCUUUCCUGAUCGUCUUCUUGAUUUUGGGCCGGCAAGAUAAUUCGGCUCAAUAUGCUCCUGAGAACUGAUUUAUCCCCCGGUAUGGUGCCAGUGCUAUAUUGGCCUUUCUGCUCUUCGCUGUUGGCCUGUGGCUUGACUUGGCUAAGUAUAUUCCUGAGGAUUGCCUCAGGAUCGGAGUUCUGAGACACGGUGACCAUCGCCCGGCGCUGAAACUGAUCCCCGAAGUUUCGGUAGAGCGCCAUAGCAAUGGUGGUUUUGCCCACGCCACCGAAUCCAACAACGGACAGCACUCCCAGCUGCUUCCUGCUAUCAUCAUAGCUGAUCCACUGCUCAAGGCCAUGCAUGUCCCUCACCCCCACAGGCUCCUUGACGCCAAUGAGCUGACAGGUUGUCUGCUGAUGCUCAGCAACGAGGUACCCGGUGGCGCCGCCCAAGCUACUCUUCUUCUUGCCGGUCUCCGGGUCACGGACGCCGUACCUGCCGCGGCGCUCACCCACAUGCUGCGCCCGUUCUUUCAGUUGAGCAAUCUGGGAAGCGAUGCGGCGACGGGGAUAAUACGUCUGGAUCUCGUACAGGGUCCUGCGGAUCAUGGACCACAGGCCACCACCACGGGGGUCGGGGCGGAGGCCCUGGGCGAAGUCGUCGACGCAGUCCUCGAUGUCGUAGGAGACGUCGCGGACCUGUUUCAUCCAGUCCUCCGUCUGGUCAUCAUGGCCGUCGGUGGCGCUGUUGCUGAGGUUGCUGAGGAAGGCCUGCAUGCUGGCGAGCUCGUCGUUGAUGAACUGAAUGUCGCCGCGGACGCCACGGAUCAGGGCAUACUCCUCCGCUAGAAGGCUUCCCAGCUUGGUCAGCAGGGACUUGAUGGUGGCUUCCGAAGCACCUACAGCCAGCUCCAUCGCCUUGCCACCGACAACGGUCGAUGCAGCAACGACCGCUCCCGGUUCCCAGCUCCCACCUACCCAGUAGCUCUCCACAGAAACUGUUGGGGAAAAUUGAUGAUUUCCCCCAAAAUUUGUCUGCCUUUGAUGAUAUCCCCAAAGUUUGUCUGCUUUUGGUCUUUCCACCCCACAAGAACUUCACUACAGAAUCAAUAUUCUGCUUCUGUCCGCCCCCUUGCUCCCCUCGCUAAUUUCUGCCAUUCUUCUUCCAGAAGGUGGUGCCCUUUGUUUGCUCUCUGCUCCCAGCCUUCACCUCUCUGUUUGAAAACAGAAAACUACAACAUUUCAGUGCGCCUUUUCUCUAAUUCUUGUCACAAAAAUGGUAACAGUACUAUGUUCCAACACUUGAUCUGUUCAUGCAUAUGUAAAGAAUCUUAUUUUUAUUUGCCAAAGAUAAUUAAUAGAUUCAAACAAAUCAUCCCACAAAACCUAGGGUUCCAUUUAAUCUAGCCUAUACAUGAAGAAAGGAGUGGGGAAAAGACAGGGAGGGCUGCAGGCCUUACGUGGCUGCCGUCCACCUCCCUUGCUCGCCCGCCCGCCCGUCGUCUCGCCAGCCAGAGAGAGAUCUCGUCGUCUUCUGUCGCCCUGUGCCGGCACAGGGAUGUCAGCGCCAGACGGGAAAAGCGGAGAAAAGGAACGGGGAGCUUGCUUUACCUGCCGCCGCCGGUCAACGGGGGUCGCCGGAGCUACCGCUGGAGCAGAGACAAGAAGGGCACAAAUUAUUGAGGGGAGGAGCAAGCUCGAGCAGUGUGACAAGUCAGAUGUGAAAGAGACGUGCGAGCAGCUCAUCACUUGUUGGGAUUACCAAUUUUGUGUGGGACAUUGGGGUUUUUAACUUUAACAACAAAGGUAGUUAGUUUCAUGAAUACUACUACUGAUGAAACAAACUUUUUGCAAUUGGUUCUUUCAGAUAUUAGACCCUCCACAACGUAUCCAUGCCCGAUAUCUGACAAAAGAACGCCGCCUCAUAUCGAUGCCUAGAAAAUUCGUUGAGACACCGAUCGCACAACGUUAGUAUUUGGCCCUUGAAAAUAAUAGGACCCACGCUGAAUAAAAUAGAUCGACCGGCAACUUCUAGCUACUUCCUUCCCGCGAGUUCUUCCCGGUCGCCCGCAGGGAGAAAUGAAUCCCCUUUCUUCUCAGAGAAAGAUCCAACAAAUCUCAUACAUUUUCUCUCGUUUCUUUCCAUUUCUUCCCGAUUCAACAUCAGGUGGACUCGGACUGAGCACACGGCGGUGAGGCAGGCAGGCAGCUUGAUGCGGCGGCUCCGAUGCAGCGGUUGCGAGUCUCGGCGAGGGAGCUUGAUGUGGAGGCAACAUGCAAGUCUAUGCGGCGGCGACGAGGCAGUUCGCAGCAGCAGCUCUGAGGCAGAUCGAUACAGGGGCGAGGUGCUGGGCAAAGCCGAGGCGCGGCGUCCGGUAGCGAUGUGCGUGGCCUCCCCCCAAGUUCUGUGCGGAAGCGAUGCGCGGCGUCGGUAAGGUCCUCUAGGCGGAGCCAAGACGCGGCAGUCCGAUGUGGCUGCUCCGAGGCGGCGCGAGUCAGCUCGAUGCGGGGCGAGGUGUUGGGCGGAGUUGAGGCAGUUCUGGUUCAAGGAGGAAGACGGAGUUGGCAAUUGUGCAAAAUUAGUAUUUUAUUUGGGACAGAGUUCGGGCAUCGGAGCAACUAGUUGCUCCGGUUCCCACGAUUUUUUCUCUGGCACCGAUCGGGCAACGGAGGGCACCGAUGUCAAAUGAGCAAAAGUGAAUUUGGCAGUAGUAUUUGGCCUGCAUUGUGGAGGGCCUUAGAUCGGAAAAAAAAGUUGAGUUAGUCUUCAGAUUUGGGAGAUACCAAAAAUAGUUGGCUCGAUCAUAAGAUUUGAAAGAUACGGAAAAGCUUUGUCUCCACGGAUGGGUCCCUGCGCAAUUUAGAAAAGGUAAGAUCUCACUUUCGCAUGGAAGAACUGUUUCUAAAAUUUCAAACACUAUAUAUAAACCAGUGUCGCUAUUUAGCAUGGUCAUCUGCUUUGUGAAAUAAAGCUGGACAUUUCCAUAAUUUUAGCCAAUGUCUAUGCAGUUUGAUUUCAAUUUGCAUAAUGUUGUAUACUUCUGUACAUUUAUCUUAGCCAUCAGCUGGAGAGAAGCUCUCUUUGUUAGGUGCUCAGCUUUAUUUUUAUGUGGGAUCUGACAUGCAAGCUUUUCUUCACGUGACCUUCUCUUCCAAGUACUCCGCUGGAAUAUACUCCCUCGUUUCAUAAUUCUUGUCGAAAUCUUACAUGUAUCUAAACACAUUUUAAAAAUAAAUACAUUUAUUUUUGGUAAAUUUGAGAUAAAAUUAUGAAACGUAGGGAGUAGCAUUUUUUUUUGCAUUGAACGAUCUUAUUACUUAUGUUGUUUAAAUCCACAUGCUGUACUGCUUGCUCAUAUUUAUACUUCUGUAAUGGUAAAUCUGGAUCUGGUGACAAGUUUACUUGGGAAUAAAUGCAAGGUUAGGUUUAUAUUUACCUGUCCCGCAGCUUUUGGCCGUAUAAUUUCUUUACAGUGUGCCUUUUGACCAUGUCAUGCUGGCUCAUCAGCAAGAACCGAUAUUGACAGGCACACAUGGAAAGUCAUACGCUCUCACACAGAACCUUGUUUUUACCUGACACACUGCCUGCGUUAACUUACCACGAUAUUUUAUUUCUCUCUACAUGUAAACAACAAGAAAUUAUUGUACAUCAUCACGACGUUUUAUUGCUCAUCACAUGUAAACAACAAGAGCCUGCAUCACUGCCUUCCAGCUUCCUAUCAACUCUAGCCAGCAGAUCAAACAAAGUCUUCGAAAAAACUGUGAUUAUGCAUCCACAUCUCUAUACAAGAGGUUAAGAAAACUGCUGACUUUUAACCCUUCAUUCACUUACUUUUCUGUUCCAUAUACAGAAGAUUAAAGAUCGCAUGUUUAUCCAUUUAUCGCAGGACUAGUACUUAACACAGUUCGACUUAAAUUGCGCCAAUGGCAAUGAAUUCACCGUGAAGACGGCGUAAGUUCAACAUUUGCGGCAGAUCCUUGGUUCAAGCCACCAGUAAUUUACAUAUUAGUGGCGUGUGUCCGUGGCAUGGCACUAGUAUAUUACCAAAAAUACUAGUAACAAAAACACCAGUGGUGAGUAAAUAUAGGGUCACACCAUUAACAUAAUUUUUAAAAUUUAAAAAAAGGUGCUGCUAUUAUUGAAUUCAACAACAAUGUCAUAUGACACGCCGGUAAUCCAGAUAACAGAACAGUAAAAUUAACAUCAUCCAUGCCAUUAUUGAAUUUGGUCCGGGUCAGGCAUAUUACUCGUUGUGGAUGAUAACAUAUUAAUGGGGUCACGGUCUUCAGAGUCUUCAUGAUCUGAGUAGUCGCGGUACUUGUAGAAGAAAUAGAUGGUGUCAAAAGCAUGGUUGAGAUAGAAUUUGCAUCUCCCCCCAGCUUCCAGCCCAUAAACAUUUGCAAGUUGUGUCCAACGAGGGCAACCAAAAUAGCUUCGGUCUGCCUCGUUGGUGACUUGAACCCUGUAGGUCCUGGUGGGCACUGUCAUCUGGACCAGGGUGACCUCAAACGAUCCCUGGUGACGAAUGUCUCUCUUGACAUGGUCCAUGAAGUCACGCCUUGCGCUGCAGGGAAUGGGCUGAGCAAAAUUAUAAGAAAACAACAAUUAGCUGGGCGCAACUAUGAAAAACUCAGUCACAACAUACAUGUUGAAUUGAAACAUACGUACCGUCCUAAUUUCACAGUUCUCGGGGAGCAGUAUCACAAACUUCUUAUUCUUGCACACGGCAUAGCCACAUUUGGCGCACGCGGGGAAAAUGUGCCGCAUGAUCCUGUUACUGAUGUUUAAUGUGCAACUAAGAAAUAAUUUCACACAAUUUGCAUCUAUGUGCCUAAAUCAACUGCAGUAAAUCUAAAUCAAACUACACUAUAACUAAAUCUAAAUCAACUACACUAUAACUAACUCUAAAUCAACUACACUAUACAUCUAUGCCUAAUAAGAAAAUCAAAAGCGUUUCUCUCUUCGUUCAUCGUCUGAGCGCCUUUGUAUUUCUUUGUAAGUAGUGUUUAGUUGUAGAGCAACGUGGAAUGGAAUAGAAUGGUUAUAUUCUUAUAGGCUAGAAUGGAAUGAACGGUUCUAGUUUUCUAUAUUAAUUCUAGAAACCAAACACCUCGAAUCACUGGUUCCACUUGGAACCAAAUGUUUCUUACGUUUUGAGUUACCACAUGGUUAAGAUUGUUUAGCCAUAGGAUGCGAGAUUGAAAUGGCUCAGCCCCUUCAGGGGUGGAACUACCAAUAUGGCAUGCUAUGGCUAUGCCACACCUCUGCUUUCGGUAUUCUAUAUAUUUGACUUAGUUUUGAUGCAAGUUAGCAGAUCAGGCCGCUACUGCACACACUCUUCAGAUCGUGCCAAACCCAACAUACUCCUAGGUGCAGUUACCUCCUGUUGAAUGUUCUACCAUAUUGUAGUAUAUAUUCUACUUUAUCAUUUUUAAUAAAUUCAUAUGCAAUGUGUAAGAUACUCCAAUGCGAACUACAAGAAAAAAAUUACAAGUUGGAACGUAGUUUUUACUACAUUUUAGAAAUACCUUCAGAUUUGUACACACGGUAUGGCUAAAAAAAAACUACAUAUUCUAACUACAAAUUCAAUUCCUAUUCGUUCUAUUGGUGGCCCUAAAUAUUGACCAUAGGUACGUCCCUGUAUUUGUCCACUGGACAAAGAGCCGAUUUUGGUAUUUGUUGAAUGCAAGAUAUUGUGUAUACACUAUCAGGAACAGAAGAAGGUGAUGAUGUGGGAAGUAGGAAGAUUCCUUUUUUUUUUCUCAAUCCACCCCCUUCUUCCCCAGCCCCAUGUCGACCUCGGAUGAAUUUGAUGAAAAUCCUUCCCUGACGAUUAGUUUGUCUUCUUCUUCUCUGACCUGAGGGAGGUGAAGACCUUUGCGGAUGUGGUGCAUGCGGUGGAGAUGACGGCGCAUGGCUCUAUUGGCACUGGCGCAUAUACCAAGUGGCCGGGCUAAAUUGGCGGGCAUAGGAGGCAGGUUGUGGAACUGGCUAGUUUCUGUGACACACCUUAGCCGUACUAACGUGAACUUACUUUGUAUGCCUCUGCGGCAUAGAUUUUUCUCUCCCGUUGCAACACACAUGCAUGUUUGCUCAUAAAUUAAAAAGAGAGGAAUUGGACGGCUCACCUUGGGGUCGAAGGAGACGUGGCGCGGGCGGAGACGGAGACGGAGAUGUAGCACGCCGAGAGGGUCGACGCGGUCACAACGGCGGUCUUUGACGGUGGGAGGAGAGGAGGAAGGGGCGGCAACGGCCCGAGAGGAUAGGAAGAGGAAGAGAGGGAGGGCGGUGGCGCGAGUGGGAAAAAAGGGUUUUGGCCGGGGAGGGGGACGCACGGUGGUCUUAUGAUGUUUGCCUCAGGGGUGGGCUGGGCUGCACUAUUGGUAAGGCCCACUAGCCCACGCCACAUGCCACGGGGUAGGCUGGCCGGCACUGGCUAGUGGCGUAACUAGUUUUGCCCACCCAUGGUACUAGUGUGCUCAAAUGUACCACGCCACUAGUGAUAUGCUCCGGGCCAAGACAAUUGGGACCACAAACCAGCAGUGUGUCCCGUCCACAAGCGCGCAACUGCUAUCAACUUACAUGUGGCAUAUGGAAAGUUUCACACAACUGGUAAUACUAGUGACGCGGAGUUAUAGUCAUGCGCCACUAAUAACGUGUCUCUAUUAGCGGUUUCCUACUAGCUUCAUCUCAAAUGCAGUACUUUUGUUAGACAGAGAGUUUGCCUCAUAAACAGCACAUAUGGUAGAUCAACGAUCACUACAAAUUGGACACAUUCUAUAUAAGCGGCUCAGAUAAAACAAGGGGAGAUCCUUGCCUUUGUGUUCGCUGUUCGCACCAUGUCGCGCGUCGUCCUAAAAACAUGGCCUCAGGUGCUGUUGCUGAAGGAAACAGAUCACUGUGACGUCAAAAUGAGCUGGAUUUGAUUUUUUGUACUGCUUGUUGGAAAAUACGAUGCAGGAAAUAUUGAUUCUAGAAGAGGCACGGCCCAGCCUCUAGCAUGCUGCAAAAGGAUCAAGCUUGCUCCCUUUGCACUACAUAUAUCUUACAAAAUACAGAGUGUCUUUUUUUUCUUUUUUCUUUUUUUGCAGAAAGGAGCUUGAUAAGGCAAAACAAAAUGGGCAUGUAAGAGGGAAUUGACACCUACUUGAUGAUCUGAGAUGCAGAACUUAUUCUUGUCCGGCGCCACAAAACGAAGAACAAAACAAUUCAUCACCAUAAAAAUGUGCAGUGUGUAUUAAUGCUGCCAAUGACAGAUCUCGAGGAUAGAAUGGAACACGGCAAACGAAUCGGGACCAAGUGUCGCCGUGGAACUGCAAGCUCAGGCAUCUGCCGGUACUCAGUAGCCUUAUCCUGCAACUGCAACAGAGGUUCAGACAACUUUGGUUCUCGACUAUUCAUCUCAACUUUUGUACUUCUUCCGUAACAUAAUUGUUAGUCUCAAAUUUGUUUCAAAAUGGACGUAUUUAUUGCUAAAAAAUUUAGAUACAUGUAAUAUUUCAACAAGAAUUAUACGAAAACUCUCGUGGAGCUCUCUAUUUGUUUUUUUAAGUCCUGGAGCUCUCGUAUAACGGCGCGUGCGCGGCAUCGUCCAGUACCGGCUGAGCGUAACGGCCGGGCGAUAUCCCCAGUCGGGGCCUAUUGGGCCUGGCACCUGACGCGGAGGCCAUGAGCCUAUUUGGCAUCCCCUGUUGGCGGGAAAUGUUCUCGAGUUCUUCCCCACGCGCGCCAUUUCCCAUCAAACGCCCCGAGGCCGAGGGUUCAAUCUCUCUGUCUCCCAAGCGCAAGUCCCCGGAAAUCUAGGCGAACCAGCCCAAGCCCAAGCUCAAAUCCGGCGAUGGCUCCCAAGCGCAAGUCUCCGGCUGCGGCGGCUAAGGCGCCGGCGAUGUCGCCGAGGAAGACGCGGAGCAUGGCCGCCGGGAAGCGGGGCGCGGUGGCGCCGGCCAAGGAGGAGGGGGAGGCUGAGGCGGUGCCGGUGCAAGCGGCGACUGCGCUGAAAGGGUGGAAGAAGGAGGUGGCGGCGGCGGCGGUGGAGAAGGAGGAUGCAGAUGCGGUGCCGGUGCAGCCUGCCGCGAAGCAGAAGGGGAGGAAGAAGGCCAAGAAGGAGGUCGCGGCUGCGGUGGCGGAGGAGGAUGAGGGUGCUUCCGUGCAAGACGGGAAGCGCGUCGUCGUGGAAGCUUGGUGAGUUCGUUCGCGUGACGGUUACAGGUUUUACCUCUUGGGAUUCUGGACGAAUUUAAGGAAUUUAGGGUUCGAUUUAGUGGGGUUUUGGGUAUGAUUAAUAAUAAUUGAUAAAAGAGGCGAAGUUUUAAGAUUGUUUUGUAGAUUAGAUUGGGGCAAAAGGUGCCAAUUUUGGGGUGUAAGAUGAACUGACUGAACUGUAGUAGGUAUCCGAUCUAUUGGGGUUUACCUGAAGCAGGUAUCUGACUUUCUGUUUGCAAGUGUUGAGUGAUGCAUGAAUCAUGAUCAAUUGAAGUAGGUAUAGCAUGUGCUCCAACUUGUAAAGAAAUCCAACAGGAGUCGCAAGCUGCAAACCACGACUAAAAAUUAGUUCCAUCCAGUAGUUUCCAUCUUCAAGUUGGAGCCUGGGUGUCGAUUAAGCUGCCCUGGAGAAUCACCGAUAUUUCAAGGGUAACGCACCUGCUGAAAUAGUACCAUUUCCUUUUGUGGACCUAAAAUUUGCUCUCCAGCGGAGUUUGAAGGUUUGCAAGAUUAAAUUAUUUUGGGUAACUAGAGAUGUAGAGAACCUCAUUUGCACAAUAUUUAUUCGCACCUCUUUUCCAUUUUGGAAAUUAACAAAUGGGAAACUACUAGGAACAAGCAAAACAUGUUAUUUAUUGUUUGCUGGAGAUAAGAGUUACUUUUUCUUAUGAUUACUUAUGUAGGAAACUUGGAGUUUUUUGUUACAUAAACGCCGAACAUUGUUCUGCACUGUAAAUUUCAAAAUGUUUCAGAGAUGACCCCAUUUGAUGCAAACUUAUUUCUUCAUUGCACAUAUGAAAGUACUAUUUGAAUCUACCUGGCAAGUUGAAUGCUCUGCAGCCCAUCCCUUUGUAAACUUGAUAUGAUCUUGUAUUUGUUUUGUCAACUCUGGCUGGAAUUAUGGUUGUAGUUUCCUCUUACCACUUUCUUGUUUGUUCAACUCUCCAGCACCCAAUGCCAGCACUUUAAGAAAAGAGCUUUGAAGGUGAAGGAGGAUUUGGAAAGUGCUGUCCCCGGGCUUUCUGUGAUAAUCAACCCUGAAAAGGUAUCUCCAGUGUGUUACUUCUUCAUAAUCAUCAUGAACUUCACCAUGCCAUGAUUGACAUUUUGUUUUUGCAUCUCAUGCUUUUCUUGAUCGUCACCCUUUUUACUGCCUCAUUCUCAGCCACGCCGUGGGUGUCUUGAGAUACGUGAGGAAGGCGGUGAAGUCUUCAUAUCACUGCUGGUAAUCUCACUCAUCAUCCAUGGGAUUCUUAAUCACAUAGCAGUACUCAGUUAGCUAUAAUCAUACUUUUAUUUUGCCAAAAGCUUACUUUUGAUUCAUACUCGUUACAAUUCCGUUUGAUUGUUUCAUAGUACUAGGCAACAUUUCAACCAGAUCCAUAAUAUAUGUGUUGCUUCAGUUGCAAAAUCAAACUCUCUGCAUUAUACUGAUAAUUGAGGCCUAUCAACAUGCGUGUUUUCUUACAUUGGUUUCUUGCCGCCAUUCUAAUUAAUAUUACUGCAUUGGUUCAAGAUGCGGGGUGACUUUGCAAUUUGAUUUAAGUAACAUGCUGAAAUUGACGUGCAGAACAUGCCUCGGCCCUUCACAGCGAUGAAGAAGCUUGACAUGGACGAGGUCAUCCAGGACAUUGUCAAGAAGAUUUCCUGAAUCUGAUCAGGCAUUCAUGAUUGGAGGCCCCCCUUUUGCGAUGGAAAACAUGAGCGUUCAGGGCUAAUUUUGGGUAGGAACUUGAUAUCACAGUGGCCAUAAAAUGUGGAAUCACUGGUCUGUUAAUUAUGCAUCUGAUGUAGCCGAGACAUGUCGAAUUAAUCGAAGUGGCAAAUGGAUAUUAAUGCUCAAUAGUCCAUGUUCUAGAUGUGUGAUCUUGUAUGUGCUUUCUGUGCUGAUCAUGGCCUUGGCUGUUUCCUCAUUUUGGAUUACUUAGCUGUUCUAUGUUUACUUAGAAGUCCCCAUCAGCCUGAAUUGCUGUGCUCAUCUUGGUAAGAGAUAAUCAAAUAACAGCUUAGCACUUUAGCAGUCAUCUCUGUUCUUCUAUGUAACCAUUUCACAAGGUACAACUCUAAAUUUCCAGGCGUGUCAAAUCAGUUCAUCUGUUGCACAAAUGAGACAGCCAUAUAUGUUCUUUGCUCAAUAGCGACAGCGAUCGACUAAAGAUGGCCUGUGCAGACGGCAUCAGCAUGAAUAGCUGGUAUGGAUGUACGAUUGAAUGAUUGCCAUAAACUUAUAGGACUAUGUUUGCAAAAUUUUCAGAUUGCAUCAACUGAAGGGUUAGAAAUUACAUUAUGAAUUUCAUGACACAUAAAAGCUCACCCCUCGUUUAUACAAUACAAACCACACAGUAGUACUAUUUGACAAAGAGAUGAACCGAAAAUUAAAAAAUGUUGGAACAUUUGAUCCAUGUUGUGCAGCUCGCAUUAUGCUUUGGCUCCAUUGCCAGGGCUGCUCUGCAUUAAUGCAUAACUGAAGAUGAACAAGGCUGGCUAGCUUCACUUCCACCUGCUCACAUCAAUAUUUAAAGUAUAUCAGUUUCACCGGAUAUAUAUAGGACCAUGCAGCUGGGUUUAACUUAUCGACAUUUUACAUUUCAUCAGAGCAGUUUGACAUAUCAACUAAUCAUGCAGUCUGUCGAAUGGAUCAUCAAAGCGAUCGCCAAUAAUACAAAAGGAAAUACAUGUGUACGUGGAAGUAUUGGUUAACAGCUAAUGUUUUGCUUAGCAAAUUGCUAAGAGGUGUAUCAACUUACUUUCUAUCCGAGUAAUUUUACAUAUCACCGAAGGAGUCAAGUACCAAGAAUGAAAUUAGAAGAUGUGGCAGAAAAACAAUAAUACCAAAUUAGAAGAGUGCAAGGACGAUCUAAUUACCAGCAGGCUAGCACCGCUUCUCUUCCCGUGCUUCGCAUUUUGCUCUAUACCCUGAGCCGGGUGAAGCAAAUAUUUCCUGUUGCUCCUCUGGGUCAACAAAACAAAUGAAGAAUGGAAUCAGCAUGAGGAAGUAAAUUGAAGAAACAAUAUGUGGACAGGGCAUUCUAACAGAUAAUGGAGAGACUUAGAGUAGAAGAUGUAGCUCGAAGCAGUCGUGUUAACUUACCUUCAGAUUGAGAUGAUAUGCUGGUUAAUAAGUGCUGGGACAGUAUAUCCCUCAUCCUGACAGCGUCUUCAUCUGCUAACUGGCGCACUUGAUCGCUGUAAUUCACCUCCCGGUCACUGAGCAUGCCUGCACCCUCUUCCAUGUCUAUCACUAUGUUAUGCAACCUGCAGCACACGCUGAUUGCUCUGGUCAUCUCGCUUGGAUUGUCCGGGCGCCACUCGCUGUGCAUGAUCUUCCAUGUGCUUUCGAACCUUGCCAUCGCCUUCAGCGCGAUGUUUCUAGCUGCAGAGUGUCUCCUGUUGAACUCGGCUUGAUAAGAAGAAAUAUUUGGGAGGUCAUUCUGUAGCUCAUCAUAAGGUGUGAGCAGCCAGGGCCGAAGAGGAUAUCCUACAUCACCAAUUACGUAUUCCCCAACUUCUUCUGAUGAUACCUUGAGCUUGUUGCCAUUCAGCCAUGCACCCUUCUCGCACUCCUUGAAGAGCAUAGAGUCAUGCAAAAAGCUCAACUGGUUCGUGUUACCUACCCGCAGUCCCACCAAAAUGCUUGUGAACCUCAUAUCUGGACCGACGACGCCUUGAAAUACAAUGCUGUCCUUGUCCUGAUGGUCCCAGCUUCUUGACACAGAUGUGAUAUGAGUUGUAUGCAAAACGCCGCAGCAGUUUGGCAGGCCAUGGAUCUCGUCAAACUUGGAUUUUAUCUUCUCAAUUUCAUCAGAUUGUGGCCAGCGUAGAUGGCGCUUUGCUCUCUCCAACAUGGCACCAGCAAAACUCUUGGUUACCAUCGACACGGUUGACUCGUCCACUCCAAUAAAGGAUCCUACAAUUGCAGGUGAGUCGCCAGAGUUGAGCAUUAUCAGAGCGAUGGCUACUCGCUCCUCUAAAGAAAAGAACCUCACAUAAAAAAGGAAGUAGUUGUUCAUAAUUUCCAAAGACGAUUCCUUCAGCAAGCUGCAGACGUAGUCAAAGGUUCUUCUAGGCAUUUUCAACACUGACUUGAGUGUUUGUGCAUCCUCCAAAAUACUAAGGGUUCCUGAAGAAGAUGCAAAAGUGGAACAUAAAUUUCAAUGCAACAACUCAGCUGCGACAGUGUUAAAAUUUCAUCCACAAAUUCAAAAAAAAGUAUUGUUCGACAACCCAUACAACAGAUAGAGAUCAGUUCGAUUUAGACUCUAUCCUAAAACUGUAGCUAGGUGUGAGUGAUCGUUUGUUAAAACUGUAGUAAGUAAUCGUUUUGUUUUGAUCAACUUUAGGUGUCAGAUCAGACACGUAAAAGAGGAGGCCAUCCGACAAAAGAUAGAGAUCAGUUCAAUUAAGACUCUAUCCUAAAAAAAAAGUUUAAAUUAGACUCACUGAAGACAAUAUAUACGGGCAUUGAGUAAAUUGCGAAAAAACACAUAUCCAGCGGAUUGAGUAAUCCACCAACCCAAGUAAUUUUAACUGAUACCCACGGGCACAAAACUAUUGACUAACAAAACACCCAAAACUUGCAGCUUUGGCGAAGUUCCCACAUGUCAUAGUCACGAGCCAUUUUUUGGCUUGAUUCUUCCUCCCGACCCGCUGGAGCCGCAUCUUGAGGCGAGCCGCUCACAUCUACAUCCUCCGGCGGGUUCAGCGGCAGAUUCAAGUUGACGAACGCGCAGGACAGUGAACCUGCCGAGGAGGUUGCGGUGGAAGAAGCGGGCGGGUUCCGACCUCGACCGCGAACUCCAUCCUCCGCCCAGCGGAUCCCAUCCGCGCCGGCUCUCUACGACGCCUCUAGCCUCUCGCCGUGGGAAACUGCUGCGGUGCGCCGUCAUCGUCGCAGGGCGGCAGGAAGAAUAUGCGGAGGCAGAAGGCGAACCCCUUCACCGUCGCGUACAACCGGGGUGGGCUCAUGGGGCAGUUCCUGUUUGGGUAGGGGGCUCAGGUGGCGGUUGCUGCUCGGGGAGGUGGGCUCCUGUCGCCGCCGGUGCUGGAGGAAGGGGGCGAGCAGGAGGGAGGAUUGAAGAGAAGACCUGGCGGCGAAUUUUGCCGGCAAAUGGAUACGGCUCGGCUUCCAUUGAACUUGGUCAACAAACCAGGCUCGUGCCUAUAUGACAGGUGGGCCAGGAUCAUCAACUUGGCCAAAUCUGCGAUUUUCGGGUGUUUUGUUACUCAUUAGUGUUGGACUUGUGGUCUGUUUAGGUGGGCGUGAGAUUACCUUUUAACCUCCUGCGUUGGUACCUCGCCUUGAUCGCUGGCCAUUCACGUGAUGGUACAUGGAGGUACCGUCCAUCUGCAGCCGUUAGAUUUGAAGACAUGGACGGUUGCAAAAAUAUCAAGCACCGGAGAACUUCCCAAAAAACAAAGUGUGGUGGCACGAUCUACUGCUGAAGCAGAGUUUAGGUCCACGGCUUCGGGAUUGUGUGAAUUGAUGUGGCUGACGAUAUUAUUAUCUGAACUCAAGCUGUUUGAUGGUGGACCACUGGAACUCAAUUGUGACAACCAAGCUGCAGUCAAUCCAGUCAUAGGGCUAAACAUGUUGAAAUUGAUAGAUACUUUAUAAAAAGAAAAGACAGAUGAGGGAACUCUCCAAGUUAACUUUGUUAGAUCUGAAAAUCAAAUUGCUGAUGUGUUGACAAAAGGUGUUAGGGCCAGUUGUUAAGGCUUCCUUGACCGGCUCCUCUGAAAAGCUGCCCUCCCCAGCUUCAUGAAGUAGUCGACAACUAAAUUUGAUUAGUCUUUGGCCUAAACUACUUUGAAAAUCUAUCUAAAUUUAGGAUGCGGCUUCUCCAGGAAGAUAGGUCCCGCCCAAGCAAUCCCGCUUCAAACCAACCAAAUCCAUGUCCUCCUGCCAGACAAUACAUUUUUCCCCGCGCACGCGACGGUGCAUUUCGCACCAUGUCGGCGGUGCAUUCCGCACCAUGUCGGCGGUGCAUUCCGCACCGGCAGUGCAUUGCGUGCCGGCGGUGCAUUUGUACCCGCGCCGGCAGUGCAUCACGCGCCGCUACUGGUGCACCCAUGCACCGCCAUCGGGGUAGGCAGUGCAUUCGUCGGAGCGCCGCCCGUGCACCGGUGCACUGCCGCCGGACCAUCACCGGUGCACUGGUGCACCUCGCACCGGCGCUUUCGCAGGACAGUGCACUUCGAAAUCAAUGACGAAUUGCGCCACCACGGCGCUGCUCCUCGCCGCCGCCGGUCGACGGCAGACCCCCGCCGGUGCGCCGCCGUCACCCCUCGCUCGCCGGCGGUGCGUCACGAUCUGCCGCCGCGCGGCCUCCUAAUGGUGCGCGCGGCCUAUAGGAGAGCCGGUUGCAGAAUAUACUAUACACACACAUGUUACUAGCUGCUCGUGGUACACGGUGCAACAUCGCUCAACGUGAAAUUUCUAAUUAGCAUGAUGACACUAAAAAACAAACUAAAAAGCCAGUAAUUGUAACAGAACCAAUUAAGAAGAGGGAGCGCAGUUGUGUUUCUUUACCUCCGGAUUCCAAUGGUUUGCUGGUCAACGACAACAUAUCCCUCGUUGCGACCGUGUCCUCAUCUGCUAACUGGCGUACUUGCUGGCUACGGUUCAUCUUCUGAUACUUUACUGUGCCUGCCUUACACUCCAUGUCUACCACUAUAUUAUGCAAUAUGUAACAUGCUUGGAUUGCCCGAGAAAGCUCAAGCUGAUUUUUUGGACGUCAACUCUCCGCGCAGGAUCUUCCAUGUGUCUUUCAACCUUGCUACAGAACUCGACACAACUAUUGUAGCUUCUGAGUGUCUCCUAUUGAACUCCACUCGACCAUCUGAGAGGUCAUUCUCCAACUGGUACGGUGUGAGCAGCCAGGGAAGAAGAGGAAAUGCUCCAUCACCAAUUAUGUAUUCUGCAACUUGCCAUCCAUUCAGCUUGCUACCAUUCAACCAAUUACCCUUCUCGCACUCCUUGAAGAGCCUAGAAUCCUUCAAAAUGCUUGACUCAUUCUUGUUGUCUAGCGACCCCAACCAAAUUUCUCUGAACUUCAUGUCUGUAGCAACUACAAGUUGGAUUAGCCUGCCGGCAUUCACCUCAUGAUCACUGUUUUCUGAUCCAAAUGUGAAGUAAGCUGUAUGUACAACACCACAGCAGUUUGGCAGCCGUGAAUGUUGUCAAACUUGUACUUGAUCUUCUCUAUUUCGCUGGAGUCUGGCCACCAUAAGUGGUGCGAAGCUCGCUGCCACAUAACAUCUGCAAACGUCUGGGUGAUCAGCGAGAUGGUUGCCUCGUUCACACCAAUAGAGGAUCCUAAGGUUGCAGCUGGGUUGCCAGAGUUGAGCAUUAUCAACGCAAUGGCUACUCUAUCUUCUAAAGAAAAGAACCUUAUAUCGAAAAAAAAGUAGAUGUUCAUAAUUCCCAAAGACAAUUCCUUCAGCAAGCUGCAGAUAUAGUCAAAGGUUCUUCUUUGCAUUUUCAACACAGAUUCGAUUAGUUGUGCAUCUUCAAAAAUAUCCAGGGUUCCUGCACGAGAAGAGGAUGCAAAAGUGGUUUCACAAUCCAUAACUUGAAGUCAAGAGCUGACUUGUCACAGGGUUAAAAUUGCAUCCAUAAAUUCAAAAGUAAUUGGUCGACAACAGAUACAGCAACUAGUAAUUGCUAAAACUGAAGUAAAUAUUCAUUCUUUUUUUUAACGAACUUUAGGUGUCAGAUCACACACCUAAAAGAGGAGGCCAUCCGGCCGGUUGCACACCAUAUAUCAGUUUCAAUUAAAUACAGUGACGACAAUAUAUACCUGCGCUACCUCAUGCACACAUAUGGCAAAUACUCAUUUAUUGUGUGUCUCUUGCUCCAAACUGCCGGACUCUCAAUAGCGGAAGAUCAUAUAACAUCCCACACGACACAUAUGCAUAUAUUUGUGCAUCUAUUGAAUAUGGAAAUUAGAUCAACUUCAUGCAAGAUCAAGAUUCGCCUUUAUGCACACAUGCAUGGUAAUUUUGGUUACAUAUAUAUACAUCUAAAAUUCUAUUACUAAAGAAUAAGGUGUCAUCACUCACGAUGUAGCUCGGCUUUGACAACCGGCAGUAAAUGAACCAUUCACACCAGGUGACCUGUUCACAAAGUUAAUUAACGUUGUUCUACGGUCGAGGUACUCUAUAAAAAUAUCAUUGCUCCAAGUGACGUCAACAGGGUUGUCAAGUUUCUUCUAGAACUUGUUGGUACCAGAAGAAAAAUCUAACAGACACAGAAACCAACCGAAUUAAGAUGCAGCAAUAUUAGUACUAAUUAAUUUACCUCCAGAUUCCGACGGUUUUCUAGUCAAGUGUUGCGACAAUAUAUCCCUUGCUGCUACUGCAUCCUCAUCUGCUAACUGGUGAACUUCCUGGCAAAGCUGCAUCUUGCGAUAGCUCGCUAUGCCUGCCUUACACUCCAUUUGUAUCACUAUAUUAUGCAAUGUGAAGCAUUCUAUGAUUGCCCGAGAAAGCUCAAGGUGAUUGUUUGGACACCAACUCUCUCCGUGCAGGAACUUCCACGUGUCUUUCAACCUUCCUACAGCCCUCGACACAACUGUCGUGGCUUCCGAGUGUUUCCUAUUGAACUUCAGUCGACAAUCUGAGAGGUCAUUCUCCAACUGGUAUGGUGUGAGCAGCCAGGGAAGAAGAGGAAAUGCUCCAUCACCAAUUAUGUAUUCUCCAACUUGCCAUCCAUCCGAUAAAUUCAGCUUGCUACCAUUCAACCAAUUACCCUUCUCGCACUCCUUGAAGAGCCUCGAAUCCUGCAAAAUGCUUGACUCGUUCGUGCUGUCUGGCGGCCCCAACCAAAUUUCUGUGAACCUCAUGUCUGUACCAACAACAACUUGGACUGGCCAGCCGUCAUUCACCUCAUGAUCACAGUUUAGUGAUCCGAAUGUGAAGUGAGCUGUAUGUACAACACCGCAGCAGUUUGGCAGGCCGUGAAUCUUGUCAAACUUGUACUUGAUCUUCUCAAUUUCGCCAGAGUCUGGCCAGCACACGUGUGAAGCUUGCUGCCACAUAACAUCUGCAAACGUCCGAGUUAUCAGCAAGACGGUGCCUCGUUCACACCAAUAGAGGAUCCUACGGUUGCAGGUGGGUUGCCAGAGUUGAGCAUUAUCAGCGCAAUGGCUACUCGAUCUUCUAAAGAAAAGCACCUCAGAUCAAAAAAGAAGUAGCUGUUCAUAAUUUCCAAAGACGAUUCCUUCAGCAAGCUGCAGACAUAGUCAAAGGUUUUUCUUGGCAUUUUCAACACAGACUCAAGUGUUUGUGCAUUCUCAAAAAUUGCCAGGGUUCCUGCGCAAGAAGAAGAUGCAGAAGUGCUGUCACAAUCGAUAACUUGAUGGCAAGAGCUCAGCUGUGAGAGUGUUAAAACUGCAUCCACCAAUUCAGAGACUAGUACCGAUCGGCAACCCAGGCCAUACAACACAACAGGUACAUACUUUUCUGUUUUAACCACAAUAUAAAAGAGGAAGCCGUCCGGCAGGUCACACACCAUAUUCGUGCACUACCUCAUGUAUUCAUAUGGCACAUACUCAUUUCGUGUCUGUUGCUCCAAUCGUCCAGAUUCUAUAGAUAUAUGAUAAUAUAAUAUAACACGAACCAAACAUUUAAAUAUGGAAUUAGGAUCAAUGUGGUUUGUCAGAAUUUUUUUGAUCAAUGUGCAUGUGUGAUAGACUCCUUUCUCCAGACAUGCAUGGUAAUUUUGGUUACACAUAUGUACAUCUAAAACUUUGUUCCUACACACACAUGCGCAUAUGUUUUUUUGAGAUUGACAAUGUGUAUAUGUACAUCUAAAGCUUAUUAAAGAACAAGGGGUCAUCAGACACAGUGUAGCUCGGCUUUGACAACUGGCAAUAAAUGAACCAUGCACACCAGGUGGUCUGUUCACAAAGUUAAGUAACGUUGUUCUAUGGUCGAUGUACUCCAUACAAAUAUCAUUGCUGCAAGCAACGACAGCAAGGUUGUACAUUUUUUAUUAUUUGAUAUUGUUUCUGUUAGAACAACUAGCAUAACAAACAAGGCAUUUGCGUGGCUAGAUUUAUUUGAUAUUGUUAUGCUCCCUCUGAUUCAUAUUACUUGUCUCAAACUUGUCCAAAUAUAAAUGUUUCUAUGUUUAAAAAGCGUCUAGAUACAUGUAAUAUUUCGACAAGUAAUAUGGAUCGGAGGGAGUAUUUUGAUGUUCUGUCCUGUCGGCUGGGACACAAUAACGAGUUAUAAUUCAAUUUAAUUUGCAGCUACACUCACAAUGAUAUAUCAAUCAUAGUAUUGAAAAAUUCAAUAACCACAUUUUGAAAAAAGACAUAAAUCUUUUUGGUCUCAAACAAAGAUAUGGUUCCUGAGAAAACUCUGUUAGUGUGAACAAUCAGACUUAAAGGAAUAAUCAUAUAGUCAAUUAGGUUUCUAAACUAGGUAAUAACAAUCUACUAUAUACUAAAAGUACAUGAAGAUAGAAAGACAAGAAAAUGCAAAAAAAGGCAAAACAUUUGACAGUUAAUAUGUGGACAUGGAUAAUUACAGCCAUUGGGAUCUUCCUAAUCGUAACGGCGGAAGAUCUCUCCAGGAACAUUACAUUGAUACCGCUGAUCGAGGUUAGGCCGGGAUCCUAGUUACUAAAUUUAUUAAAAGUGUAAAGAAUGUUCAAUGUAAUAAUAAUUACUAAAAUUAGAAAGUUGUAUUUAGUAACAUGACCAAACUUCCGAACUUUUGAAAAUACAUCAGGCAUAAACAUCAAGUUCUUCUAGAAAUUGUUGGUACCAGAAAGCAAAUUUAAAAGACAGCCAAACGAAUUAACAUGCAGCAACAGUUGUACUAAUUAAUUUACCUCCAGAUUCCGAUGGUUUGCUAGUCAAGUGUUGUGACAAUAUAUCCCUUGCCGUGAUCGCAUCCUCAUCUGCUAACUAGCGCACUUCCUAGCUACAGUUCAUCUUGUGAUAGCUUGACGUGCCUGCCUCACAGUCCAUUUUUAUCACUAUGUUAUGCAAUAUGCAACAUGCUAUGAUUGCCCGAGAAAGCUCAAGCUGAUUUUUCGGACGCCAACUCUCUCCGUGCAGGAUCAUCCAUGUGUCUUUCAACCUUGCUACAGCCCUCAACACAACUGUUGUGGCUUCUGAGUGUCCUAUUGAACUCCACUCGACCAUCUGAGAGGUCAUUCUCCAUCUGGUACGGUGUGAGCAGCCAGGGAAGAAGAGGAAAUGCUUCAUCACCAAUUAUGUAUUCUCUAACUUGCCAUCCAUCCGAUAAAUUCAGCUUGCUACCAUUCAACCAAGCACCCUUCUCGCACUCCUUGAAGAGCCUCGAAUCCUGCAAAAUGCUUGACUUGUUCGUGCUGUCUGGCGGCCCCAACCAAAUUUCUGUGAACCUCAUGUCUGUACCAACAACAACUUGGACUAGCCUGCAAGUCAUUCACCUCAUGAUCACAGUUUAGUGAUCCGAAUGUGAAGUGAGCUGUAUGUACAACACCGCAGCAGUUUGGCAAGCCGUGAAUCUUGUCAAACUUAUACUUGAUCUUCUCAAUUUCGCUGGCACACGUGUGAAGCUCGCUGCCACAUAACAUCUGCGAACGUCCGAGUUAUCAGCAAGACGGUUGCCUCAUUCACACCAAUAGAGGAUCCUACGGUUGCAGGUGUGUUGCCAGAGUUGAGCAUUAUCAGCGCAAUGGCUACUCGAUCUUCUAAAGAAAAGCACCUCAGAUCGAAAAAGAAGUAGCUGUUCAUAAUUUCCAAAGACGAUUCCUCCAGCAAGCUGCAGACAUAGUCAAAGGUUUUUCUUGGCAUUUUCAACACAGACUCAAGUUUUUGUGCAUCCUCAAAAAUAGCCAGGGUUC